UACUUUAAUUUGCCAUAAUCCGAAUUGUUCUUGCCGUCGAACUUCUCAAUUUCGAAUUUUCUGGCUAUCUCCGUCGAUCUCUCCCGCAGAUCGGUAACCUUAAGCUCUGAUACCAAUUAUUGAAAAUCCGGUACUCGCCUCGUACCGAAUUUUGUGAAUCUGCAACCCACUCCAAUAUUAACUAUUGUGGAUCCGUUACUGAUUGUUGGGAUUCCGCAACGGAAGCGUCAAAUCGAAUUUUUACUAUAAAUCCGUCUCAUCACUAAAAGCUAAUAGAGAGAAAACAACCAAACAUAAAAUAUGCAGAUAAAAUAAAAUUUAUUAAAUAAGAGAAGAUUACACAUGACUCCGCUUCUGCAAUAAAGUAACUACAAUCCGAGUCCUUUUUUUAAAUCUCUCAUAUUUUUCUUUCGUCUUCUAUAAAUUUAAAAUACUACUCACUUAUGGACACACCCGUGCACUAGGUAUAUCCAACUUGGCCCAAACUCUUUCCGGUUCGGACUCACCUUUCAGCCGUACUACCACUCAAGGCUUUUCUGGCCGUACUCUCUCCUCGAUCACAGCAAGGCUAAUUAGGCCCCAUGCAUUAUAUAUAAUGCUUAACCAAAGAUGUACCCCAAUUCUAGUAUAAUAGAAUUUUGACUUUAAUUAAUAUCUAAAUUUAUUUUAAUUUAUUUCUAAUAGAUUUAAAAUAUUAAUUCUAAUCUAGUUAAAUUUAUACUCUAAUUAAUAUUUAAAUCUCAAUUUAUCUUCAAUAGAUUUAAAUAUUAUUUUUUAUCCCACUAAGAAAUCAAUUACAAAUCUAAGCAAGUCCUAAUACCAAGUCAGGGUAUAAUGCUAUCAACAGCACCAAACACUUCGUGCUGCCAAAAUUUCUGUCAUUAGAUCUACCAUUUUUACCAUUUCUACUUCUUAGAUCAUUCUAUUCCACUAAUCAAUCAUUAAACUCUAAUAAGAGAUUAUUGUCAUCAUAAUCACAUAUUUUGUUAUCCAAGAGUCCAAAAUUUAAUAGCACUAAUGACUCGGUACUAUUAAUAGCAUUAUGUUUUAAUUCAAAUGUACCUUAAUUUUAUAAAAAUAUAAAAUUAAUAGAAUUUUUAUACAAAUCGAGCAAAAGUAAUUUCAAAAUUACAAUAACUUAAGAAAGUCUUAAUAGUGGAUAAUCUAUCACUGAGGUUAGGAGACGGGGACAGAGACAGGUGUCAGCAUCACCGGCCUAAUCAUUUUUUGUUUUUUCAUUUUUAUUUUUUAUUUUUAAAGGCGAAUGAAGAAGCGUCCCUUGGAGUUCCCAAGAGCCACACCUUAUCCUACCACCUUAUAUUAUUAUUUUGUAAUUAAUCCAAGAUCUAGUAAGAAUUGAUAACUGAAAAAAUGCACAUGCAAAACAUUCAUUCAUUGGUAUGGAAAGGCAUUUAUUGCAACAAGGCCAGCGAACGACAAGCCUCUCACCAACACCAUGCAACGUGGUAGGUUUUGGUUUGGGGUUGGAAACCCCAGCUGAGCUUGAACGAGCUUAUCUUAUUCAAACUUAAUUUAAAAUUAAUUUUGAACUUAAAUUUAGGCUCAAAUUUAGAUUGAAAUUAAUUCGAGUCGAGUUCGAGCGAGCCUAACUUUGAGUCGACCCAGCUCCCGUCCUAAACAAGCCAUUUGGAACUCUUAACAUCAUGCAAUCUAUAAUUUAAUUUUUAUACAAUAUUAUCUAAAAUUUGAUACAAAAAAUAUGUAAUAGUUCAACAUACAAAAUAAAUAUAUGAAAUACGAUAUUAUAAUAUUUAAAAAAGUUUAGAGAAAAACGACUCUGCGAGCAAGUGAAAGGAAGAGAGCAAUUAGAAUAUGAUUAGCUGGUUUGGUUUUGUAGGCAGUAACUAUGUCCAAUAACCUAAACUUUAAAUACAUAUAAUUAAAGCCUAUAAGCCCACUAAUAUUCAACCUCGGCUUGAAAAAAAUUGUGAGUAUUUUUUUCUGUUCAAACUCGGCUUAUUUUAUUUCGAGCCGAACUCGAGCGAGCCAAAUAUCAAGCCGAAUGCGAGUCGGACACGAGCCAACUAGAUUGGCUGCACAUUUAUAAUUUAUUUUUGAUAAUAGAACUUCUGCAUAAAUAAUUAAAUAUUAUUAUUUUUUUUUUUGUAUUUCUAAACAUUGAUUUGAUUGUUUUGAAAGUAUAGGAAUGUAUUUAACAAUCAAAAUUUAAUAAUAUGAUUUGACCUGGUUAUUAUAUUUCUUUAUUCUUGAACAGUUUCUCUAACUGAUAUUGAGUUAAUUAAAUACUAUAUUCAAAAUUUUCCAAUAAAAAAAAAUCAAAAUAAAAAACCGAAACCGAAACCGAAACCGAAACAGACCAAAAGCAAUCGAUUCUCUUCACCAAAUUUUUAAAAAUAAAGUACUCAAUUCUAAAUUUUUAAAGUACAAAUUUAAAAUUUUUUUAAUGCUAUAUAAUAUAAAACUGGUUCAAGUUGGUUCGAGUCAGGUCGGACAUAGAUAAAAGGCAUAUCCGAAUCCAAAUUCACCGGAUUUUUACAUUUUAUACUCUUAACCAAAAUCAUACUCGUUUAGCAUCGAUUAAACUAGCCCCGUUCAAGUUCAGAUUUACGUUUGAAUAAAAUCUCGGGUAUCCGUAUCUAUUGACAUCCGCAGUCUAUACUCUAUAGUAAGCGAUCUGCCCUUCGCAGGGAUUGAGCUAUGUGUAGGCCCACAAUGGCCAUGGGCCCCCAUCAAUUGUGAUAUUCGUAGAAAUUCUUAAUUAAGGUAUUGAAACAAUUAAAUAUGGUAAAGUUUAGGGCCCAAAAUGAAUUUGGAUUGGUUGGAUUCUAGAGCUCCCUACCAAAUUGCAACUUCAUUGCACUCAACCCAAAUAUUGGUAUAAAAUAAAUAUAACAUGGAAUUGAGGAUAAAUCUUGGUGCACGGAUGCAUGGAUGCAUUCAGUGUACGUAUCUACCAUGUCGUAUCGCGCCAAUAAGAUAUCGGCACAAUAUCGCCUUCCGUGUCGAUGGCACAGUUCAAAACACUAUUCUUUAAAUUAGUAAGUAAUUUUCCCAACAAAGUUCAAAAGAUUUGAUAAAAAUGCAUAAUAAACCAAUAGAAUAUUUUGUUGCUAAAGAAAAUAAAUAUUUCAUGCUAUUAUGUGUCGGCACAGAUGAUUCUUUUGUGAUCGGUGCUGUGUUGUACCGUGCCGGUAUAUUUCCGACACGACUCCGUGCCAUGGCGUUCAAAUCAUUACUCUUAACUGGUAUUGAGGAUAAUGGUUAAAUGGAAAUACCUUAAAAAAAUUAGGUGUUAAAUGCUUAAUAUAAAUUUUGAGGACCAAAGUGAAAAUGUUGGCUAAAAGUUCAGGGACUCUUGGUGCAAUUUUUUUGUAAUACUUUUAAAGUUUUCUACGAGUCUUAAGAAUAAUAGUCUGAUAUUGAAUAGAAAAUAAAAUCAUUACCUGCAUAUGAUGUGGAGGGAAUCUCCAUUUAGUCAACUUAUUAACCAUUUGAAAUAGGAUACUCUAAAUUUUUAAGCUUUUGGAUUGGUUCAAAUCCUUUUAAUAUCUUAUACAUGUGGACCUUUAAUAUCAAAGAGUUAGCUGACUCCAACAUUGCAGAUUUAUUUCCAACAAUAUUUACAUCUCUUGUUUAGCUGUUGCAGGUUCUUUUCUGAUCUGUCCCUCUAAAUCAGAAUUCUCAGUAACUUCAAAAAGUUACAUAUGCUUGCAUAUGUUUGUAUUGAUGUAACAAUAAUUUUCUAUGGUUCUAAUUUUGUUUCACUUUUUGCAUCUCACACUGCUCAGAAAUUGAGGCAAUUUAGGCUUAUCAGAUCAUGUUCAUGUCUGACAGUCAUGUCAGUCACCUCAAUUUCAAGAUUGCAUCUAAAAAUGUCUGAAAAAUUCAUUCUAUGUAGUGAACUACAAAACACACUCAGAAGAACAUCAUCAGCACAUAUAAAGAAGAAUACAGGAAUUAGUGGAUUUCACAUUUGUUGACCGGAAAGAAAAGAAAGGAAACUAUACAUCCUACUUCUACUGAAGGAAUAAAAUUAUGGCAAAUCCAUAUUAACCUUCACACCCUAAUAGUCACACUACAUAGGCACAUACCAGAAGGCUUAAGGGUCGAUGCGUGCCAUUCCGACCCGGGUGCAGCAUCCGGAUCAUAAAGCAAUGUCUGGCACAAGGAUUGUUCUUCGUUCGGAAAAAGCACAAGCUUCCCAUCAAGAAUCCCGAAGCAGAAAUUCAUACUCAAACUCCCGUUAACCGGAAUGAGGACCUUCCUCCAAGAACUGUCAUCAGGACUGAACACCGCGAGCCUCCUUUGGUUCCUCCACUCCGUGCAGAAAAGACUCUUGUUGAGUACCGCGUGUGCUGUGACCAUCACGCAACCGUUCUUGAGCUCACGCCACAUGCGGUUUUUAGGGUUGUACACGUCCACGAGGCGUGAAUUGCCGAUCGUGAAGCUGGAACGGCCGCCCAUGACGUAGACUUCACCCUGGAAGCUGAAUGCGAAGCAGCCCCACCUCGGUCUUCUUAGGCUUUCGAUUAAGGUCCACUGAUUCUUCUCUGGUGUAUAAACUUCGACACUCGAUAGACUAUUGCCAUUCGGUCCAUGGCCGCCGAUGGCGUAUACUAGACCGUCAACCUCUGCACACGCGAAGUCACAGCGAGCAAUGUUCAUUCUAGCCAGCUGGCUCCAUCUGCAACAAAGGAAACAUUUAGAUAACACUAUCUUCAAACAAAUUGUAGUCCUUUGGCUGGAAAUAUCCUUGAGGUUAUCGAGAAGAUUCGAGGUAUUGAAAGAGAUGUUUUCAAGCAAUAUUGCAGUGCCGUAGCACGAAGGAGUGCCACUCCUGUGCCGUCAUGCCCCAGCGUGCUAAAAUGUUUUCAAAUUAGUUUUAUAGUUUUUUCCUAUCGAAUUGACAGAAUUGCUUCUGCUGUCAAAGGACUAACUUGAAACCGACAUACUAGAUUUCAUUGAAUUGAGGACUAAAGUUUGGAGAAACUAUCUAUUGCUUUUUAAAAAUCUUUGAUGCAAAUUAACGAAUGAUGCUUGCGAUCGGCAGGUCUAAAUGUUAUACCAAGUGCUCAAAACUAGCUAGUUUUAACAAAUUUUGCACUCAAAUUAAUGGAUUCAUAUGUGAAAAUCAAUCUUUUCCUUAAGCUGCAGUUUCAUCAAAUAGAAUCAACAAAUUUCCUGAAAUAAUCUGCGAUUUCAUCUAAGCGUAACAUGCCCAAGUGAGUAAGAACUAAACAGUCUUUUUUGAAGAGGAAGAACUACACAUAAUCAUAAAUGAGACCCAAGAUUCAAUCAAGUCGGCAGAUCAAAUCUAGAGUGGUGGAAGAACAGAUAGAAUUGUCGCAUAAGAUUGACAAUACUAUACUAUUAUUCUUCUAUAUUUCUGCAUGAGUUUACCGACUCUAGUCGCUAAUGUGCAUGAAUAUUGCAGUUUAAGCAAUUUCGCUACCCUGGGAUUAUUUGAUAACAUGAAAAAUGGUCUACAUGAAAGAAAGAUGUUAAAUUUUGAACAAAUAACACAAUGUAUACCUGUUGAGCCGAGAAUCAUAUUGAUAAACAAAAUCCGAGACGCAUUCUUUACCAAAAUCAACACAAUAGCCACCGACGACCAAAAACUUGCCAUCGAGAACAACUACUCCGUAACCAGCUUUCUCUGGGCCAGGCAUCGGCGGUACGACACCGCGAGCUUCUCCAUAGCGAUCCAAGACCUGCCAACGUUGCUCAUCGAGUUUUGCGUCAGCAGUUAAGACAUAAAUCCACUCUUCACUCUUCCCAGCCUCCUUCCGCGCUGCAAUCAACUCCUCGCUUUGGAUGAAUGACCUCCAACUCUUGCAGACAGCACCCAUAAGAGGGAAACAAUGCCGAGGAACACUUGCAAGGCAUAACUUCGCCACAUCGUCGUUUAGACCGGGAAUUAAAGGAGUAUUUAACUCUUCUUGUGCUUGGAUUUUAGUCACUUUGGGAAGUUUCAGCUGAGCAGAAGAAUUUUUCAGCAUUUUGUUGCUGACAGGAAGCACGUUCGUAAUCCGGCAAAAUUGUCUUCGUGGAUUGGAUGUAAUUAUUCCUUCUUGAUUUCUUCGGAAACUAAAGAGAGAAACAAACUGUGUAAAUAUGCUAAUUGUUGUGAUUUUGGCGAGAGAAUUAGCGAUAUCCAUUACUUGUAGGAAUUUUAAGAGACAACAGCUUCAAAGGAUGCUCCAACAUGUUGAUAUUGAAUAAAUUGAAUAAUAGAUUAAAAAAGAAAAAAAGGAUCUUUUUGCAUAUAGUGAGCUAGAAUAAACAUAAUGUUCCUUCAAUUUAUCAAACAAACCAACUUAUGAUCAUAUCAUAACAGAAUACAUGAAAGUUGUACAUAAAAAAGGAAAGGUUAUAUAAAAUGUAUGGAGACCAUUCAGAAUAAUUAAAUUUUCACAAAAUCUCUAAUUUAGUCAAUUGAAAUGACUCAAAUUAAAAGAAUUAAAAGUUGAGUACGUGUGAAUUAAAAGUAAAACAGUUGAGGCUCUGUUUAGAUGUUAAGAGUUUAUGUUUUGUAGUUUUGGUUUAGGUAGAAAAUUAUAUAACUCUAAAAAAGUCUACGGCUUUAUUUCUUAAACUGUUUGGAUGCAUAUUGUACAAUUCCACUGGAUUUCUACCGAUGAAAAUUUAAAACUUAAAAAUAAAAAUUUAAAAUUUUAAAAUUUUAAAUAGAAAAUCUAAAUUUAAAAUUUAAAAUUUGAAAUUUAACAAUUUGAAUUUAAAAUUUAAAUUUGAAAUUUGGAAUUUAAAAUUUAAAAUUUAAAAUUUUGAAAUAUAGAAUCUAAAUUUAUAAUUUUAGAAUUAACAAUUUUAAAGUUUAAAAUUUGAAAAUUGAUAACGAAAAAUUUUAAAUUAAGAAUUAAAAAUUAAAAAUUAAAAAUUUUGAUAAUUUGAAAUUUGAAAUUUAUAAUAUUUAAAAAUAUAAAAUAUAAAAUAUAAAAUUUAAAUUUAAAAUUGGAAAUCUAAAUUCAAAUUGUAAAGUUAUAAAUUUAAAAUUUAAAAUUUAAAAUUUGAUAAGGCUUGGGGUUGGGGGAAAGGGAGGAGACUCUAGAAUGGUGGAAUUUUUAUCUUAGGUUGGAGUGGAUAGAAUGGUGGUGGUUAUCCAUUCUAUCCACUCCAAACCUUAUCAAAUUGAUAAGCUUAUCAAAAAAUGGUGGAAUUUGAUAAGGCUUGAGCUUCAUAGAAUACUUUUUUAAUGGGUAUAAAAUAGUUUAACUAUACUGCAUUUUCAGGGAUAUCCAAACGGGUGGAGAGGGUUCUAUCUAAAAAAUCUCCAUACAUUUUUUUCCUCAAAAGGAAACUAACUUUGAGAGAAAUUGAACAUUGCAGUGUGGCAACAAAUUGAUGUUAUAAGCACAACUUUUGAAGAUGUUAGACAAUUAGAAUAUUGAUCCAAAAAACCGAGAGAAUGGGAAAAACUCUAUCCUAAGCUUAUGGUAGCAUAUGAGAAAGAUGAAAAGAAUAUGCUGAGGAGAGAGAUGAAAAGAUUAUGUAGAAGAAGAGAGUGUUGGGUACCUUCAAUAGAUUUCCUUUGUGGAGUAGAGAGAGAUAGAGAGAGAGAGAGGGAGAGGUGAGAGAGAAAAUGGGGAAUGUGGAGAGGGAAAUUUAAAGGGAACGAUUUGAAGAGAGAGAGAGAGAGAGAGAGCGGAUAAAUUUGCCAGGUAAGGAACGCAUCAACAUUCAAUUAAUUCAAGACUAGAAAAGUAUACUAAGGCCCUUUAACUAUAGACUAUUUUCAAAAGGCGCCUUAAAUUUAUUUUUCUAAUUGAUUUUUUUUUAUACUUUAUCUUAGCUAUUAGUUUGUUAAACUAAAACUUUUUAUCAAAUUUAAUGGUGUAUUAGCUAUUUAUCAUCAAUUAUUUUAAUUUUAUCUACUUAACAUGAUUAAAGUUAAUAAAUUUAGUUAUGCUCGUUAAAAAUUGCUUUAGUUUAUUAAAUUGGCUUACGUGAGUAAUUUCUUUGAUUUAAAUUAACUAAGAUUAUUCAGUUGAAAAAAUUAAAAUUUAUAAAAGAAUGUGAAGAUCACCAACUCAUGCAUCAGUUAGCAGUGGGUUCAAUUUUUGUUUUAAGCAAGAAGUUAACAGGCAUCUGGAAAAACGUAAUUUGUGUAACGAAUUCAGCAAUUCAAGAAAGUCAAGCAACAGUGUCUUUAAUUGGAUGCUUGAAGUUUAACAAAAUAAUUUUGUAGUUAUACAAAAUGCGAGAGAGAUUUCCAAGUUUCAUAUGGCACUCAUUCUUGACUUUGUGCAGGUUAGACAUGAGAAGUGUUAUAUCCUGAGAUCUUUUUUUAUAGUUUUUUCGAAAAAAAAAGUUAAUUUAAGAAUAGUCUCAACGAAAAAAAAAAAAAAAAAAAUUUUUUUUUUUUUUUCGAAACAACCUUACCCACGGGUUGUGCAACUCGCUCGCAACCUUCGUAGAGUUAUCAACCGCCCCUAGAACAAGUGGCAAAGGGCUUGGUGAUUGUGUGACACCCCAAUAGUCCCACAUCGGAUGGAAAAGAAGUUAUCAUUGGGUUUAUAAGAGACUUAGAUACUAGUAAUAAUAACUGGGCUUAAAUAUUUUGGGCUGUUAGUUGGGCUGUUAGUUGGGCCCAACGAGUUAUUAUUGCUAGUGGGCUGGGUCGUUACAUUUGGUAUCAGAACCAGUUCACUAGCUGGACAUGUGUGGCGAGUCUCGGCUGAGACAGGGUCUGGAUGAUAAUGUAACAGAGCCGGUUCACCAGUUGGACAUGUGCGGCGAGUCUCGGCUGAGCCAGGGUCUGGAUGACGGGCUAGCGAGACGAGUCUCACAUCGCCUGGUGAUCUUGGGCUAUGUGUGAUUAAACUGACGAGGACUGGACGUCAGGGCCUCAAAAAAAAUAAAUAAAUAAAACCUUUGUAGAGUUGAGGUAUGAAUAUCCUAAUACCCUCUUUAUAAUGGGUGUCCUAACUACAAUAAUAGUGAUAAAAAUAUAUAUAUGUAUUAAAAAAGUUACAGUUGAGAAGUUCAUUUUAAAAUUGCGUAUAGCUGAGGGGUCUCGACACAAUUUUAUCUUCAUCAAGUAGAUAUAUAAAUAGUGCAGUACCUUUUUCCUGGAAAGUGUAAGCGAGGUUCCCACUUGUGUAUAGCACUAGUUCAGGAUCCGUGCUACACAAGAGAUAGAUAGUAUUUUACUUAAUUAAUAAUAUAAUUAUUAAUUUUAAUAUUAAAAAUUAUAAUAAAAAAUAUAUAAAUUAUUCUUAUGAAUAUUAUAAAAUAAUUUUUUUAUUAAUGUUUUCUUAACUUUUAAUAUUUGAAGAGUUAAAUUAUUUUAAUAAUUUUAUUUAAAAACUCAAUCAAACUUAAUAGCUUUUGUAACUAUUUUAUAAAUAAAAUUUUUAACUAAAAUGUUAAAGUUGGAGGACUUAUUUCAAAUUAUCAAAAUAUGAGAUGCCUUUAUCUUGUUAAAAUUGAUUAGAAUAAGAAAAACUAUUGCAUGUACCUUAUGUAUAUUAAUACUCCAUACACCGCAACUUAUAUUAGAUGACUAUUGUUCUAAUAUCAAAACUUAAUUAAAUAAAUAUGAUCUACACAGUCUAAUAAUUAAAAUUAUUAAAAGGUGUUAAAUGUGUGGUGUAUGUGCACAUAUACAUCCAGUGUGGAGAAUGUUUAGAAAAUGUACUCAUAAUUUCAAAAAAGAGAAUAAUUUUUUUUUUUUUUGUCUCUGGUUUACACUAACGCUAGAUAUACCGCCAGUUUGUUAGAUAAUUAAUAAAAUAUUUGAUAAUUAAUACUAUAAAAUAAAAUAUAAUAAAUAAAAUAUUUAAAUAAUUUAUUGUGCAAUAUAAAUUUAUUUUUAAUACGUAUGUCAGAGCAUGCAACGGGUGUAUCUAAAAUUUUUUUAAGGCAUUUGGCGAGUUUCAAUUGGAUUAUGGAUUAAUUGGGUACUUGGCUUCACGAGAAGCCAUUUUAAUGAUGUGGCCCCGGUGCUAAUUGUGAACUUGAUUUUCUUUUCAAUUCUAUUUCGGAUUUUGGAUUCGAGACAAUUCUUUUUUAAUUUUGCAACUUGAUUCGGAUUUGAAGAAACCUCCUUUUUGAUUUUGGUUUGAUUUGGGGUCCGAAGAAAAUCCCUUUUGAUCUCGAUUUGGAUUUGGGGUACGAAGAAAUUUUCGUUUCGAUUUCGAUUUGGAUUUUGGGUCCGAAAAAAUUUACUUUUGAUAUCGAUUUGGAUUUGGGGUCUGAAAAAAUUUCCGUUUUGAUUUCGAUUUGGAUUUGGGGUCCGAAGAAAUUCUCGUUUGAUUUUGAUUUGGGGUCCGAAGAAAUUCUCGUUUUGAUUUCGAUUUGGGGUUCGAAAAAAUUCCCGUUUUACUUUUGAUUUGGGGUCCGAAGAAAUCCCCUUUUGAUCUCGAUUUGGAUUUGGGGUCCGAAAAAAUUUUCGUUUAAUUUUGAUUUGGGGUCCGAAGAAAUCCCCGUUUUACUUUUGAUUUGGGGUCCGAAAAAAUUUUCGUUUGGAUUCCAAUUUGGGAUCCGAAGAAAUCCCCGUUAUAUUUUUGAUUUGGGGUCCGAAGAAAUCCCCGUUUGAAUUCCAAUUUGGGGUCCGAAGAAAUCCCCCUUUUAAUUUUGAUGUGGGGUCCGAAGAAACGGGAAAUCAAAGAUUCCCCUCCCCUCUUCUUGCGAUGCUGCAUAUGACGUCGACGAAGUUGAUGACGGUGGCGUGGAUCUAUUCGACCAUCGGAUUUGAUUUCGGAUCCAUGCACAUACUUCUUUUUUAGACUCUAAUAUCCUCAGGCUCCGUUUGGAUUGGGAAUUAGUAGGAACUAGUUAUACCGGAGAUAGGUACAAGUAUGGAUUUUUGUAGGAACAAGGGUAUUUUUUUGUUUAGAUGAAAAUGUGGGUAUAAGCUGGAACUAGAAAAAUUGUGUUUGGAUGGUUAUUGGGAAUAAGAGGAAUAAUCGGUUGUUGAACUUUUUAAAUACCGAAAAUACCCCUCUCUCUAAAAUUAAUCCUAGGCACAAUUUAAUUUAAAUUUGCUUGUAAAAUGUAUUAUUUUGGGAAUACACUAAUCAAUUUAAAUGUCAGAAAUUAAAUUUUCAAUUUUUUUGAUAUUUUAUUAAUUAUUACCUUUAUUUAAUCAAUCUUAAAAAAGAGAUAAACCCAAGAUUUUACAAAAAUAUUUGGAAAGAUCAUGUUGAAUAUAACUGAUAUAUUCAUCAAUAAUUAACCAAAAAUAUAUGGAUUAUUAAACCACGUUGCGUAAUUAACACUUUUUACCACUACGCACAUUUACAUAUAACAUCAAGUAAACCUACAUAUAGUAUAAAACAAAUUUACAGCCAUUUAAAUCAACCAAUUAUAUAGCAUUAAAAUAAUCCUAAUUAUUGAUAUAAUUCAAAUAAUACGAACACAAUCUCACUCUGUAAAUGCAAGUAGUAGAAUAUUACAACAUCACAUACAACAAUUACCUCACAUUAGCAAGUAGCAUGACAUAAACUAUAUCCAAAAUACAUAACUAAUGACUAAAGAUGUCCGUGGACCGGGUCGGGUCUGGGUAAUUAAUAUACUGUAUCCAUACCCUAAAAAGAAAUGGUUAUAAAAAAAUAUAUAUACCUUACCCAUUUAACUUCGGGUCGGGUCCGGGUCUGGAUACUAAAGUUUCUAAUGUACCCAUCGGGUCUAUUUAAGCGGGUCUGGGUAGUGACUACCCGUAUAAUACCCGUUCAAAAUCGGAUAUGGAUCGGGUCCAAAUCGGGUACGGAUAUCCGUAUAAAUAUAUUUUUUUAUAAACUUUAUUAAAUAGUCAAUAAACAAACUAUAUUGUUGACAAUAAAAUAUUGUUGACGGAAAUGAAAUGAAAAAAAAGAGUAGAAAACAAAGAGUAAAAAAAUUAGAAAAAAGUAAUGAGUAAAAGAGACGGCUAGGAUUUCAUUAGGAUAAAAAUACAUAGUGACUCAUCAUCUAUAAGUCAUAUUAAAAUUGAUCCUUCAACUUUAAAAGUUUUUUUUUUUUUUUUACUAUCGGAUAUUUCAUCGGGUCCGGGUCCGGGUCCGGGUCCGGAUUUGAAAACUAUUCCGGACCCUACCCAUUUAAAAGUUAGGUUCGGAUCGGGUCCAAAUCGGGUAUGGGUAUAAAAUAUCCGAACCUAUACCCAAAAUUUUAAUGGGUAAUUUUUUUUAUCCGUAUACUAUUCAUUUUUUAUCGGGUCCGGUUCGGGUCCGGUUUGGGUCCGGGUAGGGUCCGGAUCGGGUAUGGGAUAUCGGAUAUUUUGGACACCUUUGCUAAUGACAGUAUGAACAAGUAACAUAAACACAAACAAUUAGCAUCUAUUAUUCCAUAAUUGCUCUGUUAUAGUUCUACGUAAACUGUCACCGCGUCUUGAUUCAUCUGCGCCGGCAAUAUUUGGCGGAUCCUCGUCGUCAUCGCCAGUUGGAAGUUGUUCUAUCUCUUCAUUAAAGUACAUAUCAUUUCCUUGUUAUCUUCAAAUAAAAUUGUGUACUACACAACAUGCCAUAGCAAUCAUGCACUGUACUUUAUACGGAAAUGGUGUUGCAUGAUUUAGAAUCUUAAAUCUCUUUUUUAAUAUACCGAAUGUUUUCUCGACGAUAUUUCUCAGCUGCGCAUGUCGAUAGUUAUAGAGAUCUUUGAGGUUGCGAUGCGUGCGAGCCCUUGUUGUAGUGUCAAAUUGACUUAAAUGAUACCGUUCACCUCUGUAGGGAGCAAGAAAUCUGUUUGUGUUUGCGUACCCCGAAUCAACCAGAUAAAAUUUACCUACGAAUAUUAAUAUAGAUGUAACACAAUAUCCAUUAAAAUGACAAAAGUGUUAUACAUACUAUAAAAAAGACUAUUUGGAAAGUUACCAUCCGGAACUGUAAAACCUCCUGUGUCGCAAGCCCACCGAAGUACACGCAUAUCAGCUGCUGAUCCUUCCCAACCUGUGCAUACAAAGAAAAAUAUAUGGUCAAAUGAGACUGUGGCUAUCAUAUUUUGGGAUGUGAACCCUUUGCGACAUCGGAAUCGUGGUUGGUCGCUCCUCGGAACAAUCACUGGAAUAUGUGUGCCGUCUAUCGCGCCAAUUGCAUUCUACAAGAUAACAUGCAGCAAAUAUAUUAAUCCACAAUUAAAAAUCAAAGGAAAUAUAUAUUGCAUGUAAUCGUAGAAAUCAACCUUGAAAGGAUAAAAAUUGAGAUUAUCUCGAAUUCUUGGAUGCACCAUUGCAUUACUUGGCGGCAACGUUAAGUAUUCAUCUUUCAACAUUAUAAUAGCCCGCAAUACAUUGUUGAAAUGUCUGCUGAUUGUUUCCCCUGAAUGUUGGAAUGUUUCAGCAAGCACUCUAUUAGCCACACCAUGACCUACGCCAAAUAAAAAUAUUGCUAGUUGUUCAUCAACAGUCAUGUAUCGUGUUCCUCUUAUCAGCCCCCGAGCAACUAGCACAUCGCGGAGUGCAACGAAAGUAGUAGUCGUCAUGCGAAAAUGAUCGUACCCUCUGUCCGGAUGACCAUUCAAAAUAUCACAAAUCAUUUGGUGGCCGGUAAAAGGUCGAGUACGAUACUAACGUUUGUGUAAGGAAUUAGAAAACGUCCGAAAGUCUUGACCAAAUAGUAUGACAUAUACUUGGUCCAAGUAGUCAUCAUCGUCAUCUAAAAUUAACAUAAUAUUUGCUAAGGUCAUCGACGAAAAAAUAGAACGAUACAAGGGCGCACCCAUGAGUGCCGCAAUGAUAAAAUCAUGCAUUAUACCACAAGCAGUACACAUCAUAUUUUUUUCAACAUUCAACAUAACGCACCUUUAAGUCGAAACAUUGAACACAAGCAAACUAACAUGUAAGCAAACAUAGUACAUAAUUAUACAUAAAGCUAAACAACAAACAACUAAUUUAACAUACAAGUCUAAAACGCAAAUGCUUCAAGCAUCACAUAUUACUCUAUUCUACAAACACCAACACACAAUAACAAAACAAUCUAGAAACCAGGAAAGUUUUUUUUAUACAAGACGUCUUGGACCUCGCACUGCCGCUCUAUUCAUCUUGCUACUAUGCGAUCAUUCAUAGUCAUAAAAAGGCGUCUUUGUGGCUCAUUCAGCAAUGCUUCCCCUGCUACUAUGACCUGCUCAUCUGUAAUUCCAGGCAUAUUAUAAACCCUAUUCAUACACUUUUCAAUUGAAGGAAUAUUAGAAAGUUUGGUUUGAUCUUUUUGGUACAUUUCUCUAACAAGGUUCAGCUUUUGUUUUCCAAUAUCUACCAAUUCCGAUAUUGCUUCGCCGGUUAUGUCAAUUUUCUUUUUGCGGCCAGCGGAAGCAGAUGGUUAUUUCUUUGGAGGGAGUGAGGGCUCUGGAGACCGAGCUCUUUUACCCGCAGAGCUAUGUCCAGAUCCACUGGCACUCCCUCUUAUAUUUGGUUGCACUAGGGGAGGGCUAGGAGAACGUGAAGUAUUACUGCUUGGUACACAUGCAAGGGUGAGCGUGAGGACCUUGGUUCAAAGAGACCGGGUAAGAAAUUAUUUGCAAGCUUGCUAACACCUGCGACGGUAUCGUCCUCAACAGGAGAAGAUGAGGAUGAGCUAUCAAUUGUUGCUGUGGGCAUUUGCGAGGACAUUCCAAAUUGUCCUGUGGCAGUAGUUGUUCCGGAAAGAAAUGCAAUAUCAUUAUAUGCCGGAAAAGGUUUGUCCCUAAACUUCGCCAAAGCCGGAUUGUCCUGAACAAAGAUACAUAACAUUAUACAUGUUUCAUAUGUAGGUGUAAUUUGAAAUUGCAAUCAAUGUAAUAAACCUUUACCGCUAUGACUGCGUCCCAAUCACUACGAUCACCGGGCGUGGGUAUAUUAUUCACAUGGUCCCAACCCCAACCGCUCUUAGUUGCCAAAUUCUUGUAGGUCGUACACAAUCUCUUCAAAACCUUCAAGCGAUUCUUAAUUUGAUUCUUCAUCAGGUUUUGAUUUGUUUUAUAGUUGAAACAAAAAAUAAUUCUAACCCAGGCUAUUUGCGUGAAACUACCAUUAACGUUGUUUCCUAAUCCAUGCUCCUCCAUCAUGAUACUCAACAAAGUAGAAUCCAAAUGAUCAGUCCAGUUCGCAGUGCGUGUAUAUAUUUGGUUGCGCCCUCUGCUGCUACCACCUAUGUCUCCACUAUGAAUUGGAUUAUUGUCCAAUCCCAUACCUUAGUUUACAAAGGACUUAGAAGAGGGUCUCUUGCCUGGACUUAUCUAUACUUAUACAUAUUAUGACAAUUUACUUGUGAAUCAAAUGCAAAGACGACACCAUAAAUUUAUUAUGAGAUAGAAUUAUUUAAAUCAUGCAAGUCGGCAAGUACACAUGGCAAAUAGGGAAGGAAGUUACAAUUAUUGUGCAAUGUGCAAACAUAAUACAUCAUAGUAAUUUAUAUGCCGAAAAUACUGAACAAUAACACUUGACAUAUAAUUAAACACCAUAUACAUUGCAAGGAAGGGUUUGCCGUUGAAAUAUAUAUUGUGUGCACUGAAAUUUACAUCCAUACCAACCAUCAAUUGCUUAUUCCUGAUGGAUUGGUGGCUCAUUUGGCUUCCAAAUAAGUAUGGAGUUGUAUGAAUUGUUACAUCUAUACCAUCCAUCGAAUACAGAUGGAAACCAUCAUCAUCGCCUUAAUUGCCGACGUACUAAGCUCAAGUACUUUCUCUGGGCAGCCACAGUGCACAGGAUGCCCACUAUAAUAUACAAUGCAUAAAGUAUCGAUCAAGCAUAAAAGAACACAAAUAACCUGAAGCAACUAUCUAACAAUCAAUCAUUCUACAUAAUCAAGCAUAGAGAAGUCGAGCAUUCACUGAGGCGAGGAUUAUUUCAUGCCAUAUUCAACUACAAACUAUGCCAAUUUGCGCCGAAAUCUUUUUCCGUACCAAUCAUCAAAUGGUGAUAGAUUGGUGGCUCAUUUGGCUUCCAAAAUGUAUAGGGUUGCAUGGAUUUUUACAUCCAUACCAUCAAUCGAAUACAUUCAAUGGAAACCGGCAUCAUCGCCAAUUUUCACUGCCCGUGCAAUUAACCAAAAAAUGAGUAUCACAGGGCUGGCACAGGGCACAAGGUAUAGUAUACACAUUCAGCACACACAGUAUAGAUCAACCAUAGAGAACCACAGGAAACCAUAGAGGAAGCACAACCCAGCACAAAGAGGCACACCACCAAUUUCGAGCAAUCACAAACACGAAGAUAAACUGCGGCCAUUUACAUUGCGUACCUUGCCUUCAACAGAGGAAGCAGAGAGAAGAACAGAGAAGGAGAUCAAGCAUAGAGAAGUGGAGCACCCAAACCCUCAGAUGUGGCCAACGGCUGCGGCAACAUGAUGGCGGCGUCGACCAAGUCACUGAUUGCACAAAAGGACGUGGCAGCGACUAAAGUAGAGAUCACACAGAGGAAGGCAACGGUGCCGAAAGCACAGAUCGCACAGAGGAAGGCGGCGGCGCCCAAAGAACAGAUCGCACAGAGGAAGGAGGCGGCGCCGCAAGCACAGAUCGCACAGAGGAAGGCGGCGACGCCCAAAGAACAGAUUGCACAGAGGAAGGCGGUGGCGGCCAAGGCACAGAUCGCACAGAGGAAAGCGGCGGCGCCGAAGGCACAGAUUGCACAGAGGAAAGCGGCGGCGCCGAAGGCACAGAUCGCACAAAGGUAGGCGGCGGCCAAGGCAUAGAUCGCACAGAGAAAAGCGGCGGCGCCGAAGGCAUAAAUCGCACAGAGGUAGGCGGCGGCCCAAAGCACAGAUCGCACACAGGAAGGCGUCAGCCACCAAUGCAGAGAUAGCACAGAGGAAGGCUGCGGCGCCCAAAGCAAAGAUCGCACAGAGGAAGGCGGCGGCGCCCAAAGCACAGAUUGUACAGAGGAGGGCGGCGGCGACGAAGGCUUUGAUCGCACAGAGAAAGGCGGCGGCGACGAAGCAUAGAUCGCACAGAGGAAGGCAAAGGCGAUAGCAGUGAUCGCACCGAGGAAGGGCCUUAUCCCGGUGUUUGGAUAUAGUACAAGAUCUAGGCUACGAAGAGAGGAAUAAGGGCUCGCGGGUUCCUUUGAUGGAGAAGAAGGCGAAGAGAGGCUACCCUGGCCGCGGGGGUCCUCAGAUCGGAGGGUUUCCAGUGACGGCGACGCCGGCGAAGCCGAGAUCUAACAAGGGCAAGGGGAUUCCAAAGAUGGAGCACCCUCAGAUCUACGGUUUGCAGCGACGGCGAAGAUGGCGAAGAGACGAAGGAGGGUGUAGGGGUUCCAUAGAUGGAGAAGAAGGCCACGAAGGAGAAGCGAGCGGGGUUAGGGCUUAUAGAGAUGGAGAAAAAGGCGAUGACGGGAGAGAGAAAGGAGGUAUUUUUCAGAGAUGCCCCCGGUACAAGCUUGGGGAUUGGCUUGUUCCAACCCAGGGGUGGGAACAGCAGUUCCCACCCUUAAGGGUGGGAACUGCUGUUCCCUCCCCUAACACACCUUGUUUGGGUACAAGAUAGGGGAUAAGCCUCGGGUGGGAACUGCUGUUCCCACCCCUAACACACCUUGUUUGGCUACAAGAUAGGGGAUAAGCCUCUUAUCCCCUAUCUUGUACCACAUCCAAACAGGGUGUUAGGGUCUAGUCAACCUUUUGCUCUAGCACAUAUACCUAGAGUGGGUAUUGGCUCAUGAGAUUUGGUUCAUGGAUAUGGUUCAUGAGAUUAAUAGGAAGGAAGGAGUUAGUUAAGAAUUCAAAAUUCGAAAUCCAAUUUUGAAUUAUUUGUUGGAUGGUUGGAGGAUUUUUUGGGAGUUGGUUAGGAUUUGAAAUUCGAAAUUCGAAAUCGAAUUUUAAAUGGAUUGUUGGAUGGUUGAAGGGUAUUUUGGGAAUUGAUUCAAAAUUCGAAAUCGAAUUUUGAAUGGGUUGUUGGAUAGUUGGAGAAUAUUUUGGGAAUUGGUUAGGGAUUCAAAAUUCGAUUUCGAAUUUUGAAUUGGUAAUUAAAUGAUUGGAGUUGGUUGGGAAUUCGAAAUUCGAAAUUGAAUUUUGAAUAGGUUGUUGGACGGUUGGAGGAUUUUUGGAAAUUGGUUAGGGAUUUGAAAUUUGAAAUCGAAUUUUGAAUCGGUUGUUGGAUGAUUGGAAGAUAUUUUGAGAAUUGGUUGAAAAUUUAAAAUUCGAAAUCGAAUUUUGAAUGGGUUGUUGGAUGAUUGGAGAGUAUUUUGAAAAUUGGUUGGGAAUUUGAAAUUCGAAAUCGAAUUUUGAAUGGGUUGUUGGAUGGUUAGGUAUUCAAAAUUCGAAUGAGAGAUAUUUUGGGUGUUGGUUCGAAAUUCGAAAUCAAAUUUCGAAUAGAAUUUGAAUAUGGUAUUCGAGAUUGAAUUUUUAAAUGUGGGUGAAAAUGUGGACCGUUAUUUUAUGAAUUGGGCUAAAAUUGGGCCUACUUUGAUGAAACUUGUUGGGCAUGAAUAUUCAUUGGGCUGAGAUGAGGCCCGAAUUUUUAUAUAGGCAUAAAAUCUUAAAGGGCUUUCAUGAGGCCCAUUAAUUCACAUUUAUGAAUAGACCUAUUGUGGAUUAAAAUCAUAAUUAUUUGCCCCAAGAUUUCUCGGUCAACAUGAGACCUAUUGAGAUUGUAUGAAUAUGAAUUUAAUCGGUUUUAAUUACUUUACCCAAAUUUUUUUUCACCUCAAACGUACAUAUAUAUAUACACACACACACAUACAAACACACACACACACACACACACACACAAACACACACACAUAUAUAUAUAUAUAUAUAAUUAUGCUACUAUACUAUCAAUAGUACCAAGCCUUUGGUACUAUUGAGUUUUCGGCCGUUGAAUGAAAGGAUGUGCGGUUAGAAUAAUAGUGGUCCCCGGUUAAAUUGAUAGUGGUCCCCCUAGGGUUGAGUGGAUGGUUGGUUUAAUAGUAUAAUUUAACGGAUGAAAAUAAUCAAAGGGUAGAUCUAACGGUAGAAAACUCAAUAGUACCAAGGGCUUGGUACUAUCGACAGUAUAGUAGCCGGACUCAUAUAUAUAUAUAUAUACUAGUUAUAGUGCACGUGCGAUGCACGUAACAUUUAAUUAAAUUAAAUUUAUAUUUAUAUUUUAAAUUUAAAUAAUUAUUGGUGGUAUAAAUUUAUUUAUUAAUUAAUUUUUUUCUAACUUUAAUUUGUUUAAUGUGUAUCCAAAUUUUAAAAAUUUGAAGUAAUUCAAAAUUUUAAAUUAAUAAAUUCAGAUUUAAAUUUAUGAAAAAAACUCAAAAUUUUAAAUUAAUUUUGAAUCCAUAAUUUGAAUAUAAAUAGUUAUUAGAAGCAUUGAUUUAUUUAUCAUCCCAUCUAUUUUCAAAUUUGACAUAUUUUCAACUUAAUUAAUUAUUUUCGAUUUGAAAUACUAUUUAUACACUCAAAUAUUAAAUUUUAAUUAAUUUCAAAUUUUUAAUUAAAAUAUUAAUUCAUAUUUAAAAUUAUGAACCAAAUUUAAAAUUUAAAAUUGAUUUGAUAUGCUUAUUUAAAUCAUUCUAUUUUUCAAAACUAAUUUCUUCUUAGUUAGUUAAUUAAGAGAUAGUGAAUAUUAAAUAUUUUCAGUGUGUCUUGUGUAGAGAUUUUCGUUUUUUGAUGAGUAUAGAAAUUCUUUUAUGGGGCGUUUGUGAAAAAUAUUUUACGGCAGAUAUUCUUUGGUUGACAGAAUUUUUUCUGUUCUCGUAAAUGGAAUGCAAUAUUUUUUUCUACUAAAAAAAGCCUGUCAACAACUAUUUUAAUAAUUAUCUCAAACCAAUAUAAAUUUGUGAAUCACAUUUAUUUACAAAUUUAAAUUUUUAAAUUGUAAAUUCAUAUGUUAUAUUUUAUUGAAAAUAUCUCAUAUUUUAAAUAUUAGUAGAUAAAAAUGUGAUAAUUUUUAUAUAUUCACCUUUAAAAAAAUAUGAUUAAAUAUUAUAUAUACAGAAGGUAUUACGUGAUUGGAUAUUAUGUAGGUGGGUAUUACAUGUGAAAAAAAAUAUUUAAGAAAUAUGUAAAUUGUGAAUAUUAUUUGUGAUAAAAUAUGAUAUUAUGUGGGCGGCGGUUAUUAGGAGAUAGAGUACGCAUAUAAAAAGUGAAAUUUGAUAUGCAUUAUUUGAGGGUAAUUUAGAUAGAAAAAGUGACAGAUACUUAAUUCGUCAGUCAUUGGAUUAGAUCCAAUAACUAAGAAUUAAUAUAUUUUAUAAUAAUUCAAAAAUAAAAUAAAAAUUGUACGACUUUGAUUUAUUCUAUUAAAGUUGAAUGAGUGCUAUUGCUAGUAUAUGAUUGUAAUUAUAUUAAUAGGGACCGGUAUUUUGGGAAAGAAAAAAAAUUUAAAACUCGUUCUUUUAUAAGUAGUAUAGAUAUAUAAACACGCACGCGCGCGCACACACAUAUAUAUAUAUACACAUAUAUAUAUAUAGACACACACAUAUAUGUACACACACACACACAUAUGUAUACACACACACACACACACACACACACAUAUAUAUAUAUAUAUAUAUACAUNNNNNNNNNNNNNNNNNNNNNNNNNNNNNNNNNNNNNNNNNNNNNNNNNNNNNNNNNNNNNNNNNNNNNNNNNNNNNNNNNNNNNNNNNNNNNNNNNNNNNNNNNNNNNNNNNNNNNNNNNNNNNNNNNNNNNNNNNNNNNNNNNNNNNNNNNNNNNNNNNNNNNNNNNNNNNNNNNNNNNNNNNNNNNNNNNNNNNNNNNNNNNNNNNNNNNNNNNNNNNNNNNNNNNNNNNNNNNNNNNNNNNNNNNNNNNNNNNNNNNNNNNNNNNNNNNNNNNNNNNNNNNNNNNNNNNNNNNNNNNNNNNNNNNNNNNNNNNNNNNNNNNNNNNNNNNNNNNNNNNNNNNNNNNNNNNNNNNNNNNNNNNNNNNNNNNNNNNNNNNNNNNNNNNNNNNNNNNNNNNNNNNNNNNNNNNNNNNNNNNNNNNNNNNNNNNNNNNNNNNNNNNNNNNNNNNNNNNNNNNNNNNNNNNNNNNNNNNNNNNNNNNNNNNNNNNNNNNNNNNNNNNNNNNNNNNNNNNNNNNNNNNNNNNNNNNNNNNNNNNNNNNNNNNNNNNNNNNNNNNNNNNNNNNNNNNNNNNNNNNNNNNNNNNNNNNNNNNNNNNNNNNNNNNNNNNNNNNNNNNNNNNNNNNNNNNNNNNNNNNNNNNNNNNNNNNNNNNNNNNNNNNNNNNNNNNNNNNNNNNNNNNNNNNNNNNNNNNNNNNNNNNNNNNNNNNNNNNNAGGUCGGCUCGUGUUCGGCUCGAGCUCGUGACGAGCUCGAAAACUCCGGCUCGUGAUCGGUUCGCAACUUAAUCGAGCUAGCUUGUGUUCGGCUCGUUAGCGCCGCUGUCGAAGUUCGCUGCUGCUGCCAAAGUUCACUGCCGGGGUUUUGCUGUCAUGGUGCGUGACCUGUCAUGGUGCAACCAUGACUGCGAGUGGAAAGAGUAGGAUUAGAAGUUGAGGAACAAGGUGAGACAUGAGAGGAUCCAAGGCGAGAGAAGCAGGGCGGCGACAUGAUCAUUGAAGAAUCAUUGAAGAAGAAACUGGUAUCGGGCAUUGGGUUCGCGCUCCCUCACUGUAGCGUCGCCAGAUCCGCCUCCGAAGGCCGCAGCGGCGCAAUCUGUGGGGAAAGGCCUGUUCGGGUACUGGGUUCGCACUCCCUCACUGUAGCGUCAAGACCCGGAUCCGCAUUCUGCAUCGGAGGCGGGUUGAAGCUACGUAUGGACCAGCCCAGGCGAAAAACCCAGUUCGAGACAGAAUAGAGCCCACGAUGGCCAAUAUAGUUAAAAUAUAAUUGCAUUCAUAUCUCUGCCCCAUGUAACUCUUACAAUUUGGUCCUAAUGAUUAGUAAAGUAUAAAUAGUAAACUUACACUGUAAUGAAGCAAACAGAAGAAUAAUUAAUAAUCCAUUUAGAAUGAGCUAUUUUUAAAGUUGGGCUAAAAUUUUAAAAUUAAUAAUCUGUAUUAUAUAUUUAUAUACAAAUAUAAUUAUAUAUAUAAUAUAUAAAAAUUAUAUUAAUAUAAAAUAAAUAUAAUCGAGCUGUUAUCGAGCCGAAUACGAGCGAGUUGAUCCUAACUCGUGUUCGGCUCGUUUACUAAAUGAGCGAGCCGAUCUCGAGCUCAUUUCGAGCCGAACACCAGCUGGCUCGCAAACAGCGAGCUGGAUUGCCGCGAGCUGGAUUGCCACCCCUACACACACAUAUAUAAACACACACACACACACAUAUAUAUACACACACACACAUAACCCUUCUUUUUAUACACAAAUGGCUCCAGUGUUUACUGCUUAUUGCUUAAUUGAAUGUGUCCAUUUUGUUAUGCACAAAGAAGACCCAAACAUAGAGCUAAAUAAUCUUAAUUAACUUAGGAACCAGGAAGUACAGAACCUCCAAUUUAUUCAAACUUUUAUGUAUGCUUAUAUGUGGAAUUGUGUGCUUGUAUGCUCUAUGUUUAUUUAAGCUUUUAUGUAUACUUAUAUGUGGAAUAGUGAACUUUAUGUAUCUUUUAUUUGUUUACUGUUUAGUCUUUAGAAUUUAGAUAUGCUAGUAUGCAGUUAUGCACUAUGCAAAGUGCCAAUUAUCUUGAUCUUUUAUUUGCUUAAUUAUUUUUUUAUUUUGAGGCAUAAUAUAGUUUACUAUUUUUUUUUACUUAAUUAGUUUAAUUUUGUAGCUCUUUAUUCUUAUAUUUUUAAAAAAUAUGAGUAUUUAUGCUAAUAGUAUAAAUCUUGAGAGGAAAAAAAACUUAAUUUUAUUGCCUCAAAAUAAAAAAAUAAUUAAGCAAAUAAGUUGCCAAUUUCAUCUUGUAUUUAGUUUUUAACUAUGUUUGUAUGUGAACCUUUUAUAUUUUAUAUUUAAAUAUGGACUAUCUUUGGCAACUUAUUUGCUUAAUUAUUUUUUUAUUUUGAGUCAUAAUAUAGUUUAUUAUUUUUUCUUACUUAAUUAGUUUAAUUUUGUAUCUCUUUAUUUUUAUAUUUUUAAAAAAUAUGAGUAUUUAUGCUAAUAGUAUAAAUCUUGAGAGGAAAAAAAUUUAAUUUAAUAACCGAAUUUUUAAUUCCAAAUUUUUAAUUGGUUAACGUAUAAUAUCCGUAUAAAUCACGUAUCUGAAUAAUUGACGAAUCCGUUUUUUAGCUUUUUUUUUAACGAAUUUAAAAAUUAGAAGACGAAUUUUAUCCGAAUUAUAUCCGUACCGAAUUUUUGCCGAAUCCGAAUUAACUAAUUAUGUUCAUAACUCUAUUCUCUCUCUCUGCCUCGUCUAGGGUUUUUGAGGCGCACUUCGUCUCUAUCCCCACCUUGAAGCUCCUGCCAUGGCGACGUCGCCAACCUCCUCCGCCGUCAACCUCGGCGGAAAGGGCUCCUCUCUCACCCCCGCCGCCGUGUACGCUGUCGCCGGUGGCCUAUCUAUCGUACGGAUCGACUCCUCCGCCCUCGAGAAGCUCGCUCAGUCCAAGAGCUCCUCCCCUCCUCCGCCACUCUCCGAUGCUAUCCAAAAUCCUAAAUUCUUAACCCCAGAGGAGUCCCGAGCCACCCUUGGUGUCCUCCUCAACAAGCUCCUCGUCGCCGACGCCUCCGUGCGUCCCCCACUACCCACCCUGAUCGAGGAGGUCCUGUCCCUCCCGUCGGGUCACGAAACACUAGAUUUCGGAUCCCCAUUGCAGUUCCUCGAGUCCAUAUGCCGGUUGAAUGGGAGAAAGGUGGAGGAGAUUAACGUUUCCGGAGAUGAAAUCGGGGUUUUCGAAGCCUCCGCCGCUGCUCCGACCGCGAUCUGCGCGAUCUUGGACUGCUGCUCCUCGGCACUGGUGAGGGUGUCGGACGCAGUGGCGGCGCUCUCCUGCGAGGCCUCUAGGGCUGACGUGGGGGCCUUUGAUUUGCCGGUCUCGGGAGACGGCUUCUCGAUCAAGGACGAGACGGAUGUAGCCGGAGACAUGAAGGUGAUGCUCUUUGGUUCGAAGCUCGUAGGGCAGAAUUAUGCCGACUCCUUCGCGGAGAUCCCCACCGUCCAUGGGAGCUUCAGGGAGGCUGUGAGAACACUCCAUGGGAGGAUCCGUGUCGAGCUGAACUCUUCCAUUAAGGUCAGGAAGAAGAGUACAGGUCUCAGUAGUCAAGGAAAGGAGAAAGCUUUGGUGGCCUCUGCGCUCCCUCUGGCUAUGGCAAUUCGGUCCAUGAGUGAGAUUAGUCUGGGGCGAGCCAAAUUGAUUGUUGAGUCGAUCCGAGAUGUUGGUAUCAAGUCUAUGGUUUCUGAAUUAUUUCGAGAUGGGUGUCGGGGCUUUGACAGAUUGAAGGACCAAUUCGAUUCAGUAACGCAAAAUGCUGCUGCUGGAGUAGAUUAUGUAUCGAUUUUGAGUGGUGUUUAUGAUCUUCUGGUUAAAUUUAGGAACAUUCUUGCUUGGGAGGCUGCAUUGGCUUUGUUCACAAUUGAGAUUGAUGAUUCGAUCGAGAAAAUCCAGGGGAGUUCUUCGACGAAUGCCAAGACAAAUGGAGAAACUGCGAAAGGUGACAAGAAGAGCGAGAAGAAAAAGAAGAAGACUUUAGGAAAAGGGACUUCUGCUGUAAUGCAACUUCUUAGAAGCCGAGUAAUGAAUGGAAAGGAGAUAACAAGUGAACAUGUCACAGCACUUGUUAAUUGGGCUCGUGACCUUUCCUUUUGUUUUGAUCCGAAGGACAAAGGGCUUGAUACAUUGAUAGAAAAAGUGAAAGAAAUUGUUGAGAGCAAUGAAGUCAGGAGACUUCCUAAAAUUCCCAAGGUGAGAAACAUGUACUAAAUUAAUGUGUGCCUACAGUCCUUAAGUGCUUAUAAUUUCUCAAAAUCACUUAUAGUUUGACAUGUUUGGUCAACUUCUCUUUUAGGGUACCCGUGAUUUUGGGAAAGAACAAAUGGCCAUAAGAGAACGUGCAUUUUCUAUUAUUACCAGUGUUUUCAAGAUGCACGGAGCAGUGGGCCUUGAUACUCCUGUAUUCGAGCUGAGAGAGACUCUCAUGGGGAAAUAUGGGGAAGAUUCGAAGUUGAUAUAUGACCUUGCUGAUCAGGUAAAGUUUUGAAGAAAGCUAACAACAUUUUGGUAUUUUUUGUUGAAUUGCUUUUGGUGUAACUCUUCUUUUACUGUGAAAAAGAGUCAUUUACUGCAUCAGGCUCCGACCAAUGUAUAUUUGGGCAAUCGUCGUCGCAUGUGUAUUUGUAGCAUUUAUACUUGUAAUGCCGCUCUACUUGACUUUAUGGCUUAAGGUCAUCAAAGAGUUAUUCCUAAUUUGGUAUUUGCAAUUUUUUUUCCCAUUCUGAAUAUCAAAUAUGCUAUUAAUUUGUUCAUCCUUAUGAAUCAGUAUUAACUGCCUCCUAAAGCGGCUUGUAUAUUUUGUUUUGGCAGGGUGGUGAACUUUGUUCUUUGAGAUAUGAUCUAACUGUUCCUUUUGCCCGAUACGUGGCCAUGAAUAACAUUAGCGCAUUGAAAAGGUACCAAAUAGCAAAAGUGUAUAGGAGGGAUAAUCCAUCAAAGGGAAGGUAUCGUGAAUUCUAUCAAUGUGACUUUGAUAUAGCUGGCCAGUAUGAGCCAAUGGAACCUGACUUUGAGGUCAUUAAAGUAUUAACAGAAUUGUUGGAUCAACUUGACAUUGGCACCUAUGAGGUACUUUUGGUUGUUUGUUUACUUGAUUUUCUUUUUAGUUUAAUAUUGGGUAUAUACUAUUAAACUCUUCUUGUCUGAGAAGAGGGUGGUGUUAAUGAUGUGUAGAACUACGAUUCACCGCAUAAUUGAAUAUUGUAUAGGUAAAAUGUAUAGGUAAAAUAUGUGCAUUGUCCCUGUGCUGUUGUGAUAUUGAUCUACUCCCUGAACUUUUCACCUAAAAACAAUUUAGUCUUUAAACUUUCUUGUAUACUGCAAUUCAUCCCUGGCCGUUGAAAAUAUCAGAAACCACAUGAUUAUCUUUUCCUGAAAAUUGACCUUCUAAUCUUGCUUCAAGUGCACUGAAACAUGAUCUUCAUUUGACUGAAGGGGAAAAUUGUUAUUACAGGUUUUCUUUUAUUAUUAUUAUUAUUAUUAUUAUUUUUUUCUACAAUCAGGGAUGCAAUUGCCAUAUAUUAGAAACUUCAGGCAUUAAAGUGUUCAAGUGCGAAGUUCUGGGACUAAGUUGCAGUAGCAGGAUAGUAUAAGGAUACAUUUUGAUGUUAGGUGAUUUGCUGAGCCUUGAAUGUCUAAAAUAUUGCACUUGGACUAUUUUUUAUCAUUUACAGAUAAAGCUAAAUCAUCGGAAGCUAUUGGAUGGAAUGUUGGAGAUUUGUGGUGUGCCUCCUGAAAAGUUUAGGACUGUUUGCUCGAGUAUAGAUAAGUUAGACAAGCAAACAUUUGAGCAGAUAAAGAAGGAACUGGUAAGAAAUUGCUUCAACUGUACAAUUAGUAAUAGAGAAAAGAAAAAAAGAAAUAGAUAUUGCAUUCUAUGUAGCUACUAAAUUAACUUGAUAUAUUCUCUUUGUUGAUUAUAUCUUCACUAGGUGGAAGAGAAAGGGUUAGCUAUUGAAACAACAGAGAAAAUUGGCACAUUUGUGGAAAAAAGAGGGCCACCGCUUGAAAUCCUUUCUGAAUUGACGAAAGAGGGUGGUCAGUUUAUGGAGAACAGUGGCUCUGUUGUUGCGUUGAAUGAGCUAGAUAUAUUGUUUAAAGCGCUUGAAAAGUCAAAAUGUCUAGACAAAGUGGUCUUUGACUUGAGUCUGGCUAGAGGCCUUGAUUACUAUACUGGAGUAAUAUACGAGGCAGUCUUCAAGGGUGCUACACAGGUGAGGCAUACUGUUUCUAAUUGCAUAUACAGAGACAUGAAUAUCUUUUUGUGCUUCAUGAUUGUUGCAGCAUAUAGUACCAAGGCAACUGUCCAUAGUGUUGAACCACCUAGAUUCAUAUUAUGUUUCUAUAGAGUAAAACUGAAAAGUUUUUCUAUUGUUCAUAAGUGCCUUUAAAAUCUUUGGAUUAUGGCUGCCUUAACAAUCUACCUUUUUUGGUGUUCUUCUAGGUAUCUGUAUUCUUUUUUUUUGCAUGAACGCACACAUAGAUCCAUAAAUGUUUAUGUCAUGAUGAUAUAUAAUCUUGCUAUGCUAUCUAAAUCCAGUGUGACUGUAUUGGACUUUAUGUUGAACAACUGAAAUGUUUGUACUAUGACGAUUUUGAGGUGGAGCUCUUGGUAUUUACAUAUUUUGUUACUUUACUGAUUUUUUAUAGAGUACUCACCUUUGCCACAAUGAGUUAUUUCUUGCAUAAAUCAUAAGCUUCAUUUACAGAUAACCAAACCCAUAAUUUCAAAUUCUCUCCUUUCAUUUUGAGUACUUCAAGGCAUGAGAUUUACUCCUUUCUUACUUAUUUUCAUUCCUUAGGUUGGUUCCAUUGCAGCAGGGGGCCGCUAUGAUAACCUGGUAGGAAUGUUCAGCGGAAAACAGCUCCCUGCAGUUGGUGUCAGCCUUGGAAUUGAAAGGGUCUUUACAAUUAUGGAACAGCUGGAAAAGGACAGGAACCAGGUAUUGUUCACCGUCUUUCCAAUUGGCACUUGUCCACUUUCUCAAAUGCAGUAAAAUCCUUCUGCUUGUCACUCUUAAGUUCAUUUCCAUUUUUAAAAUGGGUUGGUUAUUUCCACUCUUCUAUGCCAUUCCCUGGAAAGCUGUGCCUUCAUAGAUUAUACUUCAUUUCUCAAAAAACAAGUCUGCAGGAAGAUACGAUUGUUUGAUCCCAUGUUUCAACACGCUGUAAUUUCUUCCUCUUUUUCUAUUCAAGUCCUACCUUUACUACCAAAAAUAUAUGUCAUGGUUUCUCUCUACAAAUACAAUCAGAGUUAAGCGCCAAAAGUAAGAAGGUUUCAUCAUGCUCUCCUAUAUUUAGGUGGCUUAUAUCAUAUCGGAAACGAUGUGGUUUUUCAACAUGUGCUAUCUUUUUCAUUGUGCAUUAGAAUACUUUGGAAAUUGAUGAAUUAGUUCUGUUAACCAUAUCAUAGGUUAUUCGUGCAACUGAGACACAAGUUCUGGUGGCUAUUCUUGGAAAAGACCUUACUCUGGCUGCCGAGCUCGUGAGUGAGUUGUGGAAUGCCAAAAUAAAUGCCGAAUUCAAACUCACCAAGAGGGUGAUGAACCACAUUACCUAUGCCAAGCAGUCCGGCAUUCCUUGGAUGGUGCUGGUUGGUGAAUCCGAACUGGAAAAAGGCAUCGUCAAGUUGAAGAACAUCAAAGCAAACCAAGAAGAGGAGGUCCCCAGGAAAACCUUUGUUGAGGAGCUUCAAAGAAGGAUUAACAGUGCUUGAUAAAGCUACUAGACAACAAUAUAAGGGGGGACAAGUGCAUGUGUACAUAGCAUUUUUUUCGACCGAGUGGCCUCAACCAUUUUGAUCAUUUGGCAAUUUAAUUCAAACAGCCAAAAUAUAGAACAGCAGAAAAAAAAAGGGAAAGUUAUUCAAGUCUUGCGUGAUUGGAUCAAAUGAUAGAGAAUUGUGACAUAUUACCUUUUCAUGCUGGGGUAAAUGGUGCAGGGCUUCUCGAGGUAAAGCUGCUUGUUGCAUUCUGAGCUUAGAAAGCCCAUUUUAUUUCUCAAUCUCUUAACAUAUGUGGUUUUGGCUUUACUUUUUAUUUGUUCUUCAUCUUUCUUUCAUCUAUCGGUCAUAACUUAUUUACUGGAUAUUGCAUGUCUCGCUUCGGGUGAAAUAUAUGUAAAACUUUUUUGUUAGCAUAUAAUGAUAUAACCAGAGUUUCUUAUUGUUGGGUAACCCGAAAUGUAAUACAGUUAUUGCCAUGUGAGUUAAACAGAUGGCUUCUUUACUUGAUUCUCACUUGUUUGUCAGAUUUCAUUUGCUACAGCAAAUAGUUAUGUGCUGCUAAGUAUUAUUUCUGUUUCCUGAUUAGAUAUGUUAUUGAUUGGUAUUUCGAGAGUAGUGAAGAAAAGAGGAGGCAAGAUGCCAUUACUAAAGAGAAUUUCUAGAUAAGGUAUUCUUGUGAAAGCAGAGAUCUACGGUGGCUGAUAUUGCGUAAAGCAUUUCAAUUAAGAUGCGGUUUUUGUUCCAAAUUGACACUCGCAUGUGCACUGCAGCUGAGCUCAAAAUUGUGCAUAAUUUAAGAACAAACAUGCCCCCCCUCCGUUCAAGACCGUUCUGCUCGAGCUCGAGUUUGGUAAAGGAAUAAGCCGUGACUCAGAGAUCAUAGAAUUGGGCUGCAAACACAAGUUCAUCAUGAAAGCAGGAACAUCGUUCUACUCCCUUAAAUGGCCAGAAUUUCCACGGAAAAGAUGCUAUCAAACAAUACUUUGCUGAGAAUGAAGCUGCCAGAGAAGAACUACGGGUGAAGUUAAGAGAAAAAAUGAUGCAAAAUGAGUCGCAAAGAAUAAAGGAUCAGGAGAACUAUAUGAUUGACGGAAAUUUGGGAGCCGUUGUUUCAACGAAUGAUGAGGAAAACAUCACCGAGGUGGAGGCGUGAAGCAGCAGAGCAUCGAAUUCAGAUAUGCUACAUUAAAUCCAUAUAGCAUAUAUUUGGGAUGGUGAGCUCCGGCAUUAAUAUAAAAUAAAUCUUGCAUCUCAUCACGUAUAGCGCGAAAUUUUGGCUGGAGAUUAAUUGGCUGAAAUUGAGCACAGGAGAAAACAAGGUUGAGAUAAAUCUUCCAUCAUAUUGGAGUGUUUUUGUGGCUUAUAUUUGACUAUACUCAAGAUUGUGGUGAGGGGUGGUGUCAUUGAUAGUUUGUUUCACACCAUCAAGACAACAGAUCAAAUCAGGGUUAUGUGAGAGGCUUGUUAGAUUGAGAUAGUAACCGGAGACCGCCGGGCAAGUUACACUUAAAUGAGUUUUUUUACACUUUUUUGUAGUGCUAGGUACUUGUAAAAUAAAUUGUAAUCCAUAUGCGAUGGCUCCUGUUUAUCUUGUAACAGCUGCCUUGUUUGUGCAUACAGCCUUUCAUUUGAAAUUUUUUGUUUUUCUAGAUGUUUAUAGACCUCCUAUUAUGUUGGAGCUUGUGAUCUCCAGGAUGAAGUUACAGAAGCGAUACUGUUGGCAAAAUAAUUGAUAACUUUUGGAUUAAAAGAUUUAAAGAUAUUAGUAAUCUUACUUGUAUUGAGUAAUUCCAUAUGUUGUAACCAACAAAAGUUUCUACCCAAACUGAAAUUGAAAUCUCUUUAACAAGCCAUGAAUUUCGGAGAAAAUGACAAGUGCUCAAAAGCACCCAAAACGAAUGAAGGCCAAAGAAGUUCUUAGCACUGCAAAUGACAAAUUGUACAAAUUUCAAAUAGUUCCUGCAUUCUUAAAGAACAGAAACCAACAAAAAGAUGCAUAUGGUCUCUGCGAAGUACAGCUGCUAAAUUCUGGACCGUAAAUGUACUAACCACCAACAUCAAUAGAAUAAUUUGGUCGCCACUAAUUCCCGAGAAAGAAAAAUCUUCACACAAACAAAAAACAUCAAUACGACCGUACCCCACCAGACAAGUUAAACCUAGAACAGCCUGAGUGUGUCCUUUGAUAUUACGGUAGCUAAUACAAGAAAGUGUAGAACAGUCUCCUCCUUUGAACAAAACUGAUCUUUUUAAUCACACGCUUUUAUUCUGCAUGACACUAUCACGUAUCUGAAACCAUGCGAGCCCCGGCUGAGCGCACUGCUUCGAUUCUGGGAUUGAAACAAUGGGUCCCAGAAACAAGCGCCAUAAAUCGAGAAUAAUAGUAACAAGCAUAGCAGCACCUAGGGCAUCGACGGCUACUCUUGGUAAGUCCCAUGGUUCGCCAACCUUUUCAUCUAUCCUGGAUUUUGUUAAAGAAACAGAAAUAGUUAGAGAAAAGUGCAAAUUGGAAGAAAGUAAGCUUACUUUGAGAAUUGCACCAUACGAUAAAAGACACAGAUAGCAUAGCACUUACUGAAAGAAAAAAGUAAUAAAGUGAUCUAAAUCUAUCGAAAAUAAUUUUUUGCAACAGCUUUUCCAUAGACAAACCAUUAUUGAGUUAUAUCAUUAAGUAUAAUACAAAAUAAUGCUUGUCUUCAAGAAUACCAAAUUCUGCUGUAAUAUUCAAAAGUUUGUUGAAUUAGCCCCAAGAAAAUUUCCGAAAACCUCUUCAGAUGUACUCUUUAAAUUAUUUCCACACAUUAACUGAACAGGCUAGAAAAAUGGCCACACGAAGGAAAAUAAUUAUAUCACUUCAUAAGAGUCUUUCAAAAACUAAUUUUGCAGCAUAUUUAUGAUACAUAGAGACAAUAAGAGACAGCACAAUGAACUUAAUAGCACAUGGACUGGGAUACAGCCAUCAGAAAUCUGCAUAAAGUUAAGAAAUUUCAUGAUCAAAUAGUAAACUUCAGGUGAGAGUUUUACCUUAGAAACAUUGGAAAACUUACGAUGAAGUAUAUUGCAUAAAACAAUGAUCCUACUUUGUACAUUGAUGCCCGAUCAAUAAACUCGUAAUAUGGGAACUGCAACAAUACGCGAUAUUUAUAAUAAAAUCUCCAAAAUCAUGUGAAAGAAGCUGUUAUGUAUUUGGAAAGAGAUCAAGUAUUAGCACAGAGUAAUAGUACACGAGCAAUAUACGAACUCAACUAUUUAACUAAACCUAAAAGGGAUAGGGCUUGAUCUAUUCAUGAUUUCAACAGUUAAUAGAAACAAAACUGUAGAGACAAAUUGAGAAAAAAUUUUACAUGAACAUCAUAUGAUUUACCCUGAAAAUUCACCUGCUCAAGUUUGACUAUGUCUAAACCAAGGACUAAACUGCCGUGGCACGGAAUCGUGCCGGAAACUUGCCGGCACGGUGCGUGCCGAGUCGUGCCGAUACGUGCUAGUCAAAAAAAUUCUUGUGUGUCGACACAUAAUAACAUGAAAUAUUUAUUUUUUUUAGCAACAAAAUAUUCUAACUAUUUAUUAUGUUUUUUUUAUCACAUCUUUUGUACUUUAUUGAGAAAAUUACUUACUAAUUUAAAGAAUAGAGAGUUUUGAAUUGUGCCAUCGGCACGGGGUCUGUAUCGUGCCAAUAUCUUGUUGGCACGGUACGGCACGGUGGAUACGGCCCGUGCCUAAAACCUUGGUCUAAACCAAAUUGUUAGGAAUUGGGUGAAAAGUGGAUUGAAAUGAGAGAACCAAAAAAGAAAAAAAAAAAAGGAGUCUAGUUUAGAAAGGGUAAACGAAGCCUCAAGAACGAGGGAAUAGUCGAACAAAAUCUCUCUUAACCACAAUGAUGAAAGCUAUGUAGUGUUGGUUGCAUCGGCAUUUGCUUUUGCUUGGUGCCAGCCUCAGGAAACAUUAGUCGUACAUUAAGAAUUACUCUUGAAUGUAUGACACUUCCUCCAGUGGAGUUUUUAUUGUGAGAUCUGUAGAAAUAUUUCAGCCCAAGUUAUGUACGCUAUGUCCAAAAAAAUCUGCACGACCUGAUCGUUCCAACAAUUUGUCACAAAUGUAGAUAAACUUUGCAUAUAACUAUGAACAAGCAAUAAAAUUAAAUUGGAAACUCUUGAAUAAAUGGUAUAACUUGCAACAUACAUUUGCAAUAGCUAGAGUCUCCAAGUAUGCAAUGAAAUAUGAAAGGGCCAAAAUCCAAGCUGCUUCAGUGAAAAAUUGAAUAGACUGUGGUAAGCCAGCAAUGGAAUGGCACAAUCUACGUAGUGUCAUAUUUGAUGCGACAUGGUAAAAUAGGAAGCAAGCAUGAGUCAGAAGGAAUGUAGUAUGGGGAACCUGUCUUGCCAAAAGAACACAAAUGAGCAAGAUACUUAAGGCCAGUUAAAAGGAAAUAGAAAUAAUAUGAAUAGCUUAAUUCAAGAAAUUAAUACUAUAUCUGCAAGAUUAGCGAAAUCAAUAUGCAUUAAAAAAAAAAAAAGAAAGAUAAUGUCGUAGUCACCAGUAUCUCAAUAAAUGAUAUGAUUAGACUAGCCAGCAAACUUUGAACACUGAUAUUGCAUGCAAAUUAUAUACAUCUAACUGUUCUAAGUAAGAAGAUGGUAUAUUCAGUAAGGACCACAAAAUAUCACCAUAAUUUAGUAAAUCUGGUUAAUCAUAGAUAGGCAAUAUUUGACCUUUGUUUUGAUAUAAACAUCCUCAACGUGAUAAUAAUACAUGAACAACUAUAUUAAGAAUAGAUGCAUAUAAGCCAAGGUCCAACUCCAGAACUGUGCAACAAACUCAUAACCACACAAAUGUUUACCAUCUAUGUAUCCACACUGGUCUGCUCCAAAGUGUCAGAGGACAUACAUAGAUGUAUAAAUAAAGCUACAGAAAGAAAAAAAAAGAGAAUAUAAAAUAAAACUUUUGGUGCUUACAUUAUUCAUCCUCCAUGAUGGAAAAGUAUAUGACGCUCCAAGUACAGUGAAAAAAUAAUGAGUCCAAAAGUAGUUUCCCACAUAACUGAAAAUUAUAAUCCAGAGAUUUGCCUGCAGAAAGUAAGCGACAAACAAUCAUGCAUGGAACAGAAGAAGUUAUUUGCUAACAGUUAAGUUAAGAAAUUUUUUCUGUAAAAAAAAUACAAAAGCUAUCUAUUAUUAAGAUUCCUCCAAUCCCUGUUUCUCACGUAUUUGAACAAAUAUACCUAUUAGAUCAAAAACUCCAGAAUGGCAAUUUAAAUUUAUUUUGUUGCUUCUACGCUUAGAGCAUCUUCUUUGCCUCCUCUUCUCCUCAUCCCCAAAUUCAAGUCUAACCCAAAACCAUAGAGCUGAAAUCAUUUGCCAGUACUGACCAUUGCUGUUUCAACAUAUUGAUGGUCAGGCAACAGCAGAUUAAGGGGAGCAAGGAGGGCAAAUGAAAUUCCGGAAACUUUGUAAACUUCUCUUACAUAGAAGAGGAAAGAAGUGGUUAUUAUCUAUGGGUAUGGUUUUCAACAUCAAUUAUGGCUAUAAACCAGUGAGCAUACAAUACAUCAUACAUGCUUAUUGAUCUAGGAAAGACAGCAGACAAAAAAAAAGGAAAAGGUAUAUCAGGAUAAAGUUUACCUUCACCCAGUAGCGAUCCUUCAAACUUUUGCCACUAUCAGCCUGCAAUAAAGACAAACAACCACAAUUCAGCACAACAUUUACCUAAGAAGGCCUUCCACAUAUGAAUGUGGGGGUUCACCAUUAAAGCAUUCAGAAUUCUAAGCUAACACUAGAAAUUUUUAGGGGUCCUAACAAUUUUUCAGCCCACUGAGCUCUGCUUGCUGAUUUGACUAACAAGAACUGUUUACUUGUAGUUAAUGAAAAUCUUCUGAUCCCUAAGUGGAGAGCAAAAACAAAGCAACUCCAGCCUUCUCUGUGGCCGAUAGCAUAGGUCGAGUAGUGCUUAGACAUUACCUUUCCCACAAGAAACAGUGGUAUCAGUAUAGCUGGAACAGCUGACACCAAUCCCAGAAUAAAGUAUUCCAACUCGGUGAAUCUCUGCAAUUAGGAUAAAUCUUAAUUUUAUUCAUCUCCAAUUUAGUAGAAGUAUAUAGAAGACGACUUAAAUUUGCGAUCCAAAAGCAAGCUAAAGACACUUAUACAUAGUUAUUGAUACAUCUGGAUGAGAUUUUGUUAGUACACUGAAAACAAGCAUAAAUCCAAGAAAUCAUAAUUGAUUCCUGCUCGGAAUCUACAGCUUAUUAUCAAUAUCGAAUUGGACAACGACAUUGGACACCUAAAAGGAACAGUUUUUUCCUUCAUAUACCAAAAUUAGCCAUUUUCCCAGCAACGCAACUAGAUUAAUCAACUAAUAAGAAGCAGAUAUUAUCAAAAUCAAAUAUUAGUAAAUGAGAUCGAUAAAAUCGCAACCUCUUUGUGAUUCGAACACCAAAUAGUACCACUCUUUUCCAUCCAAACACCAAAUCCACCCAUUUUCCCCGCAAAACAACCAAAUCAAUCAACUAAAUGGAACUAAAAAAAAUCGGAUCGGAGACCUCGUAGAGCUUGUAGGGGACGACGAUCCCGAGGCACAGGACGAGCCAAAAGGGGGUGUAGAUCAAGAAGAACGCCUCCCCCCACCUCUUGCUCGGAUUCGAAGCCAACCACAGGCUCUGCGACGCGCCGCUGCUCCGCCCCACCUUUCCUCGCACUCCGCGAACUGAGCCUACGAAAAAAUCGAGGAGAGAGAGCGUCGGAGAAGAACCCUAGGAGGCGAUCGCCGAUCGCCAUUAACGGGCCUCGGCGGGAGCGAAAGAGAGCGAGAGAGCUUCGAACUACGAGGACACGUGGCGUGUUUUUACCUGCCAUUGUGCUAUCGGGAUCUCCGACCACCCCGCGAAGCGGAUCUUGGCGCGAUCCUUACCCGCGUCUCCGCCGCCCGGAACCGCCGCCGACGCCGCCGCCCCCUGCAGUUGCCACUCGUCAAAAAUGAUCGAGGUAUUCGCCACCGCCACAGUUGCUGCAUCUACGGGUGAAAUGUAGAACAGUCCCUGUACGUUCCCUAUAUUUGAAAUUGGUUCCCGUUGAUCUCAUUUAAAUAAUUUUCUCUCCCAGUAAAGUAAUAACUAAAACAGAUGAUAAGUAACUACAUUGUCGUAACUUAUUAUUUGUUUAAUUCAAUCAGGAUUAAAUUUCUUUUAAUAUUCAAGGAGGAAAGUGUGUAAAUUAUUAUCAUUAUAAGGAUUAAAUUGUCAUAUAUCGAGAUUGUACAGGGACUAUGCCACAUGUUUUCACUGCCAGGGUUCUUCUCACUCUCGUUGACUAGCUGUGGAGACAAUGUUCCGGUGUGAUGCCACUUCCCCCGAAAGGAUAAUAUUGUCCAAUAGAAGAACGACACGUCUUAUCUUACACUGGACGCGUAGUUCGCGAAAUUAAAGCCACUAUACCUACUGCUGUAUGCUGUUACCGCAUGCUAGAGAAUUCCUUGUCUACCACGUCAUCCCUGGACCGUUCAGUGUGUGUAUGUAUAUAUGUGUGUGUAUAUAUAUAUAUAUAUAUAUAUAUAUAUAUAUAUAUAUCUGUGUGUGUGUGUGUGUGUUGAGCCCUGCUUAUUUGGUCGGGUUCGGGCACGCCAACAAACUACCGAACGGAUAGAGUCUCCUAUGUACGUUCUAGGCGUUGCAACCUGAACAAUGUAUGAGGUUCCAACCAGAAACACAUUUCAAGUAUAGAUUGCAUAAGAAAGUAUCAAAAACAUAAACAACUAAGUUAUUACAACAUUCAUCUUUAAACGCAUUUUACAACUCCAUUACAUUUUGCAACCUCCAAAUACAAUCUGAGUUACUAUAAUUUAUUACAUGUUCGAUACAUCUUGUUCUUUAAUAAAAACCCCUAAGUUAAGCUGACUCAGGGUGCUGCUACCUCGGUCUCUGGGGUAGGGCGCUAUCUACGGAGGUACGCCAUUUCCUCGCGCCGCCGCGCCGCUCACGUGUGAACCUGUAAAACCCCAAAGCAACGUGGGGUGAGAACUAACUCCAUAGUUCCCAAUGGGUAUGGCCACCCAAGGGAAAAGCUUGACCAAUAGGUCUAAUGAUGCACUGCAACAGGUUAGUCUAAUAAAUAUACAACAGAUAUAUAUUCAGGUAUUGAAAAAUAUGUUGUGCCUCACAAUAUGCAAUAUGAAAAUCAUGCAACUAACCAAGUAGAUUAACUAACUCUACUCUUUAUUCUUAGUCAUUCUUUACUCUUGACUAUUCUUUACUCUUAGCUAUUCUUUUCUCUUAACUAUUCUUUUCUCUUAGCUAUUCUUUAUUUUUUAUUUUUUGCUCUUUAUUCUUUAUUCGUAGUUGUAACUUACUCAUUGGCCACUCUUUUCUAAGGUUACUCUUACCUUAGUCCUCUAUGCCACCCGACUUGGUCUUGAGUCAAUCAACUGCGGAUAAUCCGCGCUCUGUCCGGCUCAAGGUGAAGGAACUCUCACAAGGAACUCAGCCUUCCACAGCCCACCGCACCUCCUGUCCUAGCUGUCUGGCGGCGAACGCAUCGCACCUCACCUAACAACGGCUUAGGUCAUGAUUUAGCAACCCGGCGGCGAAAUCGUCGCACACGCCUCGUCGAUGGUUCAGUCAACAGGCGGUAUGAUCCACAAACCGGCUUAACCAUCCGACGGCGAAAUCGUCGCACACGCUAUGUCAAUGGUUUAGCCCCGGGCGGCGAAAUCGUCGCACACACCCAACAUCACUCUCAGUGUUCCAAGUUUUGGGAUUUCGGAAUCUAUUUCCACAUAGCUCAAGGGUUGGUCUUAAACCUUAUAGUGUCGACCUAUCUAGGUCCAUGGUCCUUUCCAUCUUAGGUUCAAUCGACUCUAGGUUCAAUAUCUUUAUCACACAAUUUAGGUUUACUUGACUCUAGGUUCAACUCUCAACCUAUGUUCUUUAACACUAGGUUUCAUGCUACUUAUCAUCUCAACCUAUGUUUACUAACACUAGGUUCAAUGUCAUUCAUGUCCAACCUAUGUUCAUUAACACUAGGUUCAAUGUCAUCUAUGUCCGACCUAUAUUUACUAACACUAGGUUCGAUGCCACUCGAUCUAAUAUACAUAUGUCCACAUGCACAUUUCAAUUAACAUAAUCCUCUAUAUGUUAACUUGCAUCCAUCUAGCAUUAGCAUUAUGUCAUUAUGCAUUACCACUAGCAUGUUCUCUACUUUAUGUUAACAUGCAAAUGCCAUUUACCUUAUGCUUUUAACUAGCAUCGUUCAUAUUACAUCAUCAUGCAUCCUUUGAUAGCUUGCUUAGCAUUCACUUCAUGCAUUCAUACAUUUUACCACUAGCUAUCAUUAUAUGCAUCAAUAUGAAACCAUUACUCUUACACAUAGAGGCGACCUAGUCGCUUCGGUAAGCACAACCCACCUCAAUUCGCACUUCGAUUGCUUGUCGUCACUUGCAAUCGGCCUCCCGCAGCACCCGUUGCCUGGUUCGGCCCGUACUCACACUGGACCACCAACCGGCCACCAAUCCAAAAUCCGGAAGUUGUUCGAUCAAUAACUUGAUGCCACGAUCCUCCGGAUCCGUUCUCGUGAUUUUUGGACUCCUAUUUCAGGAGUUCCGUCGAUCUGUACCAAAUUAGAGCCAAAUUAGGCUUUUUACCAAGAACCAUUACCUAGUCUUUUCGUUUCUUCGAACCGAGCGCACCAACGCGUCGAAAAUACCCCAAAUUAGAUUUCCAAGAGGUCAAUUUACCUCGAAAACACCCGGAGACAAAAGCUCUAUUUUUGGUGCUCUGACAAAGCCAUAAUCCCAAUCUUUGGUUUUGAUCUUUAGAACAAACAAAAGAGAGCUUGUUUAACAUCUAAGAACUCAUUUAGAACCAUUCGAACGAUUCCUAGGGCGUUUAGAAUAAACUCUAGAAAUCUACCAUUAGAGCACCUUGAAGAACACAUGGUUUUCAUGUGUUUCCAAGUCUCUACAAGGUUCUAAAGCUUGCAAGAAUAUCAAAACUCUAGAUCUUAGGGUAGAAAUCUAAACCCUAGAUGUAUUCUUCCAAAACAGCUCACCUUAGCCUAAGUUCUUCCAAGACCACCAUGAAGGAGAGCUUCUUGAUCUUUCAAAACCCUCAAAAUGCCAUCUCCAAGCCUUCUUCUCCUUCUCCUUUGCCUUGGUACAAAACUUCUAGAGAGAGAGAGAGGGAGAGAAAAUGGGAGAGGAGAGGGCUGCUGUGAAGGAGGAGAGGUUUGGUUGCAUAUAUAGUGUGCAACAUUUGCAAAUAAGCCUCCCAAAAUUUCAUAAUUGCAGCAGACCUAAUUUUGCUGUCGGGUACACUGUGUACCGGUACACUUUGCUUGUGUUACCGGUUACACGAUCUCGCAGAGGCAAACCUGAGUGCAAUUUCUCGGUUUCGUGGCAUUUUGUACCGGUACACUUUGAUUUGUACCGGUACACUUUCAGCCAACCUCAACCCGAGAGCAGCUCCUCUCGGUCCGCGUAUCUGUACCGGUACAGAUACACCCUUGUACUGUACACUUGCUCCAGACUUGAUUUUGACUUCGACUCGACUCUAUUUCGCGCUGGUUGCUAAAACCUUUCUAACUCCUUCGGAACUCAUUUUUAACCCUUCCAAUACUGUUGGAAUGUUAAACAGGUUUUGUCCAACUAUUUCUUUCGCGUACUUUAGUCAAUUUGGCUAAGGUCCAAAUGUAGCUACCGGGGUUUCGGUAUGUUACAAUAUGUGUGUGUGCAUAUAUGUGCGUGUAUAUAUAUGUGAGUGUGUGUAUAUAUGUGUGUGUGUGUAUAUAUAUAUAUACAUAUAUAUAUAAAGUAGGGCUACUGUGCUAUUAGGAGCACAGCAGCCCUUGUGUCCCUAAGUUCUUAACCACCCAUCAAAUUUGAUGGGUGGUUAGGGUGAAAGAAAGAAGAGAAAUUAGAGAGAAAUUCAAAGAGAAAAUUAAUUUCUCUUCAAUUUCUCUUCUCUCUUUUACCCUAACCACCCAUCAAAUUUGAUGGGUGAUUAAGAACUUGCACAAGGGCUGCUGUGCUCCUAAGGCUUGUGGAUGCUUUCAAAGAAAUGCAAAUUGCUGAAGAGGCCUUACCAGCUGAAAAUGGUGAUUUGGUUCAUGAGGUACUCAGGGUUGUUUUAUGUAUUCUUUGUUGAAGUUUAAUGCUAGAGCUAUUUUGAUCCUCUUUGCACAAUGCACAACUUUUCUUGGAAGGUGCUACAAAUACGUAAUAAAUCAUAUGUUUGCAGGUGAUGAAAGAGAAAGGCGAUGAGGAAUAUCAGGAAAAAGCCAUUGAAGUUGACGCUGAUGGUUCCGCAGAUGGCAUUAUCACUGUAAACGGGAAUGAGGAUGAGGAAUGAAGUUUUUGUUUGUUCCUAUUACGAUUAAUAAUUCACUGUGAAUAAAAAAGUGAUGAAGUUUUUGUUUGUUCCUAUUAUUCCCUGCUUAUACAAUAGUAGAGAAUUUUUUAUUUCUUAAUUGGGAUUAGCAUUGUUGAUUGAAGUUUAUUAAUGUUGAAACAUUUUAAUAUUUUUGUUCAUUAUUGCAAAGUUUUCGUAUUGGCGUGUUUAUUUGGUAUUNGAAUAAAAAAGUGAUGAAGUUUUUGUUUGUUCCUAUUAUUCCCUGCUUAUACAAUAGUAGAGAAUUUUUUAUUUCUUAAUUGGGAUUAGCAUUGUUGAUUGAAGUUUAUUAAUGUUGAAACAUUUUAAUAUUUUUGUUCAUUAUUGCAAAGUUUUCGUAUUGGCGUGUUUAUUUGGUAUUUCAUAAUUUACCGAUGUUUUGGAGUGUCGGUGUUUGUUUAAAUUAACGACUCUUUUUAGAGUCGGUAAUAUAUUAGAAUUUUAUAAUUUAUCGAUACUUUGAAGUGUCGGUAAUUAUUUAAUUUAACGACUCUUUUUAGAGUCGGUAAUAUAUUGGUAUUUCAUAAUUUACCGAUGCUUUGGAGUGUCGGCAAUUGUUUAAAUUAACGACUCUUUUUAGAGUCGGCACCUAACAUAUUACCGACUCUAAAAAGAGUCGGAAAAAAGUUUCCCGACGCUAUGUUAAAGCGUCGGUAUAUAUAUCCCGACAUGUUUAUUUAACGACUCUUUGUCCGACGCUUUUACAAGCGUCAGUGUUAUUUUUCCUGACGCUUUAAAGCGUCGCUAAUUAUUAUUUAAAGCGUCCUUAAAUGUAAGAUUUGUUGUAGUGACAUGCUACCUAUCUCUCAAAAAAAAAUAAAAUAAACCAAAGCGAUUUGCACAAUAUGCUACAUUUGUGAAAAUAACUGGAACAUUUUUUAUUUUACUUUUUUUAUCGUGUGUAAUGUCAAAUUACUUGCAGUUCCAAAUGGAGCCCCUUCAAAUAGAACUUUAUUGACCGAGAGGCUGUUUGCUCAACUUCUUGCCCCACAACCAGCUGAACUCAAAAGACUAAUCUUCGUACACUUGUGAAUGAGAAAUUAGGUGUUCUCGCAAAUUUGAUGCCCACUACAAACAGCGAGCUUCUCGAGGUCGUGAGUUUGACUUUCAACUUCCAAGCAAACAAGUAUAUUAUAAAUUUUUAUAGUAGUAUGCCUUAUUCUUGUUGGAUUAUGUGAAGUCACGUUUCAAGACAAUACAAAAGGAAAAAGUGGAACAUUUUGAGGUUUCUCGAUGUUAAGUACUGAAACUAAUAUUUGAGCAUUGAAACUCCAAGGAGUACUAAUACUUAGGAUGAAGUUAAUUAGAACCUAAGGCUAUGUUUGGUCAGGACGAUAUCCCAGGAUAAUAGGGGAAAUCCUCUUUUAUUCUGCCAAACAGCAUUACAAAUGUUUAGAACUGAUUGUUCCGGAUUUAACGGGUUAUACGGGAAUAGCCUGUUCAGCCUUGUUCUCACGCAUCUGUGGAACAAGAGGGAACAAUAAAAAUUACCCAUUUCACUUCCUUAGAUGCCCAUCUUUCUCUCUCAUCGAACAAAUUGGGAAAUAAAUAAAAAAGCUUUCCAGUAGAUUUUUUUAAGGUGGUUUUUAAUUUUUUAAAAAAUUAUAUUUAAAAUUAUAUAAUUAUAUAUAAUAUUUUAAUUAUUUGUCAUAUUAUAAAAUUAAAACUAUAUUUUCAUAUUUAAAUUUACAAUUACAUCUUUAUAUAUUAAUUUUAUUAGAUAAAUAGAUAUGUAAAUAAAUAUAUUAAUAUAAAUAUUAUCUUUAUGAUAAUAUAUUUAUACUUAAAUUUAUUAUACAAUAUAAAUUGUUAAUUUGAUGUGUUAUUUAUUUUAUUAAGUUUUAUCCUUUAUAUAUUAAUAUUUAAUUAUUUUAUUUUAUAUUAAGUAUUAUAUAUAUAAAUUAUUUUUUCAUAUAUUAUAUAUGUAUUUUAAUUUGUAUUGAAAUUUAUACUAUUAUUAAUAAAAAUUAUAAGGAUAUUGUUAGUAUUAUACUUUAUUCAUUACAUAUAUUAUGAAUAAAUUAUAUAAAUUAAAUUAUUACAUAAAAUAAAUUAUUAUAUAUAAUAAAAUAAAUAUACUAUUUUAAAUUAAAUUGUUGUAUAAAAUAUUAUAUUAUAAAUUACUAUAUAAAAUAAUUUUAUAAAUAAUUUAAUAUAAAUUAAUUAUUUCAUUUUUAAAUAUAUAUUUAGACAUUGUUUUAGACUUUUCAUCCAAAUGCUACUAAGGAUAUGCUCUAGAAUAUCCCCGAACGCAUCCAAACACAAAUUUACAAUUGUUUUAUUUUGUACCGGAAUAUUUUUUAUUAUGGGGAACAACAAAAGUUGUUCUCCAAAAUUUAGUUCUCCAAUCAAAUGCAUCGUAGUGCACUUUGGUUCGGGUAUAAGCAAGACCUAGCUAUUACAGGGAUAGGUACAAGUAUGAGGAUAAGAAAAAUAGCGUUUGGAUGAAAUUUGGGUUGUUCCCGAUGAUAAAAAAAAUAGCGUUUGGAUAGAUAAUAUGGAAUAAGAAAAAUAGUGGAUAGUUAUAUAUAGAAAAUAGAGGUAUUGAUGGGGAUAGUUAUAUCAGCUUAUUUCAGAUACCCGAGAACUAUUAGCGGGUAAAUACUUAGCGUUUGGGUUUAAAGGGGGAUAAGGGGUUAUUUCACCCAUUAUCCCCAAUCCAAACGGGGCAUUAUUGGCUAAGUUGACAAACGUGCACCGGUAAUCAUUUGCAAGUACUAGUACAUUAUAUACCAGAGCAUUGCAAGUACAAUACUCAUAAUUUUAGCAUCGUUACUUUAGUCCAUGACAGACUGGUUAAAUUGGAUUCAACUCCAACUUAACCAAAUGCUUGAUACUAUUGAUAGUAUAGUAGCCAAACUAUAUAUACUAGUGUUGAACCCGCGCUACGCUGCGGGCAAUUUUGACGCUAAUAUUCUGAUGUAAAUUUUAAAACAGUUUUGAUCAUAUGUAAUUAAGAAAAAGGAGGAAAAGAAGAGAAAAAAAAAAUGGAAUGACAAUGUGUAUCUCAUACUUUCACAGAUUGUAAAAGUGAAAAGCUUCUAUUCAUCUAAACCUAAAUUAUCAUAAUCUCCGAACGAAAUUCAGUGGCAACAUCAAAACUGUGAAAUACAGACAAUCUGUAGUAACUCAAGUAGAUGGAAAGAAAAAGAUGCAAAAAGAUGCUUCUUGCAACAAAAAGAGUGAUCAAACGUUAAAAUGUGUCAAGAAUAAACUCAAAUAGAAGCCAAUUUUAAGUUAACAUAAAGUAUAAUAAAAACAUGUUUAUUUUCGGGUUAGCUUAGGUAUGCGAAAUAACCUGGAUGCAUGCUUAGGUAUGUGAACGUUGAUGCUUAGGCAUGUGAACAACUCUGCAAAGAAAAGCUGCAGCAAAUCACCAGCAAUUGCAGAUAGCCUAUCUGUGAAUAAAAAAACAGCGGAAUAUUAGCCUGAAAGACUGGAAGAAAAGUGAAAAAUCCAUACAUAUCUCAAAAAAUUCGGAGUGCAACGGGAAAACAACAAAGCAAUCAAAACAUCCAUUAUAUGACGAUAAAUAUAAUGUAAUAUGCAUGUGUAUACACAAAGCAACGGAGGCUCAGAAUGGAUUAGAACUCAGCAAAAGUAUCUGUAGGCCCCUAGAAUUGGUCGGUCUAUACAUAGGCUGUAGGGAUUGCCCAGAAGGCCGUUCAUCCUACGGUGCCAUUAAGUAGAAAUCUAGUAUAGAAGCACGCUCAUAAGCUGCAGGGAUUGGCAAGCGCGCCAUUAAUACUGCCAUGCCAUUAUGUAGAAAUUCAGCAGAGAAGUAAUAUGUGGGAAUUGCUUGUAUCACCAUCACCUGCCAUUAAAGGGCUAUGCAAGUGGCCACAAACCGAGGGAAGAAGCUAAUAUACAGUAAUUAUCCAUAUCAUCAUCGCCUCAUACAAAAAAGCAAUUAAAAGAAAUUAUAAAAAAGAAUCAUAUAAUUAUAAAAAAAUAUAUCAUUACAUCAGGCUCAUACCAAAAAGCAAUUAAAAGAAAUUGUAAAAAAGAACCAUAUAACAUAUCAUUACAUCAGGAGACCAAGCUUAAAAGACAGGAAAAGAGUCAGAAAAAAUUGGCCAGUUUUAGUUGAGAUGAAAAAAAACAAACACAGGAAAAGUUGCUGAUUCACUAAUAUCAUUCUUGUUGAGCUAUUGAUAAUAUUGUGCAUUUUAAAGUUAUCACAGGUUUUCUUUUUUAUUUUCGCAUGCUAUAGUAGCAUAUAUUUUCCCCCAAGUCAUUUUUCUUAGAGAUAAUUUGCUAUAUACCCCUCAUACGUUUGGAAAUAUCCGAUUUACCCUUACUUUUUUUUUCUUUCUAAAAUACCCCUCAUAUGUUCCACCGUUAUUGCAAAAUACCCCUAUAGUUAUCUCAUGUUAAGUUAACCAGGAUUAAACGUGAGUUAAAUAUCUACCACAGUUUAAAAAAAUUAAAAUGCCAAUUUUGCCCUUAACUUAAGGGCAAAUAAGAAAGGUUGGUGACGGUAGAGGGGUAUAUUGAAAAAAACCAAAAGUCAAAAUACUUUUUGUGCUCCUGACUUUAAGGGCAAAUAAGAAAGACAGUGAUGGUGGAAGGGUAUAUUUGAAAGGGCAAAAUAGUAAUUUUACAGAGAUAACAGAGUUAUUUAACAGAUUUUAACUCUAGGGGUAUAUUAGAAAUAGGUUGGAAUGUAGGAGGGGUAUUUUCAAUAUUAGCCUUCUAAGAGGGGUAAAUCGAAAAAUCGGAAACUUUUCAGGGGUAUAUAAGCAAUUGCCCCUUUUUCUUAUCUUCUAUGUUAUGUAGUCUUAGAACAUUAGCAAAAAAGCAAGGAUAACCUCAAAUAGUUUAGUAAAAAGCAAAUAUAAGUCCGAACAGUGCUACAACCGGAAAAAAGCUACUACAUUAGUAUUCAAGUUCCAUUGCCCUUAGCCAUAAUUUCAAACCCAAACAUAACUAUUUGUAUGUAAAAUUCAGCAGAAUAAAAUCAAGGUUAAAAGACAGGAGAAGAGCAAGUUGGAAUUGACCAGUUGCGGGAACUGUUAAAAGAACAAAGCAAUAUAAGCAUUCAUCAAUUACAUAUAUGUAAGAGCAAGUUGGGAUUGACCGGUUUCAAUUGAAAUGGGUAAAAGUAGACAUAGGGGACAAAGUAAUAUAAGCAAUCAUCAAUUACAUAUAUGUAAUCUGUAUAGCUUGGACUUUUAAUUGCUUUUUGGUAUAAGCCACAUCUGGAAACUAUUUUUUUAUUCGUGGAAAAAGGAAAUGCUGCCAUGUAUACAUGUAAAGCUGUCAAUUAAUCUAUUUGUAUGGAAAACAUAUCAUUACAUCAUGCUUAUACCAAAAAGUAAUUAAAAGAAAUUGUAAAAAAGAAUCAUAUAACAUAUCAUUACAUCAGGAGACCAAGCUUAAAAGACAUGAGAAAAGGUAGAAAAAAUUGGCGAGUUUCAGUUGAGACGGAAAAAAGCAAACAUAGGGAAAGUAUUCGAAGAAUGGAGCAACAUAAGCAUUCAUCACUCAAAGAAUUCAUCAAUUACAUUAUUUACAAGCUAUUAUGCAAACACUAAUGUCACUAUAAACUAUGUUAUGUAGUCUUAGAACAUUAGCAAAAAGCAAGGAUAACUUCAAAUAGUUUAGUAAGAAACAAAUAUAAGUUCAAAUAUUUCUACAACCGGAAGAAAGCUACUACAUUAGUAAUCAAGUCCCAUUGCCCUUAGCCAUCUACAUCUUUUCAUCUAUAUCUUUAGGUAACAUGCUACUGGAGGAAAGGUACUUACUUUAUUAUUGAAGUCCCAUUGUCCUUUGUCAUACUUCUUUGAUUAACUCUCCUGAAUAUAGUAAACAUAAUGCACCAUUACCUCAAAAUACUCUAUUUAUUUGGUCUUUACUCUGGGAGUCAUAUUUAUUUUCAAGUUUAAAUUCACAUAAUUACAAAAAAAUGAACAGAAAGAAACACAUGCCAAUAAGUUAGCCACAAAAUGGUUAAAUCCACAUAGUGCUUAUCUUACAACAAUGUAAGCGUGAUAUCUCGAGAAAUGCAGUAAAAAAAUUCAUUAGCUGUCCUAUAGAGCAAUGUUAUAAGCAGGGGCAAAUACUUUAGUAUCCUAAUUUUCCUCUACCAACAUUUAAACUGCAGGGAAAUAAAAAGUGCAACAAAAGGGACCAGAGAAGAUCAACCUUUUGUGAUUAAGCAGUAAACAGGAGAGUAAUGUGGGGACCUAUACAAUAGUGCAAUGGUUAGCAAAAUCAGUGGGUUACAGUUAAUAUUAUUAAUGAGAAAAUUUGAAGAUGGGAAUAUACCUAUCUUGGUUUGAGGAGGACACUGACAUGUAGCAAUUAAUGAAGGGAGGUAUUUAUAAUAAAUUUGAGAGAACCUUUCGACUAUCACAGAAGGAAAUAGGGAAGGUAACAGGGCUAAGUACAAGGUCAAAAUAAUAAAAAAAUUUAAAAAAUCUUUGGGAACCGUCAACAGAUUUGUAAAAAAUAGUAAAAAAAUCCCAGAAAAAUUCAAAUGCAGAUUAGCUCAGAGCAACUAUCCAAUGGACAGAGUAGGUCUCACCAGAUCUGUAAAAAUUUUUUGUAAAUCUCAGCAGAUCACCCAAAUCAUGAAAAAAAAAAGGCUAGGUUUAAGCGGAGGAGCUACCGCCCAAUCGAGAGAGAGUUAGCGAGAUCUUACCAGAUCUGUAAAGAACCAACCCAAAUCAUGAAAAAAUAGGCUAGGUUUAGGCGGAGGAGCAACCGGCCAAUCGAUGGGCUUAUCUGACAUGCGUCCGAGGCAACUGGCGGAGCGAUCGAGAGAGGCCUCGAGGUAGGCAAAGAAGAGAGAGAGAGUUAAGGAGAUCUCACUAGAUCUUGCAAGAACCUACCCAAAUCAUGAAAAAAUAGGCUAGGUAUAGCCCCAGGAGGAACAACCCAAUCGACGUGUCGGUGGGCUCAUCCCACAGGCAACCGAGGCGACCGGCGGAGCGAUCGAGAGAGGCCUCGAGGUAGGCGGAGAAGAGAGAGAGUUAGGAAAAUCUCACCAGAUCUGUAAAGAGCCAACCCAAAUCAUGAAAAAAUAGGCUAGGUUUAGCCCCAGGAGGAACCGCCCAAUCAACAGGCUAAUCCCACAAGCGGCCGAGGCAAUCGGUGAAGCUCGGAGUAGGGAAGGGAGAGCGAUUAGUUAGAAACCGCCCAAUGGACGGCCUCAUCGCACCUGCGGUCGAAUCGAGCGGCGGAACGUUCGAGAGAGGCGUGGAGAGAGGCCUGAGAAGAGGCGUAGAGGAGAGAGGGAGGAGAGAAAGGGGCAGUAGAGGGCGUGGAGAGGCUUGAGAAGAGGUGUACAGGAGAGAGAGGAAAGAGAGAAAAGAGGCAGAGGAGAAGAGAGAGAUAGAGAGAAGCCUCGGAAGAGGCGCGAGGGAAAAUGAGAGAAAUCUGAAAACCUUUUUUUAUUCGUUAAAAAAAGAAAAUGCUGCCACAUAUACAGAGGAGAAGAGAAGCCAAGAGCCAUAUCGUUUUUCUAUUCGUGGAAAAGGGACCCAUAUCUGGAAACUAUUUUUUUACUCAUGAAAAAAUCUGGAAACUAAUUUUUUAUUCGUAAAAGAAAUGCUGUCACGUAUAUAUGUAGAAUUGUGAAUUAAUCUAUUUGUAUGGAUAUUUAAAUUUUUCGAGUCUAAUUCGAGCGAGCCCAGUAAUACUCAAGCUCGAGUUGAAAUAAAUUUCAAAUUUUUUUUUCCGUUCAAACCCGGCUAAUUUAAUUUCGAGUCGAACUCGAGUAAGACGAAUAUCGAGUCGAACACAAGUCAAGCACAAGCCAGCUCCUUAUUUGCCCGCCCUAUACAUUGCACCCCUAAAAAUAUUUUUAAAUUUUUAGUCUAAAUAUAAAUUUUUAAAAAUAAAAAAAUAAAAAAAGAUAUUUGUAGAGAGAUUUUUUACAAUUUAGCCUUUUCUACAAAUAAUCUUUCAUACUUAAAAUGUAUUUUUCCUUGUUGUAUUUAACAUUAUUUUUUAUUUCUUAUAUUUUCAUUCUAAUUUUAUAUUAUUUUACACAGAUCAUACAUUAUACUAUGAAUCAGAACAAAAAAAAUCUUGAAAAAUUAUUUUUUUAUAAACAAAUGGCAGCUGCUAACUUUUGUAUAAAUAAAUUUAGCAUAUUUUAGAAAUUCAGAUAAAUACAUAUUAUAAUUAGAUAUGGAACUUUAUACACAUAAAUUCUUAAAUUUAAAAUUUUUAGAAUAAAACUUCAAGUAUUAUCUAUGUGGUUUCGUACUUUCUCACUUUAGUAUCUCAUGGUCUAAUUAUAAUUUUAUUUUUUCUUUUUGUCAACUCAUCCAUUAAUAUUUCGUUAAAUUAUAUAUAAAAAACUUUAGCUAUUCUAUCUAGAUUUAUUAAAUAUUUAUUUUAGUAUCUUUAGUUUUAACUUUUUUACUGAUUUAAUAAAUAAAUAAAUAAAUAAUAAAAAAAUUAUAAAGUAUUAUCAUAUGUUACUAAAGUAAAAAAAUAUAAAAUUAUACCGGUGGUAAAGUAUUCCAAGAAGAAAAUAGAACGAGCUGUGAGCUCUCUUCCUAAUAAACCCUCCCAUCGAGAUUCUUACUGCCCCCUCUCCGACCCAUCUCCCAUGGCUAAUCCUUUAACUCGUUAUUAGGGUUUCUUUUUCCCCUUACUAAACCUCUUCCAGUUCGUCUCCGCUUCUUUGAUCCCCCUUUCUCCUCGAUCUAGGGUUUCGGUUUCGAUCCAUCAAUGGCGUCCGGGAACAGCGGCGCCCCGUCUAGGGCUCUCGGCGGCCCCUCCCCUCUCGGCAACCCCGCAGCGGCGUCUCCCGCAGCGGCUGCGGCUGCGGCGGCGGCGGCGGCGGCGCAACUCUCGCAUCUCCGGCCGCCGUCGCUUCCCCAAAUCCCGGGCUCAUCCUCUUUCCAGGGCCUCUUCAACUCCCCACCGCCCUCUCAGCCUCCGCUCAACUCCCCCUUCCACAUCCACCUCGGCUCCGGCCCCCAAAACCCUAACCCCGGCGGCGCCCCCAUGGGCUCCUCCCCGUCCUUCUCCACCCCCGGCCUGUCGUCGGGCCCCAAGCGACCCCCCACGAAGCCCCCCGCCCGNCGCCCCCAUCCCCGCCUUCAAGACCGCCGACCUCACCCCCGCCGCCCGGCGCAAGAAGCGGAAGCUCCCCGAGAAGCAGCUCCCCGACCGCGUCGCCGCCCUCCUCCCCGAAUCCGCGCUCUACACCCAAUUGCUCGAAUUCGAGGCCCGCGUCGACGCCGCCCUCGCGAGGAAGAAGAUCGACAUCCAGGAGGCCCUGAAGAACCCUCCUUCCUUGCAGAGGACUCUUCGGAUCUACGUCUUCAACACCUUCGCCAACCAAACCCGCGCGAUCCCCGAUCCCAAGAAUGCCGAGCCGCCGCCGUCCUGGUCGCUGAAGAUCGUCGGGCGGAUCUUGGAAGACGGGGCCGAUGCCGACCCGGCCGCAGGCCUGCCCAAACCUAACCCCAUGUACCCGAAGUUCUCGUCUUUCUUCAAGCGCGUCACGAUCCAAUUGGACCCGGCUUUGUACCCGGACAACCCGAUGAUCGUCUGGGAGAACUCCCGCUCUUCCGUGCCGCAGGAAGGAUUCGAGGUGAAGCGAAAGGGGGAUAAGGAGUUCACUGCUAGCAUACGGCUAGACAUGAAUUACAACCCCGAGAAGUUCAAGGUUUCCCCUGCACUGAUGGAGGUUCUUGGAAUCGAGGUUGACACCCGCGCGAGGAUCAUAGCCGGUGUAUGGCAGUAUGUUAAGGCCAAGAAGCUUCAGAAUCCCAGUGACCCCUCUUAUUUCACUUGCGACCCGCCUUUGAGGAAGGUGUUUGGAGAAGACAAAUUGAAGUUUGCUAUGAUUUCCCAGAAGAUCUCGCAGCAUUUGAUUCCUCCUGCACCGAUUCAUUUGGAGCACAGGAUUAGGCUUUCGGGGAACGGGGCUGUGGGGAACGCGUGCUAUGAUGUGCUCGUUGACGUUCCUUUCCCGUUGCAGAAGGAGAUGUCCGCCUUCCUGGCGAAUACGGAGAAGCAUAAAGAUAUCGAAGCUUGUGAUGAGGUGAUAUGCGCUUCUAUUAAGAAGAUUCACGAGCAUCGUAGGAGGAGGGCAUUCUUUCUUGGGUUCAGUCAGUCUCCUGUCGAGUUUAUCAAUGCUUUGAUAGCCUCUCAAAGUAGGGACUUGAAACUUGUUUCCGGGGAAGCGAGCCGGAAUGCUGAAAGGGAACGCCGUGCUGAUUUUUACAACCAACCUUGGUAAGAUUCUAACUUUCUUGUGUUGGGGAUUUGUUAAUUUUCUCGGGUAUGUUUACUGAUUUUCCUUCUUGUGGUGGUACGUUAGGGUGGAGGAUGCUGCGAUAAGGUAUCUGAACCGCAAACCAGCUGGUGGUAAUGACGCUCCAAGUAGCACAUUGUAGAAGAUCGAUGUACUGCUUUUGUGAAGAAAACAACUGGAUUAUCAUACAUGCCGCCAAGUAAGUUGGUCAAGAAGAAUGUAUACAUGCUAUUGAAAAUGCUCCAAUGGUCUGUUGACUUGGGAGCCCUUAGAUAUGUUAAAUUCUUUGCUGCUUUAUUUGCAUCUUCCGCUAGUGAUCGAUAGUAGUUCAAAUCUCAUUUAUCGCCAUUAAGAAAGUGAAGGUAUUAACCUAAAUCAGUAGUGUUCUGUUCCUUUCUUUUUAAUGUUGUUGGCAAGUGGUUGUAAGUCAGUUUGUGAUAUUAUCUUUUCAAAGUCCACAUGCGAAUCAAAUUCACACAGUAUAUAUUUUUAAUAUUUUGAAUAUUUUGAGCUUCAAGUGAUGACUUGCGCCUUAUUAAGAUGGCAGUGAUAUAUUUACUGGUUCUACAACAUUAAGUAUUUAGCCUUGCAUUGUUAUUUUAAUUUAUUAUAGUGUUUUUAUUGUGGGGUCAUUGACAUGAAGACCUGGUAAUGCUGAUUUUUUUCAGUCUACCAACUAUUCUUGAUUCUGUGUGCUGCCUUGCCAAUGAAUUUAUUCUCAUGAGAACCCUCAGCCGUAAAUGUUGAUCGUCGACUGUCUUAUGGGUCAUCUGUAGUACCUUAGGAAGCUGUUCAUGUUAUCAUACAUAGUGUUAUUUAGUUUGAAACUCAGAUAGUGGUACUUAUAUACUGUUCCCUAUUGUGAGUUCUACUUCAUAACGGAAAUUGCAGUUUAUUAUCUUUACUUUUAUCUUUUUUUGACCCUUUACAUUGUCUUAUCUACAACUUUUAAUUUCAUCAGAUUCAUAAUCAUUCUCGCUUGCCUCCGACUAGAUAAAUUGUAUGGUGAGACUUGCAUUUGGUGCAACUAAUAAAGAUGACUUCUCAAACAAAUGAAAUGCUUAUUGUUUUGAACACAUGCAGUUUUUCCAUGUCAGUAUAAUGUUGUUGAUUUUGCUCAAAUUAACCAUGUAUUUUUCUCUAUCAAAUAUAAUUUUAAGUUUUCACCUAAUCUGUUCCCUUUUCUUCAUCAUUUACUCUUUUCUUUCAUAAUUUUCUCGUUCUCACUAUAUAGUUGGCUAUAUUAUUUGGUAAUAGAUUUAGAAAUUGUCUGAAAUGCUGGAGUUACAUGGAUAGAGAAUUUUAUAAUUCAAGGUAAAAAAGGUGAUCUGUACAUUGUUAGCGUUUUAUAGAAAUGUCAACUAUUUUGGUUUGUAAGAUUAGGUAUAUUCAUUAGUAUUUGCGGCAACUGGGGAAACCAGAGCUGCUGAAUCAUUAGUCAGAAAUAAUAGAUUCAACCUCUUAUUUAAAUUUGAAAGUUGAAAAAACUCGUAACUAUAGAAAAUUUUCUGUAUGCAAGCUUGUUGAUCCUAAAUGUAGCUUUAAAAUGUUUGCGCUUAAUAAGUUACAAGACCCAUUUAGAUUUCCAAUUUCUGCAGAAUCAAGGUGGAGACUUCUUUUGACAGCUUUAAGGGAACUUAAAUUUCCACUCUGCCUUCCUUUCCUAUUUUUGGAAUGCAUAUUUCUUUGCACAAUUUGCAAAAUUUUAAAAUUAGUCAGCAAUUUUAAUGAGUGUGCAUUUUAAUGCGUUCGAUGGGUAAAUUUUUGGAUGUUAAAAAGAAUAUAUUUUGAUCUUUUGUGUAUCGAUUAAGAUGAACUGUAAAUUCAAAAAAAUACAAGUUGAAAAGGAUUAACCUAAUGCCUGCUGCUACUUUAAUCAUAAACUCUGUUUAUGUAUGCAAAUUUUUGUAUCCUCUUAAAUUUGUCAGAGACAUCCUUCCUAUUCGCACUUGAUGGUCUUUAGUCUACUUGUUGUUUUAUCAACUAUUGUAUCUAGCACUGGUCCCAACUUGCACUUCUCCUGUAACCUAACUUGAAAAACUCUUUUAUUUUAGACAAGAUUACACACAGGAAUAAAGAGGAGCCUUCAAAGUACACAAGAGUGACUUGAGUUUGUGCUAACAUCGAACGAUAGCGAGCCGAUGGCGAGCGUACAAACAUCUCGUACUAAGCUAGGACUUCAAACCUGUCUUUCGUAUGCUGUGUGCGCUUUUAAUUUGGUGCCUUUGGUUUCAUAGACUAUUUAUUACCUUGCAUAUUAUGAUAUCUAGCAUUGCGCUUUCGCAAUUAUUUGUAGUUGAAAAGUUGAAGAACACAUUGUAAAUUUGGAAGAUCUUAAGAAUUGCUACAAAGUUUCAAUAGGAUGAAACCUGAGUUAAAAGAUGUUGACGAAAUUAAAAGGAGGAAUCAAUGAAGAGUUCAUUAGAGGGUGAUAGCUUAAUAUGGCUCUUGAAUAGAGCCUGAUAGGAGUCAAAAUAUAUGUUGAUGGACAGUUUCUUUGACUAACUUGCUAAUAGUGGGUUACACAAGUUCUAUGUUGAUCAGUUCUUCAAUACUCUCUUGCUGGUAAUGCUGUGAGUUUGUUACAUGUACAAGUAAAACCGAAAGCGGAACCUGGAUCCCAUGAAAUCAAGUCCCUGACUAACUAUUCUGCGACAAACUGGUUGGUAGUGCAUUUUGUCUUAGGACACAAUUGCAGGAUUUGUUUCAUUCAUCUGCAGUACUUGAAAGGCCAUGUAGUGUUACUAUCAAGAAAAUUGAGAAAAAAAUUUCCAUAUUAAAUUCUAUCCAUUUUUCCGUCUCUCCUGUUGAUUCUUUCUUGUUAAUUUCCUUCUCCUCUCCCCUGAACUGAUCUCUUCUUCCUUCAUUUUAUUGAAAUAUUAGAAUUUUCAGCGGUAAACAGUUCUUUCUACAGCGGUUUGUUCUCUGCAGGCAUAAGACUAAAUUUAGUAUGCAUAUUCAAACUUACAUCUGCUUCUCUUUUUUUCGCAUGUAGUAGUCAUAUGAUUCCUUUCUAUUUUAUUUGAGCAAUAUUUUCCCAAACCUGAGUUGUAGUUUAGCAACAGCACGAAGCAGUUUUCCGGUUUCUUUGGUGGCUUUCGACUUCUCAUAGCACGAUCGCAUGUUUUGCCCUAUGUUAACAUGCCUCGGCACUGCUAUAUAUGAUGUACAAAAAACAGCUGAUCCAGAGACAAAAUGAAUGCAAUAUUAGACCUGGAAAAAACGUCAACAUUCAUAAUGAACUCAAAAUACGAAAUGGCAAAGUGAAAUAAUUGCAACGCAGCAUCAGUAAUUUUUAUUCCACUUAAAAUCCAAGGUUAUCUGAAGCUAAAUGCAUAAGGCAACACUAAAAUACUCUGCAGUAAGGACAUUAAAAGACCCCUAUAAUAUGUACAAAUUAUGCUUUCCUUUGAUUUGGGACAAGAAAUCGAAAAAAAAGGGAAAAAAGCAUGUAAGAGAAUACACACCUUAGGUUGGUAAAUUAUAGCACAAGGAGCCAAUGUCUGUGAAGAGAGUUUGAAAGUCCGCAAUUAAUUCAUUUAAGCAAAAUCAGCACACUCUUAUUUCUACUGAAAUUUGAUGAGUAGAAAUAAAUCUAUGUCUCAUAUUCCUGCAUAAUACACGAAAAGUUAAAUUACACAUAAAAAUAAGGAGAUGGUAGAUCACAAUUCAAGGCAAAAUCAUCUGUAUCUCUAUACCUGCCGUUCGCAUCUUGCAUAUGAAAGGGGAGCACAAUCUCAACAGGAGCAGCAGCAGGGGCCUCACUGAACCAUGGAUGUUUGAGAGCGGCAUCUGCUGUCAUUCUCUUCUCAGGGUCGUAAUUUAGAAGCGCGGACAACAACUCAAAUCCGGAUUUUGAGAGAGUUGGGCGGCUGGAAAAAGCCGUCGCCGGAAACUUCUCCCGCAGCUUACUACACGACCUCCGAGAACGGGGAAAAGGUGCACCCAGAUGGCCAGCAAAACCUGGCAACAUAUCCUCGUUCGGCGUCCCGAGAACUCUGAAUAUCUUGCUCAGCUGAUCAAACUCUGACCGCCCGCAGAAUAACAGCUCGUUCGCCAACAGCUCUGCCAUUAUGCACCCCGAAGACCACAUGUCAAUAGCAGUAGAGUAAUUCUCAGCUCCCGAAAGAAGCUCCGGCGCUCUGUACCACAGAGUCACCACCGGCUGCGUGUAAGGGAGGUUUCCGAUCUUCGUGCAGAGCCCGAAAUCGCAGAUCUUUACCUCACCGAGCUCGUUCAGUAGGAUAUUCGAAGGCUUCAGAUCCCUGUGGAGAAACUGAUGCUUGUGAAGGCACUGAAUCCCGCGAAACAGCUGCCUCAUGAGUUGCCUCACCUCGCUCUCGCACAUCGGCUGCUUUCUCUUCUUCAUCACGCGAUCGAGAUCGUGAUCGCAAUACUCCAUGACCAAGAAAACGUGAUCUGAUUUGUCGGCUAGAACAACUUCUUUGAGCUCUACGAUCGACGGGUGGCGACAACAACGCGCGAGGCAAUCAAUCUCCCUCCUCCACGGAAAGCCCUUUCGCCCCUCUUUCUCCAUCUUCAACCUCUUCAAAGCGACGAUUUCGCCUGUAAUCCUGUCCCUGGCCCUAUACACAACACCGUAAGUGCCCUCCCCGAUCUUGUUCAGCCUCUCGAACUCAUCGAUGCUUCUACGAAAUCGCAAUCGACCCUCCGAGCUUAUUGUCGAGGGUGAUUGUGAUGCUUCCAUGGUUUCCGCAUUCGAAUCCGACGCCUGUCCGAGGAACCUGGUCUUCAGGUUCGAGAUUGGAGAAGAAGGGUUUUCGACUGUUUCUUUGGGGUUCGUGGAGCAAAGGCGAGGCCUUUUGCUAGGGUUGCGUGUUUCCCCCAUUGAGAUCGGGCACACAGAGGUCAAAUUCGCUCAAGUUGAUAGCCAAAAACCCUAAAAGGAGGGAUCGAAGAGAAUCAAACACAAAAAUUGAAAGUAAAAGAGAGAGAGAGAGAGAGAGAGAGCUAACCUCAGAUCUCUUCUCGCGUUCCCGCGAGGGAGCUUUCGGGGUUUAUAUGCAGAGCGUUGCAGCGGAUAAAUUGCACCACGAGUCCUUACAUUUUACGUGGAUUUCAUUUCAGUCCUCAAGCUUUGAAUAAAAUUUUAUUUUAAUUUCUAAACUUUCAACACUAUUUUCUCUUAUUAGUCUUUACUUGUUGCUUGCACUUUCAAUUACAACUCAUCUUCAUGAGUUGUAAUAUUUCGAGAGUCUUUUAUAUAUUUAAAUUGUCAUGUACACUGACAUGGAAUAUGAGACAUAACACGAUUCGGACACAACGACUUGACAGCUUUCAAAAAAUUAAAACACUGACAUAGCAUGGACACCGCUAAUAAAAUACAGUAUUAUUAAUAUAAUAAUAUAUAUUUAUUAUAUAUAAAAUAUUAAUUUUGAUAAAAUAUUGUUAUAUUUUCCGUACGAGUGAAAUUUAGUAAAUUUUUUAUUGAUUGUUCAUAUAUUUUAAGAAAAAAAUUCUCCACCAUACAUAAUUUAUUUAUAUUGUCAAAAAAUUUGUAUGCAUUUAUAAAGAAGCUAAAUAUUUAUCAUCUUUCAUUAUAUAUGCAUAAAAAAAAUAAAAUAAAAAUAUGCAUAUAUAUAUUUUUAAUUGUUUAUGCUAUAGAUCGGCAUUACAUGUGCAUUCAAGGAGUGUCCACAUCGAACACAUGUUCGACACUGAUACGCGCGUGUCCGAUACAGACGUGCGAAGCUUAUAGAAGUGUUCGUAAUACAUAGAUUGUCACCAUACAAAGAGUUGUCGAAAUUUUAGACAUAUUAUAAUAUUAUAAUUUUGUGAAAAUUACAAAUAUCCACUAAGAAAAAUAUUAUCACGAUUACCUGAUAACAAAAUUAUACUCCUAGGAUAGUUGUAUCUAAUUACGAUAAUGGUAGUUACUAGAUUUGAAUGUGUGGUUGGUUGAAUAGUAUAAUCUAACAUGUGAAAAUGAUCAAUAUGGUAGAUCUAGCAGCAAAAAACUCGACAGUACCAAGUGCUUGGUACUAUAAAUAGUAUAAUAUAAUAACAAAUUUGUUAUUCUAAUAUGAAAUAUUCAAUAUUUUUGGAACAAUAUAAACUAGUAAGAUAGACGACCUUUUAUUGUUCAUCCAUAUUAUAUUUUUACUCCACUAGCUAAUUUUUAUGUAAGAAAAGUUAUAAGUUAGGAGGUGCUAAAAUUGAAACAUAAGAUUAAAAAAGUCAUUAAAAUAUCUAGUACAUGGAUGUAUGGUUGUAAGCAAUAAUUUUUUCACUAUUGAUAAAAAUAGAUAAGAAUAAAAGUGAAACCAUGAGUAAUUGAAUGGCAAGUGUGAGAACCACAAUGGAACUUCGCCUAAAGAUUAAGGACUAUAGUGCAAUUUACUCACACGGAAGGCGCGCGGAAUAAGGCGUAACCCAGUCGCCAAGAAACCAUAUUGAAGUUUGACUAUGUGCUGACGUGGAUUUGGUUACAUUAAGCUUCAUUUGACCACCAAGAAAGUCAAAAUACUCGGGGAAAAGGGUUUUUUUGGCCCUCAAAAUUUUUAAAAUAUUAUAGAUAUAUUUUAAAAUUGUUAAUACUAUUUUUGUCAUUUAUAAAUUAAUGAAUUACAUUAAAAACGUCAUCCAUCACACUGAUUAAGGAUUUUAGACUAAUUUUCCUUAGGUAUACCCAAUUAUAAAUAAUUUUGUGGUAUUAUAUGGGGCUAUUAAAUUUAUUUUUCAUGAAAAAAACGACUCAGUAUCUUUUUAAUUUAGUUGAUGAAUGCCUUUUUCUCCCUCAAUUUAAAAGUCUUAUUCUGUUAAUUCUCCCAACUAAAACUAUAGAUAUAUUAUAACUAUUUUGAAUAUAUUUUCUAUUUAAUCUAAAUUAGUGUGAUUCUUUUUUACCAUUUGUGUAGUUUAAUUUGUUUUAAUUAAUUAGUUUUCUAUUUAGUACACAUUUAAUUGUAUUUAUAAUGUUUUAUGGCAAAUGACAUAGAAGGCCCAAUAUAGCAUGUGUUUUUAGGCAUUUAAUCAUGCAUUUCGUUAGCGAAAUAUUAUAAGCUUUCGGUCACAUGAGGAGACUGUGGACCACCUGUUCGCUCAAUGCGUCCUUUUUUUCUUGAGAGAAAAAGAUAGCAUGCUAUCCGCUUCGUUUAUUUCAUUUUAGAAAUAAGCUUAGCUGGAAAUAUAAAUCAACUAGGAUUCGAACUUGGGUCUCGGGUACCAACCACCAAGCCGUUUGCCACUUGCUCUAGGGACGCUCAAUGCGUCUUUAGCUAGUUCAUCAUGAUGAUGUGUAUAGAGGGUGUUCAGGCAACGGAACUAGGAGGCAACGUAAUUCAUGUCUGAAAUAGAUUGAUGGUUAAGAAAGGAUUGCAUAAUACGAGUCAUAGCCUUCUUGAAUUGGUUGUGUGCUGGUGGAUCAUGUGGAAGGCAAAAAACAACCUGAUUUUUUGAAACAUCCAACUAGAUCCUCUAUUGGCUGUGCAUAGGUUGGAGGAGCUGCUGAAAUCCUCGAAACUACUUGUCCAAACAAAUUAGAAGUCCUACCACCACGACGUCUUUUUCUCGAGUCCCUGGUUGCCUGACAUCUGUAGCCUAAUUUAUUAUUUCAAUGAAUGAAGCAGAUAACGUGCUACCUUAUCUCAAAAAAAAAUAUUAUAAGUUUUCUUUAAAUAAUAGGCUUGAUUAUAGAAACUAUCAGUGCACUUUACCUUGCGUCUCAGGUAUCCCACCUUCACUAAAAAUAAAUAAAUAAAUAAAUAAAUAAAUAAAUAAAUAUAUAUAUAUAUAUAUAUAUAUAUAUAUAUAUAUAUAUAUAUAUAUAUAUAUAUAUAUCAAUUUAACACUUUAGUUUCUUUUCAAAUAGACCCCUCAUUAAUGAUAUUUUCUGCAUUUUUACUAUUUUUCAUGUUGGUAAAUGGAUCACAGGGCCACAGGCAUGCAAAUAUUAAACUAAAAUAUAGGUACGAAGUUGUUAAAAUAGACAAAAAGUCAAAAGAGAGGGGCUUAUUUGGUGAAGCACUAUUGUAAAAAUAUACAAUGCUCACCUAAAUUAUGGACCUUUUGAUUUGAUUAUUUAUUUUUUUAAAAUUUUAAUUUUAUUAUCUAAUCUUUCAAUUUGUUCGAUUUGAGUCAGUUAGCCGCACCGUAACUUUAAGCUUUAACAUAAUUACUUAUUGUAAUAAAUUUAUAGUUUGAAAAAUUGCAUGAAUAAAAAUAAAUGAUGCAUUUAAAAUUUGAAGUUAAAUUAUCAUUUACUGAUUCAAAUCAAACGAAUUAAAAAAUUAGAUAGCCUGAUUAAACUUUUAAAAAAUUGAAUAGCGAAAUCAAAAUAGUUCAUAGUUCAGAAAAGUGCCAUAGGCCUUUAUCUAUCUAAGACUAUUUAAGGCGAAAUUGCAAUUCCUAGGAAAUACAAGGACGAGCAUCCAUUUUAGCACGCUUUAAAAGUUAAAACCCCGUGAAAACGCUUCAAUUUUUUUUAAAAAAAAUUGGGGGAAUGCGAUCCCUGCAGUAUCGGCCAUCAUCGUUCAAGCAACUCUUAUUCUCAUGCGGAGGCGCUCAAACCCUAGCCCGAAUCCACGCUCUCAUCGUCAUCUCCGGCGCCCUCGCCGGCCCGCACUCCCCCGGCCACCUCAUCGCCGCCUACGCCCGUCUCGGCGACGUCGCCGCCGCCCGAGCCGUGUUUCGCACCUCCUCCAACCCCACCAUCUCAACAUGGAAUGCUCUCAUUGUCGCCAACUCCCGGCUCGGCUCUCCGGCCGAUGUCCUCCGCCUCUACCGCCUCCUCGCGGCCCGUCCCGGCCUGGCACGGCCCGACAGCUCCACCUUCACGUUGGCCCUUAGGGCCUGCGCCCAUUUGUCGGAUCUCGAAGCCGGCGAGGAGAUCAAGAACCGCGCGGCGGACCUCGGCUACCGCUACGAUGUAUUUGUCUGCUCUUCGCUGCUUAAUCUGUAUGCGAAAUGCGGGAAGAUGGAUGAUGCGGUGAAGGUGUUCGAUGAAAUGCCUAAAAGAGAUGUUGUUUCGUGGACAACGAUGAUUACGGGGUUUGUGAACGCCGGGGAGCCGUUGGAGGCGAUUGGAAUGUAUAAGAGGAUGCGGUUGGAAGGGAUGGAGGGAGAUGGGAUUGCAAUGGUCGGCUUGGUACAGGCUUCUGCGGCCUUGGGAGAUGUGCGGAUGGGCUGUUCCGUGCAUGGGUACAUGGUGCGGCGUGAAAUCAAUUUGGAUGUUCUUGUUGAAACUAGCCUGGUCGACAUGUAUGCUAAAAAUGGGUUCUUGGACACUGCACUUUUUAUAUUCAAUAGAAUGCCGUAUAAGAAUGUGGUUUCUUGGAGCGCCUUGAUUUCGGGCUAUGCUCAAAAUGGGCUUGCGGGGGAUGCGUUGUCGAUGCUAAUCAAGAUGCAGGAUUGUGGGCUGGAGCCUGAUUUGGUUGCGCUUGUGAGUGCCAUUCUAGCUUGUUCUCAAAUGGGGUGUUUGAAGUUGGGUAAGUCGAUCCACUGUUUCAUCCAACGAAGGUUCGAAUUUGAAAGAAUUUCUGCUACUGCAGUUAUUGACAUGUAUUCAAAAUGUGGUUCCUUAAUAAGCGCCCGUGCCCUUUUUGAUCGGAUUAGUUCAAGAGACUUGAUCUCCUGGAACACUAUGAUUGCUAGCUAUGGCGCUCAUGGCUGCGGGAAGCAUGCCCUCUCCCUUUUUCGAGAGAUGAACAAAACCAAAAUAAACCCUGACCAGGCUACCUUCGCUUCUCUUUUGUCAGCUCUUGGCCACUCAGGCUUUGUAGAAGAAGGGCGCUACUGGUUCGAUCGCAUGGUUAGAGAAUAUAGGAUCAAGCCGGGCGAGAAGCACUAUGCUUGUAUCGUAGAUCUUUUGGCUCGAGCUGGCCAUGUCGAUAAAGCUCACGAGCUAAUCAAAUCAAUGGUGAUUGAGCCAGGGAUUGCAGUGUGGGUCGCUCUUCUUUCUGGGUGUCUCAAUCAUAAAAGAUUGGAGCUUGGACAAUAUAUAGCAGAAAAGGUUCUAAACCUGAAUCCUGAUGAUCUAGGGGUGUACUCAUUGGUCUCCAAUGUUUAUGCUGCAGCAAAGAAUUGGGACAAAGUAAUAGAGGUAAGAAAAGUAAUGAAGAGUAUGGGUAUGAGGAAGGUUCCAGGGUAUAGCUUGGUGGAAGUGUGUGGUCAGCUCCACGCAUUUCUUAUGGAGGAUAAGAGCCAUCCACAUUAUGAAAAGAUUGCAGAAAUGCUACAGAAGCUAGGUUUUGAGAUGAGGAAAAUGAGUUAUGUUCCGAAAACUGAGUUUGUGUUUCAUGACCUUGAGGAGGAUGUUAUGUAGUCAUAGUUAAAGGUUGGCCAUUGCCUUUGGGUUGUUGAACACUAGCCCUGGGACUAGGGUUGUGAUUAUAAAGAAUUUAAGGGUAUCUGGGGACUGACACAAUGUGAUCAAGUACAUUUUGAGAAUCAUGAAUCAAGAGAUAGUGGUGAGAGAUGUGAAAAGGUUUCGCCAUUUUAAAGAUGGAAUGUGCUCUUGUGUUGAUUACUGGUAAAGGUGAAUGGUUUUAGCUCCUUUAUUGGGUGAAGGAGCUCGCAUUCAUGGAACCUCUAAAUGGAAGAGAAAGGAUGGAAGCCGCUUUGAUAAAGGUAUAUGCUUAUCUGAGGUGCUCAUCUUUUUCCCAUUUAGUUCCCCAUCUUUGACGGAGAUUAAUUGAAUUUGGGGGACAUCUGGUCAUAAUAUUUGUUUGAGGGUGAAGAUUGAAUGCCUCAAUUAUAUAAUAACUAGUAAUUGUAGGGAGUCGAAUUUUAAACUAUCUGAACUAAACCAGUCUCUGAUCAAAAAACAAACUAAAUCGAUAGUGCUAGAAUUAGCACCAUACUAAACAAGAUUCUAUGAUCAAAAUAAGGCAUGCCAUAUUUCUGACUUCUAAGUUGAUAUAUUUAUUAUCUACUUGCUUAUUACUUAAAAUUUUAACUUUUUCACUUUUGACAUUGCCUUCUUGCUAUGUAGUAAUGAAGUCGAGUUGCUUGUGAUUGAUUUCUAUGGGAUCGAAAUGAGGUUUAAAAGUGAAAAGAAAUCCUCUUUAGAACUUUCAAAAUUAGAGCUUUUAUUGUUUGGAAGUAGGAAUUAUCCCUUUGCCAGCAAAGAAUUCUUUGCUUCGUCUCUAUACAGGCUGUUUUUGUUACUUUUAACUCGGAUUAAUCGACUCUAACUUUUUUGGUUGGUGGCUUUACAAUGGAAAUGUAGGAAAGACUAGCCUUACUACGGAAACUAGGUAGCCUAAUUGAAGAUAAUUUUAGCACAUAAACAAAAUCAGUCAAUAUAAAGAUUGGUCAACAACUUAUCUAAAUUACUCGAGGCAAAAUGUUCUCAAAUUUUCAACAAUUGACCUGCAAUUGAUACUUUGCAGAGGAUGCACUGCUGUUCUGCGAAGCACUUCAGAUUUGCAGCAGUAACUACAUGCCCUUAGCCGCAGGUGAUAUAUCAGUGCUCCUGGAACAUUUUCUCUACUCCAGAAGCAGUAGUGUGAAGUUUUUGGCAGUGGCGGAAAGCUAAAAUGAUUUUUUGGACCCAAAGAGAGAAGCUCCCAUUAAGAAUGCUGUUUUCCUAGCUGCAACUUGUAGCUGCUACACUAUUGCGGAAUCUUUAAUAUGAUCAACCGGCACAAGAGAUAUCAUUGGUCUGGUGAUUAGAAUCAUCAACUACACUGUAAGGGAGGAGAGGAAAAUCAAUAUAUUCAAGAUUCAAUUAUCUGCAACCAUAGUAAGUUCUCUAGCAGUUUGCCAAAGUUCUUGCUGAUACACAACUAUUAUUUACAUCAUGUCACAAUAAGUUACAUCUUGUCACAAUAAGAUAUUUGUCAGACUGCUCAACUUCUGUUCUUGUGAAGUAUUUAGACUCAUCUACUAAACUUUCAGUGAGAAUUUUUGUCAUCAUAGAGAUCUCUUUUAUUCUUUGUUGAAUAAAUUUCAUGUACUUGAAGAAUGCCUGUCAUGAUGUUUCUUAGUCAUUCGGAUUACUAAAGUGCUAACUUGAAUUUGGGAUUGCUAAAGUGCUACUAAACAAUGAUUUUUCCUAAUCGUUGAUUAAAUGUAAAUCAAGCUGAUUGUUAUUUUCGAAUUUCCAGGAUCGUUUUCCAGGAUCGUCUUGACGAAUAAGCUGAAGAUAUUGCUGGAACAGUAGGUCAGUUUCUAUCCGCCUGAAACAGCUAAUUUAUUUCAAAUUUGCCAACUUUGUGCAGAAAAGUUAUGAGAGGGAAAGAAAUAAGAAGAAUCAGAGUUUGUCCAUUUUAUCAAGUCAAAAAAGCAUCAUAGUCCUUGCUUCAAAUUUCUUGGCUGUUCUCUGAUGCCUUCCAUUUCCCUUGUAACGUCCAUGAUUGCUCAUUUGUGCGCCGUUGGAUCGCAAGAAAAAGAGGUAACACCGUAACAGGAAAAAGAGAUUUUUUUUUUUUUGAAUAACCCUUAAAAGAUUUAUAUUUGGUCAAAUAACUAUGUUAAAAAGGAUUUGGUGGUUGAUACCCAAGUUUCAAGUUCGAAUUCUAAUUGAUUCACAUUUUCAGCUAAGUUUAUUUUUUAAAAAAUAAACGAAGCGGGUAGCAUACUACUUCUCUCUAUCUCAAAAAAAAAAAGAGCAAAUAAUCUUUUUUCGUCCCGCUUGAGCUUAAGGGUGGAGCAAAAACUAGAAGACGAUAAAUUAUUUAUUAUCUUUGAUUUUAAUAAUAGUCAAUUGUUUAUCCUUUUUCUCUUUGGAAAAAUAACCGUUAAUGAUUUACCCUUUUUUUCUUAAUUUUCUACAUUUAAUCCUAAAUAACCAUACAAAAAUUUUAAGAACACAAAAAAAAAAAAUUCUAGCAAUACACAUUACAAAUAUAACAACCAAAUAAAAAUUCUAAUAACCUAUCUACAAUUAUAUUGCACAAAAGAUACGAACAAGCCGAAGUUUUUUAAAAAUGUGGUGAACUAUUUAUAGUCCUUUACUCUUCUCUCCACCAGUCUUGAGUUGGACAAAACAGGAUUAGGCUAUUUGAUAAAUUAUAAAUUUUUCAGGAUCCGUUUGAAACAAAGUCUAAAAUUUCUUUCCAUUUCUCCAUUUAAUAAUGAAAAUAUUAAGUCUUUAUAACCAUCAAUCCUAGGGUCCUAGGGUUUAGUCAAUCACUUUGGAGUUUUUAGUAUAAAAAAAAGGCUAAAUUACAUAAAACAUCUAUAUCAAAACCUGAUUUUUUACUUUCUUCCUCUAUCAUUUAAAAAUCUACACUGUCCCCUUAUAAAAUAAAAAAUGUUCAUUUUGCCUCCUUGUAAAAUGAAAAAUGUUCACUUCGCUUCCUACCGUUAGUAUUCCGUUAGUAUUUCGUUUAUAAAAUAUUAUUAUACAUUUUUUAUGCUAAAAAUGCCUUCAGUCUUCUCUCCUGUGAACAUGGUGAGAGCAAAAUGGUAAGGGGCAACAUUGUCAUUUUAUCGUCACAAUUCACAUCGUAUCUCCUGUGAAUAUUUUUUAUUUUACAAAGGGGCAAAGUAUAGGAUUUUAAAUGACAGGGGGAAAAGUAAAAUAUCGAGUUUUGAUAGGGAGGUUUUCUGUAAUUUAGUGAAAAAAAAAAAAUAUCUCAAACUUCUUUAAAACUUCAAAUAUAUCUUAUUUAUUCAUGAGGACCAAAGUAUCCUUCUUAAUUUUAAGUAAGUCUUUCAAAUAUUCCUAUUUUUUCUAGGGUUUACUAAAUUAAAAUCUAAUCAUACAGCUAGCUGUGAUCGUAAUAUAAAAACACUUAUGUACUUAAAAUUAUAGGAUUUAAAUUUUUAUAAUAAAAUUUUAGAAAUGUGGUGUAUAAGAUGUACUUAUAGAUCUGUUGUACGGAAUAAUUCUUCUCCACCAUCCCAUCUUCCAAUUAUACUAUUCUAUUAUUUUAUUCAAAUUAGUUUCACUAUUUUCUUCUAUGAUUUUUUUUUUUUUUUUUUUUACAUAUGCAUGUAUAAUAUAAUAAGGUUAAUUCCUUAUAAGCGCUUAUAAAUUAUGGCUCACAAAUACUGAUUUGAAUAUUUUUAAUUAAUUUAAGAUGUUACAUUUCAUCAUAGUUUAUUUUAAAUACUAAAGAGCAUAAAUUUUUUUUUCCUUCUAAAAAUAUUUUUCACAAAAAAAAAAAUAGUUUUCACAAUUUUACGUGAAACCAAUGUAUCAAACAAUACCUAAAAUAACCACAAAAACAUAAAAAAAUAAAAGACAGUAAAAAAAAAAAAAAAAAGAAAAUCCACCAGUUUUAUAAAGCUUAGUUUUUUUAAAAAAAAAAAAAACAAAAAUCAAGAACGUGUCUUCAACUUGUCGAAGAAAAAGAUAAAGAAAGAGAGAAACAAUAGGAGAAAAUUUAGCCGACUCCAUUAUAUAUAAGUAAUUUAAUCAUCUAAUUUUUUCGAAACUCACAGAAAACUCUUUCAUUGAACAUCAAUCAUAUUGCUUAGAUAGAUAUCAUUGGUUACUAGUAACCAUUGUCAAAAUGAUUUCCAGACAGCUUCAACGUAACAGAGCUGCGAAAUUUCGGCACCUUUCCUGAGAGAUUAUUGUUAGUGACGUCCAGCAGCUGCAACACAGGUAAAGCGGCCAGGCUCUCCGGAAUGGAUCCGUGCAGUCUGUUGUUGCUCAGCACAAUCUUCUUCAGUGAGGUGAGUUCGGCAACAUUCGAUGAGAUUGUCCCUGAGAAAUUGCGGUUCGAGAAAUCGAGGACAACGAUAUCAUUCGCCUUUGCGUCGCAACCAAUCCCGAGCCACCUGCUAUCAGUGCAAGGAUCGUUCCCCGUCCAGGAACUAGCUAGCUCGAGCGGGUAGCCGAAUCCCGCCGCCACCUCUAACAGUAUUGUCACUCUUGCGUCGCACGGCCCGGGCACCGUCCUGCAGAAGCUAUUCUUGCCGCCAACAUCAAUUGAAAUAUUUUAAGCAGAGAAGACCGGGAACGGGCCCUGCAGUUUGUUGUUCGACAGCGAGACAUUUCGAAGUGUGGCGCGCCACCUUAGUGACAGCGGAACGAUUCCCGUCAGAUCGUUAUCGCGAGCUUGGAAAGACUGCAGCAGAGUGAGGUUAGAGAGAUCGGGGAUAGGGCCGGUGAGGUGGUUUGAUUGCAGUUCUAUGCGAACCAAUUGCGGCGGCGCGCCGAUCAUGCUGAUAUGACCGGUUAGGUUGUUAUGAGAUAGCGUGAGAUUCGCUAAAGAUGAUAACGACGCAAAUUCAUCGGGAAUCGCGCCAGUGAUGCCGGCAUUAGAUGCUGACAAAUCACUGAGGUUCGAGGAGCCUGAAAGACUAGAUGGUAAACUCCACGGUGCUAGAGGGAUGUUGUCCAUGGAAACUCGCCGCAGGCGAAUGAGACCGGAGAAAAAGUCAGUGGGGAUAGAGGAGAAGGCCGUGUCAUGGAGUAUGAGGGUGUCAAGAAAUUCGAGGUCGGCCAAGGAAGGUAGCGGUCCAGAAAGAGGGUUGUUGCUGAGGUCGACAGAUUGUAGGGCAGAGAGCUUGGCGAUGGAGGGGUGGAGAGUGCCGGAGAGUUGAAGAUCGUAGAAUACGAGGUCCGUCACUCGGCCUUUGUCGCAUCCCACAUUUAUCCACGGUCCUUCGCAGGGGUCCGUGCCUUUUUCUCAAGUACCCGGAAGAUGAGGGGAUGAGAAGCUCCCGACUAUGUCCCACAUGAGCUGGGAGUCGACGGACAGAGCCGAUACGAAGGUAAAGACAUUGGAACAGCAGAGAAAAGUUAUUAGAAAGGAUAUGAGAUGCGAGAACUUAGCCAUUUUCGCACCGUCGAAAAAAACAAAUGAAGAUGUAUUCAGGAUUUAAAAAGAAAAAUACUUUCAAAAAAGGCAAGAAGUAGAUUUUCGAAAUCUGAAUAAUCCUACUCUGCUUGUGCAAGAUUCCUGCUUGUGCAAGAUUCCUGCUCGCCAUUAUUUCUUUUGUUUCUUUCCAAUUAUGGUGUUAACAAAAAGGGGCACUUUAAAAUCGGUAUUCUAACACAAUACCCUAUUAUAUAAUCAAAAAAUUGAUACACCAACCAUCCCUAGAGCAAGUGGCAAAGCGGUGGUUGGUACCCGAGACCUAAGUUCGAAUCCUAGUUGAUUCACAUUUCUAGCUAAGUUUAUUUCUAAAUGAAAUAAACGAAGCGGGUAGCGUGCUACCUAUCUCUCAAAAAAAAAAAAAUUGAUACACAUAUAUAUAUUCAGUGUACUAUAAUAAUUUAUGUUGCCAGUUAUAAAUUUUAGCACACAUGCGAUAAAAAUAAGUUUUGGAGAGUUUGGCAAGGAGCUCUAUAAUAUGACGAAAAGCAAUUUGGAGGAGCCGUUUGGCCUAGAUUCUGAAAAAAUAAUUUCUACAAUAUAGAUUUUAAUUUGGAGGAGCCGUUUGGCCUAGAUUCUGAAAAAAUAAUUUCUAUAAAACAAGAUCAAUAUUUUUGAUUUAAAAUUUUAAUGUCAUAUUAUUACAUUUUGUAAGAUUUUUAUUUUCAGCCGUUGAUUUUGAGCCCCUUCGUUCACUAGGCAAAUGAUAUCGUAAAAUUAUAUAAUUUAUUUUCUAGAUACUUCAAAUAUUCUAGAUCAAGUUUAACGGAGCUGAUCGACGAUUCGAAAGUCGCAACAUCGAAAACGAGCUGGAAGCACGGAAGGCUCCGUGCUUCCGAUAGCAUAGUAGCCUCACUCUAUAUAUAUAUAUAUAUAUAUAUAUAUAUAUAUAUAUAUAUAGGCUGAGUGAAUAAUCUGAGUUUAAUUAUAAUUAGGCCAAUAUUGUUGGCCCAUAAAAACAAACCCAACAGACAAAUAAAAGAGUAAAAUUUCAUUAAAUUUAUUCAUUUUUCCUUUCUUUCUUUCUUUCACAGAGCUAGGGGUGGAACUGGGCCCGGGCCUAAACAAAGCCCGGCCCGAUGGGCCAUGUUUGGGCCGGGUUUUGGAUAUUAAAAAUACAACUUUGGGUUCGGGCCGGGUUUAAAAAUUUAGGCCCGAAAAAAUUUUGGGCCUAUUUGGACAUGUCUAAGCCCGACCCGAGCCCGACCCAAAAGCCUGAUAUAUUAAUUAUCAAAAUAAAAUAUUUAAUUAUAUAUAUUAUUUAUCUAGUAAAAGAAAUAAAUGAUAUAAUAUAUCAUAUAUAGUAUAUAUUGUUAUUAAUGAUAUGUACUUAUAUAUAUGAGGAUAUGUUAUAUAUUAACAAAAUAUUUAGUUCUAUAUUAUGAUAUAUUUGAUGUUAGAUAUUAAUUUCUUUGAUGUGAUAAAACUAAAAAUAGGUAUUUUAUUUUAAUUUUAUACAAAUAAAAGUAUUUAUGUAUUAUAUGAUACAUGCAUAAAAUGGGCUUCCACAAAGCCCGAUGGGUAUUGGGCAUUGGGCUUGGGCUUGGGCUUGGGCCGGGCCUUGAUUUUUAAAAAAUUGGGUAAAAGCCCGACCCGAAGCCCAACAUUUUGUUUUGGGCCGGGCUUGGGGAUAGUAAUACCCAGCCCAAGCCCGGCCCAUUUCCACCCCUAUACAGAGCUCUAUAAUUUCAAUAUGUUUCUCUAUUUCUUUUUUCUGUCUCUCACCCUAAGUAGCCAAGCCGGAAGCCCUCCAAGUUACCAAAUAACAGUAUAUGCCCGCCGUUGCCUACCUUGCUAUUAAUUAUAUGCUUGAGAAAAAACAGAAUAUUUUUAAAGUAAAAAGUUAUUAUUUAUAUAAAAUUUUAAUUUUAGUUAUAUAUGAUUGGAUAGUUUAAUCCAAUAUUUAUCUAUAUAAUUUAUUUAUUUUUGACUGCGUAAAUAAAAUGAAUAAUAUGGAGAUUGAAGGCGGAAGAGAAGACAUGUGAGCCUGAAAAGAUUAAGUAUUCAACUCAUAAAUUAUUUUUCUUCAUAUUAUAAUACCAUAUUUCAUAUAAUUAUUUUGUACUUUGAACUAUUAGACAUAUUUUUGUAUCAAAUUAUAGAAAAUAUUUUAUACAAAUUAAACUAUUGAUCGUAUGAUGUUGAGAAUUUCAAGCGGCUCGUUUAGGGCUCGAGCUCGCUCGACUUGAAAUUAUGCUCGCUUGAGCUCGGCUCGAAUUAAUUUCAAUCCAAGCUUGAGCUUAAAUUUAGGCUCGAAAUUAAUUUCAAGCCGAAUUUGAGCCAAGGUAAGCUCGCUCGAGCUCGGCUUGUUUCCACCCCUAACCACCUCCUUUUAAGAUGUACGUGUUCUACAGCCUUGCUGGAAAGUGUACUACCAAACAAACGUUUUCUUCGAAACUGUUCAUCGGUUAAGGAAUUAUGGGAGGCGAUCUGUUGCAAAGGAGGUAUACAUGGGGAUAGAGAUUAGUGAUUAUCGCUGUCACUUUGUGGGCUCUUUGGUUGGAGCGAAAUAGAAGAAUCUUCGCGAAUACUAAGCUCUCGUCGGGGUACUUGUUGGCCGAGAUUAGAACUCUUAAGGAUUUAUGGUUUCGUUUCUGCUUCAGUAAUAAUUCCUGUUGACCCUUUUUUUUUUUUUUUUUUUUNGUUUAUUUUCUAAUGAAUGAAAUGGCAACAUGCUACCUUUUCUCCAAAAAAAAAAAAAAAACAAAAAUCAUAUAAAAUCCAUAUUAAAAAAAUAACCCAAAAAUAAGAUCAAUAAGAAGUUGAAUAAAACAUAAUUUGCAUCCCUAGGCUAUGUUCAUCUAAUAACAAGAAGUCAAAAUACGGAUCAACCAAAAAAGAGAAAAACAGAGUAAAAUUCUUGUAAGGCCCAUCGGACGAAAAGUAAUCCAAUAUAAACACUAUUUACUAAUAAAAAUAAGCAUCUACUGAACUUAUGAAUAAAUAUAAAUGCUUAAACUAUCUCUGUCGAGGAACUUACUUCAUCUGAUUCGCCGAACAACAUGCGUCUUUCAAAAUGUCCUAGAACGACCGAAUGUAGAUCAAGGUCUACCAACAUCUCUACACUGUAGAAAGUACAAAUAGUCACAGAACAUGAAAAAACUGCUAGAACAAUGAUGUGAAUAAGAUUGAGCUCUGAAUAAGGGAUAAGCUAAGGCUCUGCACGGAUGCAUAAAUAUCUUAUUCAGUAUAUCUCCAUAAUUUUCUUAAGAAGUUUGUAUAUUUCGUAGACGAAAAGUGUGAUUAAAUGCCUAAAAUUGGAUAUUAUUUUUGGCCUUAAGUUAAUUUUUUGGGACAAAAUAAAUCACCAUAUAGAUAAAAUAUGUUAUCUUAGCAAAUCAUGAAUAUCAAGACCUCUCAAAGAGCUGAAAUCAACCAGAUUUCUUACAAUCAUUAACAGUGGCGGAGCCAUUGCCGGGCCCACAGUGGCCAUGGCCCCCCUAACUUUUUUCAAAUUACAUAGAAGUCUUUUGUAAUAAAAAUAAAAUAUUAUAAAUUUUAAUUUUGGGGGGCCAAAUUAAUUCUUUUAAUAAAAUUGUGUCUCAAUUUUUUUUUCAAAUUUCUCGAUCCUUUCUCUUCAACUCUUAUGGUCUUGUUCCUUUUUGAGCAUAUUAUUAUUAUUGUUGCUAGUAAUAACUGAUCAGUGAAUCUGACAAAAUUUUUUUCUUAUUAUCCAAGGUUGAAUUUUUUUUUCUAUCGAAUCUAAAUCUUGGCCUCCGAAUUUUAAUUUCUUGCUUCGUCCCCUGCAAUCAUACUAGAAAAUUUUUAUAUAUCAAUAAGUUAUCCUUGGAUAACUAACUCUGACCUCCAAACAGGGCCUAAACGAACAGGGCAAAAUGGGCCCGACAGGUAAAGUUCACAAAAUACUAUGCUCAGACUUCUAUGUCAAACAUAGAUGAUGAAAUCACGAAAAAUGGUAAAAGUCAUGCACUAACCAGAAUGUUCGCGACUUGAUUGCAACAAUCUAAAAUGCUCGGAUAAAAAAUUAUAGCAAAUUAAAGUUUGAGAAACAAAUUAAAGUUUAAAAACCACAAGUCCAAUUAAAGUUUGAAAACGAAAAGUGCAUUAAGCAAGUUUUAACAGCACAUUUGAAAUGCACUUGAUAAUACAUGAGAUGCAGCAACAUCUAAACUAAACAAUAUUGUAGAUAUUUUCGCUAAAUUAGUCACAAACACCACCUUCAAAAAAGAUAAAUAAAUAAAUCAAUUAGUCACAAACAUACAGGUCGAUGGUGUCAAACAAGAAAAGAUGAUGCAAAUUAACGAGAAUUUGGUAUUUCGAGAGGUUAAUGAAUUGUACAAGUUAACUACUACAACCAAAAUCUAUCGACGGCACACAAAUAUGAGGAAUAAAAAAAAAAAAGAAAAAAAGAAGUUCUACUCAGGGAUUAUUAAAGCAUAAUAAAAAAAACGACCAUAAAAUGUAGAGAAUCGGGAAGAGAUAAUUUACGCAUUUCCAGUUCCCGCAAACAAAAAACCUUCUCUCCAUCAGCGAUUCACUGCAAACAACGAAAAAAAAAAAAAACAAAAAAACCAAAAAAAAAAGAAGAGAGCAUCAGUUAGAAAAUGCCAAAGAACGUAUCCAGAGAAUAAUCGAGAGACCCUUUUGGUAACGGAACAUUCCAGAGCCCACAAACCUUCUACGUACGGAGACGAAGUAGAAGCAGCACCUCUCGUCGGUGAAGCCGCCUCCGAGCAGGGAAUAAUGCGCUGCGACAGUACUACGUGGACAAAAAGCUUAAAAAAGGGGCUUUUUUUGCAAAUAGCCUCCUGACAAAUUUUAUUUGCAAAAAUAGUCCUAUCCAAAAUUUAUUUAUAAAAAUGACCUUGGCCCUGCCAUGCCAGCGCUACGUCAGCGCCACGCGGGCAGGGUCUGGGCCAGGUAUUCAAGUUGAACACGGUGAUUGGUUCACCGUGUCUAAACACGGUGAACCAAUCACCGUGUUCAUCGUGUUUCUCACACCCCGUCCGGAGUGGUAGUAUUGCAUUAGAUACGGUGAUUCGUUCACCGUGUCUAAACACGGUGAACUGUUCACCGCGUUUAGACAUGGUGAAUCAUUUACCGUGUCCUUCACUUUCAUAUUUGGUCAAAUACGGCUUGGCUAGUUGUAUUGGAUACGGACUUAGCCAUUUUCGGGGGUGCUUAAUACAUUUGUAUUGGACACAGUCAACCAUUCACCGUAUCCAUUAGAUUUGUAUUGGACACGGUGAAUGGAUCACCGUGUCCAAUACAUUUGUAUUGGACACGGUGAUCCAUUCACCGUGUCCAAUACAACUGCCUGCCCAGCUGAUAGUUUGCCGCAGAAAAAUCAAUUACAAGAUUCAAUAUAAGAAUACAAUACAGAUACACAUCACAACACAUCACAACACAUCACAACAUCACAAAAGUAAUACACAUCACAACAUCACAAAAUUAAUACACAUUACAACAUCACAACCAAUAGAAUCUCAAUAAUAUAAUCAAUACCAAAUAAUCAAAACAGAAUAUACAAAAUAAAUGCAAGUUAUACAAUAAUAUAUAAAUAUAAUAUCAUGUUCUCCUCCCUCGACCUCCUCGACCACGUCGCCUACCACGUCCGCGACCACGACCAACAUCAUGCUCAUCAAAAGGCUCCAAGAUCUCCAACUGGUCUAGAUGCUCUAUAGCAGCACCCUCAAUAACCGGCUCAAUCACAGCAGUAGCAUGUGCCGGUAGUAUGUCUGGCCGUGGAGGAGCUGAAGAGGAGGGCUGAUCUGGCCGUGGAGGAGCUGAAGAGGAGGGCUGAUCUGUACGGAUAGACCUCGAUCGCCGUCGACGCCUAAAAUAAACAAUAUCACCUGCUCGAGCUGGAUCCUGCGGUACUGGUGCUGGUGCCGGGUCCGUAACAUCAGCAUAAGGUGGCUCCCCUAUCGGUGAUGAUGGCAUCGGUGGACUAUAUACGGGUGCAUGGCCGGACGUCGAUGCUCCACCAUAGUCUGCUGGUCCUGGAGGUACAUAGUGUGGAAGCGUAGGUAAAGUCUCCAGAACUGCCUCCAUCUGAUCGGCGACCUGUGAUAGGGUAGCUAAGACUCCACCUCCUGAAAUAUCGGGUAGGACACGUCUGAUCGUAUAAUGUGAUCUCUGCACGAUAUCAACCUGAAAUAAAAGCACAAUCAAAAAAGAUUAUACGAAACUUUCUUGUAUAUAUAAAAAUUAAUAUAAAAAGAUAUUUGCAAUUACAAUCAUACCAAUACUCUCUCGACGUGUCCACGUGGCUGAUAGGCGAGUGGUGGCCGCUGUACAGGUCUAGAUAUCCACCUCCUGGUGAUCGUCCAAUACCACUGCAUGUAAACAGUGGUAGCUCGUAUCGGAUCUGGAUCUGUCUCAGGGGCCACCUCUGCUAUAUCUACUAAUCUAUCAUUCCAACGCUCAAUGUAUGAGGCGUGGUAUGCCGCCCAAUCCUCAUCUGCUCUGCCUCGUGAAUUGAUGCGAGGUAUGGCAAGCACAGGUUCAGGUAUAUGCUGUAGUAGCCCAAACUGGCGAAGCACAGGAUCGGGAUGACGGAGCUCAAUAAUGUGGAAGCAGACUAAGAUAGUCCUCGAUUGCCAAACCUGGGACCCCGCUAGACAAAAAGGUGGGAGCGUUUCUAACACUGCGUCGUCAUAAGACCUCCAUAUAAUCUAUUGUGAAAAAUACAUAUGAUUAGCUAUCAAAACACAUAUAAUGAACUAUUGUGAAAAUAGACGGUGAAAAUUGAAUAAUCUUUAAAAUUUGAGCAUAGGACUUUUAAAUUCAAAAUCAAGAAUGUUAAUCUUAAUCUAUAUAGUUUAAAGUAUUUUCUAUCAAAAUUUGAAGAAAUUUAGAUUCUUCUAUAUAGUAACCUAGCUCUAUAUAUAGUAUAGAUAGUAUAGUAGCCUAGCUCUAUAUAUAGUAUAGAUAGUAUAGUAGCCUAGCGCUAUAUAUAGUAUAGANNNNNNNNNNNNNNNNNNNNNNNNNNNNNNNNNNNNNNNNNNNNNNNNNNNNNNNNNNNNNNNNNNNNNNNNNNNNNNNNNNNNNNNNNNNNNNNNNNNNNNNNNNNNNNNNNNNNNNNNNNNNNNNNNNNNNNNNNNNNNNNNNNNNNNNNNNNNNNNNNNNNNNNNNNNNNNNNNNNNNNNNNNNNNNNNNNNNNNNNNNNNNNNNNNNNNNNNNNNNNNNNNNNNNNNNNNNNNNNNNNNNNNNNNNNNNNNNNNNNNNNNNNNNNNNNNNNNNNNNNNNNNNNNNNNNNNNNNNNNNNNNNNNNNNNNNNNNNNNNNNNNNNNNNNNNNNNNNNNNNNNNNNNNNNNNNNNNNNNNNNNNNNNNNNNNNNNNNNNNNNNNNNNNNNNNNNNNNNNNNNNNNNNNNNNNNNNNNNNNNNNNNNNNNNNNNNNNNNNNNNNNNNNNNNNNNNNNNNNNNNNNNNNNNNNNNNNNNNNNNNNNNNNNNNNNNNNNNNNNNNNNNNNNNNNNNNNNNNNNNNNNNNNNNNNNNNNNNNNNNNNNNNNNNNNNNNNNNNNNNNNNNNNNNNNNNNNNNNNNNNNNNNNNNNNNNNNNNNNNNNNNNNNNNNNNNNNNNNNNNNNNNNNNNNNNNNNNNNNNNNNNNNNNNNNNNNNNNNNNNNNNNNNNNNNNNNNNNNNNNNNNNNNNNNNNNNNNNNNNNNNNNNNNNNNNNNNNNNNNNNNNNNNNNNNNNNNNNNNNNNNNNNNNNNNNNNNNNNNNNNNNNNNNNNNNNNNNNNNNNNNNNNNNNNNNNNNNNNNNNNNNNNNNNNNNNNNNNNNNNNNNNNNNNNNNNNNNNNNNNNNNNNNNNNNNNNNNNNNNNNNNNNNNNNNNNNNNNNNNNNNNNNNNNNNNNNNNNNNNNNNNNNNNNNNNNNNNNNNNNNNNNNNNNNNNNNNNNNNNNNNNNNNNNNNNNNNNNNNNNNNNNNNNNNNNNNNNNNNNNNNNNNNNNNNNNNNNNNNNNNNNNNNNNNNNNNNNNNNNNNNNNNNNNNNNNNNNNNNNNNNNNNNNNNNNNNNNNNNNNNNNNNNNNNNNNNNNNNNNNNNNNNNNNNNNNNNNNNNNNNNNNNNNNNNNNNNNNNNNNNNNNNNNNNNNNNNNNNNNNNNNNNNNNNNNNNNNNNNNNNNNNNNNNNNNNNNNNNNNNNNNNNNNNNNNNNNNNNNNNNNNNNNNNNNNNNNNNNNNNNNNNNNNNNNNNNNNNNNNNNNNNNNNNNNNNNNNNNNNNNNNNNNNNNNNNNNNNNNNNNNNNNNNNNNNNNNNNNNNNNNNNNNNNNNNNNNNNNNNNNNNNNNNNNNNNNNNNNNNNNNNNNNNNNNNNNNNNNNNNNNNNNNNNNNNNNNNNNNNNNNNNNNNNNNNNNNNNNNNNNNNNNNNNNNNNNNNNNNNNNNNNNNNNNNNNNNNNNNNNNNNNNNNNNNNNNNNNNNNNNNNNNNNNNNNNNNNNNNNNNNNNNNNNNNNNNNNNNNNNNNNNNNNNNNNNNNNNNNNNNNNNNNNNNNNNNNNNNNNNNNNNNNNNNNNNNNNNNNNNNNNNNNNNNNNNNNNNNNNNNNNNNNNNNNNNNNNNNNNNNNNNNNNNNNNNNNNNNNNNNNNNNNNNNNNNNNNNNNNNNNNNNNNNNNNNNNNNNNNNNNNNNNNNNNNNNNNNNNNNNNNNNNNNNNNNNNNNNNNNNNNNNNNNNNNNNNNNNNNNNNNNNNNNNNNNNNNNNNNNNNNNNNNNNNNNNNNNNNNNNNNNNNNNNNNNNNNNNNNNNNNNNNNNNNNNNNNNNNNNNNNNNNNNNNNNNNNNNNNNNNNNNNNNNNNNNNNNNNNNNNNNNNNNNNNNNNNNNNNNNNNNNNNNNNNNNNNNNNNNNNNNNNNNNNNNNNNNNNNNNNNNNNNNNNNNNNNNNNNNNNNNNNNNNNNNNNNNNNNNNNNNNNNNNNNNNNNNNNNNNNNNNNNNNNNNNNNNNNNNNNNNNNNNNNNNNNNNNNNNNNNNNNNNNNNNNNNNNNNNNNNNNNNNNNNNNNNNNNNNNNNNNNNNNNNNNNNNNNNNNNNNNNNNNNNNNNNNNNNNNNNNNNNNNNNNNNNNNNNNNNNNNNNNNNNNNNNNNNNNNNNNNNNNNNNNNNNNNNNNNNNNNNNUAUAUAAAUAUAUAUAUAUAUAUAUAUAUAAAUAUUAUAUAUAUGUAUAUUGGCUUAGUUCGAUAAUGCACCUUUGCAGGAUUGAGACUCUAACUUGAAAUUGAUCGCCUAACAAACACUAAUUGAGGGUAAAGCGAACACGUUGCGAAGUCGGUUCGGCAAUCUCGAGCCUGCGCAAAGAUAACCCAAAAGGACGUUUCAGCUUCAAAUGGAAUGAUAAUCGAAAUCCGUCGAGCCUACUCUAUAAUGUAGUAUAGAUUAUAUUGUAGAUAGGAUAGUACCUAACUCUAUGCUAGAGAGAGAACGAGGAAGGGAGCUACCUCGGGCAACAAAGGGCGGCGGCGGCGGCGUUGGACAGAGAGAGAGAGCAAGAGGAAGAGAGCGAGAGAGAGAGAUCGAGAGAGAGAGAGAGAUAGAUCGAGACAGACAGAGUUCGGGAGGGUGGGGGGGGGGGGAGUGUAUUCAAAGAGAACACGGUGAAUGGUUCACCGUCUCUAGACACGGUGAAUGGUUCACCGUGUCUAAUAGAAAUACCAUACCCUUAGCCAUUUUUGUUGGUGUGAUAUUUCUAUCGAACACGGUAAACCAAUUACCGUGUCUAGACACGGUGAUUGGUUCACCGUGUUCAACAGAAAUACCGACCGCUGCAUUCCUAUUGAACACGGUGAUUAGUUGAUCGUGUUUAGACACGGUGAACCAAUCACCGUGUUCAACUUAAAUACCUAGCCCCAGCCGUGCCCGCGUGGCACUGACGUGGCGCUGGCGUGGCAAGGCCAGGGCUAUUUUUGCAAAUAAAUUUUGAACAGGGCUAUUUUUGCAAAUAAAAUUUGUUAGGGGACUAUUUGCAAAAAAAAACCCUUAAAAAAGCAAAAGAACGAAAAGCAAGCAAUGGGAUUUAGUACGAGAGGAGUCGGACAAACCAGUACAACCAAUGUACAACAUCACGUGAAACGAUGGCAAAUACGACUUCGAUUUUUUUUGACGAAAAAAAGAAUUUGUAGGAAAGAAAAAUUAUAUGACCAAACAGUACUUACUAUGUGGAUGUCUCGCCUUCCUUCUGAAAUGACACUGUGAACUUAGAAGUGAAUUUUGGCUUGAUAGAAUAUUCAUCAUUUUCAUUUUAAAAAAUAUGAUUCUAAUUUUAAAAUUAAUUUUUUAAUUUUUAAAAUUCAAAAUCAGAGUAGCUUAGAAGCUACUUUUUAAAAUCUAAUUCUAACUUUGAACUCAACUUUUAAAUUUUUAUUCUACUUUUAUCAAAUUUAUAUUUAAAUUUUAAAUUUUAAAUUUUAAAAUCUAAAAUGUAAAUUUAGAUUUAAAAUUAAAAUUUAACAUUUUUAAAUUUUAGAUUAUAUUUUAAAUUAAAAUAAAAUUUUAAAUUUUUAUGCAAAUGUAAAAUUACAAAUUACAAAUUUAAAAUUUAAAAUUUAAAUUUAAAGAAAAUUUAGUAAAAAAUUAUUAUUUACCAAUAUCUAAAAAUUUCUGUCAAAAAAAUAUACAAAAUCACAUUAAAAAAAUUAAUUUUUAUAUAAAUUCAGCCAAAUAUUUUAUAAUUUUUAGUUCACAUCAAUUCUUCGAACAAAAAUUAUUUUUUCAAAUUUAGACGAAUUGUGGGCCUCAUGCUGGUGCAAGUUGUAAUCCUAUCAAAUUUUUACCCAAAAAACGAUACUACCUAUGCACCCAAACAAGUUAUAACCUAUACAUCUCAUUCAUAUUUAGGAUAAAAAUAUAAAUUUUUUUUUUUAUUUUGAGAAAUAGGUGGCACGCUACCCGCUUCGUUUAUUUUACUUGGAUCUCGGGUACUAACCGCCAAGCCCUUUACCACUUGCUCUAGGGACGAUCAAUUAGGAUAAAAAUAUAAUUAUUAGUCAUAUCAUACUAGUAUUUAUGUGACUAGCUACACGUAUAGUAUUUCCCUUUCCAAAAUUACUUAAACAUGAACUGAUACACAAUAAUAUAAGAUUAAAAUGAAUUGUUGAAAAAAAUAUUCUUUUUACUAGGGUGGGAAAAAUUCUAGAAUGCAACGGAUAUAUUAGUGACGUGGCGUAACAAAUCAAUCAAAUGUUUGCUUUUAGGGAUAUACGUCCCAUCAUAAUUGUAAAUAAAUAUUUUAAUUGUUCUUUUGUUUGAAAAGAAGGACUGUGAUUGACUUGUUAUUGAUGACAUGAUGCAAAUGUGAUAGUGUAGAAUUCCUCCUGGGGUGGGGACCGGGGAAGCUUCCGUUUUCGUGUCGCUUUGCGUGUACGGCUCGGAUACAAAGAGUGCCUGAGGUGGAAAAUUAACCAUGAACCCGUGCAUCCGUACAACCGUGCACUGCCAAUUAUGUUUGGGUUAAUUACACUCCGCGUCUAUUUUGCAAUCUUUUGCAUGUCAAUUUAGGUCCCUAAACUUUGUAUGUUUUUUAUUUUAGUCCCUAAAAAUAAAAUUCAAAAUUUUAAAUUUAAAUUCAAAAAUAAUAUUAAAAUUAAAAUUUUAAACAAAUGAGAAAUUAGAAUUUUGAAUUUGAAUUUAAAGCUGAAUUAAAAUUUUGAAUUCAAAUUCAAAUUUUAAAUUUAACUUUUUAAUUGAAUCUAAAUUUUGAUUUUGAUUUUUAUAUUUCUAUUUACAUUUAAAAUGAAAGUUUUGAAACCGAAAUUUAAAUUUAAAAUCUGAAUUUAAAUUUAAAAUCAUAUUCAAAAUUUUGAUUUUAAAUUUUAAAUUUGAAUUCAAAAUUUAAAUUUAAAUUUAAGAUUUAAUUUCAAUUCUAAAUUUGAAUUUAAACUUCGAAUUCAAAUUCACAUUUUGAAUUUGAAAUUUCAAAUCGAAGUUUGAAAUUAAAUUAGAAUUUAGAAUUCCAAAUAUGAAUUUGAAUUUAAAAUUAAAAAUUAAAAAUUAAAUACAAAAUCACAAUUUGAAUUCCAAUUUAAAUUUAAAUCUAAAAUCAAAAUUUAAAUUUAAAAUUUAAAUCUUAAUUUUUUUUUGAAUUUAUAAAUUUAAUGAACAAAGCAUUCCAUGUGCACAGAACAAAGCAUUCCAUGUUUAAAUGAACAGAAUCUUUCCUGUACAUACGCGAUAUAGCACAUUUACACAACAUCAACCACACUACAACCAUACCACAAAACAACAACAAAUAACAUAAGGAUAAACAAGGAAUAUUAAGGGUCCACAAUUUUCCACAAAUACUGAUCAUGUAUAAACAAUAAGUAACGAACUAAUCUAUACAAAAACAUAGUAAACGUCAUCGAUGAAAAGAUCUGGGCACAACUACCUAGUAUCGUCCUCACGCAUUGCCCCAGCCCUCACCGCCCAAACUACCUAAAAACAGUUGGGGGAUGAGAAUAUGUAAACAAGUCUCCCCCUCCCAGUGGGUACCGCAAGCCGAUGAAGGCAAGCUGUAAACACCGGUAGACGAAAGGAUAAUCAAUAGUACAAUAAGUAAAUUAAGUAUAGUGACAACGAAAUAAUAUCCACUAAUAAUCUCAAAGGAGACUACUACUGUAAGCUAAAGUGGUAAGACAAAAAACAACUAUAGUCAGCAGUUAUAUAUGAACAAAAGCAGUAAUAACUAUAGACGACAAUAUGAACAAUCACUAUCAUGAUACGAAACAACAAAACAGUUAUGUAUCAGCCAGAAUAGAUAUAUAAAAUACACCCAAUCAACUGUCAUAUUAGUCUAAAGACCUCAGACUAUGCUACUCCUGUUCUAAUAGAGAUGUGACCCUAGCACUAGACCGCUGGGUCUCCCUGAUAUAUGACCCAACAUUAGGACCGCUAGGCUCACGCAUUGGAAGUACGAUCACUUUUUCGAAAAAGUACACCCUCUCGGUGGAUCAGACCGUUGGUGUACGUGAAUUACACAUGAGCUAUGGCGAUCGAUGCUAUAUGCUCAAUGGCCAACGAUGGCGAAAAGCCGAAAGAACAAUCAUAACUAUACCCAACCAAAUGAGUUUUAAUAUUCCUAAUGGAAUGUCAUCAUGCCACUGACCUAUCAUGUCUAUAUAAUUAUAUUACUAUGCACGAAAUAUAACCCAACACCAAGUCAUGCAACGAUAAUCCAUUACUAGAGUGCUACUCUACCACUAGAUCAAUUAUGCCUCUACAAGAUAGAACAACUAUAGAGUAGACUAACGAGAAUCAAGUAGUGCGUAAGAUACUCAAUAUGUAAUCAUGAUGCUACAAGACGAGGCAACCGUAGAAUAGAUUGAUAAAUACAAUACUAUGCAAGAUAUUCCAUAUACAUGCAUGAUAAACUAGGCAAGCAUAAGAGAACAGAAAGAAAGAAGUCACAAAGCGUAUGCCGCUAAACCCACUUCUGAUAAGAGAAAGGAAAGAAGUCACUAAGCGUAUGCUACUGAACCCACUUCGAAUUGAAGCACCCACCUACAUUGUGAAAUAAAGCCGGGCCAUCGACCCCCACGUCGAUGCCACCUGUAGUUCGAACUUAUGCAAAGGCCCAUCCAAAAUUGUAAUUAGCUUAAACCCGAUGAUUACAGAAGCUUAUAAUUUUAUAUGAAUCGAAACCGGCAAGAAGGCGCUCGGUACCAGUAUCACAAUAGCCAAGAAGUGAAUAAGAAUUUUGUUGUAUUAUAUGAUGUUGUUGAGCUUUUGUAAUUGCUGCAUCAGUUGAAGGCAUUUAUCAAAUUGAAAGAAAGAAAUUGUUCAACAUAUCGGUUCAACAAUUUCUUAAUUGCACCGAUACUAGUCGUAUGAAAAAAUAAUCCAAGUGGCGAAGGCGAGGACAUAUUCUUAUCAUUUAAGAAUACAUUGAAGAACGGAGGGCUGAGAGCUAGCAUACAUAUUCAUUGAAAGGAUAUAAAUCAAUUAUUUAUUUAUUUAUUUAUUUAUUUAUAUUUGUAAUAUAAUUCAAAUAAAUAUUUAUUACAAAUAUAUAUAUGUAAUAUAUAUUACAAAUAAAUAAUACAUAUAUAUCAUAAAUAAAUGAAUGUAAUAAAUUUCAAAUUUCAAAUUUCAAAUUUAUUAACUAUUUUCAAGUUCAAAUAUUUAUUAAAUUGUACUUUUCUUAGUGAUGACAAUUGAAGAAAUAGAAGAAUGCCACCCUUGAAUCUGUAGUACCUCAAACUAAAAGAAUUUGUACUAUCCUAAAAUUUUCAUGAGAUUUAACUACAUGAGCUUUUGUCAGUGCAGAGUAAUUAACUUUGUUGGUCCCUUUAGACCUAUCCUACCUAACUUUUCAAUCACAUCAACUAAGCAACGUGAAUAGAUGGAUAUCUACUGAAACAACAUGUACAUGUUGGAGAUUAAGAAGAGAGUUAAGAAAUUAAUUUAUACUAAGUGGAAAUAUAAAUAAAAUAAGAGCAUUAAUGAUGUUGGCUAUCUUAAUAAGGGUUUGAUGAAUCAUCUCGCUCUCUUUCGUACACAUGAGGAUUACCUCAAUGUUUUCAAAUUACUUACAGUUGGCUUCAUGAUUCAUAUUAGCCACAGCCACAGCCUUUGAGCCCACAAAGAUCUUACGACUUCUCCCUCUGAUGCAAACUUCCCUACUUCAUAGCCUUUAAAAACAUCGAAAAGAAAACAUCAAACAAGAUAAUUGAAUUAGAGACAUUCCUAUCUGUCUGAGCACAGAAAGAAGGAACUAUGCAUUGAUUGAUAUAGAGACAAUCUUAGUAUUCUGAUCUGUCCUCAAACAAAAAAAAGUGCACAUGUAACAACAAGAACACAUAAUAUAAGCACUGCAACAAUUGCUAGAUAAUGCUACUAAAAUAUAGAAUUGCCCUUAUUACAAGAAAUUUCCUAUGAAAGCCUUCGGAGUAAAAUUAUCCUAGUAUGAAGUAGAUUCUCCAAAUUGCAUGGCCCUGCUUCUUUCUGAAUCUCCCUUUCCUUGGGCGUCCAUGAUUCAACCAAUGAAGUGAGCCCGCUGACGCAAGAAGCCAUAUCGGGCCUAUGCGCAGGCUCACGCAUUGUACAUAAGUGUCCUAGUUCGGUCAUCUCAUACAAGUUCUUACUGUUUGGGACGUCUUCCAAUAAUAACGGAUCCAUAAAUUUGACGAAGUCUUCCUGCUUUAUCAUAUUUGGAUGAAAACACUCUAUAAGGUGCUUUUCUGUAGAGGGGCGGCUAUCAUCAAAUAUUUUUUUGACCCGUGACUAAUUCAAUCAAAAUAGCUCCCAAUGCAUAUACAUUAAUCUUUGUGCUUAUUUUUUCGAUAAUUGCAAAACAAAAACACUCAUUACCAUUCAUAUCAAAUUAGAAAUAUAUAAAGUUAUGCAAACUUAAACCAAUUUAUCAAUUAUUGCAAGUAUGGACCAACUUCUUUCUAAUUUUUCUACGAAAUUACAUGUUUCAAUUCUAAUAUUCAAAAUAUAAUAAGAGAUAAAAAGAAAAAAACACUUACAAGCAUACUCAGGAGCAAAAUAACCAAAUGUGCCAGCGACUUGAGUUUGCAUUGACUUCUCCUUAUCUACAACAAGCUUAACCAAUCCAAAAUCUGAAAUCUUUGCUCUCAUGCUUUUAUCCAACAAUAUAUUUGAAGAUUUUAGAUCUCUAUAUAUGAAUAAAAGUUUGCUGCGUUAGGCCAUGUAAAUACUUGAGUCCUCUAGCCACGUCCAAAACUAUGAUAAGCCUUUGUAUCGAAUAAGGAAAAGCAUAUCCGUUCUCAUUUACGUGAAAUAAACGAUCGGCUAGUGUACCUUCAGACAUAUACUCAUAAACAAGAAGGCGCUCAGUACAAGUAUCACAAUAGCCAAGAAGUGUAAUAAGAUUUUUGUGUCGAACUUUCGUUAAGACAUUAAUUUCCACCAUGUACUUUUCUUGCCCUCUUCUUGCUUGCAAAUUCCACUCUCUCCUUUUAACUACAAUCAAUACUCCAUUGAGUUCUCCCUUAAAAACAACACAAAUCCACCCUUACCCAAAACAUUAUUGCUCUCACUAAAAUUGUCUAUGGCACUGCGAAGAGCUUCAAUGGAAAUGUUUAGUCCUAACUAGCCCCCUUCAGUAUUCUCAAUUCUACUUGUGUCCGCCAAAUCAGUUUCAGUGGCUUCCAUCUCGCCUGAAGGUAUUGUGGCCGGCACUGAAUUUUUCUUCUUUUUGCAGCAAUAAAUUAAAUAUACAAUUAGGCAAGCAAUAGGAAAACCUACUACUACAGUUGUAGCUAUAGCUAUCCAAAUAAUCCAUGUUUUAUUGAAUUCAUGGGAAACAGAUUCUUCAAAACGGUUUCCUGUCAGUUCAAGUCUUACGAAAAUUGCAAAGUUUGGCACCUUUACAGAAAGAUUGUUACAACUUACAUCCAAAAACUCCAGAAGUGGCAACCUCGUCAAUAUCUCUGGGAUCGACCCCUGUAGCCAGUUAUUUCAGAGAAUUAUCCUGCUCAGUGAGGUUAGAUCUGCUAAGUGCGACGAGAUUGAUCUAGAUAUGUUGCGACUUGAGAAGUCAACUAUUGUGAUGUUCCACCUCUUGGCAUCGCAGUGGACUCCUAAACACCCUGUAGCAGUCCAAGGAUUGUUCCCCAUCCAAGAAUUGGCUAACUCAAGCGGGUAGCCUAGUGCCACUGCCAUCUCCAGUAGCGCCGCCACCCUCGAGUCACAUGGCCCUGGCGCUGGCUUACAGAAGCUGUUUCUGCCGGCCACCUCAAUCAACAGUACUAUCCCAGCAGAGAACACUGGGAAUAGGCCCUAUAGCUUAUUGUUGGACAGGGACAUGUUCCGUAGCUUCUCGAGGGAUCGAUGUCAGUGACCGCGAAAUGAUUCCGGUGAUAUAAUUGUUGGCGACGUCAAAUGUCUGCAGGUUGCUGAGCUUGAAGACAUCGGGGAUGGGUCCAGUAAAUCGGUUUGACUGCAGCUGAACUAGGACCAGUAGCAGCAAGGUUCCGACAAUGUUGAUAUGACCGGUUAGAUUAUUGUGGGAGAGUGAGAGAUUCGCUAAAUGCGACAGCGAGGCGAACUUAUCAAGUAUCGUCCCAGUGAUGCUAGCAUUAAAUGCUGACCGGUUGGUGAGAUUCAAGAAGGCUGCAAGACUUGAUGGUAAGUUCCACGGGCCAAGGGAAUAUUGUCCAUGAAAAUCUGUUGAAGGCAAAUAAGGCCGGAGAAAAAAUCAUCAGGGAUUCAGGAGAAGGCAUUGUCACUGAUUUAAUUUAGUACUCUUUAGUUUUAACUUUGUCACUGAUUUAAUGAAAAAAAUUAGUGGAGGGGAUAACGAAAAGAGAAAAAUAAAACCACAGGGUACAAAAGUGAUAAACUUUAAACCACAAAGUACUAAAGUGAGAAAAUAUAAAACCACUGAGGUGGUAUUUGAAGUUUUUUCUUAUUUCUUAAUAGAAAAAUUUCACCGGUAUUCUUCUUGGAGGCCAUUUUAUUAUAGAUGCCCCUCUAAAGUUGAAAAUAUCAUAAAUAUCCUUAUAAAUAUUAAAAAUUCUCAUGAAUGUCCUUUAGGUAAAAAAAAUUCAUGAAAAAUACCAUCCAUUAUUUUUUAAAUGCCAUUUUUGCCCCUAAUAUCAAUUUAACAAAGUAUAAAAAUUUAAAGUUAUUUAAAUGAUUGGUUCUAAAUUUUGAACUGUAUACUAACUAGACUUUACUUUUUAAAAUUUUUAAUAAAAUAUUUAUAGUUUAUUAAAUAUAAAAUGUUUCUUUUUAAUUUUUCUUGAUGAAAUUACAUAGUUUAUCAUGACUAUAAUUGUCAAUAUUAGUAUUCAAUGUUACCUCUAGAGUUACUUAUUUUUUAAUUUUAUUUAAAUAUAAUAAUUUACAUACAUUUUUGUAAGGACUGAGAUUUUUGACAGUGUAACUAAACUCUCUGUUGAUGAUGUUUAUGUGUGUAAUUUAAUUAUAUAAGCACUCGUCAAGUUUCAGGAGAAAAUGAGCUAAAAUAGAAAAGUUACGCGAUUAUUAGUUUUCACUUAAGUGAAUAGUAACUCCGGUUUUCCGGAGAAGCCACGGAGUAGAGAUGGCUUUCGGCACGUAUCGGACUCCGUUCAUAGCGAUCCAAUAGCUCGUUUUGAACGGUUCAGCUAUUCUGGAACCAAUGGCACUGACGAAUUUCAGAUCCGAUGCACGGUUUUCGAGAAAAAGGAGUUUUAAGAAAAGAGGGUUUCCGCUCUUUGCUAUUCAUGCAUUUUAAAACUCCUCGUGCUUUGUACAAGUGAUCUGGAGAUGGGUGAGAGGUGUUUCAAGUACCUACUGGUGGUAAGGAAAUCAAAUACGGGUUUGAAUUAAAGGAUUUCAGGUUUCCACCAAGGCCUAUGUAUGAUAUCUGGAUUAGUUGGAGAGAGGUUGGAUUUUGUCGCAAAUCGGCAAGUAAAUCGGAUGAAACGAAAUCGUAGUUUCGAUGUCCUCGUCGUGCUGAACGCAAUGGUGCUGUCGGAUCGAAAAUCCGACGGACGGAUCUCUGGUAAUUGCGAAGUUUUCGUUAAGAGGUCGAAGGUGACAAUUCGGAAAAUUCGCGAAAGGCGCGACAUUUUAUGUAUCGAAUCGCGUGAGAUCGGACGUGGAGGUAUGUACGCGCAAAUUGUACGCCCUGGCAGGGGCUGAGGUUUAAAUAUUCUGGGUUAGAGGGGUUUUCUGCAAAUUGUCCUCUUGUAUAUAAUUAGCAUCUAGGGUUUCUUUGCACGAAACCCUAGAUCUAGCCGACCUUGUCUCCCAAUUGUGCCCUAACCAGCUUCAGCAGGUCCCUGCCCAAACAUUGCUCGCACCCCGGCCGCCGGCAGGUUCCCCGGUCGCCGGAAAACUAGAACCCGGCCACCUCCUCCAUCCUUCUCUCUCAACCAACCCAUCAACCUCCUCCAUUUCUGUCCGAGGGCAACCCAGGAGUGUCAUCUCGGUCGGGCACCACCUCUGGCAGCGGCCCCGACCUCCGCCGUCCCGCCGUGCCGGCCGCCGCCGUCCCCACGCGCCGCCGUCGCGGCCUGGAACGCCCUGGCCGAGCCUGACCUAGAUCUGGCCGAGCCUGGUCCCGCACCGCCUCCAUGGGCCGCCGCCGGCUAUGGACUACUUUGCCGCCUUCCCCGGCGUCGUCACAGCCGGCCCCUGCCGCUCCAGUGCGCCGCCGGCGCCGCCUCUGCUCCCUGCGGCCACCACGGUCAGCCCAGACCGAGCACGGGUGGGCUCGAGGCCCGCGCGCCGCCGCCACUCCAGAUCGGCCGCGCCGUCAUUCCUCACCCUCCGGCUACCUCCGGCGCGCGUCCCCGGCCAUCCCCGACCACCGCCGGCCGCCGCCCGAAGCUCCUGUAGCCGCCCAGACGCCAUGCGGGCCGAGGCUGAGCCUUCGUGGCCUCCGCGCGUCGCCACCGCCUAUGGUGGGGAGCACCACCUCCCCCUCGGCCUCCGCCGCCGGUUCGUCGCCGCCCCGACCUUGCUCCGGCCGCCGCCAUGGCCACCGCCACCUCUGGAGCCGCAUUGAACCCGCGCGGGCUCGGUUUGGUCCAGCACCGCCGCCGCCGUCUUCCGCCGCCGUCCGGCGUGAGCACCGGCUCCACCUCGCCGGCCGCACUCGUCCGCCGCCGGCGCCCCCACCGCCGGAGCUCCCUGUCAACCGUGGUGAGCCUAUGCUCUCCUCGGGUUGUACAUCUAGGGCAUCAAUGCCCGCCGUCGUCGCCGCCUCCCGUCGCCUGUUAACGCGAGCCCCGGCCUCCUCUGACCUGGAGCACCUUCCCCUGGCCGGCCUGCCCGCUGUCCGGCCGCCGCCGGCCACCCCGAGCCCUGCCUAGCUCCGGUAAGCUUGUAUUGCUAUUAUUGUGCACUGUUUGGGGUUGUGUGUACUUUUCCGGCAACCCGAAUGGUCUUUUUGACCUCGGGAAGUGAGCACGAUGAUCCUUAGGUCGUGCUGAACAUCGUGCUUACUUCCGUCGAGCCCUGAGAUGCCUUGGUUGCUCGGGCAACCGCGAUCUUCCUGCGGUGCGCGCUGCUUCGCUGACUUUCGCGUCGCUUGUGCGCGCACCGCAGUCGCCGAAUGUGCUCCGAAUGGUGAGCACGGUCUCCGGCACGCUGAAACCUAUCAGCGGGUGCGACGGUUGACCCAGCGAACCUCGUAUCGCAAGAUCGGGCCAUAAAAACUGCCGGAAAUCGCAUAAAAUGAUAGAUUUUAGGGUUCUUGUUGUGCUUCCUUGCAAAUAACUUCGACUCGGUCGCUGUGGACAGCGUGUAAAUGCUGAGGGUAACCUCUGGACUAAUCGUCCAAGGCCCCAAGCCACUGCGGAGAUCGAAAAGCCUUUUUCGGGGCGUUUCGCGGCGAAAUUCGUCGACGGAACGCGAUCUUAGUUCGGUUUUUAUCCGACGGUGCCUCGGGAUCAGUUGUGAUGUCGCUAAGCCUUCUUGGCAGGUCACCCGUGUCGUUUCGGGGGUUCAGAAACGACGGGUGAGCGACUGGUGGGUCCCGGUGUCAAAAACGACACUUUCGGGAACCCGGUUCGAGACGUUUAGUCAACGAUGUCUGUUCCGAGGCGAAGUGUGGUGUUUGCUGCCAAUGUGGGUUAUUAUAGAGUAUUAGUGGCAGCGGUUGACUCCCAGUUGGAGUUGGGGAGUUCCGGGAUAAUUAGUGGACCCCGACGGAGCCCCGGCGCGAUAUUCGGGACUCCCGAUGUGAUUCGACAAUCGGUCUUGGGAAACCGAUUCCCGUUGUUCCUUGUCUGGGGAUUUUAUAUUGGUUGCUGACAUUAGGGUCUCCUUCUGAUCUUGUGGACCCUUCGUAGGUCCGGUUGCUCUGUUUCCCCGCCGUCGUGAGAUCUGAUCCAGACUUGUACAGGUGGGUACUUCGAUCCGACGUCGGUACAGUGGUGCACGCUCGGUGAUGGUUUCUUACCCUUGCUCUUUCGUUAUUAUCCAUGCUUAUAUUAUAUGUUGAGCUUUGCACCUCUAUUGUUUACAUUACACCCACGUUGUUUGAUUAUACUCUACUCAGAUGUUUCCAUGCUUAGUAUCAUGUGUAGGAGUAUAGUCUAUCUGUAUGUGAUACCAUGUUUCCUUGUUGCUCUACUUAGCUAUUCUGCAUACCCUGUUUCAUAUUUAUAGUAGAGCGAUUCUGUGAUUAUCUGUGAGAUUAGCGAUCUAGUCGGUCGAUUCUAGUAUUCAGUAUUUGUGACCUAUUCGGUGAGUUCCUCGACCUUUGUUGUCUGAUGACCGUUGAGGUCGGUAUACCCUGAGGGGUGGGAUUGUCGGUUAGUUGCCGACGGAUGAUUAUACUUUACUCAUAUCCUAUACUUGUGACAUGAUUGGUCGAGUUUCAUAUCCUAUACUUGUGACAUGAUUGGUCGAGUUUCAUAUCCUAUACUUGUGACAUGAUUGGUCGAGUUUCAUAUCCUAUACUUGUGACAUGAUUGGUCGAGUUUCAUAUCCUAUACUUGUGACAUGAUUGGUCGAGUUUCAUAUCCUAUACUUGUGACAUGAUUGGUCGAGUUUCAUAUCCUAUACUUGUGACAUGAUUGGUCGAGUUUCAUAUCCUAUACUUGUGACAUGAUUGGUCGAGUUUCAUAUCCUAUACUUGUGACAUGAUUGGUCGAGUUUCAUAUCCUAUACUUGUGACAUGAUUGGUCGAGUUUCAUAUCCUAUACUUGUGACAUGAUUGGUCGAGUUUCAUAUCCUAUACUUGUGACAUGAUUGGUCGAGUUUCAUAUCCUAUACUUGUGACAUGAUUGGUCGAGUUUCAUAUCCUAUACUUGUGACAUGAUUGGUCGAGUUUCAUAUCCUAUACUUGUGACAUGAUUGGUCGAGUUUCAUAUCCUAUACUUGUGACAUGAUUGGUCGAGUUUCAUAUCCUAUACUUGUGACAUGAUUGGUCGAGUUUCAUAUCCUAUUCUUGUGACAUGAUUGGUCGAGUUUCAUAUCCUAUACUUGUGACAUGAUUGGUCGAGUUUCAUAUCCUGUACUUGUGACGUGAUUGGUCGAGUUUCAUAUCCUAGUUGAUCUGAGUGGUCAGUCCUUGUGGUUCAUUGAGCAGUAUUUGCAUAUGUUUGAGAGGAUGUCGAUGUUGUCCCAUCCUAGUUGACCUGAGUGGUCGGUUCUUGUGCUUCUUUACAGUUGACGACCUAUGCGGUCGAUGGGCCCUGGGGGGCAGGAUUGUCGGCUGGUUGCCGACGGUUGAUCAUUGAGCAUAUUGCAUUGAUCGCCCGAUACUCGUCGCAUUUCACGAACACUGGCGGUCUGAUCCACCGCAAGGAGUGUUCUUUUCCGGAAAAGUGGUUGAAUGGUGACAACCCGUGAGCCCUAGAGGGGUUAUAUGCACUGGAGAGUAGUAGUGGCACUGGCUUGAGGUCUGCGGUGCUGACCAAGAGAGCAUUGGUUUCAGAUUGGGUACUUUUGGACUUCUUGACCGGUUGACGCAUAUGUCUAUAGUAGCAGUCGUUGCAUGCAUACUUACAGUUCUUACUUUAUAGUUGUCUUGCUGCUAUAGUAGAUAUUCAUGUAUGCUUUCGGUUCCAGUUACAGUAGCGGUAGCCGUUAUUCAGUCUAGUUCUUACUUUCUUUCAGUUUAUUGCUACUGUAUUCAGUAUAUCUGCUCAUUACCUUAUACAUCUCUUUCGUUUACUAUUGUUCCUACUGUAUUCCCACUGACCCGUAUUGUUAUAUAGCUCUUCCUGAUCCGGUGAGUACUCCUCGCCUUCUUCGGCUUGCGGUACCCACUGGGAGGGGAGACAUGUUUACAUGUUCUCACCUCCCCCACCAUUUUUCAGGUAUCGCGGGCGAUGAAUAGUGGGACGAGACGUGAGGUACGUGUGUAGCGGUCGAUAGAGCUUCCGACCCAGGUUAUUUCGGUAUAGUUAUUACCCUUAUUAUUUCAGUUGUUAUAGCUUAGAUAGUUAUAUGGUUCAGUAUUUUUAUUACAUUUGAAAAUAUGGAUUUUCGUGAAUGUAAUAAACCGAUUUCUGGAUUUUGUAAAAUAAAAGGUUUUCUACCCCUCGUGGUAGCGUUUUUAAAAGAAUAAAGGUUUCCGUGUAGGAAACAGUUUUCAAAAGAUUUUUGUGGAUUUCUGUUUAAACCUUGAAUGUAAAACCGUGAUGUGAAUGGUGAAUGUAUGAAUGUAUAGUUAUCUUUAUAUUCAUCUUGUUGUGGUUGUAUCCUGGUUGUACUGUGUAUUUGAUCGACGCCGUGCAAAUACAGGGGAGACUCUGUCCGUGUAAACAGUGGAUUCCCUGUAUUUGUGGCGGAUCUGGCAUACUCGGGGGUCAGGUUUUCAAAAAAAAAAAAAAAUUCAGACGCUUUUCCGCUUUGUUUUAAACUGGAAAUGGACCCCGGGGCGUGACAAUUUUACAAAAAAAUAAUAGCCAAAAUUCUUGAUAGUAAAGUAUUUUCAUGUGACAUUCAUAUAAAAUUCAUUUUCUACAACAAAAUAAAAGUGCGUAAAAUUCUUUCCACUUAUACACCAUUUGAACGAGCCUCUUUAAUUUUAUUUUUUUUUAUUUACACCUUCUCAAUUUUAUUUUAUUUUUUACAAUUGAGUGAAUUUUAUUAGCCAAUUUUUUUAAAAAAAUAAAUUAAUUAAUGAAUGAGAUAUCUCGAUUAAGAAAUUUCACUACGUGCAAAAACCUAAUAAAAAAACCAAAAGCUUAAGAGGUCUUAAUUAAAAAAAAAAAGUUGAAGGGGUCUAUUUUAAAAUAGACCUAUUGGUGAGGGGCCUCCAUACAUUUUUACUCACCAACAAUUAGGGGUAGAAAUGUUAUUUUAUCUUAUAAAAAUUAAGAUAAGUAAAUAGAGGAUGAUGGCAAGGGUUUUCAUGAUAGUUUAUGAGGUUUAAGAGGGUAUCAAUAAUAUUUCAAAAUUUUGAAGGGUAUCUACGAUAUUUUUAAAUUUUAAAAGGGUAGUAAUGAAAUUGCCCCUUUUAAUAAUAUUUAAUAACUUUAAACUUUUAUAUUUUAAUAAUUUUAUUUAAAUAAGUUAAAAUUUCAUCAAAUUCAUCAAUCAUUCCGUCAUAUUCAAUAACAAAAUUAGAGUAGUCAAUAGUUGUUAGCGAAUAAAAAUUUAUUAAAUUUAAUAAAAUUAUUAACAUAGAUAAUUUGAACAACUCAACCAAAAAGUGGAAGAGAUUAAAGGAAUGUGACCCUCCAAGUAGAGGCCAUCCAGAAAUGGCGGUCGAUCUCUAUUUUCCGCUUAAUUAUCAACUAAGCAAACUUAAUUCGGGAAAAAAAAAAUAGAGAAAAGAGUAAAAGUUGAUGAUCUCUUUUGUCAUCUUCACUCUUUUUUUUUUUUAAAUGCUAAAUUUAUUUUAUUUGAUAUAGUAAUAGAAAGACUUUAAAUAAUUAGUAAUCUUGUGAUGCAAAUCAAUCAAGUUCUAUUACGAAAAAAAAAAAAAAAAAAAAAAAAAAAAAGAACUUUUAGGCUUUGUUUGAUAUUAUGUUUAUUUUUUAAAAUAAAUUUUUGUAUAUUAAAAAGUAAAAAACUGGCCAGUAGAUUGCUUAUAAUUUUUUCAACCAAAGUAUUUGCAUGGCAAUUAAAAAUGAAAAAUUUAAACAAAUAGUUUUUCUUUCAAACUUUUUUUUAAACAAGUUGUUAUUUAUCACUCAAUUUGAUGCAUUGUAAUCUUAGAAAUUGUAAUAAUAAAAAAUAAAGAAUAACAAUCAUGCCAAACAAGACCUUGUGUUUUUAUGUAUUUUUGCCAAAUUAAUACCUUGAAUGUAAGAAUUACAACUUAUUCAGUAAUACCUCCUAUACUGUUGUGUGUAACAAUAGUAUUUGACGAAUUAAAGAAAAUUAGACACACGGUGAAAAAUAGAUGUGCAAGUUGUACAAAAUCAAAGCAUACAAUAUUAAAGUUCGCCAACAAAUGAAUAUUUUAAGCGAAAAAAGAAGUGUUUUAGAAAAACUCAUGUCACGCACGGGCACUAGAGGAAAACUAUCCGGCACGUGCACAGACCCGCUGUGUGCACAAGGCACCCCCGGUGCACACAAGACGUCUACCACAAAACAAACAAUAAGAAAAGAACAGAAAGGAAAUAAUCUUAACAUAGCAAUUAGAGCAUGAGUGCUAAACUAUAUAAGAAGUCAACAUUUACAACAAGAAACAACCAGUUGCUACAAUAAAGAUAAAUCUAUCAUACAAUAUACAAUAGGUUGAAACAAAAGGUAUAUCUCAUGAACAUAAGGUGGUCCCUAUACAAAAAUGAUCUAAUACACCUUUCAUGAUUAAAACAAAAGAAAGUGUCCACCUAGGCAACUCCCGAAAAGCUCUAGCUAGUCACAACUCCCUUUGCCGUCAUCUAUUUUGAUAUUCCGACACUAUUCGACUUUUCGUCUUCCAUUCUCGACAUUCCUUCUUCUUCUCUCUACCUCAAAAUGUAAACUAUUUGAUCUUCUUCCCUCUCUCUCUAUCUUCAGUUUGGAAAAACCAUUAUAUCUUAUAUUUUUAAUAUUCUAUUUUGUUGUAUUAUAUGUUGUUGUUGAGCUUUCGUAAUAGCUGCAUCAGUUGAAAGCAUUAACCAAAUUGAAAGAAAGAAAUUGGUCUAUAUAUCGGUUCAACAACUUCUUAAUUGCGUCAAUACUAGUCGUUUGAAAAAGUAAUACAAGUGGCGAAGGCAAGAACAUAUUCUUAUCAUUUAAGCAUACACUGAAGGACGGUGAAAUAAAAAGCUAGCAUACAUAUUCAUUGAAAGAAUAUAAAUCAAUUAUAUAUAUAUAUAUAUAUAUAUAUAUAUAUAUAUAUAUAUAUAUAUAUAUAUAUAUAUAUAUAUAUAUAUAUAUNUUUAUUUAUUUAUUUAUUUAUUUAUAUUUGUAAUAUAAUUCAAAUAAAUAUUUAUUAUAAAUAUAUAUAUAUGAAAUAUAUAUUACAAAUAAAUAAUACAUAUAUAUCAUAAAUAAAUGUAAUAAAUUUGAAUUUUUAAAUUUAUUAAGUUUUUUGAGGUUCAAAUAUUUAUUAAAUUGUACUUUCCUUAGUGAUGACAGUUGAAGAAAUAGAGGAAUGCCACCCUUGAAUCUAUAGUAUCUCAAACUACUAGAAUUUGUACCAUCCUAAAGUUUUUAUGAGAUUUAACAACAGCAGCUUUUGUCAAUGCAAAGUAAUCAACUUUGUUGGUACCUUUAGACCUAUCCUACCUGACUUUCCAAUCACAUCAACUAAGCAAUGUGAAUAGAUGGAUAUCUGCUGAAACAACAUGUACAUGUUGGAGAUUAAGGAAAGAGACAAGAAAUUAAUUUAUACUAAGUAGAAAUAUAAAUAAAGUAAGAGCAUUAAUGAUGCUGGCUAUCUUAGUAAGUGUUUGAUGAAUCAUCUCUAUCUCUUUCAUACACAUGAGGAUCACCUCAAUGUUUUCAAAUUUCUUACAGUACUUCAUGAUUCAUAUUAGUCAUAGCCACAGUUUUUGAGCCCACAAAGAUCUUACGACUUCUCCCUCUAAUGCAAACUUCCCCACUUAUAGCCUUUCAUAACAUCGGAAAGAAAACAUUAAACAAGAUAAUCGAAUUAAAGACAUUUUUAUCUGUCUGAGCACACAAAGAAGGAACUAUAUGAAGUAUUUAAAUUAUUAAAAUUAUUAGCAUUAUCAAAUUACUAUGAAAACUCUCAAAUAUAGGCCCGUUUUGAAAUAGCUCUCUAAACAAUAGUUUUUUUUUAUCGAGAUGACCCAACUUCUAUUUUUUCAAGUGAAGUGAUUUUACACAAUUAAAUUUGAGAUUUUAUCAAACUAAUGGAUAAUUCCACUAAAUUUGAUAGUUUAAACUAUUUUAUCAAGAACAAAAUUAGAUUAAUUAAUUGCAUGCUAAUGCGAAUUGAGCCAUAAAAUAUAAUAAUAAGUUCUUAACUUUAUUACUAUGAAAUUUCAAAUAAAAAAUUGGAAGUGGUUCAAUGAUAUAGAAAAAAAGAAAGGUAAUAUGGCACUGAAAUAGCCCCAUACUUUUUUUCUAUUUUUUGAUUAAGGUCUCCCAUCUUCUAACUUUUUAAGUACUAUUUUAUAAUGACUAUACUAAAUCUGAUGUAAGGAAAGCAAAAUUUGAUGUAAGGAAAACAAAAUACAUUAAGUACUAAAGUAUUACUUCGAAUAGGCCAACCAGUACUGAACAGCAUAGUCAGCUGUAUAUGUAGUUUUCUUUAACUCUAAUUUCAAAAUAAAGAUACGAUAAUAACAUAAAAGCUUCAAACCAUAUUCAAAAAGUAAAUAAACUCUUGUAAUCUGUAAGGAAAAAUUAAACAAAAAAAGAUAAAUGUUCUAUUUACGUCCUAAGUGGAAAAAGACCUAGCUCCUAUACGCAGCUCAGCACAUGAUAUUGCAAUGGAUGAUUUGAUUAUAUCCACAAAUUCACCCAAAAGAAGAAAAAAGGAAAAAGGAAUGAAGCAAAUCCACGAGCAAGACAAAAUAAAAUGUAAGUAAAUUUGUUGAUAUCAGUUUUCAUGAUUAACAAAAAAAAAAAAAAAUCCAAAGUCACCAAUCUCUAAUAAGCUAGUAUUUUUUAUUGCAGUUAUUAUAGGAGAAAUCCUUAUCAGUGUAAAAGAAAUAUUUCAUCACAUUUAGUAUUGUUUAGUGCAAUCACAAGUGCACCCUUGUCUUAUAUUAAGUUUCUAGAAAUUUUAGAGGAAGAAAAAACAAAACAAACCUUCAUCAUGGAUGAUGGUCCGACGAGUGCAGCCAACUCCCUAUAGUUUCUCCAUCUACGCAGCCUGUAACAACAAAGAAAAACUAAUUUUUAAAACAAAAAAUCAUAACAAAGGUUAAAAUGCAAGCAAAAUUAUAUUUCCUAAAAAUCAGAAAUUAAUAAUCAUACAACUCGUCUAUAUUAUGCAACAUCAUCUUAUAAAUUGUUCAAUCUAUUAACUCAUAUGCAUAAUAGAAGGAUGAAAAUAAAAAGUACAUAUAUCUCUAACUGAACUUCGUUGGUAGGGGAAAAAAAAAAAAAAAAGUACCUUUGUAGAUGAUAAUCGUCGACCAUGCAACUAGCUCGCUCACAUGAUUCAAGAACCACGUUCUUAUAAUUGAAUGAUGCUAAGCCAAAUAUACACAAUUUAGUGAAAAGAUAGACCACACAUCUUGCUAGCUUUUCUAGUAAUAUAUAAGUGUAAAAAUAGUGUGCCAUUUGCUUGAUGCUCCAAUUAUUAGACUAUUGAAACUUAAUUACAAAUGUAUCGUGUAUCUAGAAAUUGACUAAAGUUUGCUCAAGUAAGUUAUCAUCCGAAUUAAGAGAGGUCUUCUAAGUUAAAAGAAUAUGAGAAAUAAUUCUACUGUAUAGAACUCUAAUUAAGAAUUGCUUGUAAUUCCUAUUUCUGUUUUUUGGAUUUCUAGCUAUAGAAAUAGGUCAAAUGGAACCCUAGCAUGAUUAGUUGAUGCUUUAAGCUAGAAUCUUGGGAUUUGUUGGUGGUUUGCUAUAGGUGCAAACUUAGGGCUCCAAAUUAGGGUCUUUGAUAAAUGAUGAGAUUGAUCUCAUUUGAUAGCUUGUAAACCUAAUUAGUAGGUGUCUAGACGCGGGGGCGAAAUCGGAUUUUCGAUUCGUCGAGCGGGUGAAAAGCUAUCGGCGAAAUAUAGCCGAUUGAGCAACGUUUAAGUGGCAAAUGGCUUGGUGGUUGGUACCUGAGACCCAAGUUCGAAUCCUAGUUGAUUCACAUUUCCAGCUAAGUUUAUUUCUAAAUGAAAUAAAGAACGUGGGUAGAGUGUUACCUAUCUCUCUCAAAAAAAGAAAAAAAGGAAAAGGUGUGUUUGUUUAAUGGUGGAGGAAAGAAGACGGAACUUACAGAUUCUAGACUACGCCGGAUCUUGACUUCACUACGGUAGGAUGUGUUUGUUUAAUGGUGGAGGAAAGAACACGGAACUUACUGAUUCUAGACUACGCUGGAUCUCGACUUCAUUGCGGUAGGAGACGAAGUUGUAUUUCCACGUCGUAGAGGAUGCUCGCAAACCAUAUGUUUUCAACAGCUUCCUGGGUCUGAUUUUCCAAGUUUGCCAAGCUCCUACAGACAUCUGUCCUCGCCCUGUUUGGUUCAACAUAAAGCGGUAAAAGAUAAUUUUUAGUGAAAAAGUAUUUUUAAUAGACAAAUAAUUUUACGAUUUCAUUUGAUUUGUUAGAAAAAAAAAAGUUUUUUUAGUGCUUGUUUGGAUAAUCGGAAAUAGAGAUAGAACAUUUUAUAAUUAUUUUAUUUUUAUCUAUUCUUAUACAUUUUUAUGUACCAUAAUUAUAUUAUAUAACAUAUGCCAUAAAUGUUGCUGCCAAUGUAAAUCAAUAUGUAUCAUUAGGACCGACCGUCCCUAGAGCAAGUGGCAAAGGGCUUGGUGGUUGGUACCCGAGACCCAAGUUCGAAUCCUAGUUGAUUCACAUUUUCAGCUAAGUUUAUUUCUAAAUGAAAUAAACGAAGCGGGUAGCGUGCUACCUAUCUGUAGUAUACUAGUAUCCCUACACUUAGUAUAUAUAUAUAAGUGUGUGUGUGAGGGUACGUGUGUGUGUGUGUGUGAGUGCACAUGUGUGAGUAUGUGUAAUGCCAUGUGGCAUCACCUCCCCCCCCUCUUUUAUGCAUGCAGGGAAGAGAGAGAGAGGAGUUUAUCUCCUCUCUUCUCUCCUUUUCUCUUUCGUUCGGCCGUACCAAGGAAGCACGCGAGGGACGCCGCCGCGGAGCCGAUUUCGCCGUCGACGUCGCACCGCAGAGCCGUUCGAACCUACGGUUGCUGCCGUUGCAUCGUGAGGAGGCCGGGCGAGCGUGGAUCUUCGCCGUUCUUGACGUCGCGCCAGUGCUAGUCGCCGUCGAGGUGGGUGUUCCAUAGAAUUGCUUCCUAAUUUCCAAGCUUUUUCAAUUUCGAGCUAGUUGCUGUCCCUGCAGAUUUCCAGCGUCGACCGUUGGCGUUUCGGCUCGUACUCGACGUAGGAGCGUCGGAUUUCGACGAGGCUUGAUUCGCUGGAUUCAGGACUUCGAGAGGAAUCCACGAAGCCCUUACUUGCCAGAUUUCGUUGAGGUUAGAUUGGUCGAAUCCGUGCUGUACCUGACUGUUGCGAAUUUUGGGACUGAAACGGUGAUUUGUGCUUUGUAGAGCGUGGUGUUAGCUCGACUCCCGGAUUUGGAGGGUGUAGAUCGACCAGCAGGUGGUGCUGCAGCUGUGAGGGUGUUUUGCUGCCAGAAUUAGCGACUAAGGUGGGUUUACAUCGGUUUAUUCCUAAGUGUAGUAAUAGUCGACAUGUAUGAUUUUCUGUUCGGUAAAUCAUGUUGUAGUUCGUUUUUCAUAAUGAUAUCCUGGAUAAAUGCUGCAUAUAUAACAUGAUUAUUACCUUUUAAAUAUACAUGUUGGACUGGGUUUAAACUUAGGAGAAAACGCGAUUGGAAUCGACAUAUGUAUUAAACUGCCUGAUUUAGCUCUAGGAGCCGUUAUAGAAUUGUACUGUCGCAGCAUACUGUAGACGAGUACUCCAGGUAGUUUAGAAUACAUUUACGCUCGUGCUGGUAUGCCGAGUGAAUUUUUCUGAGGUCGUUUAGACUGUUUCGUACUAGUGGGCGCCGUCGGGACUGACGGUGGGCCCGGUUCGCCGUUUUGGCGUCGGAUUGUGCCGAGGGCACGUUGUUUGUUGUAUUUAGACUAGUCAGAGUUGUUACUGGACUUCGGCUUGAGUUAGAGAGCCUGUUUGAGCUCGACAGAGAUACGCUGCAUACUCGGUUGGGUAGCUCCCACGAGUGCCACUCCGGAGGCGGGCGCGGUGCUUUUGCGUUGGUGUCGCUCAUGCCAGUUGGACUUGCUCUCCACGGACCAGCUAGUGUGGAUAGAGCCUGAUAGUCGCAACGGGGCAGGGACGGGUGUGUUCACAGUCCCAGGGACGGGUAUGUUUACAGUCCCAAUUGGAUUGGGUCAGAUUUGACAUUUCCUACAGUCGGUUAAUGUAGAGCAUGAUAGUGUAGUGGAUGAUAGCGAUAGAGUGUACUUCCUGCUUUUCCUUCUAUCCUUGCUCCCUUCUGUAGACUUAGUGGGUGACCGAUGUCGUUUUGGGCGGUACCCACUGAGGACUACUUGUUUUUACAGUAGUUCUCACGCCCAGUUGUUACCUAUGUUUUGCAGAGCCACAGGUUUCGGCUACUGCGCCUUCCGCGGAUCAGGAUCGAGGCAAGGGCGUCGCGAGGUAGAGCCCUACCCGACUGACAGAGCUAGAGGCACCCCCCUACUGCAGGUAGUUGCUAUUUUAGAGUUUAUGUACAUAGUUGUUUAACUCGCCGGUGCGAGUAGCUUUGUAUUUUGGAUUUGGACUAUGUAUAUGAAACUCAGUUGUUUAGCUUUGUAUAUUGAGCAGCUCUAUGCUACUGUUUGUAGUAUUGUAUAUUUACAGGUACUUUUGACGCUUCGUAUACAGGAGAAAUUCCUUGUAUACGGCGGAUUUGUCGGCGUGCCCGGGGAACGAGACAUCCGGGGCGUGACACUAUCUCUCUCAAAAAAAAAAAAAAGAAAAAAAAAAUGUGUGUUUGUUUAAUGGUGGAGGAAAGAAGGCGGAACUUGCAGAUUCUAGACUACGCCGGAUCUCGACUUCACUGUGGUAAAUAGUGGAGGAAAGAAGGCGGAACUUGCAGAUUCUAGACUACGCCAGAUCUCGACUUCACUGCGGUAGGAGACGAAGUUGUACUUCCACAUCGUAGAGGAUGCUCGCAAACCAUAUGUUUUCAACAGCUUCAUUGGUCUGAUUUUCCAAGUUUGCCAAGCUCCUACAGACAUCCGUCCUCGCCCUGUUUGGUUCAACAUAAAACGGUAAAAGAUAAUUUUCAGUGAAAAAGUAUUUUUAAUUGACAAGUAAUUUUACGAUUUCAUUUGAUCUGUAAGAAAAAAAAAAAAGUUUUUUCAGUGCUUGUUUGGAUAAUCAGAAAUAGAGAUAGAACAUUUUAUAAUUAUUUUAUUUUUAUCUAUUCUUAUAUAUUUUUACAUUUUUAUGUACCGUAAUUAUAUUAUAUAACAUAUGCCAUAAAUGCUGCUGCCAAUGUAAAUCAAUAUGUAUCAUUAGGACCGACCAUCCCUAGAGCAAGUGGCAAAGGGCUUGGUGGUUGGUUCCCGAGACCCAAGUUCUAAUCCUAGUUAAUUCACAUUUCUAGCUAAGUUUAUUUCUAAAUAAAAUAAACGAAUCGGGUAGCGUGCUAUCUAUCUCUCUCAAAAAAAAUGUGUGUUUGUUUAAUGGUGGAGGAAAGAAGGCGGAACUUGCAGAUUCUAGAGAACGUCGGAUCUCGACUUUACUGCAGUAGGAGACGAAGUUGUACUUCCACGUCGUAGAGGAUGCUCGCAAACCAUAUGUUUUCAACAGCUUUCUGGGUCUGAUUUUCCAAGUUUGCCAAGCUCCUACAGACAUCCGUCCUCGCCCUGUUUGGUUCAAUAUAAAACGGUAAAAGAUAAUUUUUAGCGAAAAAGUAUUUUUAAUUGACAAGUAAUUUUACGAUUUCAUUUGAUUUGUAAGAAAAAAAAACAAGUUUUUUUAGUGCUUGUUUGGAUAAUCGGAAAUAGAGAUAGAACAUUUUAUAAUUAUUUUAUUUUUAUCUAUUCUUAUACAUUUUUACAUUUUUAUGUACCGUAAUUAUAUUAUAUAACAUAUGCCAUAAAUGCUGCUGCCAAUGUAAAUCAAUAUGUAUCAUUAGGACCGACCGUCCCUAGAGCAAGUGACAAAGGGCUUGGUGGUUGAUUUCUGAGACCCAAGUUCGAAUCCUAGUUUAUUCACAUUUCCAGCUAAGUUUAUUUCUAAAUUAAAUAAAUGAAGCGGGUAGCGUGCUACCUAUCUCUCUCAAAAAAAAGAAAAAAAAAAUGUGUGUUUGUUUAAUGGUGGAGGAAAGAAGGCGGAACUUGCAGAUUCUAGACUACGCCGGAUCUCGACUUCACUGCGGUAGGAGACGAAGUUGUACUUCCACGUCGUAAAGGAUGCUCGCAAACCAUAUGUUUUCAACAGCUUCCUGGGUCUGAUUUUCCAAGUUUGCCAAGCUCCUACAGACAUCCGUCCUCGCCCUGUUUGGUUCAAUAUAAAAUGGUAAAAGAUAAUUUUCAGUGAAAAAGUAUUUUUAAUUGAUAAGUAAUUUUACGAUUUCAUUCGAUUUGUAAUAACAAAAAAAAAAAAAGUUUUUUAAGUGUUGUUUGGAUAAUCGGAAAUAGAGAUAGAACAUUUUUUAAUUAUUUUAUUUUUAUCUAUUCUUAUACAUUUUUAUAUUUUUAUGUAACGUAAUUAUAUUAUAUAACAUAUGCUAUAAAUGCUGCUGCCAAUGUAAAUCAAUAUGUAUCAUUAGGACCGACCGUCCCUAGAGCAAGUGGCAAAGAGUUUGGUGGUUGGUUCCCGAGACCCAAGUUCGAAUCCUAGUUGAUUCACAUUUCCAACUAAGUUUAUUUCUAAAUUAAAUAAACGAAGCGGGUAGCGUGCUACCUAUAUCUCAAAAAAAAAAAAAAAAAAAAAAAAAAAAAUCAUCAACCUUACUGUGAAAAUAAAUUCGCGUACUUUCAACUAAUUUCUAGUAGCCAUGUAUUGCUUGAAUUGAACGAAAUUUAGCUACAGAGGAUGCAGAACCAAUCAUAGAAAAUUCUCAUAGUUUGAAAAGCAAAGCAUUUGCUACCAACCGUUAGCUGCCAUGAUCAUUGUUAUUAGUCAAAGCAGUACUACUUUUACUCACAAGACUCUUUUUAAGUUUUUUGGAUAAUUGAAAGAGCCUAGAGAUGACGGAAAUCACGAGCAUAAGAAUUUAAUGGCAGUGAGACCUUACAUCUCACUUAAGAUAGUCAUCGGAAUAUGAAUAUAUGAUAAUGAUACGUACUCCGCAAAACUAAGGUUGAUUUUGUAUAAGAUAUAUGAGAACUGCAUAAAGUUUUAUGUGUUCAUAAGGUCAAACUAAGCAGGCCUUGCGACAAAGAUAUGCUUAAGAAGAACGAGAACCAAUUGAGCCUUCAACCUAGAACCUGCGGUCAUGGGAACUUGCUGCUAAAACUAUAGAGAUGUAUUGACAUUAAAAUAACAUGGUCACAUUUUGUGAUAUCAAAUUCUUGGGAAUAGCAAUUUAUUUGGUAGGAGCAAACAAUAGUUUGCAUGCAAAUCUUGGUUAAGACAAUCUCUUACUCUCGGUGAGAAAAAGAAGGGUCUCAUUGCGGUGGACUUUGAGAAAGAACUUCUUGCUGAUUCUAGUCGACUUCAUUUGAAGCGCAGUGGUGAGUACCCUAACAAAAACACAACAACAUAUUUAAUCACAAAAAUCUUUACAUAACAGGACAAGCCAAAAAUACACAAAAUCUAUACCUAACAGAACAAGCCAAAAAUACCAUAAUAUAUGUGAAAACUAAUGUGUAUAUAAUAUAGAAGUUGUUGAAACUAUUUUCAGAUUGUACGGAAAGUGUUACAUAAUAUUGUUAUGACGCGCCACUUCCUAAGGGGUCACCCAUCCAAAUACUAUUCUAUCCCUAACACACUUAAUUCUCUUAAUUUCUUAGACCUAACUACCACUCAAAAUGUUAUAGCCGAGUUAAGAGUUUUAGCCUUAUUAUAUCUCACAAGUAGAACUAUUUUAGGGGCGUCACAUUCUCCUUCCCUUUAAGCUCUGACGUCCUUCUCAAGCUCAAGCGCACUCACAAGAAUUAGGCAAUGUGAAAUUUGUCUCGUUAGCCUUUCACCAACUUUGUGGAAGUCGCACUCCACCCACAACAGUCAUCAGCUUGGACCCGCACUCUUGCUUGCUAUAUAACCUUGGCUUAAUCUAAACUCAUCUCACAUUUUCGGCUAAUGAUUAGCUCUGGCCACUUCUAGGAGGUUAUCCAUUCUAGGACUACUUUAGCCUUAGCACAUUUUAUUAUCUUAACCUCUUAGGCAUAGUCAACGCCCAAAAUGUUUAGCCGGGUUAAAAAAUUUAGAUCUAUUAUAUCUCAUAUAUAAAUUUAUUUUAUAUCUUGGGGUGCCACAAACGUAGUGUCGUGAAUGAAAGGAAGUGUCCUCCAACUUUCACUUAAUUAGGUCUAUUACCUCUUUUGUGUGUUGCUAAAGAGUCUAAAUGAAAGACUUGGACUAGAGUUGUUGUUGAAGCUGUUGCACGACAGGUGUAGCAAUGGCACGGUGUGGUCGACCGAGUUUCCGUGUUUGUCAUGCUCCGAGAUCUUUUUUGUAAAGCUUUUUUAGAAAAAAAAAAAAUUCCAAUUUCAAAAUUAACGCCAGAGAAAAAAAAAUGUCCAAUUUUUUAUGAAACAAUUAUGACCACAGGAUGAAUAAAUCGUUUCUAUCCUCCCGAACAAAAUCUUUCUUUUAUUUGCACGGCGUAUACUGUUACAUUCCACAACCAACAAUUUUCACUCGCCUAACAACAUUCAAAUCAUGCUGAAUAAGCUGUCUUUAACAAAAAUAACGCGAAUACACAGUACACUAAUCAUUCUAUUAUUUAAAUAUAUUAUUUUAAAAAUCUAAAAUUUACAAUAAAAUCAAAAACUAUCUUAAAAACUAUUUUCUAUACGAAAACUUAACCUUUUGAAAACGAAAACUUAACCUUUCGAAAACCGACUACCACGACGGAGAAAAAAUAUUUUUACCAUAAGUCCAUAACCAAUGUCGUAGAUAAUAAACAUAAAUCUACAACACAUUAACCCAAAACAAGCAUUCAAUUUAACUGAACCACCAGUCUUAAUUAUUAAAAAAUUAUCAAAUCUAUCAUGUAAAUGAAGAGUCCAAAAUUGAAUGACCGUUUAGAAAUAGAGGAUAAUUCUUUGAGUCAAGCACGGAUUUAUUAAUAUUUCUUUAGAUGGUAAAUAAAAAUUGAUAUAAAAAAUUGUGGCGUUCGAUGUAUCUCACACUUCCAUGGAAAGGCCAGUAAUAUCCAGGGCAGAAAGUAACGAAGAACACAUUAUGAUAACAAAGAACAAAAAAAUUACGACACUAAGAAAAGAAAAGCGUUUGAUUAAACGCGCAAUAAUUACCCAGAUGAGGUCAAAAUCUUCGAAGAUCAUGGCACCCUCAGAUUUGAGGGCAGUCGCAAAUUACCUCAGCCGAUUCCCAAAGGAACGCAAAGAAAUAACACAAUAAAAAGUAAUUCAUAACCCUACUUGACUGAAUUAAAGUACAAAACUCGUAUAUGCUAGACAGACAGUUCCUUUAUUUCCUUCCCUCUUUCAAUUUUCUCCUCUCCUUUCUCUUUUGCUCGCGAGCGCCUGGCAAAACAAGCAAAAGAACUUUUAAAAGCCACAAGAAAACCUUGCAAUGAAGAGGAAAUUGGAUAAUAAAAGGGGAAAAUGCUCAGGGAGUGAAAUUUACACUUCUUUUCUUCCCGUCUUUUCCGUUUCCAUUGUUCCGCCAAUAUUUGCAUUUCUCUCUUUUUCUCGACAUUCACACAAACCUGGAGGCCGAUCAUAAAUGAGAAGACCAUGCGGUUAGUUAAUAGAGGCAAAAAAACAUAGUGUAGUCAAAAACAACUUCAUCCUCAGAAUGAUGAACAAAAAGAGGUGAAACAACGCAAUCAGCUCUGCAAUUCAUGAAGACAACUUGUACAAAGGAAAAUGACAAAAAACAAAAGAAAAAAAAAAAAAAAAAAACUCUUCAAUGAUUAUUCGCACAAAUAUUCAACUUUAGAAUGCAUAUUCAAAUUUAAAUUUGAACUGUAAAUUUAAAUUUUAAUCCAAAUUUUAAUUCGAAUCUUGGAUUUAAAUUUGAAGUUAAUCCAAAUUUUUAAUUCAAAGUUUGCAUUUAAAUUUGAAGUUAAAUUCAAAUUUAGGUUUAAUUUGUAAAGUCAAAUUUGAAUUGAAAUUUUAAUUCGGUGUGGAUUCAAACAUCAAUUCAAGUUUCAAAUUUUAGCAACCAUUUUAAACUCAAAUAUAGGUUUGGUUAUUAACUAAAUUUUAAUUUUAAAUUUCAACUUCAAUUUGAAAUCAAACUUGGAAUUCAAUUAAACGGUCUGAAUUUGAAUUGUGAAUUUUCAAAUUUGAAUCGUGAAUUUCCAAGUUUGAAUUCAAAAUUUGAGUUCAAAUUGUGAGUUAAAUUUGAAUUUAAAUGUUUAUUCAAUUCUGAAUUCAAAUUCUGAAUCAAAUUUGAAAUUUUUAGUUCGAAUGUAUUUCAAAUUUAAGCACAAAUUCUAAACUUAAUUUAAAUUUUGGAUUUAAAUAUUGGAUUUCAUCUUGAUUGUCCAUUUAUGUGACUCUCUUUUUAGAUUUAAAAUGUGAAUUCAAAAUUAGAUAUUAAUUUGAAUGUAAACUUAAAGUUAGGUUUAAGUUCAAAUUCAUGUUUAAUUCAAAUUCAGAUUUCAAUUUGAAGCUCAAUUUCUAUUCAAAUAAAAAUGGCAAUUAAAUAUAAUUUCUAACAUAUUUUUAAUUUAAACUUUUAUAGAAAUUCAAUAAUUAGAAAAUUGAAAAUCAAUCAUUUUUAUUUCGAUUCUUAUUUUGAACCAAACGUAUAGGGAGAAUUCAUCAUUCCGUGCAGUCCAUUCUGAUUCUUAUUCCAAUAACAUUUUUCAUUUGGAACUACAUAAAAGCACACGAAGAGCUUAAACAUAUAUCACUACUCAAAAUAGAAUGCUAGUACCAGUCAAUCAGACAAGAAAUUCACCAGUCGCUUCAACUAAAGUUGAUUAAAAGAAAAAAGGAAAAUUAGUCGGGUAGCUAAGGCUUAUAUCUAGUGAGGCUACAACACUUCAGUAGCACAGACAACACCUGUGGUUUCACCCUAAAUUUGCAGAUGGGGCAUCUAGAUCAACGAUCCACACAUUUAACAUGGUCUAGAAUAUAUGAAGUUUCGAGGAUUUAAAGUUAUGAUUUUUUUAAUAUCAUCCACCUAAAGAUCAAGUGAUCUUACAAUAUAAAAUUUUACUGCCAGUAUAUGUUAGCAAAAACAUUUAACUAUAAAGAUCAAGAUUAACAAACCUGAUUAGAAUCCUAUCCUCUUUCAAAAAAUGGCUGCUCACCGUUCAUUUGGCAGCCACUUGUUGUACUUGAAAAUGUUUUCAACAAAUCAUGAUUUUUGGAUCCUACGAACUUCAAACAUUCUAGACCACGUUAACUGGCUUGGAUCAUUGAUUUGGAUACCAUAGUUUUCAAAGUUGACAUGGAAGCACAAGGGCCACAGUGCUUCUAAAAGCACAGGACCCUACCAAAGGUGAUAACGAGUACUUGUUUUGUUAAAAUUGAAAUCGCCUUGUUAAUUAUAGAUGGUGUUUUAGUAAGAUUGAGAUCACCUAGUUAAUUUAGAAGGCAUCAAAAUAGACUGUGACCUGUAUAAUACCAUGGAUCGGCAUACUUUUUUUCUCACUUCUUGUGAGUCAAAUGAAAAAAUGUUAGAAGUUCAGGGGCUAAAAUGAAAUGUUCUUGAAAGUUCGAGGUCUCAAAUGUCGAAUUUAAAGUUCAAGGACCAAAAUACAACCUACAGUUAGAGUUCAGGGACUAGUAGUGCAAUUUACCCUUCUAAAUAUGAUACCAGCCAUAACACUUUCCAACAAUGAUAUCCAAGUAGUUUUGGGCCUAUUGAUCCAGGUCCUCAAUGUACAUUAAGAAGAAUAGACUACUAAACAUUUUCUAACUUUUGACAGCUAAAUUUUAUCAUCAUUAACCAAUACUUCCAAGGUUCCAGCAAAAUGCUUCAACAUUUUCACCAGUUUAAAUGAAAGACUACAGACUUAGUACCAUUCUCUUUUUCUUUUCUUUUUUUUCCAUAUUUUCAAGUGCAUUAUUAUGAGGUUGUUUGCACUGGCUGAUCGACUUCUAUAUUCCUGUUGUUAUUGGUUAGCUUGCGAUGCUCCCCGACUGGAUGCAGAAUGGCAUUUUAGAAAAAGUGAAAAUAGUUAUGGCCCAAUAUAUAAUUUUUUGUUGUCCAACAAGCUUCGCAAAUGUAUAUAUCUUAGGCAAUCAGCCCAAUAAAUGUCAUCCUUAUUUCCUAGAAAUAGACAAAUUGCUUCUUUCACACGCUUAUAAUGCUAUAGAGCUUAUACUUUAUAGUUCAAAGAAUGCCAUGGAGGAAGAAAGCAACAGAAAAACAAAGAACUAUAAUUCCUACAUACCUCAUGCCCAGCACUUCGAAGGGCCUGCAGCGGUUCAACACAAUCCUGGCCAAUAACAAACAACCCAGACCUUCUAUUCUUGUUCAAACUAGGCUUUUCACUCGAUCUCCUUUUGGAGAGCACUUCUAGUUGUUGUUGAAGUAACGGGGACACACCAGCCUGAAAGAACCAAAAACUUUUUUAAGUAAAUAAAAAAGUCAAGGUGUACAACAGAAUUUUCAGAUGAAAGAAUUAGCUGUAUAACAGCACAAUAAGUCAAAAUUCAGGCUGAUUGACUGGCUGCAUAAAACUACGGUAGUUAGUUUAUAAACUGUCUACCUGAAAUGCCAAAUAAGAGGAAACAAAGCUAAAAGAAUUUGCUUUAGUAAAACAAUAGAAUAUACCGAAAUCCAAAUUUUACUUCAAAAUUUUCCAAACAGGGUUAGUGAAAAGAGAACGAUUUAAACAAAUAACUUGUUUUGAAUGUGAAUGUGAAUAUAAUAUUUCUAGUCUAAUAAAAAUAAAAUAAAAACUAAACCACCUUUUAGAGUUAGGCAGAACAGUCAUGAGAAGAGUUGAAAAUAAAAAUAAAAAGUUAAUGCUCGUAUCAUAGUCAUCACACCCUCUCAACCUCCUUUAAUGAUUCUACUAUUAAAAUGUGCACCAUUUUUGUAACCAUUAUUCUUUCAUGCAGUUAUCAAAUAAAAAGAUAACCUAUUAGCUUAGAUAAAAGACAAAAUUCUUCGGAGAAUAACAGGAAAAGGCAUACAAAAUAGAACAAAAGGCAAACAGAAAAGACAUCUAAACCAACAAAAAGGAUCCAUACCUAAAAUAGUGACAAGGAACCAAUUUUUCAGUAUGGAAUCAUGUAAACUAGCAGAUUUAUUUAGCUAGUAGUAGAAAGACUAACCCCAGCUAAAAAGCGGUGAGAGAAUGAUUUUGGUUGCAAGGGUCGUGCUAAGCAGUCAUUCAGCUCCUGAAAUGAAAGCAAUAUAACUUGUACGGAAAAAAGGAACCAUACAGAAAAACAUACCCAUAAUAUUGAACUCACGAAGUAAAAUGUAUCUGAAUAGCAUUUAGUACUGUAUCCAAAUAGAUAAAAUUACUGCAAAACAAACCUGUUGGAGCUUCUUGAGAAGACCGGAAGUGAUUUUCUUCUGGUUGUAACUCUUUACUCUUUCUUCCUCAUUGUCACUGACCUCCAAUGCCACUUCCACAGAUUCAGCAUUCCUCUCUAACCAGUUCUUCUUGGCACUUUCCUGCAUAAAAUAAGACAAGUGAAACAGAUUCACAAUUCCUUUCAAAGCAGUUCUGCUCACCACCACACAUGCAAGAGUGAAUAACAAAUAGAAAGGCCAUAAAAAAGGAGAACAUAAAAUGUAACUAGAGGACAUUUCUAAGUUGAUGACCUUGCAAACUUAAGUAUUAUUACAAUUAUAAAAAUUUUGAGUAAUGAAGCAAAUAUACAAAUGGAAGAGUUACGAAUACUCAAGGAAAUAGUUGACUAUAAUAAUUUGACUUAAGCAGCUAAUUAUCUGUAUUGAAUGUGGGAUUGUGGGUUAGACCGCAACUGCAACCAUAUUAAGUGCCAAAAAAAAAAAAAAGUUUUGCAGAUUUUUGUUUUACCCAAUUAUAGAAGUUGAACUUGCAAAUGAAAGCCCAAUAGUUGCAUCUUGACCUACGAACAAAUUAGAUGUACAGGGAAAUGCAACAACUGGGAGAGUAAAUAUAACAUCAGGGUAACAGAUAAGCUCACCCACCACCAACCACUUGACAAAAAGAUUAAUUUCUCUACAGUGGGUUAAUCUCAUCAUACCACACAACCUCAUGGAAUUGCAAUGCAACUAUGGAACUGAACCAAAAAGUAAUAAUAGCAUCAGUCUCAACCAUACACAUCCAAAUAAGAUAUAUGCAGUUUAAAUGCCGUAUAUCCAACCACAUGGAUCUCUAAUCAUGUGGUAGUUACAAAUACAAAUGACCCCUAUAGUCUAUUUAUUUACUAGUACUCUACAUAGCUAAUUAUCAGUAUAAUCUCUCAAUAAAGAUGCAAAUGGAUCCGUGUUGGUGGAGCUCCGGCCCUGAUCCGCCCCAAUUGGGGCUGUAAACAGGAGGGCACAAAUGGAUUCGGGCAGUAAACGGAGCAGUUUUUGUGAUCCAAGGCGGAAGAGGAUUUGUAAACCCUAAUACUUUAUUCAUAUAUCAAAAGGUACCAUGCCCAAACCUAGCCGCCAAGCCAAGCCCACUCCUCUCUCUCUCGACCUCAAGCCUCUUUUUCCCUCCACUCCAACGCCCGGUGCCGAGGUACUCCCCUUUCCCCCUCCCCUCUGCCGCCCCUCCGCCCCUCUGCUACCCUCCUCCGCGCCCUUUCCCUACUCUCCAAUUCAUUCAUGUCCAUGCAUUAAGCAUUAGCUCAUAGUGUGCUACUAGUGUAUUCCAUUGGUACCCCAAGCAAGUAGAGGGAUGUUCCCAGGCCUGGUAUUUAGAGGUUACUAAACAACACAACUGCAGAGAAAGAAGUGAACAAACACAAACACAAAUUUGUCCAACCUAACAUACAUGCUUGACCAUGAACUUAGUGCCAUUUGAUUUUCUCAUAUGCAAAAGAACGCCACAAAUUGUUGAAGUUUUCUACAUUACAACCUUGGAUGUCAAAAAUUUACAGCACUUUAUCAUCAUUAAAGAGAACAGCAGCAAGGGCCUGUUUGUUUGCUCAUAACUGAUUUUCAGUUAAACGUAACUUUUGGUUGAAUUGAAGUUUAGGUAAAAAAUUAUUUUUCCACCACUGCUCGGUUGAUAGGAAGUCAAUGGCUUUGGAAAUAUAGUUCUCCAUUUUAUUUUUUUUUUGUUUUACUGAAAAUUUUCACAUUAGCACAUUACAGGAUAAAAAAUAGUUACAUAAUUUUUUAUUAAUUUUUUCUAUCUCUUUCUCUCCCUUAGUUGACUUUCCACCACCCAGGGCGAAGUCAAUUAUAGCAUUUUGGGAAAGUGGAAUUAGCGUAAAAUUUAAUUUUCAGCAAACCAAACAACGGAAGCAGGUAUUUAUAACAGAAAGCAACUUCACUUUCCUCCACUUGCAGUGAAAUAAACAUGCCCUAAUCCUUUUCCUAAGGCCUAUUUGUUUGCCUAGAAGUGAAAUUCAAGGAAAAUUUUGACUUUCAUUUGAACUAAAGUGCAGAUGAGAAUUACUUUUGCAUUGCUAUUUUGUUUGAUAGGAAGUUAAUAUACUCGAACACUAACCCAAUUCUGUUGUUUGUUUGAUAAAAAGUCAAUGAUGUAAAAACUUAGUUUCUCCGCUUCCUAUGUUUCACUGACAUUUGCUAAAUCCCAAUACCAAGAUUUUAAGUGCCUAUUGGCAUGAGCCAUGCUCACCGUGUCAUACUAUGCUGACAAAAUAUCAACACAAAAAGACUCCCGUGCCGAUGGCACAGCUCAUCAUCCUCUUUUCUUUGAUAGCAAGUUGUUAUCUCAUAUAUCGCAAAAGAUCUGACAAAGAUAUAUAAUAAGCACUUAGAACAUAUUGCUACCAAAGAAAAUAAAUAUUUUAUAUUAUAGUGUAUCAGCACAUGUCUUUUUAUGACUGAUACACAUCAGCACAACAUGGCACAAAGCAUACCAUGCCAUACCGUGCCAGCAAAUUCUUGACAUGACCCCGUCCACGAUACUUAGAUUCUUGCCCAAUACCUCCUGAAGUAAUGGUAAACUUACCUCCUAUAUGACUUGGUAUUGUUGGUAAACUUAUCUCUCAUAUAAAUCUAUAUAUAAUAAAUUCAAGUAUGAAAAAUAGAAGAAAAUAGUAUAUUUGUAUCCCCAGGUAUUAUAAAUCCCAAUUUAAUCAAAAUAUGUAAUUUGGAAAUAGUUAAGUAAAGACGUAAUUUGAAACAACUUAAUUUUUUUUUUGGUACAUAAAUUGUGAAACAUUCUGAAAUUAAUUAGUCUCUAAAAUUAAGUUGAAAAUUUUAGUUAAAAAAUCUAAAACAGCACCUUGAACCUUUCGAUUAUUUAGAUUUAAGUGAUUUAUUUCAAAUUAAUUUGGAACUUUAUUAAAAGUUUAAUGAUAUUAUACGUUUUGUAACAAAUAAAAAUGUUAUUUGCGACACUUAAAUAGUAAAUAAAGUUUGUAAUUUUAAUUAAAUUCCUAAUUUAAGAUAAUAUAAAAAAGUAAGAAAUCUAAUUAGAUGGGCUACAAAAAAAUCUAAGAGACAUGAGUGGGAACAGUGUGAAAAGAAGUAUGUUAGUUCAUUUCUUUUUGGCUCUUUCCUCUUACCCGUAAUUGAUUUUGCUGCCAACCAGAGCAAAAUCACUUUAUGGCGUUUUGGGAAAGUGGAUUUAUAGGCAAAUCUAAUAUACAAUAAACCAAACAACGUAAGGAGGUAUUUACAGCUGAAAAUAACUUCACCCCCUCAACUUUCAGUGAAAUAAACAUACCAUAAGUGGCUAAUGAAUCUAUACACACACACACACACACACACAUAUAUAUAUAUACACAUAUAUACACACUCACACACAUAUAUAUAUACAUAUAUAGACACACACACAUAAAUAUGCAUACAUAUAUACAUACAUAUGUGUACACAUGUGUGUGUGUGUGUGUAUAUAUAUAUAUGCAUAUAUGUAUACAUAUGUAUGUAUAAACAUAUAUGUAUAUAUAUGUAUGUAUACACAUAUAUGUAUAUUUAUGUAUGUAUACACAUAUACGUAUAUAUAUGUAUGUACACACACACACACACACACACACACACACACACAUAUUUAUAGAGUGCGGCUACUAUACUCUUAUGAGUACGAUCGCCUUCGUACUCAUAAGUCGUUUUCGAUGACAGAGCUUCCGAAUCGACGAUCCAUACCGUUAAAUAUUUUCUAGAUUAUUUAAAACUUCUAGAAAUCAAAUUUCAUAAUUUUUCGACAUCAUUUACCUUACGAUCAAAAGCUCACAAAAUUGACAAUUUUUAAUGGCCGGUAUGGAAUACUUGCUAGUUUAACGGUCGAAAAGAAUCGGAAUAGGUUGAAUUUUUGAUAGAAAAUUCUAUUCACUACCUAGAUAAAGAUCAAUACUCCGAUCUUAAAUUGAAGGAUCCGAUCAUCCAUUUUUAAGACGUCGUUCGAUUUUGACCGUUCAUUUUAUGCCCGCUUGAUGGACAUUAUUAUGAUUUCAAAAAAUUACGAAAUUUAUUUUCUAGAAGUUUCAAAUACUCUAAAUCAUAUUUAANACUAGUAAUAAUAACUGGGCUUAAGCAUUUUGGCCCGGUGGUUGGGCCCAACGAGUUAUUGUUGCUAGUGGGCUGGGUCAUUACAUAUAUAUAUAUAUAUAUAUAUAUAUAGAGUCCGGCUACUAUACUCUUAUGAGUACGAUCGCCCUCAUACUCAUAAGUUGUUUUCGAUGAUAGAGCUUCCGAAUCGACGAUCCAUACCAUUAAACAUUAUCUCGAGCAUUUAAAACUUGUAGAAAUCAAAAUUUAUAAAUUUUCGACAUCAUUUACCUUAUAAUCAAAAGGUUACAAAAUUGACAAUUUUUAACGAUCGGUAUGGGAUACUUGCUAGUUUAACGGUGUAAAAAAAUCGGAAUCAGUUGAAUUUUUUAUAGAAAAUUCUAUUCACUACCUAAAUAAAGAUCAAUAACUCCGAUCUUAAAUUGAAGAAUCCGAUCAUCCAUUUUGAGGACGUCGUUCAAAUUUGACCAUUCAUUUUAUGCCCGCUUGAUGGACUUUAUUAUGAUUUCGAAAAAUUACGAAAUUUAUUCUUUAGAAGUUUUAAAUAUUCUAGAUCAUAUUUAACAGAGUGGAUCAUCGAUUUUGCAGCUUUAUCAUCGAAAGUAACUUAUGAGUACGAAGGGCCCAAUGCUCAUAAGAGUAUAGUAGCCCUACUAUAUAUAUACUAUAUAUAUAUAUAUAUAUAGUAGCCCUACUAUAUAUAUAUAUAUAUAUAUAGGGGGAGAGAGAGAGAGUCCGGCAACUAUACUAUGAUGACUACGAUCGCCUUUGUACUCAUAAGUCAUUUUCGAUGAUAGAGCUUCCAAAUCGAUAAUCCAUACCACUAAACAUGAUUUAGAGCAUUUGAAACUUCUAGAAACCAAAUUUCUUAAUUUUUCGACAUUAUUUACCUUACGAUCAAAAGAUCUCAUAAUUGACAGUUUUUAAUAGAAGGUAUGGGAUGCUUGUUCAUUUAACAGGAUAAAAGAAUCGUAAUCGAUUGAAUUUUUUAUAGAAAAUUCUAUGGACUAUCUAGAAGAAGAUCAAUAACUCCUAUCUUUUUUAGUUUCUAGGUGCUUCAAAUGUUCUAGAUCAUGUUUAACAGUAUGGAUCGUCGAUCGGGAUCUCUAUGAUCGAAAACGACUUAUAAAUAUGGAAAUCUCUGUACUCAUAAGAGUAUAAUAGGGCUAUAACACUCUUAUGAGUACGGAGGCCUACGUACUCAUAAAGUUAUUUUCGAUGAUAGAGAUUCCGAAUUGAAGAUCCAUACCAUUAAACAUGAUCUAGAGCAUUUGAAGUAUCUAGAAACCGAAUUUUAUAAUUUUUUGAAUUUAUAAUAAAGUCUAUCAAGCGGCUAUAAAUUAACGGUCAAAAUUGAACGAUCUCCUAAAAACAGGGAUAGGGUUCUUAAAUUCAAGAUCAGAGUUAUUGAUCUUGAUUUAUAUAGUGAAUAGAAUUUUCUAUCAAAAAUUCAACCAAUUUCGAUUCUUCUACACCGUUAACUAGGAAACGUCCCAUACUGACCGUUAAAAAUGUGAAUUUUACAUUUUUAAGGCCCUUUGAUCGUAAGGUAUAUAAUGUCAAAAAAUUAUAAAAUUCAAUUUCUAAAAUGUUUAAAUGCACUAAAUUAUAUUUAACGAUAUGGAUCGUCGAUUCAGAAGCUUCAACAUCGAAAAUGAUUUAUGAGUACGAAGGCGAUCGUACACAUAAUAGUAUAGUUGCCGCACUCAUAUAUAUAUAUAUAUAUAUAUAUAUAUAUAUAUAUAUAUAUAUGAGAGAAAGAGAGAAAGAGAGAAAGAGUCCGGCCAUGGUGCUUUUAAAAGCACUAAGCACUUGGUGCUUGUAAGUUUUCUACCGUUAGAUCUACCUCUUUGACCAUUUCCACCCGUUAGAUCAUACUAUUCAACCAACUACCCACUCAACCCUAGGGGACCACUAUCAUCCUAACCGCACAUCUCUUAAUUUAAAGGCCUAAAACCUACAAGCACCAAUGAUUUGGUACUUUUAAAAGCCUAGGAGCUCAAUUCUAUAUGUAUAUAUAUUGCUUUUCUCACUAGCUAAAGAGAUAUUAAACAAACAACAAAGGUACUUGCCUGCGAGUUUUUCCUUAUGAUCUUGUCAAUUCGGCGAGCAAGAGAUAGUCGCUUCAUUACUUCAGGCAUGUAAGCAUCAUCUAUAGGAAAUUGACGAAGUGUUUCCUGCAAUAUUAUAAAAUCAAAUGAACUAUGAAAUAUCUUUAUCCAUUAUCAGGAUAAUUGAAAGUAAUCAGUGAAGUGGAGCCACAAGUGAUAACCGUAUAUAGUAUACAUGUAAAACAAACAAAAGCAGCUCUGAACAGUUCACUCUAUGAAUUGGCUCAGCAAUCACAAAUAUUUAUUCUCACAACUGCAUCAUUAGACCAAAAUUCACACAAUUGCAUUAUUAGACCAUCAAAUAUAGGCAUUACUUAUGUACCAUGUCUUAGGAGGUCAUCAAAAAAAAUCAAAGAAAUUAUAGUCAUCCAAUAUAAAAAUGUUUAUGGCUGUUGUUAUCAAUGAAUGCCGGAUAGAUGGGCAAGUUCACUGGCCAAGCCAUUAAAUAAUAAAAAGAAACCAAUAGAAGCCAUUAAUGAAGGGUACAUUAUGGUUUAGCAAUGAAAAUUAACUUACCUUUGAUAAUGACUUGCAUAGAGAAUAGAAUUUGGUUUUGUCACUGGGAGAGAUUAGUGCAAUGCAGCAGCCAUCAGCAGAAGCACGUGCUGUCCUUCCACUUCUAUGGAUAUAAACCUUUGAAAAAUGUGAAUAUCAAAUUAAAGAGAUUCAGAGUACUUGAUUUAAAUGCAUUAUAAACCACUUACUUCUGCUGAGUGCGGCAAUUGAUAAUGAACAACAGUUCGGACAUGAGGAAUGUCGAGGCCCCUCGCAGCAACAUCAGUAGCCACUAAGACUCCAUUCUCAUUUCCACGGAAACGAUCAAUAGCCUGAUUAAGUAUACGAAAUGAUUAGAGCAUUAAAGUUAUAAAGAUAGUAAUUAAAAAAAAAAGACUAAAUUAAGUAGCUACAACACUCUUACAUCAAUGAGUGAGAAAAUGCAAAAUGGAUGGCUGCUAGCAAAACAGAAGAAUUUAUAUCCCGCUUCAAUGAUUUUUAACUAGGAAUUUCAAACAAUUCAAAGUAAAUUUUGUGUUCACAUAUUCUAUUAACAUCUUGAACACCUACUUUAAGAUGCAAUUCAUAUCAAUACCUUUAGGCUUUAGCUAGUACAUUUCUGUCAAAUUGCCAAUGAAAUUCUAUUAAGAUCUUAUUAGAUGUAAAAGAGAGCUCGAAUAAACUCAAAAAAAAGAUGUAAGAAAACUACUAGCAAUCUUGAAGUAUCAAAUUCAAGCUAGACCAUCAAAUAGAAAUUCCUAGGGCAGGAGUUACAUGUAUAAUUUAUUUUUACAAAUUACAACAAAUAUUUCCAUAUACAAAGUAAAGGGACAGUUCACAUUUUAUGAGUUUACGCAUACUAUUCAUCACUUCAAAUUAGUGUCCUGUUGCUGCUUAUGAAAGGAUAUAUUAGCAAGAUUAUGAUCACACAUGGCAUAUAUACUAUCACCUUCCAAAUUCUUGCAAGUCCAAUCACCAAGACCCUAAAUGCAAUAAAUAAAUGCUUCAAUAUUUAAGUCCUGUUGCCAUAAAAAAGAGCAAGCUAGCCAAAGAGGUUUCCAUUGGUUAGAAGGUCAUGUGACUCAUAUAUGUCCUAAUAAUAUCCACAUACCAAAAUGAAAGUAGUCAUGCCCAGGAACUCAAACCAGACCUAACAUGGAAUCAGAUCUAAAUAAGAAGUAUCAAAAUUUAGAAUCUACUUGUACCAGGAACGAGUAUAAAUAAUAGGUCUAAAUCAUGGAUUGAAUUGCUCCAUCAUGCCCUGGUUAGCCAUCAGCAGAAUAAUAACUAAAUAACUCCCAACAAUGACAAUUGAGAAGUAAAUCCUCUACGCAAAAUGACAUACAAGUAGUGAUCGAUCACCUUUAAGCGCGCUCUUUGCUGCAUUUGGGCAUGAAGAGUCCAAGAAGUAAUGUCAAGAAUGCGCAGCAAGGAAGAAAUGUGACGUAAAGCUGCGAUCGAUGUGCAGAAGACCAUUGUACGACCUUGGCCAUGAACACUUAACAUAUAAUACAAAUAUGCAUCUUUAUCCUCUUCGCCACACCUAUAAAUGUCAGCAAAUAGUAGCAAUGGCUAGUCUUAAGUUUUUUUAAAAAAGUACAUGCAACAGCAAGUAGCUAAAUAAAAGUAACAGCAAAUGUUCAAAUUAAUACAGGCCUCAAGGGUUGAUGCACCAUAAUUUUCGAAAAUAGAUAUAUCAAGUUCUUUCUUUAAAACGGUUAAGCCCGUUCUAUUCAACAUAGAUAAACUAGUUUCAAUACCAACCAGAUAAAUCAGCUUGGACACAGCAAUUUCGUCUCAAAAGAAGAUAGAUACAAUACAUGCAUUAAUUUCGGCUCAUAAGUCCCAUAAUUGCUUGAGCUUCUUAAAUAACUGAUAACUCAGCAUUCCCUGCAUAAAUGCAGAAUACUUGUACUAUUCUAAGAAAUACUGAAUAACGAUUUUACAUUCAAAGCAGUGUUUGAAAAGGCGCAAGGCGCAAAAAGGCGCAAAGGCCUUAUGGAGCCUAGGCACGAGGCGCACCGCGAGGCGCGCCUCAAGAAGGUAAGGCGCAUAUCUAAUAAAAAUAAAACACUCUUAACAAGCCUAUUUUAAAUGGAUGUUUUAUGUUAAAAAAUUCUAAAAUAGUAAUACAAAAACAAAAUAACCAUAAAAAAGUAAAGAAAUCGCAUGCAUAAAUGUUCUCAGCCUAAAAAUAAAAAAACUAUGUUUCAACUUAAAAGUGCUUGCUGCUUCUUGCUUCUUGCCGCUACUACUUAUUGCCAUUGGGGGGUGGAAAACAGAACGACCAAGAGAAAAGGAAAAGAAAACGUCCAAAUUAGGAAAUUUUUUUAAAAAAAUUUCUUAACACUUUAAAAUAUAUUGAAGGAACUCAAAACCGAAAACCCAAACCCUUGACACAUUAAGCGUAAAUAUCACAAGGCGCGUCUGAGGCGUGUGCCUUAGUCCUUAAGGCACUAAGACUCGCGCCUCGCGUCUAGACGCUGAGGCGCGCCUUUUCAAACACAGAUUCAAAGAGAAAACAGAAAGGACAUGCCACUGCAAGAAACACACAGUCACUAGUUCAUGUUCCAAAGAGCUAUUUGAAUGCUCAAGGAUCACAAGACUUGUUUUUCAGCUUAUAUAUCUUGUAGGAUAAAAAGUAACACUAUUUGGGCAAAACAUAGAAGUACGGGAUGCAUGUAUGUUCUCAAGGAAAAGAAAAACAAAAAGCCCUAGAAUAUAGAGCCACAGCUGUAAUAUGAACUAAAACAGAUGAUGAUCUAAUUUGGUACAAUAUUCAAAGAACUGAGAUUAGAGAUAGCCUCAGAGCCUACUUUGAAGUACAAACAGUCCCCAAAAACCAUUUCUUUUUCUUUUUUCUUUUUUCCUUCGGUGAUUGACACUCCCUCAACUUUGAUUCGAGUUACUUUCAUUAGUUGGUUUAAGUGUUCCUGUAAAGACUAACAACAUUUUAGAUAUUAGCCACAAACUGUGAAAAAGAAACCUACGGAUCUAUUUUGCCGCAAAAUCGGUUAGAACCAUUAAAUAUUGACAGGACUUCGACUCAACCAACAACUUGAAUGAAAAGAAGCACAAGUUGAGGAAGCGUCAAUCAAAAUUGUAGGGGUCUAUUACAAAACCUUAACAGUUAGGGUGGUCUCCACAACAUCUUUCACUAUAUUAUCCACUGACAUAGGAAAAGUCAUUCUAUAAAAGUCAUUAAUGUUAGAAGGCACUUCGAGAAUAGGAAAGGAACAAGGGAUUGCGAGGUAAAGAUUACUCAAUGAAGGAUUGUUCAAGUUUAUUAGCCACAAUCGCAGCAUUCGUCAAAUCAACAAUUGCAGCAUCAGGUCUCAUUCCAGCUCGCUCCGAAAGCGUUUCUAUGGAACUCAAACUGCCUGGCAUGGACAACUUUGAAGUAGAUAAGCCACGUUUAAGCUUUUUACGGAAAUUAUCAGAUAACGCAAUCGUAGCAGAGAACACAAAUGUUUGCCUUUUCUUCCGUUGCAAAAUUGGCAUGGUUUCACAAUUUGGAGUACUUUGUACGGAUUGUUUGCCAGAGCUGUUAAUCACUGGGAGCAUGUCGAUGAUAGAUUGUAAUUCAUGAAAAUGACCAUAUUCUAUCAUUCUAUCAGCCUCAUCCAGCACUAAGAAAGACAAUGAGUGCAGCUGCAUCAAACAAGUAGAAAAAGAGUUAAUAAGAAUUUUUAAUGUUUGUACAAAAUGCCUAUUAAAUAAUUGGUUGUUUGCAUACAUAUCUCCUUGGUAAUUGCAUGCUUGCACUAAAAACCUUUAUUAUUAGUGUGUGCACCCCAGCAGGGGCAAGUGUGUGCAAAAACAACUACUGCAUACGAAAAUAGUGUGAAUACAAAUAAUUAUGGUUUUCAGAGCCACGAAGACAAAUCCUAAUUUUGCAAGGGUAUUUGCAAUAUUUCAUGUAUGUUACAUUAGCAAUUAGCUUCAAAACCCAUCACAUAAUACUGCAAUAGAAAGUUCCGAGUAUUAUAGCGAAGAGAAAUUGAUUCCAUUGAAUUUUUGAAGCCUACAGGUAUCCUAGAACAUUACAAGUCAACAACUUGAAGUGAAGGAUAGACAUUCUCAAAAUUUAUGAAAUUUGUUGCAAGUUCAAAUGCACUCAUCUUAAACAAUUCAACAAUGCUAGAUAGACAUAAGUGAUGGUAGAAUCAAAUAAUCCAACUGCUUUUGUGUGCAGUAGAAACAGAAGCACAAAAUUAGCUUCUACUUUUGUUGCUCGAAAGCUCAUUUCAAUUUCCCAACACAGCAGGAGGUCCAAACCUUUCAAUUUGCCAAACGUUUUACAAUAAGUAGCUAUAAUUGAAAGGCAGAAGCAGAAGCAGAAGCAGAAGCAAAAGCAAAGACCAAACUGACUCAUAGUAUGUCAAUCACCUUGUACCAUGGCUACAUUUUUAAAAGCCUAAUACACUCAAAUGCCCUAAUUGUCUGCCACAAGAAACAUUAAUGCAACUAAUAAUGAAGAAUAACAUGAAAACUUAUCGCUCAUGCUGACACACUGACCUCAGUAAGGUGUUGAUCUCCUGCUGACAUCAGCUCCCACAGUCUCCCUGGAGUUCCAACAAUAAUCUCAGGCCUUCUUUUCAAAAGCCUUUCUUGCUUUUCCAUAGACAUACCACCAACAAUUGGAACAACUUGAACGUCAAGAAACUUGGCUGCUUCGAUAAGAUGAUCACAAACCUAGAAUAAGAUAUUUCAGACAAUAAUGGUUGUAGACGUAAUUGAUACAUCUUCAGAAAUUUAAAUUCUAUAUGUGCAUAUUACUAUUGUUAACAUGCAAUAUCUAAUAAGAAAGAUUUAAUGAAUCAAGUCGACAAAAAAAAGUUGAGUGCAACCUAAAAUGGCAAAAUGGCUCUUAAGUUACAUAAUACAUAUUCUUCUUGCAAAUGGGGUCCAAAUAUGAACAGAUUUCACCUGGUUCAUAAAUGCAAACUUUACACUAGUGUUCUAAAAGAAAGAGAUAAGCCAAAAGAAAAGGAUAGUUCUGUCAAAUGUGCAACAUAUUGUUGCAAAUUCUUUUGAUGUUCAAAUUUUCUGAAUUAUCCGUGAAUCUCAAUGACCAAGAAAAAAAUUGGCAAUUGGUGUGGGAAAGAACCAUAGAAUAUCUGGAAUUACCGAGUUUUGUUGAAUUAUUCAUUCAAUUUUCAAAUAAGUCGUAUAUGUAUCACGAUCAAGGAUAUUUGAGAUUUUUUGCUUAAUGCGGAUUACCUGGAGAAAUAGCAAUAGAGCUUUUCCAAACAUUUGUAGAGAUAUCUUCUGAAACAUUUUUCAAAUCCAAAAGUUCAGUAUCUUCCUACGAAUUAGUGAAUCAGGCAGGGUUCUUUUGUGCCAUACUCCCAGGAAAAGCUCGAACGACCUUCGUGGCAGAAGUAUUUACUGGUUCCCUAGGAAAAUAUGUUGGUCUUGCAAAAACAAUUAGGGGGUUUCAACUGAUCCUUUCCGGAGAAUUAGAUGGUCUGCCCGAGCAGGCCUUUUAUUUGGUGGGUAACAUCGAUGAAGCUGAAGCGUCUAGAUUCCUUAAUUUCCUUCCAUAGGUUAGUUAGUCUUCUAAUCAAGUUAAUAACGUUUUAAACCAGGAUUUGUAGUUUAUAUUCACAAACCUUGUUGUUUGCGAGGCUUUCAAAUCCUAUCAUUGUGUAGUAAAGCACAUAGAAUGGAGUGACCAGUAAAUAAAAAAACAAAGAUUCACACUAGGAAACUAGGAUCAAUUUGUUAAUGAACCUUUAUAGAUAUUUAGGCAAGCAAUAUGAUAACAGAUACAGUGACUAUUUAGUAUUUAGUAUAGAGAUGAAAUGAUGAGCCACCAAAAGCUAAUCAGCUAAGAAUUGGCCAGCCCCACCUAGCAUGGUUGGAUGUAAAUCCUUGAUUACACAUUCUGUUUGAUACAUUUACCCAUUUUAUACUCGUACUUGUCAGGCCUCCAUUUCUAUAGCUCAGAUAUCAAAUUACGCAGAAAAUUACAAAAAAAAAAUCUUAUAUCAUGACCACAGAACUUUAUUCCCAUGAUUCAUUGUAUGCUAGGUUUACACAAACACAUAUAGGGGAAACAACAUGUGACAUGAUACGACUCAGAGCGAGCAAGUCACCAACUUUGCAAAAACAAGGACACCAGGAUAGCAAGGACACAACCAUAUAAAUGAAAUAGAUUAUAUGGAAGCAAUUAGAAGUGAGGGGUAUCAACCAAAAUAAAUAAAUAAAUAAAUAAAUAUAUAUAUAUAUAUAUAUAUAUUGAAGUUGGAGGAUCCAUUCCAAAAUGGCCUAUUGUUGAGGGGCCUCCAUAUAUUUUCACCUUUUAUUUAACUUAAGAGAGAGAAUAACGAGACUUAUUUGAAGAGAAUAAAAGAAAAGAUAAGGAGAAAGGUUAGAUGAUAUGUACUCAAUUUUUUUCAAAAUUACGUCAUACAUUAAGAGCAUAUUUGGUUUAUGAGUGGAAUCGAAAUUGGAAAUGGUAUUGGAUUGCAUUGGAACGGGAAAUGGAACGACGAAUUAUCGAAAAAUAUUUGGUUCAUUAUUGGAAUGGAAAUUGGAAUGGACAUGUAGAAUUUUAAGAAAGGGUUUUGGUUAAGAGAGAGGAGAGUGAUGAAGGGAGAGGAGGGGGAAGUGUUCGUAAGAGAGAGUUCUAAGUGGUUUACCAGGAAUGGGCCAAUCCGGGAUUCAAAACCGGAUCGAACCAUAAAUGCAUUCAGUCAUUCCUACCAAACAAACAACAACUAUCGGACAAUAAAUCUCAUUAUGAUUCCAUAGUCUAAAAUAGGUGAAUCAAACAAGCCCUAAAAUUACAUGAAUACAAUGAUAAUCUUCAAAAGAUUUACAUGGGAUUAAAGAAUCAAAUAUGAGAAUGAGAAAUUGGAUUGACCUUAUAAACGAGCACUAGAGAAACUUUAUGUCUGAGCCCUCAUCAUUCUUCCCUUAAUUUCAUUAAUUAUGAUCCAUGCAAUUGGGAUUUGAUCAUAAAACUAAGAGGCAAUUGGGAAGGAAAUCAUAAUAUCACUAUUUCUCACUUGGAUGCCUUCUUUCAUUAUUUCCCUAUUUGUAAGUUCCGAAAGUGGGAUAGAACAAGAGAAAGAGAUGCCUUCUUUCAUUAUUUCCCUAUUUGUAAGUUCCGAAAGUGGGAUAGAACAAGAGAAAGAGAGAAAUUAUCACGAGAAAUGGGAACAGAGGAAGGAGGACUUGAGGGCUUAUGGUCCACUAUUUUCUCUUAAAGUCAUUGUCGCACAGCGGAAACACAUUAGUGCAGCAUCCCAGCAUGGUACAUGCCAGAUACACGUCCAAUGCAGGAUAUGAGGCACCCCGAGCGGCGUCUUUGUUCCCUACUCCCUUGGAUUUUAUAAGGCUGAAAUCUGAGACCUUUUGUUGGCCAUCAACCAAAUUAAAACAUAAUUAUCUUAUCAAUUAACAGCAUGUAAAUAUUUACACAUUUAUUUAUUAGGAAUUUUAUCUCCUGAAACAAUACCCUUAUUAAUUUAAUGCCUUUGUUCUCAUGUAUCAAAACUACGUAACCUCAUAAGUUCUUCCUAUUAAGUACCUAGAAUUAUAGAAGCCCAACUAAUGAGAAUGAAGGACUCCCAUUUAUAAUACGUUUCAAAUAGUCACAGUAUUCAAAACUUGUUGACAUUUAUUUCAUGUCUGUAACAACCCACUCGGGAGAAAAAAGACGUAAGUGGACAUAAGUACAAAAUAAUGAUAACAUAAGGUUACAACUAUAGACAACAAAUGAGCAUAAAUUAGUAUUACAUGAUUUGUCAAUUAAGCCAAAUCCACUAGGUCAAUUAAAUCAAAUUUUAUGCUUUCUAAACACUAAUUACAUGACAAGAAAAUCUUGUUAUCAAGUGAGUCACAAGUACCUUCAAACACCAAGUUACAUAGUAACAAAUAUUAAAAACCUCGAUAUCAAAUGAGUUACAGGUACCUGCAAUGCAAGCUCUCUCGUAGGAGUCACAAUAAGAGCUCGAAGUGGGCCCCCCUUAAAUCUUUCCUCAGCCGAUUUUGCAUCUUCUUGGACUGAUCUUGCAACUUUUUCUCGUUCAUCGAGAAAGCGUUGUAGAAUAGGAAGCCCAAAGGCAAGCGUUUUACCAGAACCUGUCUCAGCCGCACCAAUGACAUCCUGCAGGGAUAGGACAGUGAGAAACACUGUAAGAACCACUAGCCAACAAAUGGUUUUGUUUCUUUUUUCAAUGUGUUAUACUCCUAAUCCAUAAUUGUUAGUUAUUACAGGAUGCAGACAAGGAUACGCUUUUUCUUUUAGAAGAAAUUAUUCACCAGACGUCAUCCACCAUGCUAGCCAUCAAGCGCACAGUUGAUAUUCCCUCAAUCCCAUUCCCAUUUUAAAUCUCGACCGCCGAGUGUGUUGCAUGCUCAACUAGAUUUAAAAUUUAUUCUCUUUAAAUGCUGUGGUGAUUGAAAGAAGAGGUGGAAGAGAAUGCCAAUCACUCGGCAGUCCAUAGAUAAAGUGAUGGACAGGUGCAGAAUUAAUUAUUUCUGUGUGAGAGAGGGAAACAGGAUGAAGCAGGUACACAAAAUUGGGAAUUUCCAGUCAUUAACCAAACGACCAGGCAUCCAUAUGUAGCUUUUCCUAGUGAACUCUAUAAUUACUCAAAUAACUGGCUUCAUUCUACAAGAGCAAGGCAUUCCCCAUCAACUCUUCUAUGACCAGAAAAAUGAGCAAGAAAAUGGUGAGUUAUAGCAAAUUUGUGAACAAUGAGCCACAGAACUUGAAAGGGAAAACAAAGGGAUAGAUGAGACCAUAUAGCAAGAGACCAACCUUCCCUUGAUGAGCAGCAGCAGGAAUGCAGGCCUUCUGGAUGGGUGUCGGUUCGCUGAAUCCAAGCCUACGAAUCGAUUUAAUCAGAAGAGGAUGGAGCCUCAACUCUUUCCAUGCAUAAACUUCAUCCUCUCUGAGAAGCAGCUCCUCACGAACAUCACCUUUCAUAUCAUUACGCACCUCUAGCAACAGUUUAGCUUAAACUACAUUAAUAAUUGCUGAUUUGUAAAUAAUAUGGUUCGUAACUGAGCAAUGCAAGAGAUGCAUCAAAUUGACUGAUACAUGAAUUCAUUAAAUAUCCAUGAGAAUACUAGAAAAUUGCUUCAUGGAAAGGCAGUACCGACGAGUCCUUUUAAUAUCAGAAUAUUUACUACAGAGAUUAUAACAACGAAAAGAAUAAAUUUUGUAUAUAUAUCUAUGUCUAUGAACCGUGAACCGAAAACCCUAGACCUGGGAUACACAUAGUAGGGAGUAGCAGCAUCAAUACUACACAAUAAGAAACAAGAUAAACAACAACAGGGAUUAACAGAUAUACCUUCUACUUUACCCUCCUCCACAAGCCCAUCUUUGUUCUCUCCAUUCUCACUGGCCUCCACCUGAUUACUCUUCUUCUUAUUUCUGCUAUUCUUCUUCUUCUUCUUCUUCAUCGGUCGCUUCUUCUCCGUCUCCUUCUCCCCUCCGUCAUCGUCUUCGACAGCAGAGGACUCGCUUUCGCCUCCUCGCUUCCUCUUCUUCGGCUCGAAAGAAGAAGAGGCGUUCUUCUUAUCCCUCUUCUUGUUCUUCUUGUUCUCCUCUCCGCCCAAUGGCUCAAAGGCUCCCCCAAUGAACGCAUACUGCGACUCGUCGAUCUCUUCCAAGGAAACAAAACCUGUCCAGAUUACGAGCGACAAAGGGAGAAAGAAAUUAAGGGGAAAAAAGACGGGAGAAGCGAAGGAUUGGAGGAGAUGAGGAGGAGGGAAUACUGAAGAUGUUACCUCCUUCUUUGCCUCUGGCGAGGACGAGGAAGGGGUCGUCGGAAGGCGGCGGAAGAGGCCGUGAUGGGUCGGCCAUCAAGAAAGAGGAGAGGGGGGUGAUGGCGGUACAACGGUCCGUGCCGACCGCCGGGAAGUAGAAACGCGGCUAUUAAACUUCCAAUUGCAACCUAGGGCUUGUUUGUUCGGCUGAGAGUGGACCGGUGUAAAGCCGUUUCGGCCGUGAAUAAUCAACCUACUGUUUGAUUCGAAACAGCGUAAGAAUCUAAGUCAAUUACUAUAAAAAAAAAUAUUAAAAAAUCAUAUAAUAAUAUAAUUGAAGAUAAUAAUAUUAUUUAUAUUUAAAUAUAUUUAAUUAUUGUACUAAUUACUCUUUUGUUUAGUUUAUAUUUAAGGGAUUUAUUUUAUAGAUAGAUAGAUAGAUACUACACUGUACUUAUAGAUUUUUUAUACUUUUCAUAUUGUACUUUUUUUUUCUAAAAAUACUAUUCAACUGUCUUUUUUUAUUGUCCAUCCCUACACUAUAAAUAAUAAAUCUAUAACUUUGAGCGAAAACUAUUAAAAACUAUUAAUUAAAAGUUGCAGAGUAAUUAAUAUUCAACUUAUUUUCAAACAAAAAAUAUAUAAAAUAUAUAAAAUAAUAAAAGAAUAAUUAAAAAUAACUUUAUAGAAGAUUUGAGUGGAUCUAUCGUAAAUAUUUGUUCUAUAUUUUUUUCCUAUUUAGACGACACCUCCUAAUAAAGUUGUUAGAUUUUAUUUAAAAUAACAAAUUUAUUAACGGUUAUAUAGAGUUUGGUAAAAGAAUAAGUGAUAUUUAUGAGAAAAAAUACAAGAUAAAAAAUAAAUUUAAAAUACAAUAUAAAAAUUGGUAAAUAUAAUAAUACAAUAAUAUCGUUGAAAAAUAUUAAUAUAAUAUAUUAAAUAAAAAUAAUAUUAAAUUACAGUGCAAUGAGGCGUAAUUAAGCCUAGACUCUUUUUUACAUAGUUCUUGGGAACAAGGAUGAGAUUCAUUGAACUAAUUUGAUGUUAGUAAUAUAUAAAUUAAAUAAAUUAUAUAAAUAUAAAAUAUAUGUAUUUAAUAUAUUAUCGAGCUGAACACGAACAAACUGAUUCUAACUCGUGUUUGAGCUCAUAUAUUCUGCUUGUUUGUUAAGAAAUUUUCAUUCAGGGUUAAAGUGGGGUUAAAGUUUUUUUGUGUUUGGUUGGGGGUUGGAUUUAGUCCAGAAUAAUAAAAAAUAGUGUUUGGUUGGGUAGGUGGGAUAAGAAGAUAAUGAUUGAUAAAGAAGAAUAAUGAUUGGUUGGAGUAGGUGUGAUAAGAAAGAUAAUGGGUUAUUAUGAAUAAAAAAUAGUGUUUGUUUGGAGUUUGGUGGGGUUAGGUGGGGUUAGCUAACCCGAAAUAAUUUAUUUGAGGUCGGAUUAGGUGGGAUUAGGUAAUCCCACCUAUUUUUUAAGGUGUUUGGGAAUAAAAUGGGGGUUAAGGGGUUAUUCCACCCUUUAACCCCCAACUAAACCAGGGCUAAGAAAUUUUCAUUCUGUUCGCCUAGUGCACAAAACGAGCUUAUUUCGAGCCGAAGAAGCAGUGGCUCGCCGUCAGCUUGAUUGCCACCCUAUCCGCCAUCUUCCGUCCGCCCGCUCACUCUCUCUCCUCAUCUGUCCCCAUAACUCGGAGAAAGAAAGAGAGAAGAGAGAGAGUGAGGAAGGAGAUGAGGCGACGGGCGGCGGCGGCGGCGCUUCCUCUCGCCCUCGCGAUUGCGGCGGCGGCGGCGAUCCCGACGNAAAGAAAGAGAGAAGAGAGAGAGUGAGGAAGGAGAUGAGGCGACGGGCGGCGGCGGCGGCGCUUCCUCUCGCCCUCGCGAUUGCGGCGGCGGCGGCGGUCCCUUCGAGCCGGUGACGUCGCCGAUCGACGGCUCCGGGUUCCGCGGCCUCGCCGUCGACCUGCCGGAUUCGGACCCCAGAAUUCGCCGCCGGGCGCGCGGGUUCGAGCCCGAGCAGAUAUCCGUCUCCCUCUCCGCGUCCCCAGAUUCCGUCUGGAUCUCUUGGGUCACCGGUCAAAUCUAAUCUCUUCCCACAUACCCCCCUCCUCCUAAGUAGGUUUCCUUGUGAAAUUGAUUGUAGUGAGAAGGGGCAAAUGCAUGGAACUUUUGAUAUUUGUCCUGCACAGAUUGUGUCGUCAUGUAGUGUUUGACUGAAUACUUCUCAGGUGAUUAGAUGGAUUGAACACUAAAUUGGUCGACAAGGAGCAUUUGCAUAAUAAUUAGUUCGUUAGUGUCCCUUUCACCUGAGCCGAACCAAACCUGCUCUUUAUUAUCAUCGGACGACAACGAGUUAUUUGCAUGUAAAAGUACAUGGUUUAAACAUAGGUUAUGCACUACGAUUUCAAGGUAAAUUUUACAGGUUUUUUCUUUCUUUGGAAAGCUAUUUAUCGUUUUAGAAUACUCAUAGAAACUCAUUCGUACCCGAGCCCUUCAUGAUUUCAUGGAUAAUAAUACUGUAGGCUCACAAGAUAGUUGUAAAGUUGUUUUUACAGGGAAUGCAUUCUCCACAUUUUGCAUGAAAUAAUCUUUUGCGACUCAGAAUUUAAUUAGUUCCCUAUUGUUUUUACUAACUUUUUGCUUGUCAUACAUUUUCUGCAUUUUCAGGGGACUUCCAAAUCGGAGAAGGCAUAAAGCCGUUGGACCCGACGGCUGUAGCAAGUAUCGUGCGUUAUGGAACAAUAAGGAAUCCUUUGAUUCAUAAGGCUGUGGGUUAUUCGCUUGUCUACAACCAACUCUAUCCAUUUGAAGGCCUUCAAAACUACAGUUCUGGAAUAAUCCAUCACGUACGUCUCACAGGUAUGUUGUCCGCAUAAUACAUUUUGACUUUUACAUUGCGAUGCUUGUUUGGAGUUGCUCUAAUAUAUUUAUGUGGAAUCUAUUUUGUUUAAUGUGUUACAAUAUUGCCCAAUGGUUCAAUAAGAUUUUUUGGAAGAUACUACAGUUCUAAAUACCAGUAGGCGAUAUUUCUAGCAAAAGGUAUAUUUUUUUUCCUUUUAAUCGUUAUAGGCUUCACUUAAUGAAUGCCGUGAGGCUCAUGGCUGAGGCUAUAUUAUGUGAAACAAGUGUUGUGCAAGUUGCAUCAAUUUCAAUGUAUUGCUACAGAUGUUAGAAUCAUAUGAUAACGUCCAGGUUAUCUUUUAGCAUGUGGGGAAAAGGGAUACAAUUCUUCUAUGCUUGUAUAAAUAACAUAGCUUCAGAUAUGAAAGUUAAGUGUAGUGAUUUCUCUUAGACACAAUAUCUUUUUGAGAGUAUAUUUUGGUUAUACAAUGUCAGUCUCUGCCAAGGAUGUUGUCAUCUUUUGUAUUUUCAAUGAGACUCAUCACUCUGCCUCUUCUCCAUUUACUGAUUGGAUGAUUUUCAAGUGAUUCUUAAGGCUGAAUAUCAUUCCUAAGGGAAAAACAAGUUAUCUUGGUCGCAAUUGCAGUAGAGGUGUAUGCAGGCUCAGGAAACGAAGAGAACAUUUUCUCUUUUAACCUUUCCUUUUAACAUGCCUUUUCUUUUCUGCAGGGCUUAAACCUGGCACGCUGUACCAUUAUCGAUGUGGUGAUCCUUCUAUACCGGCCAUGAGUGAUCUCCAUUCUUUUAGAACAAUGCCAGCUAUAGGCCCCGAAGCUUACCCUAAACGGAUUGCUGUGGUUGGAGAUCUAGGCCUCACGUACAAUACUACAUCAACAAUUGACCAUAUGAGAAGUAACAAGCCUGAUCUUGUUUUCUUGAUCGGUGACGUAUCUUAUGCAGAUUUAUAUUUGACAAAUGGAACCGGCUCAGACUGCUACCAUUGUAGUUUUAACAAUACUCCAAUACAUGAAACCUAUCAACCUCGGUGGGACUAUUGGGGAAGGUUAGCAUUUGUUUAGACUAAUCACAAGUCUGGUCCCCGAAGCUUGAUGCAAUUUCAAUAUCAUCGUCUGUUUCAUUUCUAUCAAUUUUAAUUCUUGAAGUUUGUUAUGCACAACAAUUUAGCCGCUUUUUGUCUGGUAGCUAAAAGGCGACUCAUAGGUACCACACAAUUAAAUUGGAACUCUGAGGAUGAAAUUGCAACUGAAGUCACAUUUUAAGAUUUUAACUUUUAACUGCAGGUUGAGCUUUAGCGCUAAAAUUGAAACUCUGUGGAUGAAAAAUCGAUAAUGGGUCAAACUUUUGGGACUAAAUUGUUACAAUUGAAGCUGUGAGGACGAAGCCUGGGUUAAACUUCAUGAGCUGAUUUUGAAAUUGAUCCGAGUUAUUUGCUAAAUAUGUUAUUUCCUUCUGACAGGACAGGACUGUGGAUGAAUUUCUCUCUGUUAUUUUUCUGCUUUUGGUGAUCUCGACACAUUACCUCAUGCGUAUUGUUUCGUGCUUCAAUAUCGGAGAAAAAUACUUGACCUUUUCUUUUCAGGUUCAUGGAGCCUCUUCUAUCGGAAGUCCCAAUAAUGGUGGUGGAAGGAAACCAUGAGAUUGAAGCACAAGUUGAGGGCAAGACAUUUGAAGCGUACAGAUCUAGAUUUGCAUUUCCGUCUAAUGAGAGUAGAUCAUUUUCUACAUUUUAUUACUCUUUCAAUGCUGGGGGAAUACAUUUUAUAAUGCUUGGCGCGUAUAUUUCCUUCAAUCGCUCAGGUGACAUGCUUAAGAAUUUUGUUAGUUUCUUUCCUGUUUAAAAAAUAAGAUGCUAGAUUGCUAGCUAUUCAGUUACAAAAGUUUUUUUUUUUUUUUCCUGAACUAGUUGUGUAGUGAGUGUGAGGAAUUGUUUCUGAAAGGACUAACAUAGUUGGUAAAGCCUUUUAUGGCUGGAGCUGCAUCCUUUAUUCAUCAAGCUUUCAUUAUGUAGUAUGUAUUGAAAAAAAAUCUACUCUUUUGAUUUCACAACUCCACUGCUUUUGCAACUCUUUUAUUUCUUUCUUUAUUUAUUUUAAUAAUGCCAGCACAUUGGUCAUGCGCAAAUUUUGGUUGCUGAUGACCAAGACUUCCAUUUCGUUUACCAUAGUCUUUUAUCUCUUCAGGUGAGCAGUAUAAAUGGCUGGAAAGAGACUUGGCAAAUGUAGACAGAAGUGUGACACCCUGGUUGAUAGCCACUUGGCAUCCACCUUGGUAUAGCACAUACAAAUCUCAUUAUAAGGAAGCGGAGUGUAUGAGGCUGGAGAUGGAAGAGCUUCUCUAUUCGUAUGGCGUUGACAUCAUUUUCAAUGGUCAUGUAAGUUCCCAGCCCUGUACUUGUUCCCAUUUGAUUAUUUUUGCUCUCGCAAACUUGAACAUGGUAUUUUUUAGUAGUUUUCGGAACAUUUGUCAUUGCUGAAGCAUAUUUCACUAAAUUAAUUUUUUUUUAAAAAUACUUUUACAUUUACUCCUGCAGGGUUAUCUAGUUACAUAUAUAUCCCUGGGCGGCAUCGAGCAAAAUUGAAACGUACUUUUACAUUUACUCCUGCAGGGUUAUCUAGUUACAUAUAUAUCCCUGGGACAUCUUAAUUUGCAUAUAUGACAUUUUACAAGGUACAUGUCUAAUAGACAUACCUUUGAACUUACAAAUUUCAAUGUUUAGAAAACCUUUAUAAGGAUAUAUAAUUUUAAGAAGCCCAAAUUUUGAGGGGUAUAUAUGAAAAUUCUGGUUCUACCAGGGUUUCGAUGGAUUUUGUUUAGAAAAUAUAUGUAGAAGAUCUUAGCUUACCGUCACAAUAUUUUCCAGUUAAGUUGGCAACCUUAUUCUUCCCCGUGAAGAGCUUGAUAACAAUUUAGAGAUCAAAUCAUUAUACUAAUCUAAUGCUAUUUGAUGACGCUUUUUAUGUGGCUAUUGAGAAAUGUACUUUGAACCAACUUUUUCUUGACUCUAGCUUGAACCGACUUCUUACAAAUGUUCUCCGAAUAGAUCUUUUCCCCCAAAAUGGAAUGAACGCAACGAAAUUUUUGUUUACUGUAACAAUUCAUCGAUUGAUGUUGCUAUCCCUGAACGUCAGGUACAUGCCUAUGAGAGAUCUAAUCGAGUUUACAACUACGAAUUGGAUCCUUGUGCCCCAAUCUAUAUAACUGUUGGCGACGGGGGUAAUAGGGAAAAUGUGGCGACUUCUCAUGCAGAUGACCCCGGCAACUGCCCCAACCCCUUAAGCACUUAUGAUAAGCACUUGGGUGGCAGCUUCUGUGCUACCAACUUCACCACGGGCCCUGCUGCAGGAAAAUUUUGCUGGGACCGUCAGCCUGAUUACAGCGCAUACAGAGAGAGCAGCUUCGGUCAUGGAAUCUUAGAGGCAAGUCCUUUUUCAGGUUCUCACAAAAGCCAAUUCUCACCACUCCUUUUCUCUGUAUGAUUGUUUGAUGAUUUCCCAGGUGAAAAAUGAAACUCAUGCAUUGUGGACAUGGCAUCGGAAUCAGGACAUGUACAACAGCGCGGGAGAUGAGAUUUAUAUCGUCCGGCAGCCCAACAAGUGCCCUGUGAGAUACGUGCUGCCCCAGUUUAAAUCCAAGAAUGUCUUGCCCAAUGACUUAUUCAGAAUAUGAAGGAACAUACUCCAGAUUGAUACUUGAGAUUAUACAGUGAAACAUAGUAGUUUAUAGGCAAUGUCCGCAUACCGAAAGAACAGUGUGAAACUUACUAAAGAAGAAUUCUUUAUCGCUAUGUGUUAUCCCCUGUUUGGUUUGGAAUGGUACAGAUUAGUUGAGAUACAUCCGAGAGAGGGAGAGAGAUUUUCUUCAUGGGGUAACUAUUAGGGAUGUUUGCUUUCUUGCAAAAGCGGGGAAACUGUAUCCAGAAAGAAUCUUUUUCAUGAAAAACAUUCUUUUCUACAGUCGUUUUUUCAGUAAAAAAUUUGGAAAAUAAAAAUACUAUUUUUUUAAUAGAAUUUGGAAAUAAGUUUUUUAAAAAUUAUUUUUCUAAGGCACCAAACGUACGAAAAAUAUUUUUUCAGCAAAAGAAAAACUAUUUUCUCCGAUAUUUUUCAAAAAACCAUACACCCACUUAAGCUUUUGGGCUUGUUUGGUAGUAGAGGCUCACAAAUCCGGACUAAGAAUGGCCUGAGAGAUAAAGAAAUAUUUCCUCACAAGAAUUCAUAAAAUUGUUAAGCCCUUUUUUUUUUUUUUUUUUUUUUUUGAAAGUAAGAAAGAUGAAGCCUGCAGUUACAAAUCUAUACCUAUCUAUAUCUUCUUCUUCUAUACAUUAUUUAUUAUAAACUUUGCCACGUGGCAAAGCCUCCUUCAUCCUUGCCUUAUUCCUCAUUCCUAAUGAUUGAAUUUAUUAUCUUUUAUCUCCGCGCGACGUUUGGUCUUUCCACAUGUCCAUUUCUUAAUUAAUAUAUUCACAUUCAUUAUCAUCUAAACAAAUCAAUUUUAUAGAAGAAACAAAUAAAAUAAAAUAUGUGGCGAAUGAGAAGUGGGGAUCAGGAUUCGCCUUCCCGAUAUCGACAGCGCAAUUAAGGUGUAUGUGGAGUAGUGUUCUAUUGCUGUUUUUUAUUAUUAUUAUAUGUAAUUUAUUUGCUAAAAUUAUAAAUUUUACUAUAUCUGGUUCAUAUGUUCUAUUUGUAUUUAUUCCCUUGAUUUUUUAUGACAAGUCAAAAAAUUUUAAAAUAUUUUUUAUUUUAUCAAUCUUUUGUCUCUUAUAGUAUCAGCCCGCCGCAAUACGCGGGUAACUUCACUAUUAACAUAAUGGAUGAAGAUACAAAAAUAUAGAAAUCAGGAACUGAAGCUAAGCAAAUCCUACAAGCCCCAUCCAAACAAAUUAAAUAGGCAAAAUUACACUAACAGAAAACAACAGAAGAUAGAUAACUGCAAUAGUACAGUCGAUGAAGCUGCAAUCAUUCUUUGUGAUGAUCCAAGCCUAUUAGUAGUGGCCAAAUAUAAACUGUUUCCAGAAAAAACCCGACUAUCGGACCAGCUGGAAUACACACAAGAGAGAAGAGAGUGAGCUUCGCUGCGACAAAAAUCUAACAGGCAGACAAAAAAGAAGCUUCUGACAACAUGCUCAGUAAUGUCAUCUCUCAGAAGCCGCUCGCAUAUCCAUUUGAAACGGAAGGCUUAGAUUGACCAAAAAUAUGAACACUUUUCUUCACUAAUUUGUUACAGUAAUCAAUCGGGCAACUGUUUUCGGCGGUUCGUGUGUUUCAGUUUAAUCUUUUUGUUUGACACUGUCUGUCAAGUAAAAUUAAGGGAAGUACAUUCUGCAUGAUUUGCAGAGUGUCCAUUUUAAGCAACUUUACCUUCUUCACUUUGUCAAACAGAUGAAUACCAAAAAUAGUAGUUAUUCGGAAUUUAAACAUAGUGAUUUCAUACGAGAUUAAGGAGCAAGAAGAGGAUAGAAACAGACAAAAGCUACAAAGGAACAUGCCAUUCCAACACAUCACUGGUGAUUAACAGAUUCAAAUAAAAGAAUUUAUAGACUCUGUCAGGCAGAAAUGAAAUUUGAAUCAUCACAGAGAAUUAUUAUAUCUUGAAAGCCGCACGUCACUCAAAUACAACACGGUUAGGUGGAGUUUAGAGGACAAAAAGAAAAAUGCAAAAAUAAAUCUCGUCCUAACAGAGGAUCCAGUACAAAGAGGAUGUUCCUAGGGAAAAUCUUCAACAAAAAUGCCUGAUACUUCUCAUGCAACAUAAAAUCAAUUGCAGAAUAAAAUGCAGGAGCAAGAGAUUUGGGCUAAUAAUCAGCUGAAAAAGACGGACUUAACGAUUCAGCCUUUUGUUCUCAGUAUAGUAAUGCAGCCUUUUCCUCCUUCGGUGCGAAUUUGAGUUUUCUCAACUACUGGCUUCCCAGAGAAAGCCGAAGUGAGGUAAGGAGGCUCAUCGUCCUUCUUGCUGUUAGAUUUUGAUGGUGGCGGAGAAUGGAUGAGAUGAUUUAUAUCCUUCAAUGUGAGAUCACCUUGUUCUCCACAUGAUUUGAUGAGGUUAAAUGGAUAGACAAUGGAAGUGGUUAACUUCUUUUGUGUCUUAAUGAAGGAUUUCUUGCCUGAUUUCAUGUAAAAACUAACUAUUAAUUCUUGCAAAAGAAGGGGAAAAAGAACGAAUCGUUUCAAAUGAGGGACGCAUUCAUGCUAGCUUUGAAACAUACCUUUGAAAAUUUUAAGAUUGGCGAGAUUGGUGGUCUGUUUUGCGACAUCAUUUUUGAUAGUAGGUGCUACAUCACAGAAUUCUGUUCAACGAGAUAAAGUAAAUGAAAAUGAAAUAAAAAGUUGCGAAUUCUCGGGCCUCAUUUCGUAAUGUCAUCAUUUUCUUUGUGUUUUUUUUCAAUUUUUUUCAAAUAUAAAUUCUUUGCAAUGGAGUGUCCAGGUGGAUGGCAAAGUGCUCUCAAUCUAUAUAUCUGUGAUACUUUUUAAGUGCGUAUUAGAUGGAAAAUUUGGCCUCAAUCUAUUUCUAAGCAAUACAAAAAAAAUAAAGAAAAAAGAAAAAAGAAGAACACUCCAAAAAGUUCAUUUUUCAUACAGUUGUCUGCUGCGUUUUGGAAGGAUAACUCACACCCAAAAAGAAAUCUAUUGAUUUCUCCUAAUGUAAGAAUCAAACACAUGGAACCAAAAAUCUUAAGUCUACUGAUUAGAGCCCACUAAUAUAUACCAAUUUCUAUUCAAUAUUUAUUCUAUACGGGACUAUUCCUCACAUGCGAACACCAGACACCAAGAAUUUCAUGAAGCUAAAAGCAUGAGUUUUAAACUAAAGCUUCUGCUUCAGUUUGGUGAGCCCAAAGCUCAUUUUGGCUUUCUGCUCCAACUGAAAGGUCUAAACUUUUGCUUCUCAAGUACAGGACCUUCCAUGAGCUCGAAAUUAAAACAUGCAUGUAAAUGAAAUAUGGACAAUAUUUUGAAGCCAUUAAAACACCCGAAUUUCAGCUGGCAAUCAGAGUUUACAUUCACAUUCUAGCUAGACCUACCAUGACAACUAAAUCUAUCAAUACUGACAAAGAAAAAAAAAAAUGGAAGAAAGGAAAUCUAUAAUUGCUAAUUGAAGCUUGGUAACACUGACAUUUCAUCAGGACUGGGAAACAAACCUCGAGAACCUGAGCUCUCUUGAGUAUUCUGUUGCAACCUUUCUUCUGAGCUAUAUCCAGACACGGAACUCUCUGUCACCUUAAAACAGGGAAGCCGAGACAUGAAAGUAGAGAUCUUAAAUUACGAAUAAGACCAAAAUUAGAGAAGCAAUUGGUGGUGGUUCAGGGAUCUAGUACCUUACUAGUUACAUUAAUACAAGUGAUUUGCGCAUUUUCAUUUCCUUCUCUCUCGUAAUCAUCAGAAUCGAAUUGCAGCACACGUCGCCUUUUAACCAGUGACAACUUUUCGCACUCCACUUCUUUUCUGGAACUACCUAUGCAUUCAAUUGUCCCUUAAUAUUGAGUAAGAAGUCAAUAGAAAGAAGAAACUAGGGUGAAAGGAGAAAUAAGUUACUUUCUACACCUGAUAUAUCGUAGCUAACAUCUCGACACUCUCUGAUUGGAGUUUGAUCUCCCAGCAAGUAUAACAAACUGUCAUCUUCUUGGUUCAUGCCAUCCCAAAAGGAGAAUAGAACAUCUGUACAUUUAAAAGAAUGAGUAUAAAAGCAACCUAGCAAAAGAAAUUCCUGAAUAUGAGAGAGGUAUCUAACCAUCUGCUGGAUCUCUUGACCCAUAAAGAUCUUCUUCUCCUUGGCAUUCCCACAUAUAGCUUAUAUGCAUUAGACAAACCAGAUUAUGAAUCAGUAUUUUGCUCUCCUCCAUGAAGCAAAUGAUGACAACAUUACAACCAGAAAACUGAAAAAAAGAGGAAAAUAUAGGGGGGGAAAAAAUGUUUUCCAAACUGUUAAAAGUUGCCACAUUAUGCUGAUAAAUUUCAGCCAGAACCACAUUGAUUUUGCAUGUAAUUAUUCAGCAUAAUCUUGAUAAAGACCAACUAUCAAACAGGAAACUGAUCCAAAAGUGCAAAAAGAUAGUUCAAUAAAAUUUGGGCACUAACAGAUUCAGAUAGUUUAAAUAACUAUCUGAAGGUAAAUUAGUCCACUUGUUUAUAAAUGAAAGUUUGUUCAGAAUCUUCUACAUAUUGGUAUUUCAAAAGACUGAUCAGUUAGUCACAAGGAGAUACUUGAAAAUCAAUUGAAAUGCAGGAAAAAGUGAUAAGAAAUACAAAGCAUACUAUAACCACAUAAUAAAUCUAAACCCCAGUGCAAACCUGGAAAGAUAGAUCCCCAAAUGGCAAAGUUAGAUGGUGUGAGAAAGAGAAACAAGAUCACUCACAUAUUAUUGUUGUUGUGAUUGUUGCCAUUAUUGUUGUCAUGAAAUUCCAUUUAACUAAGAGAAGGGUGAGAGCCAAAUUAAACAAGAGGAAAUGGGAAAAGAAAAAAGAAAAAGAAGAAAAGAGCCAAUAGCCGUUAGAGAGGAGGAUGGAGCUUCAUUUCCUCACUUCUCCCAGAUGGAGAACCUCUCAUUCUUAUACAGAUUAAAAAUAAUAAUAAUAAUAAUACAGUAAGAUGAAAGAAGGGAAGGUGUGGGAUUUUGUAUUUAUCUACUCUCUAAUGGCUUUCCAAACAUGGCUAUAGAUUCAGUUAAUUGAGUACCACUACCUCACACAUUAUAAGUUGAUGAGAAUAAAAUUUAGACAAAAAAAUUUGGGAUAAUUUCAUCAAUACCCCUCUAGGAGACAGUAAUUUCAUAAAUACCCCUCUAAAUUAGAAAAUAUCAAGAAUACCCCUCUAAAAAGCAACAAUAUUCACAAAUACCCUUAAAACUAACAUUCCGUUAAAAAUGUCAUCUAAAAUUCUAUAAAUACCAAUUUUACCCUUAUUACUAAUUUAACUAAGUGUAAUAAUUUAAGAUUAAUUAUAUGAUUAAUUCUUAACCUUUCAAUCACAUAAUAAUUCAACAUUCUCUUUAAAAUUUUACAAUUAAAGAUCUACAGUCUAUUAAGUGUAAUAAUUAAAUCUUGUUAUGAUUUUCGCUUUUAAAUUAUAUAAUAGUUGUAAUGCAAUUAUCCAUUGUAGUAUUUAACAUUAAUUUUUUCAAGAUUUUUUUUUGAAUUUUAUUUAAAUAACUCACAGUUUUCUAAUUAAACAUUUAUUGUCAACAAAAAAAGUAACAUUGUAUGAAGACCCUCUCACCUAUUAGUCCACUUCAGCAUGAUCUUAACUUUAAAUUAUAUAUAUAUAUAUAUAUAUAUAUAUAUAAAAGUAGGGCUACAAUACUUUUAUAAGUAUAGAGCCCUAUGUACUCAUAAGUUUUUUCGAUAAUGGAGCUUCCGAAUCGACGAUCUACUAUGUUAAAUAUGAUCUAGAGUGUUUGCAAUUUUUAAAAAAUAAAUUUUGUAAUUUUUCGAAAUCAUAAUAACGUCUAUCAAGUGGGCAUAAAAUGAGCUGUCAAAAUCUCUAUAUUGAUCUUUAUCUAAAUAGUAAAUAAAAUUUUUUAUCAAAAAUUCAAUUGAUUCCGAAUUUUUUUCACCAUAAACUAGCAAGUAUCCCAUACCGACCAUUAAAAAUUGUCAAUUUUGAGAUCUAUUGAUCGUAAUGAUAUAAAAAAAUUAUAAAAUUUGAUUUCUUGAAGUUUUUAAAUAUUCUAGAUAAUAUUUAACGUUAUGGAUCGUCGAUUCGAAAGCUUUAUUAUUGAAAACGACUUAUGAGUAGGAAGGCAAUCACACUCAUAAGAGUAUAGUAGCCUGACUCUCUCUCUCUCUAUAUAUAUAUACAUCCUCUCAACUGUAGUGAUUCUUUACUUUUGCAAUUAAGUGUUUUUUUUUUUUCCAACUAAGUUAAAAAUUUUAUCAAAUUCAUGUAUGAGUGAUCUCAAUUGAAAAACUUUUAACUAAGUAAAACGCAAAAACAAAAAAAAACAAAAAGUUAAAGGGUUCUCUAAAUGUUAAAAAAUUGAAGUUAAGGAGGUAUAUUUCAAAAUGACCUAUAGGUGAGGGGCUUCCACUUAUUUUAUCCAUCAAUAAUUAGUGUUAGAAAUUAGAAGGGUAUUCAUGAAAUUACUCCUGUAUUAUUUGUUAUCAAAAGAACAACCCAAACAAUUUUUAAGGGGUAAAUUAGUCAUUUUAUAACUUUAUCCUAACGUCAGUUAGAAUGAGGGUAAUUGUGAUAAUUUUCUACAUUUGAAGGGGUAUAUAUGAAAAUUUUAAUUUUAUAGGGGUAUUUGUGAUAUUUACAUGUUUAAGAGGGCUAGUGAUGAAAUUGCCCCAAAAAAUUUAUAUCUGUACAUUAUUCUUUCUAAGUUUGUCAUAUACUAACGUUCUCUUCAUUAUUGGUGUGGGCUCCACUAAAGUUCUCCACAUAUUUUGAUUUUUUUUUUUUUUAACCGAAUCAAAAUUUUCUUUUUCUUUACUUGAACCGAACCAAUCAUUGUUGAGUGUGUGCUCCUCCAAUUAAACUGGCUCUAAGUCUUCUACAUAUUUUUCUCUUUCUUUGUUUGAACUGAACCGGAUCACAUCUCUGUAUUGGCCCGAACUGUUAUUCUUCUACUUCCUUCGGCUGUUACCUUCUUUCAUCGAUAAGAUGAAUUUUAUUUUUUAUCGUUGUUUCUUCCAUCGCUAUUUUCUUUUAUUUUAUCACCACUUCUUCUUUUUUUUUUUUCUAAUUAUCUACCGGUCGUAUUGCAAUUAUUGCUACCCUAGUUAUAACAUUAUAGGAUUUAUAUAUAUUAUGAGUUAGACUGGAGCCUUGAGUUGGUGGGCUGGAUUCAUACUGCUAGAUUUUAUUGGCAUGUAUUCCUAAAAGUGGCAUAGCAUUAUAUUCAUCAUCUAUACUAUUAUAGUUGAUGAUUAUUUAUGCUUUCAUUUUUUUUUUCCCUUACUUUAAUUCUUCAUCGUGUGACUACGCAGUCGUUAUUUCAUUGCACCGCUAAGGUCUUAUUGGAAAACAUAUUACGCAGGCACUGCGAUCCAUUGAUCUAACACAAUAGAUUCGAUCAAGACAUGAAAUUUCUCAUUUGGCAAAGUUGGGAUUCUCAAUCUUGUAAUCACGAAUGAGACAUUUAUAGCAUAAUAGUAGCAGUAAACCUUGAUUUAAGUGAAGCAUCUUUUGACAUGUUUUCAGUAUCUUGCAUUAUGCCAAAAAAACUAGCUCUAAAUGUUAACUAUUUAUUGUCUAUGUUUACCAAAAAAUUCAAAUCCAUGUAUUUCUUUUUUUCUUUUGCAAUAUAAUAUUAUAAAAAGAGUUAGAGUUUGAGGUUCGGUAAGGUAUAUGUCUUAGCCUUUUAUCACCAAGGAUUUUGGUGUUCUAGCUUUGUCAUUUUUUCAUUCUAUGUAUAAACUACGAACUCACGUGAUUUCCAUUUUCACUGCAAACUAUAUAAGUCUUUCCCUUCUUCCAAAAUUUUAAAAUUUUUUGUAGCUAUUAAUUAAUUAGCAGUUCAUUCUCUCGGUUUAAUUUGCUAAAAAGUAAUUUACAUAAUCAAAUUUGAUAAAAUUAUGGUUUAAUUUGAUAAAGUUUCAAAUUUAUUUGAUUAAAAUCAUCCAAUUCUAAAAAUCCAUAAAAUAAGAGGUCUGAAAUGACAAGAAAGGUUGAGAGAGCUAUCUAAGAAUGUAUGUAGAGGGAUUUUCUAAAUAAGGAUUUAAGUGCCGUGACAUGUACGGAAUCGUACAAAAAACUACUGCAUACACGAUACGGCAUGGUGCGUGAGGGACUGUGCCGAUGCAUGCCGUUCAUAAAAAAUAUAUAUAUUUUGACAUAUAAUGAUAUGAAAUAUUUAUUUUUUUAGUAAUAGAAUAUUCUAAUUACUUGUUAUAUAUAUAUUUAUCAAAAUUUUUAAAUUUUAUUAAAAAAAUUACUUACUAGUUAUAUAAAAAAAAAAGAGCUUUGAACUAUGUCAUUGGCACGGGUUGUAUUGUGCCGAUAUCUUAUUGGUAUGAUACAUCACGAAAAAUAUACUCCAUACGGAUGAUAUAUAUUUAAAUCGUUGCUUGUGUGUACUCCCUCAAAAUUUACAAUUUUUGUACAUAUCUUUAAAAAAUGAUAUUUGUACGUAGAUCUCUUGCUUGUACGUUUUCAUUUUUGCACUUUUCAGACUCAAAAAAGAGUUUACUCUGAGCGCAUCAUACUUAACAUACUCUUAAACAUAAGGUCUUGAAGCAAAGAUAGAUUUUAACAUACACAUAAAUAUGCGUCAUUUCUGCAGAUAUACGCAAAAAAAAAAAAAUGAAAAAAAAAAUAGAGAUAGAAAGAGAGAAUACAACUCAACUUAAGACCAAUUUUGUUCCAACAAAACCACACCAAAUUAAACAGCAAAGUUCAGUUUCAACCAAACACAGACACAACUAUCCAAUGAGCCAAAACAUGAUGGGAGCAAAACUUCAAGACUCUCCUCUCACUAGCAACUUACCAAACAACACACAUUCUAUAACCACUCAAAAUAAAAAAAAAAAAAAAAUGCUCCCCACACAUUUUAUUUUCAGAUAAUUAACUUAGUAGAUCAACAAUCGACAGCUAUAAAGUCCAAAAAGCUCAAAACUAGAGAAUGAGAUUGUAAAACCCAAACGCGAAAUCUAGAAAAAUUUCUAAACUAACUACGUCGAAACCUUGUAAAGCACUUACAAAGAGUAUGAUUUUUCGCAAUCUUUGUUAAGCAAAUCAUAUCUUUGCUAGUUUCUGUGCAAGGUUCCGAUGUAGUUGGUUUAAAAGCCUCUCCAGAUCACGCAAUUAGGCAUACACGGUUUUGGUCAUCUUACGAACUCUAGUUCUAAUUUUUUUUGACUUUUAUAGCGGUUAACGGUUGAUCUAAUAAGUUACACAUUUUGCAAUCCUCCGCCGGUCUGGUGGAGCAUAGCAUCGAUCUCAUCGCCGUCCUCCAUGUCCAGCUGGAAAGAAUAAAAUGGAAAUUGUAAGCUAUCAAAAUUUGGUGGCAACUACGUAAAUCUUUUUUUUUUUUUGGCGUUCUUACUUCAGUAGGGGUCUGCUGUCCACGAAGGCGGCGGCCCUCGUACAGAAAGACGACCGUGUUGACGUCGAGUGACUGCCUGUUGCAGUAGGCUGUCAUCAACUUCUGGAGCUGCGAAGCGCGCUUGAUCCUGAAACAGACUUCGAUACCAUCCUGUGUACAACAAAAAAAAAAAAAAGCUUGAUCUUCGAAACCUUAGAAUGAUCAAACUGCGUUCGAAAAAGCUAUAUAUAUAUAUACACACCUGUCCCCUAACUUUCAGAUUGAUCUGGUUCGCCGGUUUCUUGUCGCCAUCGUCAAUGCUGGACAUUCCGACGCUGUUCGACUCUUCGUCCUCCAUUCUCGACAUUCCUUCUACCUCUCUUCGAAAAAUCUAAACUCUUUGAGAUAGUAUUUCAAAGAUAUUCUCACUCUCUUUGCACGCUCUUCUCUCCCCAUGGGGUAGGGUUUAUAUAGGGGUUUUGGAGGGAAACGGACGCAGCAGCGUCGCGAGGGUCGCGUGUGUUGGGGGGUUUGGUGCUGCAUGCGAGGAAAACGAUACCUCCUGUGGAAGAGCUUUUUUUUGAACCCUGGCGCGCGCUCCNUGUAUUAAUUCCAACUCCACUGCAGAGAAAGGAAUAACGUUUCAGAAGUGGGGGAGAGCGCGGAUUACCUACAACCCCGUGCGUAGGAAUCCCUAGCACACGGAACCGAUCCCGCCGUUCAUUACUCGCGAAUCGAAUCCGUACCUUUGGCAUCGGACGGUGCGGAUUUAGUCUCUUGUUCAUGAACGGUGAGAUAAAGUCGGUGUGUACAAAUUCCUGCGCACCGGGUUGUAGGAAUGCGUGUUCCCAUUCUGAACCUUCCAUUUUUGCGAGCCCGCGCGCGAUUCCCGUUGAGAACCCUCCCCUUGCGAGAAGCGUGAGGGUGAGAUAAGGAAUUGAGAAAUAUUCCCUACACCCGGUGUAUGUGUACGUACGACUCGUAGACCGUGGCGCCGAAUCCUCGUAAUGAUGAGUUUCUAAAUUCAAGCAAGGGACCUUUCUAUGGGCUAUUGGUUUUUUGAAACUACUUGAUGUUUCAAUAAUUAAUAUAUAAGCGACAAAUUGAUUACAUGCAAUUACAACUAUGAUUAUAGUUCAUAAUAAUUAUGUACAAAUUUAAAUUCGGUGUUUAAUUUGAUAUAUUUGAAUUCAACUGUCGCAGUUGGAACUGUAUGAUGAGCGCAAACUGCAGCAGUUAAAAUUAUGUUCGAAUUGGCAAUAAUUUCAACUGUAUCAGUUGGAGAGAGUAACUUUAAUUAGGUAAACUUAUAUUCUUAAUCGCAUUUUAGAUAGAAUAUAUAUAUUUUUCUAUAUAAUUGCAGCAUUUUUUAUUAUAUCCAACCAAAUAAGAUAUAUGCAGUUGUAAUUAAUGUAUAUAAAAUUACAUGCAUCUCCAACUACGCUAUAUUUCUAAUUAUAUUCAGUCAAAUGGUCAUUCAAUUUCUAAAGUUUAUUUAGUUUAUUUAUAUAUAUAUAUUAGGUCACAUCUAUAAAAUUUGAUUAUAAUUUUUUAGAUAUUUACUAUUAAAAUUCAGAUGCUGUAUAUCACAAGUCUUGAAACAACUCGAGUGCGGGCAAUAAUUCACAGGGUGAGAGUGUUUUAAUUCUUGGCUAAAUUAGGCAAAUCUUUUGAGCCCUACUUGGAUGCUUUCAAUUUAAUAAGUGUGAACAAAAUUUAAGCUGUGCAUAAUACUUAGGUCCUUAAAUUUUAAUUUAUUACAUUUUGACUCAAACUUUGACACUGAUGCACAAUAAUGUAGCACAUUAAUUCUUUACUGUUGCAUCGCUGCUCCAUAGGCGACAAAUUAAUAUUUAGUUAAUUAAAUUUACUCCCUAAGAGUUGAUUGCAGUGAUCUACAAAGCACGAAUUAAAAAUUAUAACAAUUUAAUAUGUGAGGACUAAAAUAUUACACACAACUUAGUUUGAGGACCAACAACGCAAUUAACCAAACUUUUUUCAUUAGAAAUAAAAGUUAAAACUAGCUGCUCGAGUUCAAAAAUAUAAAAUAAAUUGUAUGCUUCUAUAAUAUAAAAAUUAAUCUAAAUUUUUUUAUUAUAGCGAUAUUAUUACUUCUUCAAAUAACUCUACUAUAUAUAAAAUACGUGAAGAAAUUAAGUUUUAUCUGCAAGUAGAUAAUGAGAACCUAUUUGGUCUCGUUUUCCAGCAUUUGCUUAUAAUUAAGAAUUUGUCAGUUGACCGACCAUCCCUAGAGAAAGUGACAACGGGUUUGGUGGUUGGUACCCGAGACCCAAGUUCGAAUCCUAGUUGAUUCACAUUUCUUGCUAAGUUUAUUUCUAAAUGAAAUAAAUGAAGCGGGUAGUGUGCUGCCUAUCUCUCUCUAAAAAAAAAGAAUUUGUCAGUUGCUUAAGACUGGUAUAGUAGGCCACAAGUUUACACAAAAGUGGCCUGAUUUUGUCACAAAGGUGAGUAAAAGCAUCAUUUUGCAAAGUUGUCCCAUUGCACAAAACCAUUGUAUGUAUUAAGGCUUAGUUUGAUAAUGUGACGAGUUAAAUUCUGGUCUAUUGGACCACAACUCAUCUCCAUUCUAUAUUUUUUUCAAAAAAAUAAUACAAAUAUAGAGUCUGACUACUAUACUUUUAUGAGUAUAGACGUCUUUAUACUCAUAACUUUUCGGCCGUUAAAUUUACCCUUUGAUCAUUUUCACCCGUUAGAUCAUACUAUUUAACCAACAACUCAUUUAACCCUAGGGAACCACUAUUAUUCUAAUUUGGGACCACUAUCAUCCUAACCGUAAAUUUCUUCACCCAACAGCCAAAAACUUAUGAGUAUAAAAGUGUUUAUACUCAUAAAAGUAUAAUAGCCUUUUGCUCAAUAUUAUAUAUAAUACUAUAUUUUAUUUUUUUUUUUAUUUUGUGUGAUGUGGGGAUUUGAUGGUGUAGUGUAUUUUUUUAUUAUUUUAUGUAUAUUUUUUUUGUUUUUUUUUUAUUUUUUUUUUUUUUUAAAUACUCUGCAUGUAAGCAGCCGAAGGGGGCCGUGAGGAUUUUGAGUUUUAACAUUGGAUCGAGAGAUGUAGAUUGGCAUUGGAUGGUGGUAACAUGUGUUUAGUGGUGGUUAGGUGGUUUUUAUAGUGUUUGAUCAAGGGUGUAUAGUAUUAUAGAAUUAGGAUCAAUGGCUAGAAACUAAAAGCACCAAUGUGAGUGGGUGCUUUAAAAGUAUUUAAUCAAUAUAUAUAUAUAUAUUAUAAUAUUUUUUUUUUUUUUUUUUUAUAUUAUAUAGAUAAAAUAUAAAUAUUGUUAAUUUAGUAAUUAAUUUUUUAAAUUAUAAAUUUUUAAUCAAAAUAUAUAUAUUAUAUUAUAUAUUAUAUAUAUAUAUUAGUAUAUAUAUAUAUAUAUAUAUUAUAUUUUAAAAUUUUAAAUAUUUGUUAUUUUAUAAUUAUUUUUAUAAAUUUUAAAAUUUUUAAUCAAAAUAUCAAUUUAAAUAGAAAUAAUUAUUAUUUAUAUUUUUAGAUUUUAUAUAUAUAUUUAAAAAUUUUAAGGAGCUAGCCCGGAGCACGGCUGGGCCCGGCAAGGCCCGUGGCUUCCGAGCCGAGAGGCCAUGUUUAGUCGGAGGCUAGGGAACUCGGGCCCUGCAGGGCCCAACCCGAAUUUGUUGUUGGGCCGGGCCAGCCCUUAGCCCAUUUUGGCCCAAAUAAUGUGGGCUGUACCGGCUCGGCACAGCCCAUAUUAUGACCCUACUCACAACUAAAAUUUAUUUUCGACUAACUUUUUAUAAGAUAUCUAUGUCAUAAUUAAUGCAAAAUAGUCAAUUGACCUUAUAAUCAAGAAAAGUGACAAAACUAAUAUGCAAUAGUCACUAACAUGCAAUGAGCACUUUCUUUUUACAUGGUCUAAGGGAUUGAAAUGUUUACUCUCAUAUAAACUUUCCUCCAUUAUUAUUUGCAUUCAGCAUGUUGAGUAAAGUUUUAAGUGAAGUAAAAAUUUCGCUACCCUUUAACCUCCAAUAAUAAAAAAUAUUUCAAUUUAAAGGGAUUAUGAUAAAAAAUGUUAAAGAAGGAGAAAUAGAUAAUAUAUAGAAAGACAAUAAAAUUUUUGCCUUUCUAAUAUCAUCUUAUACUUUCUUCCUCCUUAUUUUUUCGCGUUCUUUUUUUUUUUAAUACUUUCUUUUCAUUUUUCUUUCUUUAUUUUUUUCUAUUCUUACUCCUUUCUUUCUCUAUUUUCACUUUUUAUCACCUUACUUUCUCUCUCUUUAUUUUCUCCUACUUUAUUUUUUCUUUAAUCUUGCUCUCCUUUAUCUCCCUUUGUUUUCUUUUUUAUCCAUUUCUCUCUCUCGACUUUCUCUCUUUACUUUCUAUCUCUUUAUUUUUCUCUCCCAACACUUUCCCUAUCGUCCUUGCUUUUUUAUAUUCCUUUAUUUUCUCUCUCUUCUUCCUUUUCUAUCUAUUCACUUUCUCUCUCAUCUCUCUAAUUUUUUUUUUCUAGUUUUCUCUCUUCACUUCUCUCUCCUUUGUUCUCUCAUCUCCCUUUGUAUCUAUUCACUUUCUCUUUAGUCCAUCGUUCAUCUUUUUUUUUUUUUCUCGCGUUCUCUCUUCACUCCUCUCUCCUUCGUUUUCUUUUUUUAUUUUCUCUCUUCUCCUUAUUCACUCUCUUUUCUCUCUCUCUCUCUCUCUCCUUUCUUUCUUUCCUUGUUUUUUUUGUUCACUUCUUUUUUCUUUCUUCUCUCUCUUUUAUUUUCUAUCCUCACUUUUCUUUCUUCACUUUCUCUCUUGUUAUUUUCUCUCUUCCUUACUCUCUCUUCUCUUUCUCUUUUCUUUCUUUAUCGUCAUCUUUACUCUCUUUACUUUCAUUCAUAUAUAGUACAACUAAGUAUCAUUAAAGAAAAAUAUUUUACGGAAGCAAUAUUUACUGAACAAAAUGUUACAUGGGGAAAUAUUUAAUCCCUAACUUUUAAACCCAUAUCAAACUACAUCUUAAACUUAAAACUCUUAUAUUUUAAAAUUGAUUAUGAAAGGGCAAAUUGCAUAAGUGAUUCCUAGAAUUUGAGUGAACCCCAAACUUUUAAAUUUAACACUUGAGGCUCAUACUUUCAAAAUUAUUUUACUUUAGUCCUUAUAUUAGAAGAAAAUUAAUUGCAUGUACCUUGUUUAUUCAUACUUCUAUGCAUCAUAUAUCUAUUGGUCUUUCGUCUAUCUCAUACUUUAAUCUAACUCAAUCCUAAAUAGAGAAAAGAGAGUAUAAGAUAUAUAUUAGAAAUAUAGGCAACAGUUGCAAUUUUAAAAUGAUACUACCACUUUAUGACAAUUAAAUAAGAAGACUAUGAAAUUUUUAGUAAAUAUUCCUUUUUUAGAAACUAACCUGCACAUGAGAGAGAGAGAGAGAGAGUGAGAGAGAGAGAGAGAGAGACUCGAACAUGUUUUUCGUGAAAAUGUGUUGCUUACGCAAACAUGAGUACUUUCCGUGAAUGUGCAUUACUCGUGCAUGCUCAUGCUUUUCGCGAAGUUGUGUUACUCAUGGAACCCCAUAAUAUGCCUUAAUGCUAAGCUAGAUGUUGGAACUUAGGUUAUUGUUAGUUCCUUGAUAUCGAAGAGAGCAAUGUGGCAGCCUUAUCUCCUAUGCCUUCGUAUUCUUCUAAACUGUCCCUAGUCUAUUAUUAUCGUUGCGAAUCAUUGACUCUAACCACUAUUCCAAUAGCCCAAGCUGAAAGAAAUAAGGCAACCAAUUUACUUAAAAUAGAUAGAUACCAUGCUCAUCAACUAAAUUGUCUCUUGGCCCAAACCUAGCUACUUAUACCUGAGGUAGAGAAAAGGGAGGAGCCAAUGGGAGAAGGCAUCAUACUUCAAACAAAGAAGAGAGGAAUCGAUAGAGAAGAAUAAUGAAAAUGAUUUGGUCAUACUUGGAACAAAGAAAAGAUCAGAAAAAGAUACAAAAGAAAGAAAAGAUUUGGGUAUUUCAUAAUGAAUUGGAUGGGUUAAUGCAUUAAAAAGUGAUUAUGAUAUUAAAGACCGAUUGAAAGAAAGCUUUUGAUAUUCACAUCUUCAAAAUAUCAUUUGAUUAGAUUAUGGGUCGCAUGAGUAAUAUUUAGUAAAUAAUUCCAACAUUUACACACGCAAAAAAAAGAACUUAAAUUUAUUAUGAACUUUUUACUAUUUCUAUCUACACAUUGACUUACUUUAAACAUGAGUAAGACACUAAAUUUUAGAGAUUUUAAAGAUUGUAUUUUAAAAAAAAUGAUAACAUCAACAACAGAUAAAAGGAAAAAAGAAAAAUAUGGAGAUUAAAUAGAUACCUGACCCUUGACUUUGAGAAAUAUUAUCGAUUCAUCAUCUACCUUUUUUUUUCUUUCUCUUUUGUAGAACACAACAUUCUUCCUCCUUCUCCUCCCCCCCCUCCCUUCUCUCUCUCUCUCUCUCUCUCUCUCUCUCUCUCUCUCUCUCGCAACUACAACACAAUUUAUAAUAACUUCUAUUUUAAGCUAUUCUUUUAAUUUGAAACGACUGGUGACGUCAUUGUUAAGAAAAGUAAUGGAAGUAGCACGAGAUGAAUGCAUUUUCUACGUUAUAGUCAAGAGAAGUAAUGGGAGUAACACGAGAUUCGUGCAUUUUCUACCUCAUAGUUAAGGAAAGUAAUGAAAGUAAUACGAGAUGAGUGCAUUUUCCACGUCAUAGUCAAGAAAAGUAAUGGAAGUAACGCGAGAUCAGUGCAUUUUCUUUUUUGUCGUUGCUUAAAUUAAAGUCCUCAAUUUCAAAAUAGAUUAUGAAAUAUAAAUUACAUUAGAAGUCCCUAAGACUAUAUUUGGUUCGGGAACAAGGUGGGCAAUAAGCCCUUGCUCCCUCCUUUGUUCCCAAAUACUUUUUUUGGUACCCGAAAACAGUAGUUUUUAAAUUUUUGGAAUAAACUGGUAUAAGGCUGGAACUGCUGUUCCAUUCUCUUCCCUGAAACAAGCUUGUUAAUUUCUAAGUGGGAACAAGAUUAAUUAAAGUCUAAAUUUAAUUUUAAUUAUAGUAUUAAAUCAUUAAUUAAUCUAAUUAAUAUAUUUAAAUUAUUAUUUAUUACUUAAAUAAAUAAAAUAAAUAAAUAAUUAAUUAUAAUUAAUUAUUAAUAAUUUAAUGUAUUUAUCCAUAAAUUAAUAUUUAUAUUGAUCAACCAUUAGAAUUUCUAUUAAUCUAAUUAAUUAAUUUUUACUAGUUAUCUAGCUAAAAUAAUUUACUAACUAAUUAAAAAGUUAAAUUAUUUUUUAUAUUUAAUUAAUUAAUUUGUAUAUUUUCAUUAUCUUCUACAAUAUUCAUAGCUAAUAAAUUUAUUAAUUUAUUAAAUUAUUUUUAAGUAAUAUUUUGAUGUUAAUUAAUUAGAUAAAAUAAUUUUAAUUUAAAAUUAUAACUCUUAUUCCUCUUGUUUCAAUCUAAGCAUCCAAAUACUAUUUACCUUAUUCCUAAUAACAACCGAAUUUCCAUCCAAACGCAAAAUUAGUUCUUACCUAUACCUGAACUUGUAUCUAUCUCUGAAAUAAGUAGUUCUUACUUAUACCCGAACCAAACGUAGCCUCAAAUUUGAACCAAUUUUAAUUCUAGCCUGCAAAUUUUUAAGUUCGACUUUCCUUGAACUUUCAAUAUAUUUCGUUUUGGUAGAAAGUUAUCACUUGUGCCCCAUUUAUUCGCCUUUUUUUACACUAAGAGUUUUGUUGGUUUUUUUUGUCACGCCUCAGAUUGCAUCGAAAUCCGGACUACUCAAUAGAUCCAUCGCAUAUGCAAAAAGCCCCAUAUAUGUAAAGCAAUAAAAGUACCUUUAUACAAUACAAGAGGCUACCACAAAAAAAAACAGAGUUAAAAUAAAAUUACUAACAACUAAAAUAUAAUCCACUGUACAUAUAUAAUUCCAAAAUAAUAAAUCUUCAAAAUAUACAAAAGUAUGUAUGUACAAAGCGCUACUCUCAAAACAAGCCACUAUAGGGUGCUCCUCUAACUCGAACAGCAUUGGUAGGGAAGAACUAAAUCGUGACUCCCUUACCUUGAUCUAACGGAGCGACAAGGGUGGAGCGCUCUGCCAGAAGAAGUUAACAAUAGAGGGUGUGAAAACUACUAAGACGAGGAGUCCUCAAUGAGUACCGUCACCAAUGUCGACGACUUACCUACUAGGUCUACUAGAGUUAAAAGUAAAGAUCUAUGACUAAUAGUAGAGUAUGGAAUCGUAAAAGUUGGAAAGAAAAAAAAUCUACAGUUACAUGUGAACUAGAGAACAAGUUAUGUGCAUUAGGACAAGUUUAAUAACCUAGAAGUCAUUGAACAUAAGGUAUAACAAUGAGUUUUUUCGUGACCUUCCAACAGUGCCAAUAGGGAACGCCGAUCACCCUCGACUCCCUCAUAUGCAUUGAGAGGGCUGAUCACUUUUGACUCCUACAUUGCAUUAAUUAGAGUGUCGAUCCUCUCGACUCCGUAUGUGGUGCCUGGAGGGAUGAUCUUCCUUAACUCCAAGUGGCUACAAAUUGAAGAGUAAUACGAUCUCCCUCGGUUCUUUUUUUUUUUUUUGAGAGAUAGGUAGCACGCUACCCGCUUCGUUUAUUUCAUUUAGAAAUAAACUUAGCUGGAAAUGUGAUUCAACUAGGAUUCGAACUUGGGUCUCGGGUACCAACCACCAAACCCUUUGUCACUUGCUCUAGGGACAGUCGGUGAUCUCCCUCGGUUCUUGAUAAGUGUUAUAUGUAUGUAUAUGUAUGUAUAUAUAAAUGUAUGCAUAUGCAUAUGUAUGUAUGUAUAUAUAGAGUAGGGCUACUAUACUCUUAUGAGUAUAGAGCCCUUCGUACUCAUAAGUUGUUUUCGAUAUUGGGGUUUUUGAAUCGAUGAUCCACACCGUUAAACAUGAUCUAGAAUAUUUGAAACUUCUAGAAAAUAAAUUUCGUAAUUUUUCGAAAUCAUUAUAAAGUCCAUCAAGCGGGUAUAAAAUGAACGGUUAAAAUCGAAAGACGUCCUAAAAAUGGAUGAUCGGAUCCUUCAAUUUAAGAUCGGAUCCUUCAAUUUAAGAUCGGAGUUAUUGAUCUUUAUCUAGGUAGUGAAUAGAAUUUUCUAUCAAAACUUCAACCUAUUCUGAUUCAUUUACACCGUUAAACUAGCAAGUAUCCAUACCGGUCGUUAAAAAUUGUCAAUUUUGUGAGCAUUUGAUCGUAAGGCAAAUGAUGUCGAAAAAUUAUAAAAUUUGAUUUCUAGAUGUCUUAAAUGCUCUAAAUAAUGUUUAACGGUGUGGAUCGUCGAUUCGGAAGCACUAUCAUCGAAAACAACUUAUAAGUACGAGGGCGAUCGUACUUAUAAGAGUACAGUAGCCGUAGUCUAUAUAUAUAUAUAUAUAUAUAUAUAUAUAGACCUAGGCUGGAAUACUAUCAAUAGCACCAAGCAUUUGGUGCUAUUAGGUUUUCGACCCUUGGAUUAAAAAAUAUACGGUUAGGAUGAUGUGGGCCCUCUAGGGUUGAGUUAGUUGUUGGUUUAAUAGUAUAAUCUAACGUGUGAAAAUAGUCAAAGGGUUAAAUCUAACGGCGGAAAACUUGAUAGCACCAAAUACAUGGUGCUAUCGAUAGUAUCCCAGUCGGACUCAAAAUAUCAGUUGCCUCUUUACAUAAGCCAUAAAAUUUUUUUGUCCAUAUUUUUUUAAUUAAUAGUAUACGUAUGCGCAUAUUUGUUGACGAAAAUCUCUAAAAAUUGAUGAAAAUAGAAGGUAAAAUAUACACGGUCUCUGUAAUAUCCACAUUGGGUAUGUAAAAUAAAAUCAUCACUUUUAGUAGCUUUUUUUUAGAGUAACAGCUAUUUAUUUCGUCAAACUAAGAGAUCCCAAAAUUAGAAUUCAUAAUUAUUGCCAAAAAUAAUUGCGGAAAGAAAAUAAAUUAGCAUCAAAAAAAAGAAUUGGUACCUGAACAGGGAUACCUGGACCAGAUUGUACGGCCACCACAUCGCCGCCGGCUCGACCAGAUACCGCCGGAAAAUCCCCGCCCACCCAAACCCUAAAACCUGAACAAUUUAAACGCACAAAACAAAUAUAUAUUAUGUCGAAAAGCCUCCCGUGGUUUGAUAUAUUUACGGUAUAUAGAACACUAAAAAUACUAUUCUCUAAUAAUCGUUUGGUUCAGAAAUAAACAGAAUUUGUUUAUUCUUGAAAUAGUUAUAACUUAAAAAAUAAGUAGGAGUAAAACAAAUUUUACGUUUAUAUGAAAACUUGAUUGUCUCUAGGUAUAAAAAAUAAUAGUGUUUGGAUGAUUAUAUUAGAAUAACGGGAAUAAGAAUAAUUGUAAUUUAAAAUAAAAUUAUUUUGUCCAAUUAAUUGACAUUGAAAUAUAAAGUAAAUAAUAAAUUAUUAAUUUUUUUAGCUAAGAAUAUUGUGUAAAAUAAUAAAAAAGGCAUUAAUUAAAUAAUUAAUUAUAAAAAUAAGUUAAAAUUUUAAUUGGUUAGUAGAUUAUUUAAUUAGUUUGAUAAUUCGUUAAGAAAUUAAUUAUAUUAGUCAAAAUAUUAAUUGGCUGAUCAAUAUAAAUUAGCUAAUUAAUUAUUUAGUCAAUAUAUUAGUCAAAACGUUAAUAUUUCUUAUUCCUAAAAAUAAUUUAAUUUUUAUUCAAACACACAGUUGGGCAUAUUUUUACUUAUCCUAGAAGUUGUGCCCGUAUUAAAAGUAAGUAAGAACAGCUUAUUUUUGAACUAAACAAUACUAUGAAAUAAUUAGUUAUUUUAUGUAUUAUUAGUGUUCAAAUCUCAUUAAACCCUUCCUUUUGUUCUCUACACCACUAUAGGUGUAAACAAGCCUUGUUCGAGCAAGCUGGCACCGGCUCGUAAAUAAACGAGUCGAACACGAGCUGGCCAACGAAUAUUAAGUUAAAAGGAUUAAAUUGAAUAUAUAUAAAAAAUAAAUUUAUAAAAUCUUAUCCAUUAGACUUUGAUCUACUAGUUAAAACGUUACAUAUAAAUAAGUAUUUUUAUAAUUGAGCUCGUCUUUAUAUUUUUAUUCGGCUAAAAAUUAAAUAAUAAAAAUAUAUAUUAUAUAUAAUUAUUUAUUAUAUAUAUAAAUAUAAAUUAAAUAAAUUAUAUAAAUAUAAAAUAUAUGUAUUCGAGCUGUUAUUGAGCCGAACAUGAGCGAGCUGAUCCCAGCUCGUGUUCGGCUUGUUUAUUAAACGAGCCCAAAGAUUCAGCUCGUGUUCGGCUCGUUUACUAAAUGAGCAAUUCGAUCUCGAGUUCAUUUCAUGCCGAACACGAGUUGGCUCAUGAACGGCCAGCUGGAUUGCCACCCCUACUCCUACUUUAAUGAGCUUUACAUUCAAAUACUCGUCUUGUGCAUGUGAGUGGUACCGUCGAAUAUAGAACGCAAGGUUUUGAAAUCAUCAUCCCCUUUGCAACUGUUUNGAGAAUUAGUUUUGAUUAAAAUAUUUGACUGAAUUUAGAUGAAAAGUCAUUUUUCUGAAGUGAUUUUGUAAAAUUAUUUUCUGAUUUUAGGUCUCUAUUCUUAGAAAAUUCAAUUUGAAAAUCAAAAUCAUAUUAUGAAAAAAAUGUUACCAAAUGCUUUGUUAAAAAAAAUUACUGAAGAUCUUAAAAUUACCCACCCUCUUACAUCCUAGAGAGAGAGAGAGAGAGAGAGAGAGAGAGAGUUGAGCUCCUAUGCUUUUAAAAAUGCCGAGUUAUUGGUGCUUGUAGAUUUUUCGCCAUUGGAUUAAAGGAUGUGUUGUUAGGAUGAUGUGUGACCCCUAGGGUUUAGUGGGUGGUUGGUUGAAUAGUAUAAUCUAACGGUUGAAAAUGAUCAGAGGCGUACAUCUAACGGUAAAAAAAUUUAUAAGCACCAAGUGCUUGGUACUUUUGCAAGCCUCAUAGCCGGACUCUCUCUCUCUAUAUAUAUAGAAUUAUGCUAUUAUACUAUCAUUGUACAAAGUACUUGGUGCUAUCGAGUUUUCGACUGUUGGAUGAAAGGAUGUGCAGUUAGGAUGAUAGCGGUCCCCUAGGGUUGAGUGGGUGGUUGGUUGAAUAGUAUAAUCUAACGGUGGAAAUGAUCAAAGGGUUGAUCGAACGGCAAAAUACUCGAUAAUCCCAAAAGUUUGGUACUAUCGAUGGUAUAGUAGCUGGACUCUAUAAAUAUACACUACAACAAAAUAUAUUUUAUACGAUGCUUUUCAGGCGACGCUCUAUUCUAGCAUCUUCAAUAUUUGACAUGUGCCGACACUAUGAUUAAGUAUCGUCAAUAAAUAUAUUUUUAUCAAAUACUGAUAAAAAUUCUCCGACACUAUAUUAAAGCGUCGGUAUAUUUGUCCCGACAUAUUUACUUAACGACUCUUUACUCGAUAUUUUUACAAGCGUUGGGAUUAUUCAUGCCAACGUUUUAAUGCGUCGCUAUUUAUUGUUUAAAGUGUCCUUAAGUGCAAGAUUUAUUGUAGUGAUAAAAUAAUAGUUUAAUUAUAUAUAAUAAUAUAUAUUAUAUAUAUAAAUUAAAUGUAUUAGAGAUUAAAUUAAUAGACAUAUUUGUUGGCCCACAAAACCAAAACAUCAAAACCCUACUCUAAUUACUCUCUCUCCCUCUCUUUCAUUGCUCACAAUGUGGAUUUCCCUAAAUUAUUUUUUUUUAAUAGUAUAUACCAUAUUUCAUACAUUUAUUUUCUAUGUUGAACUAUUAGACAUAUUUUUGUAUCAAAUUUUAGAUAACAUUUAUAAAAAAAUAAGCUAUAAAUUACAUGAUGUAAGAAUUCCAAGCAACUCAUUUAGGACUCGAGCUCACUCGACUCAAAGUUAGGCUUGAGCUCGGCUCGAAUUAAUUUCAAAUGAGCUUGAGCCUAAAUUUAGGCUCAAAAUUAAUUUCAAGUCAAGCUUGAGCUGAGGUAAGCUCGCUCAAGAUCAGCUCAUUUCCGCCCCCUACUAAAAGGGUGUUUGGAUUGGGGAAAAUGUAACUCAAACGUAGGUACUCAUGAUCAGUUUAGGUGCGUCUCUUCUUAAAUUUCAUUUUCAUAUUUUAUUUGAUUGUUAAAUUCCAGUUGUUUGAUUUCGAAGAAAUAGCAUAAAGUUAUUUUUUGCAAAAUUGGCACUUAAAGAUAAAUUUUAAAAAUAAGCAAAAAAAUAAUUACAUAAAUAAAUAAUUAUUGAAAGAUUAAUUACAAAAUAUUUUUUAAGAAAAUAUUGCUUAAAAUUUAGAGAAAAUAACACGAUAAGUGAAAAAAAUAAUAAAAAAGAAGAUAAAAAUAACAAUAAUAAUAACACAAAUUUUCAAAACUUUAGCAUAAAAGUUUGAGAUUGAGAGAGGGGUGGAGACAGAGAAAGAGAGAGAAGAUUGCUCGUCGAAAUUUUAAAUUGGAUAUUUAAGAUUCUAAAUUUAUAUAUAUAUUACUAUAUAUAUAUAUAGUAUAUUAUAUAUAUAUAUAUAUAUAUAUAUAUAAUAUAUUAUAUAUAUAUAUAUAUUAUAUAUAUAUAUAUGAAGUGAGGCUAUAUGCUAUAGGAAGUACGGAGGCUUUCGUGCUUCCAGCUUGUUUCGAUGUUGCGAUUUCGAAUCGUAUCGGCUCCGUUAAACUUGAUCUAGAGUAUUUGGAUACCUAGAAAAUAAAUUUUAUUAUUUUCGAUACAUUUGCCUAGUGAUCGAAUGGGCUCAAAAUCAACAAUUUCAAUGGCCGUAGUGAGACCGUUUGCAAGUUUAACGGUGAAAUAUUCAAAUCACGUGAAAUUUUGCAUAGAAAAUUCUUUAUACUAUAUAAACAAGAUCAAUAUCUUUGAUUUAAAAUUUUAAUGUCAUAUUAGUACAUUUGUAAGAUUUUAUUUUCAGCCGCUGUGAUUUUGAGGCCCUUCGUUCACUAGGCAAUGAUAUCGUAAAAUCAUAAAAUUUAUUUUCUAGCUACUUUAAAUACUCUAGAUCAGUUUAUGGAGCCGAUCGACGAUUCGAAGUCCAAAUAUCGAAAACGAGUCUGGAAGCACGGAAGGCUCCGGCCUUCCGAUAGCAUAAUAGCCUCACUCUCUAUAAUAUAUAUAUAUAUAUAUAUAUAUAUAUAUAUAUAAUAUAUAUAUAUAUAUAUAUAUAUAUUUUUUUUUUUUUUUUUUUUUUUUUUUUUGAGAGAUAGGUAGCACGCUACCUCCUUCAUUUAUUUUAUUUAAAAUAAACUUAGCUGAAAAUGUGAAUCAAUUAGGAUUCGAAUUUGGGAACUCGAUACAAUUACCAAGCCCUUUAACACUUGCUCUAGACAAUCGGUUAUACUAAUAUUUAUUUUAGUUCUAUAGAAUAUCAACAAUAUUGUGUUUUAGUCAUUUUCUUAGAAUAAAAAUUAUUUCUUGUUCCAAUUUAUUUGUACAUCCGUACACAGCUAGUCCGUAAGUCCUAAAUCCAAAACUUACUAUAAAGAUAAUAUAUUGAAAUAGGAGAUGCGAUAAAAGAUCGAUAAAUGUAUGGUACAUAUAAAUUAUAUAUAUAUAUAUAUAUAUAUAUAUAUGCACACUUAGUGUGUAGGUAAUGAUUUUAUCAUCUAUACUGAUAAACUAAGUGAAACCUUUUUAAGAGCUUAGAAUCCUGAUAUUGCAUAGUUCAGCUAGGAUAUGAAGCAGGAGUCGACUAAGAAUAAGCAAUUAGCAUUAGCAGUUAAUUAUACUUUGGUAAAAAUAUAUAAUACUCACCUCACUUCGCCUAUUUUGACAUAACUUAUUUACUUUUAAAAUUUUUGAUUUUACAGUUUAAUAUUUUAAUUUAUUUGAUUUGAGCUAAUAAUGAUAUUUUAACUUCAAAAUUUAAAUGAAUCAUUUAUCUUUACGAGUUUAGUUAAUAUAUUUUAUUUAAUUCACGUAACUAUAAAUUUAUUAAAAUAAGUGUUGGGUUUGAUGAGAUCAAAAUCACUCAUUAGCCGGUUAGCUUUUAUUUAGGUUUGGUUCAAUAACUCAUGAAGUAGGUUAGCAGGUAUUUAGUUUGGGCUUCAGUUAACCCGUUAGCAUAUUGGGCCAAGUGGGUUGUGAUAAGAGAUAUUUUUAUUUGCUAAAGUAUAGCGUUAGUUCUCAUUUUUGGCUAGUUCGUAUAGAGAGAGUUGGAGAAGGAGCUUUCUUAUUCUUCUUGCUUGAUUUAAAACUUUCAAGGUUGAUUUGAAAAUUUUAAAAGACAUUCCGAAACAGGACCCGAGAUCAGAAAGGCUUGAAAGGAGGUGCAGUUAGAAAGUUUUUUUCCUAGUUGAAACAUUGUAUAUUUGUAUGCCAUCGUAAUAAAUGAGUAAUCUCUAACCAAAUUUUAUAAUCUCUUCAUUUGACGUUCUGCAUGUCCAUGGAUGUAGUCCGGUUUGGAUGAACCACGUAAAUUUUCUUGUGUUAUUGUGGUUGUAUUUGGAUUUUCUCUUUCCAUUUCGUUUACUCUCAUUUUUACGCUUCUUAAUUGUGGGUGAUUUAGAUAUAUCAUAUUUAUUUAUUUGUGUGGUUAAUAUCUUGAUAGUGCGGAUUUCAUCAUUGCCGCGCUAUAGUAAGCAAGUAGCUUAAAUUUUCUAUCUGAAGAGUUAUCAAAUUAUUGAAUCAAAUAAAUGAAAAGUUAGAUGCUAAAAUCAAAAUUUUGAAUUCGGGUAGUUGAAUCAAACUAGUCUAUAGUUGAAAUGAGUUUUAUAUAUUUCAACUUCAUACUUUUUAGACCCUAUUCUCACAUGCAACUCAACAGAAAGCACAAAUUGCAUAACCAAACCAGAAUGAAAUGUGCUUCCAGAAAUUUUUCAUUUGAAAUAACCCAGUACAUGUACAGCCAACAGCCACAAAGCCAAGAAUGCAUAAGAAGGCUAUUAGCAGCUACCUGUCACAGGACAUCAUUUUUUUUUUUUUUCUUCUGAUUUCUCCUUUAUAAUUAUCCAAAUUGCUAAAGGAGAUUAUUAUUGUUAGAGAUUUUACUGGGCUUUUUAGAAGCAUCUCUAUGGGUAUCGAGACAGGACGCGGAUGCUGAACAGUCAAGAGUGAGUUUCUAAAAGAGUAAUAAGUGCAGUCUUGAGGAUGUUAGAUAGAUAGAAUAGAAGUAACAAACUUGUAAUCUCAUAACAACCUGGACGAGUCUAUCCUAUGCCGGCCAACAAUAGUAUAGAUAAGAAUAAGGGUUUGUUGUAAAUAGGUUGUUAGGCCAAGAUAUGGAUCGGCUUGACUGGUUGUUAUUCUAUGAAAAUCUUGGCGCGCUUUGUCGCCCUAUAUUAACACGCAGGCAGCGCAGGGAGAAGGUGCGACUGCUUCCACCAAACUGCUCUGCUCCUCUGAUAACUUUCAUGGUAUCAGAGCCUAGGAUAGAUACAAUCUAAAUCAACAUGGCCGGCACCUCUUCCUCCUCGCCUGGUCUUGCUUCCAUGAUCUCUCAUCCCGUACAAGAGAAGCUCGCCAAGAACAAUCAUGCUACCUGGAAAGCCCAGGUCCUCGCCACAAUUCGUGGUGCUCGUCUCGAAGGAUAUCUCACUGGCAAGGCUGUUAAGCCUCCCGUGCAGAUCGAUGGCAAAGACGGUGACAAGAUCAUCAAGGUGGACAACCCCCUGUAUGAAGAUUGGCUGGCGGCUGAUCAGCAGGUUCUCAGCUACCUGCUCGCCUCCGUGUCCAAGGAAGUUCUGGCUCAGGUUGCUGCAAAGCAAUCUGCGGCCGAAGUCUGGACGGCAAUUGAAGUAAUGUUUGCGUCCAAGACGCGAGCUCGCGCGGUGAAUACGCGCCUUGCCCUAGCCACCGCUCAAAAAGGAAACAUGACGGUGACUGAGUACGUUGGGAAGAUGCGUGCUCUUGGGGACGAGAUGGCUGCAGCAGGGCGGCCACUUGAAGAUGAUGAGCUGGUUGAGUACAUCCUCACCGGCCUUGAUGAAGAAUAUGACCCGGUCGUGUCCUCCGUGAUUGGCCGGUCAGAUGCAAUCUCAGUUAGCGAGCUAUAUUCUCAGAUGCUUGCAUUUGAGACUCGACUGAGCCUUCGCAACUCCGGUGGGCACUCCUCUGGAUCCUCCGCCAACGUUGCCAAUCGGCGUGGGCGAGGGGGGUUCGGGCGCUCCGGCCGUGGAGGUCGUGGUGGCCGCUUCAACAAUGCUCCGGCAAAUAGGGGUGGUCGUGGACCUAACCCCAACAACCCUCAUCAAGGAGGGAAUGGCGCCCACAACAGCAACAACUCCUCCGAUGAUCGCCCGCGAUGUCAAGUGUGUCGCAAGUUUGGGCACACGGCGGACAGGUGCUGGCACAGGUACGAUGAAAAUUUUGUUCCAGAUCAAAGAUAUGCUGGUACUGCUGCCUCAGGAUCCUAUGGUGUCGACACAAACUGGUACACUGAUACCGGCGCCACCGACCACAUCACUGGUGAGUUAGAGAAGCUCUCGCUCAGGGAGAAAUACAAUGGCGGCGACCAGAUUCACACAGCGAGUGGAACAGGUAUGAAUAUUAGUCAUACUGGUAGUACCAAAAUUCACACCCAGCAUCGAGAUCUAUGUCUAAAUCACGUCUUACAUGUCCCGCAAGCCACAAAAAACCUUGUGUCUGUUCAUCGUCUGGCCUCAGACAAUAAUGUUUUUCUUGAAUUUCACCCCAAUUUCUUUUUGAUUAAGGAUCGGGACACGAGGAGCACACUGCUUAAAGGGAGAUGCCACAAAGGCCUUUAUCCCCUGCCAUCCAUCCUUGGAAAACAAGCUCUUGGAGUCACCACCAAACCAUCCUUUGACAGGUGGCAUAAUCGCCUUGGUCAUCCUGCGGCCCCCAUAGUUCAGCGAGUUAUUAGUAGUUUCAAUCUCCCGUGUCAUGCUGAGUCCAAUAAACAGGUCGUUUGUGAUGCUUGCCAACAGGCAAAGAGCCAUCAGCUACCUUAUCCUAAGUCGUCUCAUGUAUCGAGUCAUCCUUUAGAACUAGUUUUUUCAGAUGUAUGGGGGCCUGCACCCAACUCUAUUAGCAAGUACAAGUACUAUGUGAGUUUCAUUGAUGAUUAUAGCAAAUUUACUUGGAUUUAUCUAUUAAAAUUCAAGUCUGAAGUGUUUCAAAAAUUUCAUGAUUUUCAAGCCAUGGUUGAACGCCUUUUUGAUCGCAAAAUCAUCACUAUGCAAACUGAUUGGGGUGGUGAAUAUGAGAAGCUCCAUUCCUUUUUUACUAAAAUAGGCAUCUCCCAUCAUGUUUCUUGUCCUCAUGCACACCAACAAAAUGGAUCUGCCGAGCGUAAACAUAGACAUAUUGUAGAGGUUGGGCUAUCUCUCCUUGCUCAGGCUCGAAUGCCUCUCAAAUUUUGGGAUGAAGCUUUUCUAGCCGCCACUUUUCUCAUAAAUCGUACACCAAGCAAAGUAAUCUCCUAUGCUACACCUCUUGAGCGUCUAUAUAAAGUCAAACCUGACUAUUCCUCUCUACGGAUUUUUGGGUGUGCAUGUUGGCCACAUCUCCGACCUUACAAUCAUCAUAAGCUUCAGUUCCGAUCCAAGGAAUGUGUAUUCCUUGGGUACAGCAACAUGCACAAAGGGUUUAAAUGUCUUGACCCUGCUUCUGGCCGUGUUUAUAUCUCUCGUGAUGUUAUAUUUGAUGAAAAUGUCUUUCCUUUCUCUAAAUUACAUUCCAAUGCAGGAGCCACACUACGGUCUGAAAUCCUGCUCCUUCCUACACAGCUUCUCCCACAUAGUCCAACCUCGGCUGGGCCUGAAUCUGUUGGGAAUCCAGUGAUUAAUAUUUUGCCUGCUAAUGAUUUUUCUGGAGAAAUAUUUGGUACACAGGAAGGCGCUCAGGCCACAGAGGAUCUGGUCUCACCUACCGAAGCUGCUCUGCCGACCGAAUCCUCCCCGGGAUCGCCACCUCGUACGGCAGCAGGCUCUCCCAUACAGGACCUGGGUGCGUCGGCUCCGCCCCCACAGGACCUGGCUGAAGGGGGCACUGAUGCAGCAGCCGCCAAUUCUGCGCCGUCGAUAAUCACGCCUGGAUCUUCUGCGUCGCCGCCAUUGUCUGUGGAACCGGCGCCAGUGUUCACCGAAGCAGUACAACAAGAAACUCAGCCGCGACCUCGCACCAGACUUCAAGCUGGAGUCAGAAAACCUAAGGUAUAUAGAGAUGGCACUAUUCGCUAUGGUCUCUUUACUGCAACGGGUGAACCCCAGAGUCUUGAAGAAGCACUAGGAAAUAAAAAUUGGAAAUCUGCAAUGGAUGACGAAUACAAUGCUUUGAUGCAAAAUAAAACAUGGCACUUAGUUCCACCUCAAAAAGGUCGUAACAUAAUAGAUUGUAAGUGGGUCUAUAAAGUCAAACGUAAAGCUGAUGGCAGUUUGGAUAGAUAUAAGGCCAGACUUGUUGCAAAAGGUUUUAAGCAAAGAUAUGGUAUAGAUUAUGAGGACACAUUCAGCCCUGUUAUCAAGGCAGUCACUAUUAGAGUGAUUUUAUCUAUAGCAGUAUCUAGAGGGUGGAGUCUUCGACAACUUGAUGUUAAGAAUGCUUUUCUGCAUGGUCUGUUGGAACAAGAGGUCUAUAUGAAACAACCACCAGGCUAUGAAGAUAAAACCAGGGUUAAUUAUGUGUGUAAGCUAGAUAAGGCUCUAUAUGGGCUAAAGCAGGCUCCAAGGGCAUGGUAUUCAAGGUUAAGUGAGAAAUUACAAAGUCUUGGUUUUACUUCUUCAAAGGCCGACACUUCUCUGUUCUUCUUUAAUAAGGGGGGUGUUAUUAUAUUUGUGCUAGUAUAUGUUGAUGACAUCAUAGUAGCCAGCUCAACGCAGAAUGCAACAGAUUUGUUACUAAAGCAACUUGGUCAAGAAUUUGCCCUUAAAGAUUUGGGAACACUUAAUUAUUUCUUGGGGAUAGAAGUAAAUCCAGUACAUGGUGGUAUAGUUCUGACGCAGGAAAAAUAUGCAUCAGAUCUGCUAAAAAGGGUUGGCAUGUCAAAAUGCAAGGGUGUACCUACACCCCUACCAGCCGAUGAAAAAUUAUCUUCGGUCAAGGGAUCUCCUUUGGGAUCUAAUGAUGCAACUAAUUACAGAAGUAUAGUUGGUGCUCUCCAAUAUUUGACACUAACAAGGCCAGACAUUGCAUUCUCUGUUAACAAGGUAUGUCAGUUUCUACACAGUCCUACUGUUGAUCAUUGGGCAGCAGUCAAAAGAAUUCUGAGAUACUUAAAACAGUCCAUCAAGGUAGGGCUGAAAGUUAGGAAGUGCAGUUCAUUGUUGAUUAGUGCCUUCUCGGAUGCUGAUUGGGCCGGAUAUAUUGAUGAUAGGAGAUCUACAGGAGGUUUUGCUGUAUUUCUGGGAUCAAACUUAGUGUCAUGGAGUGCACGGAAACAGCCUACUGUGUCAAGAUCGAGCACUGAAGCUGAAUAUAAGGCAGUAGCUAAUGCAACGGCAGAAGUAAUGUGGAUACAGACGCUAUUACAGGAAAUUGGUGUUAAUGCACCACGAGCUGCUAAGCUCUGGUAUGACAAUAUUGGGGCAAAGUACCUUUCUGAAAAUCCUGUGUUUCAUGCAAGAACUAAGCAUAUUGAAGUUGAUUACCACUUCCUGCGAGAACGUGUUACAAGGAAGCUUCUUGACAUUGACUUUGUUCCAUCAGGAGAUCAGGUGGCAGAUGGUUUUACAAAGGCCCUUCCUAUACAGAAGUUAGAAAAAUUCAAACACAAUCUCAACCUAGUCCGGUUGUGAUUGAGGGGGGAUGUUAGAUAGAUAGAAUAGAAGUAACAAACUUGUAAUCUCAUAACAACCUGGACGAGUCUAUCCUAUGCCGGCCAACAAUAGUAUAGAUAAGAAUAAGGGUUUGUUGUAAAUAGGUUGUUAGGCCAAGAUAUGGAUCGGCUUGACUGGUUGUUAUUCUAUGAAAAUCUUGGCGCGCUUUGUCGCCCUAUAUUAACACGCAGGCAGCGCAGGGAGAAGGUGCGACUGCUUCCACCAAACUGCUCUGCUCCUCUGAUAACUUUCAUAUUUUACUAUUAAUUAGCUAUAAAUAUUAUAUUAAAAUUUAAACUACCAGAAGACAAUAUUUUAAUAUUUUUGUUCAACAAUAUUAAAAUCUUUUUGACAAAUAAGUAAAUAAAUUUUGAAAAUAUAUUUUGAUUUUUGAGAGGUUUAUACGUACCAUCUAGGUACGUCGAUAGCAUUGCUCUAUGCGCAAAUACUAUCCACUUGUACUAUUUGAUGUCUCGUUAUUAUGAUAUCUCUCUCUCUCUCUCUCUCUCUCCUUAUUUAAUUUCAUGCACGGAAUUACUAUUUGGUGGGGGAGUAGUAAUGGGACCCAAGUUUGAGCUACCUACAAGGUAGUGGUGGGAACGAGUCUUGCUAUUUUUCUCCUGCUUUUCUUUUUUGUAUUUAAAGGGUCAGCUGAUAAAUUCACUAACAAAUAGAAAUAUUAAUUCGAAUACAUUCUAUUAUUUUGAAGAAAAAAAAACACUACCAUUUCAUAUACGGACGAGUCUAGCUUAUUAACUAAUUCAAUGAAUGAUGCAGUAGGAGAGGAGAGCUUUCCACGACUCGACCUACCAACGUAUAUAUACGGAGCACCACCGUUGGCAUUUAUUUAUUAAUUUAUUAAUUAACAUGGACUAGCUAGCGGAACCUCUCCCCCCUCGCUUAUUUAUUUAUUUUUUUUUAGAACCCCUUACUUGUUCUCUUUUCCUUUGAUUAUGCACAACUAUUAUCUGGGCUCCACGAUGUCUCGACAAUGAUGAUUAUGAUUACUUUCACUAUCUGUACGUCUGAGUUAUAAGUGAUGUAUAAGCUCUCUAUGGCAUAAAUACUAAGAAAAGGAAGUGGUUGGAAUGGGCCUCAUGAGUGCAUCGUAGAUCUCUCUGGGGCUUUCGACUUCCAUGCAGAGUCCAACUCAUCCCCUUCACCAAUGGUUUCUGAGCCCAGCCAACAAAGUAAGCUAGAGCCCGUACGUUGCAGGCCUUCUCCGAUGGCACUUAUUAGGCCAAGGCCCGGCCCGUCAUCCUAAGCUCUACUACCAUUUUGGGCUACUGGACCUCUAUGCUAUAUAAUGGGUCAGUAAAGAAUAGAGCCUGUCUAGGCUGAGCCGUUUGGAUCAUUGGGCUGAGGAUCUGCCCGCUGUCAACUUGACGAAUAGUUAGUUUGGUUUGUUCAGUCCAAUUCUUCCUUGCUAAUAAUUAAUUUAUUCUCAACACACACACACACACACACACACACACACACACACACAGAUAUAUCUAUAUAUAUAUAUAUAUAUGUUCUACAUCAUUUUACAAAUUAACUGCCUUAAUCUUAUAAAUUAUAUACAUAUGCUUCUAUCCUCAAAAUAUACACAUUUCUCCGCACUAAUUAACUAUCCUCGUGUGCAAAUAAUAAUAACUGUUCUCUUCCCUCUCUAGUUCCUAUUCCUGUUCAUCAUUCAUUUAUUAUUUUGAUUGAUCGUUCAGAGUGGGAUCAUUGAAUUACGUACUAAGCGACUCCAAAUCUUCCGCUCUUAUAAGAGGACUAACCCCGCAUCGCCAAAAAACCAGGAGCGAUACAUUAAUUACAAGUUUUACGAUUGAUUAAGAGAGAAGUGCUCGCUCGUACGUUUUAAUCUGGGUUAGUAAUUAAUACGGAUACGCACAACAAUAAUUAAUUACGCCGCACCACAAUACAUCCAUAAACACAUUCCCCUUCACCGUCUUAAUUUUAUCUGCAUAUUCCGUCAUCCGUUGAAUGCAUGCAUGCAUGCAUGCAUGGAUACUUGUGUUAUUUGUUAAUUCCUCCAAACUCAAUCACCGAAAAGGUGCCAAUUAUAAAUCUCUCUCUCUCUCUCUCUCUCUCUCUCUCUCUCUCUCUCUCUCUCUCUCUCUCUCCCCCAUAUAUAUUGCCUCUCUCCGAUUCCACCAUGUUGCCGGCCAACUGGGAAUUAUUCUCACUUUCUCUCUUCUUCUUUAUCUAUCUUUUCUUACACCCAUGCAUAUUCUCUUGCAGUUAAUUAUAAUUAUAUAAGUACUCAAAAUAUAAGUUAAGCAGGCCCGCUCUUUUCCAUGAGUACGGACGUCUUCGACCAUGCCGAGGACAACGAAUUCGUGUGCGUGGAGGAACAAGAUAUAUUUGAGUGGCCUCGCAUGAUACAUGACGACUCACUCCCUCAACUCCUUAGGUGCAUUAUAUAUAUGCGAUCUUAAUCUGUGUUCGUUUCAUUUCGAUCGCACUUGUUUAAUAACAGAUCGAGCUUGGUAAUUUGUAUACAUUUGCAGUGAGGCAGAUGCACUCGCCCUUCCCAAGAUCAUCGACCAGUUCGAUGAUGAACUCUCCCAGCUUUGCUCAUCCGGCAUCUUCUCCUACCAAUGGUAUCCGUCACAAACUAUCGAUGAUGUGACAAUUGACGAUAUCGACCUUGAUUCUUUCUCGUGGAAUAAUCAAAGCUUACCGUCCAAUUCUGAUGGCGAUGAUCCAAACAAAGAAGUGGCUGUGUGCAAGGUUAUAGUACCUAGCAGCAGUGGUGGUGCGAGCAUUAGCAUGCGAGAAGAGAGAGUCGUCAGGAGAAGAGCGACGGGGCGGUCGAGGCUGAGUAACAUCGGAUUCGAAGAGUUAAGGAACUACUUCUACAUGCCAAUAACGAAAGCUGCAAAGGAGAUGAACGUGGGUUUGACUGUGCUGAAGAAGAGGUGCAGGGAGCUGGGCAUUCCAAGGUGGCCUCACAGGAAGAUGAAGAGCUUGAGCUCUCUCAUCCACAACGUUCAGGUAUAUCAUUAUUAUUAUUAUUUUAUUAUAUACAUUAAUCUACGUAUCAGUAUAUACAAUAUUCAACAACAUUUUUCUCAAAAAAAAAAAAAAUUCAACAACACCAUUCUCUUUCAUCUCAAAAAACAAAUUAAGCCAUUCCCCUCUCUAGUUUAUAAGAUUGAUGUAUCAAUUAUACCGGCCGUCUCUCGCAAAAGUGGCAAAAGGGCUUGAUGGUUGGUUCCCGAGACCCAAAUUCGAAUCCUAGUUGAUUCACAUUUCCAGCUAAGAUGUAUCAAUUAUAUAACAUGCUACCGUUCUUAGAACAAGUGGCAAAAAACUUGGUGGUUGGUACUCGAGACCCAAGUUCGAAUUCUAGUUGAUUCACAUUUCUAGCUAAGUUUAUUUCUAAAUGAAAUAAACGAAGCGGGUAGUGUGCUACCUAUUUCUAUAUAUAUAUAUAUAUAACCUGCUCAAUUAUGAUGCACAUAUACUUGUAUCCUAGUUUAUGACGGAACGGAACAUUCUAUAUAUAUAUAUAUAUAUCUCUGUAGUUAUUAUAACUGAAGAUGGAACAGUAUAUAUAUGAUGGGUACUAAUAUUUCUUCAACAUGUGCAAUCUAUGGUUGUCUAAUUUAAUCUAAUUAGGAGUUGGGAAAGGGUUCACCAGAUUCAGAGGAGAGCAUCCAGAAAGAACUGGAGAUGUUGGAACUACACAGGCAGCUGAUGGAGGAGAACCCAGAUGUUCAACUCACGGAGAGAACGAAGAAACUGAGGCAGGCAUGCUUCAAGGCUAAUUACAAGAAGCGGCGGGCAUUGCAGCAUCCUUGUAUACUUUGAUCCUCACCCUAAUCAUAAAUUCAAUUUACUCCUAAAUCAAUCACAAGUGUGAAUAUUUUGCGUUGUUAUAUAGUACGUACGUAAUACCUACAUAUUAUAUCUUAUUAUUAUGUGAGGUAUAGUCCCAAUCUAUAAAUCACCAUCAUGUGUUGCAUUAGAUCGUGAAGUUUCCGGAUCAUAUGCUUCAGAUUAGAUCUCUCAUGGUGCUGAACAUAUUAAGGGGGAUAACCCCUGUUUUAUUUGAAAAUAUUGAAAACAUAUAUAUAUAUAUAUAUAUAUAUAUAUAUAUAUAUAUAUAUUUCUGGCAGAUUAAGCUUUUGCUAGAAACAAAUAGUUAUUCCGCAUUGCUAUAAAAAAGUCUCACUUUCUAGACUUUUGGACAAAACGAUAUUGGUUUUAACCAUCACUGAUUUGUGCACACAUACAGGCAUCCAAUUAUACAACCCAAAGUUUUCUAACAGAUUUAUACUUUCAAAGACAGAAGAACGUAUUAUAAUUCGCAGCACCACAUGUGUUGAAAGUACAGUAGUAAGUAAAGGGCAUAUGUCCCUGAUCUUCCGUAAGGAGUUCAACAGAGAGACGCGCACUAGCUGCAUAUAUAUCGACAGAUACAGACUCUACAGUAAUUAGUAAGUUUGCUUGUAUACAGCAAAAAAGUUUAAUUAAUUAGCCAAUGCUCCACUAACCCGCAUUGAGGGGUAUCUAUUUGUCACCUUCAAAAAACUUGAGUUUUCCGAGCCCUUCUCCGCGAAACGACCUGCUUCAGGCUCUCAUAAAUGUUGGUCUGCGUCCACAAACAAUGAAAAUAUAAUUUGGUCACAAAUCAACAAUCACUUCACAAAUGAAACGGUGAGUCUACAGCAUGGGGUAUAGUAAAUGCGCAUAGUGGAAGGGUCGCCAGUUUCGUAAGCUGGUGAAAGGAAAUAGGGCCUCGGGUCCAUUAUUAUCACGUCAUGUCUUAUCAAGGGUCAAGUCCUUGAGCAGCCUCAGUCGGUUGGUACAAAACAGAGCUACCAAAUGGCCAAAUUAAUCAAAGAAUCAAAAGAAAAAUUAACAACAAGAAAAAUAUUUGGAAGCGUGAAUUACUCCUAAUUAAUUUUCAUCCUCCUGCAUGAGAUGCAUGCAGUAGUAACAAAUAAUAAUUUGUCUGCAAGUUACAUAAUUCUGAGAAAAAUAUGCUAGAAGAUAACUUUUACUCUUUAUGCCUGAAUCAAUAGGUGCAUUGGUUAAAUAAAUGGAUUAAGUGAACUAAUGUAUAUUCUUUUCUUCUUUUUUUUUUUUUUUUUUUGAGAGAGAAAGAAAUGCAACAUGCUAUGUGCUUUGUUUAUUUUUUAAAAAAUUAAACUUAGUUGUGAAUAUAAAAUAAUUAAACUUCAAACUUAAAAUCUCAAAUUCAACCACUAAAUUUUUUAUUAUUUGUGUUAGAGACGGUCGGUAACUACUGUAUACUCUUAGGGCUUGUUUGGUUCAAGGGUGGAAUUGGAAUGGAUAAUGAAAUGGGAAUGAAUUAGAAUGAUAAUUGGAAUGACCCACUCUCCCAAGACGUUGAUUUAUUUGUGGAUUGCGAAUUAAAAUGAGUUAUUCACAUUUCAUUAUUUGGUUCGUAUAAAUUAAAAAAAUUAUAGGAUACUAUAAUACUAAUUUUACUCUCAAAUAUAAAUUUAUAUUAUUUAAAAUUUAUGAAAAAUGUAAUACUAUUCUCUAAUAAGUUUUUCAAAAAAAAAUAUCAAAUUUAUUUUUAAAAACUUUUAUUAAUGUGGGUUAGGAAUAGGGUUUUGAGAGAGUAUAGAUUUUUUUUUUUUUUUGAUGAGAAAGGGGCGGAAAGAAGGAGGGUGAGAUGGUCACAUGGGCUUCGAGAACUUAGUAGGUUUUCGGAAUGAAAUCUCAAUCCGAACUAAAAGACCGGAAUCAAGUUGAAGGCUAAUGGGUCAUUCCCAUUGCAGUUCGGAAUAGAAAUCCUAAACGAUUCAUGCGAACCAAAUAAAAUUAACCGAAUUUGAUCAAAUCGAUUUUCAUUCCAUAUCCAAAAUAGAUGAACCAAACCAGCCCUUAGUGAUUUUUAUCUGGAAGGAGUCGUAAGACGGGACGGAAUCUGUAUGCAAAAUUUUGAUCUCCAGCCUCCUCCAGCCUAGACAUGCUAACAGUAAGUCGUUUAGGAUGAGGUUAGAAUUAUGGGGCCGGUAGGGACAAUACCGAAAAAGAAAAAAAAAAAAAGAAGGGAAAAGAAGAUUAAUUUGCUCUGCUACUACUUAGACCGGACCAUGGCGUGGCAACGACAUGAUGUCAAAGAAAAAUUAAUUUAAUAGAAAUGGCAUGUUACGCGUUUGAAAGUUAAUAGCUUGUCGGAUAGAAUUAGGUGGAGAAAAUUGAAGAGAGCAAAAACAUAAACAAAGAAAUCUAAUCGAAUUAGCUGAGCUAGUGUUGGAAAUGAGAAAAAGAGAGAGAAAAAGAAAAAGCAUUAAUAAAGAUUCAAUACAAUUAGGACCUGGUUCGAUAAUUUAUUAGUUAAGAGUAUCAUUUUAAUACUAUAAAUAAAUUAAGCGCUAGCUUAUAAGUCUUAGCUCUUUUAAUAUUUCUAAAUUGCACUUGCAAUCUUUACGAAAGAAAAAAACUACAAUUCAAAAGUUUUUAUAUGUUGUUGGCGAUGAUUGUUUGUAACAGUAAAUAAUUUUAAAGCACCAGCGGGGAAAAAAAAAAAAAAAACAUGUUAAAUUUUGUAUAGUAUAAAAAUAAUGAUUGUAGGAAGAAUUAACAGUACGUUACUAAAUUACUAGCCAGGCGUUAAGUAUUGAUGGUGGCAAUGAGUUAGUUACCCAGAGGUGAGAGGUGGUGCGGAGGGAUAAUACAUUAGCGAGACUCCUCUUCCGGGUGCUCCCGAACCUGGUGAUCCGCGCUUUCCGCUCUUCGAACUCCUCCGGCGGUGCGUGCUCGUUGAGAGCGUAGGGACCAUCGAGGACGGCGGUGGGGGAGUACUCCUCGCCCUUCGUCUCCGCCGCCGCCAACGCCCCAUGCAGCGCCGCCAUCCCGGGGGGGAGUUCCAGCUGGCUCCUGAUCCUGCUGCUGCUGCUGCUGCUGCUGCUGCUGCUGUUCUUCUUCCAGGGAUAGGGAUGCGGGGUCCUCCUGGCAUCGAUGAGAUCAUCUACAAGCGGCGGGGGGUCGUCCCUGUCCCUCUUGGGCCUGCCGGGGGCCUCCUCCCAGAGGAAGGGGACGGAGGCCGGCAGGUGGAGAGGGGGCGUGGCCAAACCCGGAGGCUCGGGGCGGAGGCUCGGGAGGGAGUAGAAGCACAGCUUCGGCGGAGUNGGGAAAAGAAGAUUAAUUUGCUCUGCUACUACUUAGACCGGACCAUGGCGUGGCAACGACAUGAUGUCAAAGAAAAAUUAAUUUAAUAGAAAUGGCAUGUUACGCGUUUGAAAGUUAAUAGCUUGUCGGAUAGAAUUAGGUGGAGAAAAUUGAAGAGAGCAAAAACAUAAACAAAGAAAUCUAAUCGAAUUAGCUGAGCUAGUGUUGGAAAUGAGAAAAAGAGAGAGAAAAAGAAAAAGCAUUAAUAAAGAUUCAAUACAAUUAGGACCUGGUUCGAUAAUUUAUUAGUUAAGAGUAUCAUUUUAAUACUAUAAAUAAAUUAAGCGCUAGCUUAUAAGUCUUAGCUCUUUUAAUAUUUCUAAAUUGCACUUGCAAUCUUUACGAAAGAAAAAAACUACAAUUCAAAAGUUUUUAUAUGUUGUUGGCGAUGAUUGUUUGUAACAGUAAAUAAUUUUAAAGCACCAGCGGGGAAAAAAAAAAAAAAAACAUGUUAAAUUUUGUAUAGUAUAAAAAUAAUGAUUGUAGGAAGAAUUAACAGUACGUUACUAAAUUACUAGCCAGGCGUUAAGUAUUGAUGGUGGCAAUGAGUUAGUUACCCAGAGGUGAGAGGUGGUGCGGAGGGAUAAUACAUUAGCGAGACUCCUCUUCCGGGUGCUCCCGAACCUGGUGAUCCGCGCUUUCCGCUCUUCGAACUCCUCCGGCGGUGCGUGCUCGUUGAGAGCGUAGGGACCAUCGAGGACGGCGGCGGGGGAGUACUCCUCGCCCUUCGUCUCCGCCGCCGCCAACGCCCCAUGCAGCGCCGCCAUCCCGGGGGGGAGUUCCAGCUGGCUCCUGAUCCGCCUGCUGCUGCUGCUGCUGCUGUUCUUCUUCCAGGGAUAGGGAUGCGGGGUCCUCCUGGCAUCGAUGAGAUCAUCUACAAGCGGCGGGGGGUCGUCCCUGUCCCUCUUGGGCCUGCCGGGGGCCUCCUCCCAGAGGAAGGGGACGGAGGCCGGCAGGUGGAGAGGGGGCGUGGCCAAACCCGGAGGCUCGGGGCGGAGGCUCGGGAGGGAGUAGAAGCACAGCUUCGGCGGAGUGCUGUAGCAGCUGCUGGGAUCGGCGCUGUUACGGCUCGCCAUGGAUGGAUGGACGGAUCGCGAGAGGACGAUCGAGGAGAGACGGUCGGUCGUUCGUUCGUUCGUUCGUUCGUUGUUGGGGGGUGAACUUCAACAGAAAUUAAGAAAGAAAUGCUCCUGCUUUAUUUAUAUAUAUAUAUAAGAGAGGUCGACGAUAUGACGGCGGGGCCCAACUUAAUUAACUGCGCAUGUACAAGUGUAUAUAAGUAUAACCCGACGCAUGCAUAAUAAUAACAUAUAGAAAAAAAAAGAGGCGCGGAGGGAGGUGUUGUGCGCGCGUAUGUAAAUGCUCGUAUAAAUGUGUGGUGCAGGUACGCAGCAUGAGUAAACGCUCCGUUUUCCGUUCUUCUAUUCUAUUCUAGAGAGGAAAAAGCAAGUCAUGCAUUAUUCUUGUCGAGAUAGGAUAAAAAUGUGAUGACGUACUCACGAGAAAAGCAGGCCUCAAUUUCAGUUUUCCUUUUUAUCAUCUUUAUUUACGUGCCUUCUUAAUUACGGCAGCGCCGAACCGGUUUGGACGUUUUGAAUUUCCGCCGCGCUCUCCCCGUCUACGAUCGAGUUGAUUGUUAUCCCCACUUUAGCAAGUGCCGAGAAGAGAAACUUUUUCUUCCAGAUUUUUUUUUUUUUUUUAAUCUUCAUUAUGUUUGGCUAAAAAUAUGUUGGGUGAAAAUUAGUUGGGAUAGGAGUUGGAUAAGUAAUUCUUUUCUCUAAUAAAUGGGAGUUCUCUAAUAAUAAUACGGAAAGGUCAACUAUCGAACACCAGCGAGAUGACUAUUGGUCAUACUAUACCGUCUUCCAAAGGCUAUUUGAACAACAUUAAUAAGAGCACCCACCGUUCCGAAGAACUAUCGUACCCACCAUUCAAAGAAGAAUAAUAAGAGAAUUAUAAUUCUUAAAAAAAAAAUAGUAUACUGCUGCUUUAUUUAUUUAUUUAUUUAAAAGUUGAAUUAAACUAUAAAUUGAGACAACCGGACCUCAUAGAAAAAAAAAAAAAUCUACUUAAUACAGUAUAUAAUAAUAAUAAUUCUUCAAAAGUUAGUGCCCCUGCGUGAGGGAGAUCCGUGCAUCAGACAACGCCGUUGAUGUGCACCGAGGCCUACCGCAUUUAAGAAUCCGCAGCAUGAAUUUCACACUUAGGUUUCAUUUUAGGUGAUCUCCCAUGAUCAACUAACAAAAUCAUGAAAUAAAUACCAAUCAAAUGCAACUACGGGCGCACUUUCUUACGCCUCUCGGAGAGAGUACCGAUGAAAACGGAAAGAGAAAAUGCAAUUCAUAACACAUUAUGCCGUAUCACUGGAAAAGAGAGGUAGGCAAAAUAAGAAGAGGAGAUCUACCUCAGUAAACAUACAAAACAUGUUCUUAAGGCCGCAUGGUACUCCAAUAAAUUCCAGGGAUACAAAUUAAAUACAACAACAGGACAAUGUCGAGUAACGUGAGUAACGUGACCAUCAAACCUUUUGACAAGGGUAAUAUUUUGGAAUUUAAUCUCGGUUAAGAUCCGUCCUACAAAUUCUACAUGAUUAAAAGAUUUCUCUCAGGAAGAUAAUUCAUGGACAAUAUAAGCGACACUGCAUAACUGCAAUAAUAUAAGACAAGACUAAGCAUACUGUGCAAUAAAGAAACUUGUAAGUAACCACAUCUCUUCAAUCAAAGAAUACCUAUUCAAAAGUUAUUAAAUAAGCUCAGGAUUGUGUUCUUACAAUUUAAAAGUAGUCAAAAAUUGAAGAGAAGAGAGAAGCAGAAAAGCGACGGGGCUCAAACUGGCGCACAAUUCUCUUAUAAGCAGGGGCGCUAAUAUUUCCUCUUGCGAAUCUUGAAGGUUGAUGAUCUAAUAACAUCAUCGUCGGCCUUGAGCCGGGUCUCAAGAACAAUGAUGGAUUCCGGCUUGGUGAAAAAGGUGAAUAAGAUGUAUAUACCGUCUAAGUAGGUGUUGGUUUCACCUGCCUUGUUCUUUUUCUUGAUGCUGUAUGCAAGAGGGAUGACUCCGCGGUUGAACACCUCCACGUACAUGCCACCCCCCGCCACAAGCAACUGCAAACAGAGCAGAAACUAACAUGACUCAUUUGCCCGCAAUAUAUGUACAUUCAUCUAGAGGAAUGUAAGGGAAACGAGAAAAGUACUGCACAAAAAAGGUUGAUAAUCUAUCAACAACAUCAGCAAGCUUGAAUUGGAUAUGAAUGGGUAAAUGCAAGAGACUUCACAAUUCACAGCAAUAUCAAACAAGGAAACACUGAUAUUGCCUUGCCAACCAAAUGCAACCUUACUACUACUCCAUCUAGACAUAUGAGCAGAAUAUAACAAAUAAACACAAUUCACAAAAAGAAAAUGAAAAGUAAAUAUGCAACCGUAUUUGCAUGACAAACCCCAUCAACAAAGAAAAAAUACUGAAAGUUACACAACUAGAGCUGUGAAGGAAUUAAAUUCAAGAAGUGCAACCGAGUUUUGGUCAUCUGAACAAUGAAGAGCUAAUCAGCACAUAGAAUCAACCGAUUCUACAAUUCUGAAGCAAACUUUAGCAAGUCUGCCAUCUAACAAUUUGAAUAGCCAAAGUAGACAUCAUCAUGUAUUCAAUAGACAUUUUCUAUAAAGAGGAGAGAUUGAUCGAUAGUUAGCAGAUGAGAGAUGAGAUGAGAGGAGAGAAGAGAGAGAUAAUUGCAAUCAAUUUAUGCCAUUCCUUCACGGCAAAAUCUAAAUAUUAUUGCAGCAAGAUAAAUUUAAGUCCAUGACAGCCAUCAUUUUGGCUUGUAACAGAGAAUCACUGAAAUUAAACCAAUUUUGAACCUCCAAAUUCAUUUAGGAGAUUAUGAUAGGAAAAAAUCAAUGAUGGUGCACUUCUAAUCAUCUGAUAAAGCCUUGAGCACGAGAGGACAAAAUGAGGACAUGGGAAAAAAAUAAUUACAAUGAAAGGUUCCGCAUCGUGCACUGUAACAUCUAAAAAGCUUGACACGAGAGGACAGAAUGAUGGACAUGGGAAAAAAUGAAUACAAUGAAAGGUUCAGUAUUAACAAUAAGAUAUCACCUUAGCACUUGUGAACAUCAAGAUGAGAAAUUUCACGAAAAAGAUUUAUAAGUGGCCUACAUUAUUCACAAUUCACACACCAUGCACAUUUAAUCUCGUUCGCCAGCUGCAGAAAAGCAUUUAGAAUAAUAGCAGGAGUAAAAACCCAUAUAUCCUAGCUGUUCUUCCACUAAAUCCGAAACAAAUUAUACGAGUGGGCAUUCAAUAUUAACAUUAACAGGGAAGGCCCCCUUCAUUUUCAAACAAAAAAAGAAAAAAGAAAAGAGUUGGAAAAUCUAUUGUGGUUUAGCUAGCCUUGCAAGGAUAGAUUUAACUUUGUGAUGAAACCCCACUCAAUCAUCUUACCAUUCAAGUUUUAAUGACUGACCGUUGUCCAUCAGGAAACUACUCAGGGCAUUAAUAAAGAAUUAACCUUACUUCAUUUGGCCAUAUUUUAACAAGCAAAACAUUGUUGGUUCUACCAAUUUACAUAUCUGACAUAUGAAAAGAUACAGAAAACUUAAGUAACGAUGGUUUUCUUUCCUAGAAUGCCCUCUCAAGGCAAGUUGAUCGUACAAAAGUAUUGUUAGAAUGUCUUUUCACAUGCUUACUUUGAAAGAACGUAUGCAAUUAGUACAAUAUAUGUACUACAGGUUUCCAGAGACCAUUGAUACAGAAACCUUCGGAAAAACCAAAAUCAUCUGAAAUAUAUGAAAACAUAUCAUUUACACAUAAAAUCAAUAAAACACAACUAAAAAGUCAAAUCUAUGGAAAAAUAUACUCGCCUCUUGCAUCUGAACUCCAGGAGCAUUGCUGUAUGCACGUAGACUUUCCAGAACUUGCACUUUGAUUGAACUUAGAUAUGUCUUGCUAUUCAAAUUUUUCCUGCUCAUUAUUAAAUGAACAUAUAAAAGAUGUGAAAGAUCGAUUAUAUGGCAUGCUCAAACAACAAAAAAAAUAUUUGAAUAACAUGCUAAACAAUCACUGUAACUUCAAUCUUGCAUCUUAUCAUAAGAGUUUAGAAUUCUGUAUUGCCAUAUCAUAUCGUGCUAUAUCCAUAUCCGUAUCAUAUUUAUUCCAAUCUACCAUAAAAAUUUCUACGACAGAAAAAUCGUCAUAUUGGCAAGGAGAUCUAGAAGGAAUGUUCAUUACCAUAUUUGGCAUUCUGGAAUCUUUAGAGAAUAAUCCGGGAAAAAUAUUCGCUAUAACUCAUUCUCUGGAAUUUCUGCAAAAGAAAUGUCUUUAGUUGCAAAUAAGAUGGCCGGUUUUGGAAGAUGAAUAAAAAAUAACUGCAGUAAAUAUCCUUGGAAUAAGGCCCAUGCUAACUGCUGGACCUAGCGCUAUAUAAAAGUGAAUCGCCCAUUAAAAAUUUAUUGAACCAAACAAGAAUAUAUAAAGAAGCCCUACAGAGUCUUAGUUCAAUAAUCUGAUCGAUAGCACGCUGCUAUUGCAACUCUUGCUACAUAUGUACUCUGUUUUGCGGUUUCCGUGAAACUAUAGUUUCAAGACACCAAAUGUUGUAAACAGUACUAGGUUUAGUUAGACGGUUGAGAUUCUAGCAUCUAUUAGAUGAAAAUUAUAGUAAAAUAUAAUUUGAUUUCCACCACCAGUCUCAUCUCCCGACAUCUUCAGUUACAUUAGGAUAAGAAAGAAUCACGCCAGUACCAUCAAGGCAGAUUGACUCAAUACUAACUAACUAAAUCAAGGAUCCUAAAUGGACGACAUAGCCAUGCUUAUACAUGUCUAUCUUUAAAUGAUAUAAACCUCUACCAUGCUAAACAACAGCAACGCUUGAUACAUAUUUCUGCAAAUGCUUCUUGUAAACUGGCACUAAAAAUCAUAAAGUGUUCUUCACUUAAACUUCUAGAGUAAUUCUAUGAUUCACAAACAGUAACUACAUAAAGACGAGAUCCAAAACUUGAUGAAAGGCUCAAUACAACACGAACAAACCAUUUGAAAGUCGGUGUCUAAGAGAACCCAGUUCAAACCGUCCAACAGCGAGCACAUUUUCUUUGGUGUAUCCCACCACCCCAGUUACCUGUCAAGAUAGAAAACAUUUGAUUCCUGAAUUAUACUAUAACAAGAAAAAAUGUUGAUUUUCCACACAUACCAAUAGAGCAAGUUAAAUUCUUCACGAACUUCACACAUUCAGAGUGCCCUGUUGGGGAAAAAAAAUAUACUGAGUGAAGAUCCAAUCAGAUCCCAUUAAAGGGGAAAAAAUAUGCAUAAACUAUAAGGAUCGGAUUACUAUAAACUGAUUUAAAUACCAGAAAGUGGCUUCUUAGUAAAACAUCAUAUCUAUGAGCUAGAUUCUGUUACUGAUUCUUGAAGAUCAAGAGAAAACUUAUUUCAAAAAUACUUCCAAAAAAAAGAAAGAAUAUUAAGCAUGCACGAAAGUCAGUACUUCAAUGAGAGAUUGAAACACCUAAGCGAUCACCAGCCAAUGAAUCAGCUCACAUUGAAGAACAAUAACACGGUAGAUAUGUUUUCAACAACCUUAGUCAAUUUAUCUAAGCUAAGUAAAUGCAGCAAGGAAACAAGUAAAAUCGAACUAUGAUGUAUAAAUAUCAACAACUGCAGUGUACAAAGGCCAAUAACUCACCGUUUUAAAAAGUCGAGUAAAUAGCCAUCGUCAAUUCCAUCCUCUGAGAGGGACAUUGAUGGCGUAAUACUUUCCUUCCCUUUCACGCUAUGUCCUUUUAACGAAGGGGAAGAUUAUCAUCUCACUAUCAUAAGAAACAUUGAAAGAACAAAAUAGAGGACCUCCCACUGAACUAGGUUAGAGAGACAANNNNNNNNNNNNNNNNNNNNNNNNNNNNNNNNNNNNNNNNNNNNNNNNNNNNUCCAGAAAAUAGCAAAAAAAAGAAAAAGAAAAAGAAAAAAAACGACGGCCUUGUAUAAUCAGUUAAAUACAGAACGAUAAUUUGAAGCUUGACAGUUCAAAAUUGUAGAUGCCCAUUGGCAGCUAAACAGGAAAUGCAUUGUUAAAGCCCGUCAAAACCACACUUAAGUUCUCCAGUUGUAGAAACAACUCCUGAAGUUUGCUUCCCUUCUUGGAAAACCCCGCCAAACACAAUGAGGAAAUCAUGUGGAGGGUCCAAUAAACACCAUUUUGCAAAAUUUGAGCAGUUGUAGCGAGGGCACAAGAUCCUAGUUGGCCAUACAUCUUUCAAACAUUCUUGGUCCUUUCACUCUCGCAUUACUGAAUCUUGAGCUAAUUCGUCACUGGGUUCCCAGAAGAAUUUUUAUUUUAUACAUUUCUAUCCAAAGGUAAUGUGAUGCAACAUUCUUAUAUCUAUCGAAGCGUUUGAUCAACCAAAAAUCUAAAGCCUUUUAAUGCUAAAACACGUCUACACAGUUUUUCAACUGCCGUGAGUAGAUGGUUCUAACAACAGAGGAAAACUUGAAUAAGGAAAAAGUAGAACACUUAAAAUCGAGAGAUCACCCUCUUCGUAUCGUUGGAUAGGGGCGAGACGCGUCGCUCGUUCAUGUCGGGGCGGAGCAGCCAUGACUCGUAGGCUGGCGAACCGGGGGGCACUGCGGCUCUCCUUGUCCUCCCAUAACAGCCGCCGCCGACCGCGGCCGAAGCCCGACGAGCGCUCUGUCGCCUCCUCGUCCCCUCAUGAAAGAAUGACGCCGUGAAGUCACGAGGUUAGGGCACGACGGAGGGGGCGACGCGCGCCCAUUGGGCUCGCGCUCGGGCGAGGAUGCGGCGGGAGCGGAGGAAAGGAGAUCGAGGGAAGAGCGAGCGGAACCUCUAGGGAAGGAAGAGGCGAGGGUGUCGAGGAGGAAGAGAGAGCGACGAAGCAUGGUCCUCUUCCUUGCGCGCGGGGAAUAGCAGAUCAAGGGGAGGGGCGUGCGGGAGAGAAUGACAGAGGAGUGUGUCGCGACAGAGGGAUAAGGGGUGGACUCGUCACGUGGCAGAUGGAUGACGGCGUGCUUAUCCAGUUUUUCCGCGGUGUACACUGGAUGACUAACGGUAAGUAUGGGAGCGGAUCGAACUGAUUAGAAAACUAUAAAUAAACCGACGGACCGGAAAACCAGACCAGACCGACCCUUGUGCAGCAGAGUCGUGCGUCGCAAAGGCCGUUGUCGCCUAUUCUAGCCGCUCUUCCGUUGCUUCAACUGGCUCCCCGACGAACGACCGCGCUUCUCUUCUCCGCCGCUAUUUCUUACGCCCUGUCCCCCUCCACAUCUCCUAAUCCUAGCGACGACGCUUCUCUGCUGCGAAUCCGAGUAGCUCUUCGCAAUAGCAAGGGGAAGAUGGAAGAGUGGUCGCUCGCUCCGCGCUCUUCGAGGAAGCAAGAAGAAUCCAUUCCGUCUUUCGAUCCUCUGUGGAUCAGGUAUCUCGAAUAUAUCCCUCGCUUCCUAUACCAAUCCCCGCCGUAUCGCAAGUGGAAUUCAUCGAGUACAUCAGCAACUGUGGUUGAGUGUUUUAAUUUCUUUCUUCAAAAAUUGCAUUGUAAUAGGAGACCACGCUGAGGAAGGGAAUCGGAGGGCCCGUGCAACGCUGCGACGAGAUUGGGAGCAAGCUGGGGCUCUUCUCGCUCAACGAGACCAAGGACGACGUCAGCCACCGCCACCGCUUCAGUAUCUCCUCGUAAGCUUUUCUGCUUCAUCUUCUCCGAUGAUUGCUCAAUCGCGCACAACGUUUUUAAUUUACCAAAAGGCACCUAUGGCUUAAUCCCUAUAUACAUGCUGUAACAGUCAGUCCAAGACUUCUGUUUACAAAAUUUCAGUCAAUUGAUAUGAAGGAGCUUAGUAUUAGUACAAUCAAAGCCAUAGACAUAAGCUGGAGGUUAGUCGUCCCAACUUAGAAAUCACCUGAUUGUAUAGUUGAAAAUUGCGACAAAUAAAGUAAUGCAUGUGGAAACGAUGUCGCAGUAUCGGCACUAAUCAUCCUCCUUAAUGAGUGCAUAUGUAUUGUCUUUUAGUCACACUUUUAGCUAGCAGAAGUCUUAAAUGCGUUUGUUUGGGUAGUCGUCAACUACAUGUCUCACGUCUUUCAGGUGCAAUUACAAUAUACAAAAUCUUCAUAAAGAUUUUGACUUGAAAUUUCCAAAGAACAAUUAAUAUGACAAAAACACCACAUUUACACCAGAACAAAUUACAAAGGGAAAACCAAACUAGAACAGUAAAUAUAGCAUGAGUUCACUAAACCAACAAUCUGCCAAAAAACGAUUACCUUAACAUUGCCUGUUCCAGGGAAGAACAUAUCUCCGUACUUGUGAAAACUUACGGUCAUCACCCUAUUAAUAUAUGCAGUAAAAUUUCAAUUUUAUGCCCAGUUGUACAAAUUCAUUAAAAGCAACCUGCUUUUUUUUUCUUAACUAAAAAGCUUUAAAUAAAAACAAGCUGUCAAGAAUUAUAAACUUACAACAACAGAAUGACAUUUUACAUAAAUGUCUGAACUUUUCAAAUCAGACCAGCACUAACCUGUCUGUGAAAUAAAAAGCUUCUUCAACUCCAUCUCCAUGAUGAACAUCUAUAUCAAUGUAGAGAACUCUUGCAUGGUACUUUAGAAGCUCCAAAAUGCCCAGGACCAAGUCAUUGAUAUAGCAAAAGCCAGAUGCCUCACACUUCUUAGCAUGGUGUAAACCACCAGCCCAGUUUAUAGCAAUGUCACAGAGUUGAUGAUUCAAUCUUCGGGCAGCAUCUACGAGAAUGGAUAAAAAGAGAGAGACAACCUAGAUGCAAUAAAUAAGGUAUGAGAUCGACUUAAAGUACCUAUUGUGCCACCAGCAUAAAUUUGACAGAACUCGAACAAGUUCUCGAAAACAGGGCAGUCUUCCCCAAGAUUAUCUGGAAAGAACAUUUAAUGACAUAACUAAAUUAAGUAUGAAACAAGUGAACCAAAAGCAAAUGGUAUCAAAAAUAUACAAACAUCUUUUAACAUGGAAUGCAGAAGAUACAUUGAUGGAACGAAAGGAAAAGAAGACACUGUUUAGCAACAAGAUUUCUGAAAUUGAAACAGAACUCAUACUAUCAGAAUAGGCAAAUAAGAUAAACUUCGAGCCAAAGACAUACAUAACUGAUUUACAAACUCAAUAGAAUAUAUUGUUAGUUUGAUUUUUGUAAAUUAAGCACAAUAGAGAGAUAACAUUCUCACAAUAGAGAGAUACAUUCUACGAUGUUCAUUUCGAGGGUAUUCUAUGCUGUCACCGACUUAAGAAUUGCCAAAAAAAAUCUUGAAGCAAUAAUCAAGAAAAAAAGGGGAAAGGAACACAUUAUUGUACGCACAUCUAGCAAGUUCAUUUGCAAAUAGGUGUUGUGAGUCAGGAGUUAUCCGGUGCAAGAAUUCCACAUAAUCUGCUGAAUGGAACUGCGCAAGUUCCACCGGAUAUGCCUUGUGAGGCCGCUGCACAUGCAAGUAAGGUAUGCCAAAAAAUAGCCAAGCAUUAAAUUUUAAGGCAGCAAAAACCAUGGACAAGCUUAACAAACUGCAAGAAAAAACCUAAGACUAACAUAAAUCUCCAUCUUGUUAUGAAGUCCAUACGAAAGCACAAGAUGAUGUGUCAUACACAAACGAUGCGGUUUCAUUGGGUGAUUGGGUCCAAAGUAGACGUUACCCACAUCUCCUGCAAAAGCAACAGCACGAAAGGAAUUCAUAUAUACAGAAUAUGUUUGAAAAUAUCAACAAAAAUGAAAAUGCACGAUGCCAUACAGCUACAAGUCCAUAUAAUUUGUGAUUGAGCAUGUAUUGGUAAAUUUAACAGUUCUAACUGGGAACGAGAACCGUUUAAUUAAGCAUCUAAAACUACGAAUUAUAAUUAAAAGAAAGAAGGAAAGAGAAGUGAUCUCUAGCAACAAUGACAGGAUCUACGGGCUCUCUCCCACUUCCUAACUCUACCACUCUCCGCUCAGCUCCAUAAGAAGCGAUUCAGCAGUGGCAUAGACAAUAAAGCGACCCGUGCUUUGGGAAUCGAACACAGAAGUAAGCAUGAAUCGCGCUAGGGUUUUAUCUCAUCGAAGAGAAAGGGAAAAGGAUCGUUCCAGGAGGGGCUGAGAUUAGUAGCUUGAUCGGAAGAGAACGAGAGGUAUUGGCUUACCGUCGUAGAAAUAGGCUAUUCUUUCUUUGGGCGGCAUCGUGAGGUAGGGGAGGAGCUACGAGAGUAUCGCCAUGGAAGAGAAGCUUGCGAGCUUUGCUCGAGGGGAAAGAGGAGGGCGCGGAAAAGCGGAUACCUACCCUCGGCCUCCGAAGGGUUUUUAUUUUGCCUGCUAACUUUGGAACUUUAUAGUCCCUAAACAUUUUUUUCCCUAAACAAUUUUUUUUUGUGAAAUUUUAUUUUAACAUAAUAUUACCGACCCUAACACAAAUGAUAAACAACUUAUCAGUUGAUAUUCGAAAUUUUAAAUUUUAAAUUUAUAUUUUUAGUUAAAAAUUAAAUAUUUGACAUAAAUAUUUACCAAAAUUUUUAAUUUUUUAAUUUUUUUAAUUUGUACUUUAAUUUUAAUUUUUACUUUUGUUAAUAUUUAAAUGUGGUCGUGGCUCGUGACCCGUGACCCGUGACCCGUGACCCGUGAGAGAGGUUCUAUGGCCACUGUGUGCAAGCGGAUCGGUCCGAUCCGGAAUCGAAGUAUCUUCGCCCGCUAAAAAUGCAUUAAAAUACUGAAAAAGUAAGGGAGCGUAACAUGCGAAAACCACAACCAUGGUGUUCGGGAAAGUUCCACAGCCUGUAGGCGCCAGGUAAGUAUAUAGGCGAGAGAGAGAGAGAGGAUCGAGCGAAUCCAAAAAGAAGAAGAAGAAGAAGAGAUCUCCGGAGUCGCUCUCUUCGUCCCCUUUUCCCCUCUGGCAAGCGCAUGGACGAGAUCGGCGAGGCAUCCUCCUCCUCCUUCCGAGCUCCGCCGCCGCCCGAUCCGGAUCGGACGGUGAUCUGCAUCGGCGACAUCCACGGAUUAUUCUCGAAGCUCCGGCGCCUGUGGGCGAACCUCGAGGCCGCGGUGGGCGGCGCCGCCUUCGAGACGGCGCUCGUCGUCUUCCUCGGCGACUACUGCGACCGCGGGCCCGAGACGCGGGAGGUGCUGGAAUUCCUCGUCUCCCUCCCCGCCCGCUACCCGCGGCAGCGCCACGUGUACCUCUGCGGCAACCACGACCUCGCCUUCGCCGCCUUCGUCGGCGCCCUCCCCCCGCCCCCCGACGGGUCGCCGUUCUCCGCCACGUGGGAGGAGUACGUGGCGAGCGAGGCGCACGAGGGCUGGUUCACGGGGGAAGGGUACGAGGCCAUGCACGUCCAGGGCCGGCGCUGGGGGGGCUCAAUCAGGGAACGCUUCAACCCUAAGAAGAACAUGCCCUACAAGGGCUCCAUCUACGACGCCGCCCCUACCUUCGAGUCCUACGGCGUCCCCCAUGGAUCCGCCGGUGCGCCAGCUCAAAUCCCCUUUCUCAUCCCGACCCUUUGGAAGCGACCCUUUAGCUCCAUGGACAAAAAUCCAUUAUAAUUUUUGUUCCUGAUUUUCGUCAUAAAUAAAUUGUAAUUAAGUUUGGGAUUCUGAUCGCUAUGUUUUCGUUUCAGAGCUGGCAAAAGCGGUACCCGACGAUCAUAAGAAGUUCCUGCACGACCUGGUUUGGGUUCACGAGGAGGUAUCGCCGUGCUACGUACUCGAUCGCCUCGCAAUUUUAUUGAUUUUUUUGUGUCUUAUAUAUUGAAAGAAGAUGGAGCCAUUUCUUCUUUUCUCUUCUUUUUUUUUCCCAUUGAUGGAUAACUGUUGCAGGAAAAUGUGCCGGUUGAUACUGAUGAAGGAAGGAUCUGCUGCAAAUUGAUAGCCGUUCACGCUGGCUUACUGAAAUCGAAGGGGGUAGAUGAGCGGCUGAAACUUUUGAGAGCCAGGGAUACAAGACUGCCGAAGGUCCAAGAGCUUAGCGGGAGGCAGGAUGUGUGGGAAAUUCCAAAGGUAAUGCGGCGUUCUGUGUUUCAAUCCCCCUUCUCUUAAAACAUCAAAAACUUUGAUUGUUCGGGGAAUUCUGAGAUCCUACAAAAUGAUAGGUAGUGGGCAGAUUGGCACAGCACUAUUAGAGGGGUGAACAUGUUUGAGUGUUUUUUGUUAUGUAGAAAUCACUCGAGCAGCGACGAAUAGUGUAUUUUGUAGGCAGUUUUAACAACCAAUCACAUGCUUGGUUGCCCAGUAUGUGGCAAAGGUGCUGAUUCUUCACUGUAGGAAAAUGCAAAACAUUGACUGGCAGAAGACAAUCCAAAAGUAAUUCUUGAAAAAUAAUAAUAAUAAUAAUAAUAACCCAUGGGUCUAAUGUUUAGUUUGCUGAGGUUUUUCCUUUUAGUUCACUUGGUCGUGAUUGGAUGCGUCUAGGGCCUACACUUCUUCAUAACUCAGCUAAUAAGACUACAACGCUUUAACUCGUCAGCAUGGAGUCAGGUAGCUGCAUAAUUUAUCAGGUUUUUCAGGAAUAAAUUAUCUUCAAUAUGGUCAUUCACCAAAUGUGGGAGGAUUAACACUAGACAAAUGAAGCUGGGCCACAAUAGUUAAGUGAGAAGGUAGCUUGCCUAAAUCCAUAAUUUGGACAUGCAAUAGAGCAUUUUAAGGGGAAGAUGGACGCAAUGCAAUGCGAGUUGCAAUGGAAGAUUGAAGAACUUAUAUAUCAAUCUGCAACAUCAAAUAGGUAUAUUUGAAUAUUUAUCUUUAUUCUACUUUGCAUUUUGCAUCAGCAUCCACUAUGAUAGAGUCCUAGUCCAAUUAAUUUGGAAAGUUUAAAAGGCGAGGUGGGUAUGAAAUGCCUUAUUUUCUGGUCAUAGCUACUAAAUUUUUUUUUUUUUGAAGAAAGGUACAUGCUACCGCUUCAUUCAGUAAGAAAGUGAAUUAAGCUACAUGGGUGAGACAGCGAGGCCUCGGCGAGAAAUGGAUCGAUCAGAAAAAAAAAAAAAAAAAAAAAAAAAAAAGGUCAGUCAGGGGCAAGAGUCUUCCACUGUUCCAUCAGUUGUUUGAUCUUGUAUACACCUACUGUUGGGUCAGUCUGGGGUGACUUGAAGAUCGCUCUAUUCCGAAGAUCCCAGGUAACCCACCAGCCAGCUAUAAGUCCUAAGAGUCGGUCUGUUAAAGACGGAAGGAUUCUAUUUUUUUCUGCCCAUCUAUCCCAAAUCGCCCGCACAUCGUCACCCAAGUCUCCCAGUUGUAAGUUGUCAUUGGUGUUUGCCAUAAGGUAUCUCGUGAUGACACACUGCGAGAACAGGUGGUCAACUGUUUCCUCUUCCAGACCGCACAGCAUGCAUUUCGUAUUACCGAUCCAACCUCUCUUUACCAAAUUAUCGGCUGUAAGCGGUCUCUUCCUUAGGACAAUCCAACAAAAUACCUUCACUUUUAGGGGCAGACGUAAGGACCAGAUCUUACCCAAACGGGCGUCCCGUGUGCCUCCGUCAUGCAGAGUUGAGUAUGUUGACUUCACAGUAAAUAUACCGUUGGUGCUCCAACGCCACUGUACCCUAUCCUGUUCUUGGCUUGUAUGAACAUUGGAAAUCCUGUCCUUGAGGGUUGUAAUCAUGGGAUUCGCACUGGGGUUAGCAGAAAUGUCCUCAGUCAGGAUCAAAUCCCAGCACCAGCCGUUUUCACCCAGGCAUUCAUUAAUUCUGAGGUUUUUACGAGAGGAAAGGUUGAAUAUCUCCGGGAACGCUGCACGUAGCGUUGUUUCCCCACACCACCGGUCCUCCCAGAAGUCAACAGUGCUCCCGUUACCCAGCUUAUAGGCUACUCCCCAUUUGUAGAUUCCCUUAAGACUAAGGACAUCCUUCCACCAGGAGGAAGACGGUCUAAAAGAUCGUCCCUCUUUCAGCGGUUUUCUUCUUCGAUAAAACAUGUCGCGAAUAAGUUUGUUCCAUUGUAGCUGUGGUGCAUUCUGAAAUUUCCACCACCACUUAACAAGUAGGGCUCGGUUCAUCGUACUGAUAUCCAAAAUGCCCAGUCCACCCUCCUUCUUAUCCCUACAGACACACUGCCAAGAAACUAGGCAUCUUAUUCCUUGGGUAUUCAGUCCUCCGGUCCAGAAGAAGUCUCUCCGUAGCGCCUCAAUACUCUUAAUUACCCAUUUAGGAGCCAUGAAGACCGAGAGAUAGUAGAGAGGAACGUUGGAUAGUACUGCAUUUACAAGGAUAAGUCUGCCCCCUCUCGAGAGCAACUUCCCCCGCCACCCGUCAAUUUUACUUUGGAUUUUACGAAUAAUCCCUCUUCAAUCCUCCUUAGACGGGGGUCUGAUCGACAGAGGCAAACCCAGAUACUUGGUAGGUAAGGAACCGACUUUACAUCCAAGCAAAUGUGCGAUCCAACUAGCUCUACCCUCUGUCUGUCCAGUGUAAUAAAUUUCUGAUUUCUCUUUAUUGAUUCGCAAUCCCGAUGCCCAUUCGAAGAGUUGCCAUAUGAACUUGAUGUUUCUGAGACAUCUUUUCUUGGCCUUACAGAAGACAAAAGUGUCGUCGGCAAAUUGGAUGAGGGUAGUUUUGGAUGUCUCUGCGGGACCAAUGCCAGUUAUAAGAUUAUUGUCCAACGCCUCAUUGGUAAGUCUGGCAAGACAUUCCGCCACUAGUAAGAAAAGAAAAGGGGAGAGUGGAUCCCCUUGCCGUACACCCCUCUUCGUCUUAAUCCAAUUGGUGACGUCGUCGUUGAUCAGGACAGCGACCUUAGCGUUGCAAACACAAAGUUUAAUCCAGUUGCACCAUUUUUCGUCGAAACCCCACCAGUGUAAACAGCGAAAGAGAAAAGGCCAAUAAAUUUUGUCGUACGCCUUUUCAAAGUCUACCUUUAUGCCAACUCCCUCUGCCCCUGCCCUACUACCCCAAGCUAAGAGCUCCCUAACCGUCACAAAUGCAUCGGUAAUGUUUCUCCCCUUCAGAAAGGCCGAUUGAGUAGGGGAUACAAGAUCGCUCAUCACGAGCUCCAAGCGGUUAGCUAGAACCUUAGAUAUGAUCUUUUGGAUCCCGUUUAGUAAACUUAUGGGUCUGAAUUCGCUCACACGUUUGGCUCCUUCCUUCUUAGGGAUUAGGCAGAUAAAGGCGUAGUCAAUGGGGCCGGUAGACAGCUUCUCCUCAAACAUUUCGAGGAAUAUGUUCAACAGGUCACCUUGGAUUGCGUCCCAGAAAGUUUGAUAGAAACUCAGUGGGAAACCGUCUGGGCCCGGCGCCCUAUCUUUCCCCAAUUGGAACACGGCUUGCUUGAUCUCAUCGGUACUAAAUGGCCCUGAAAGAAGAGAUAGGGUGUCAGAGUUUAUGCGUCUGGAUCUGAAAAGGUUGCUCCAGUCCCCAAACGAAGUUGGAGCCGAAUCUUCCGGCGUGAAAAGCUCCCGGAACUUCUCGAAUAAGAGGUGCUUCUUGUCCCCUUCAGAGCGGUACACUGUUUCGUCCUCUUCCAGUGUGUCAAUCCUGUUCGUUCUCCUCCUGCCGUUCGCUAUUGCGUGAAAGAAUUUAGUAUUGCUAUCUCCUUCUUUAAGCCAGUGUUGUUUAGCUCUCGUCCUCCACAGCGCUUCUUCGUCUUUGAGUACCCGUAGCAAAUUAGCCUUCAGUUCUUCCCUACGCUCAAUAGCUUCCGUGACUAAAUCGCCCUUCUCCUCGUCGUUAUCGAUACCCUGGAUUUCCUCCAUUAACUUAGAUUUAUGUCCCUUAAUACUAUAAAACUCGUUAUUGCACCACUCUUUGAUCCUCGUUCUACAGUGCCUCAAUCUCGCUGUGAAAGUUAGUACAGCUGUUUGUUUCACUGGCCCCUCUCGCCACCAACCAGGCAGUUUGGCAACAAAAUCAUCAUGGAGUAGCCAAGCGGCUUCGAACCUAAAAGUCUUCUUCACUCUGGGGGUGGCUUUCUCGAUUGAGAGAAGGAUGGGACAGUGGUCCGAAGUCACUCUGGGAAGACCGGUGACCUUCGAAAGGGGAAAAGCCUGGUCCCAUUCCGUCGAGACUAGGAAACGAUCCAAUUUAGCAAGCGAAGGCUCCCGCUGCAUAUUGGACCAAGUAAAAGAUUGGUUAGACAUGGGAAGAUCAAGAAGUUCCAUGUCCAUAAUAAGCUUGUUAAAUAACUCUGUUGCUCGCGAACUCCAAUUCUUUCCACGCCGCUCUUCCUGGCUCCUCGUGCUAUUAAAAUCUCCACAUAAUAUCCACUUCCCUUGACAGCACCCUUUCAGUUGCAGCAGCUCCAAGUAGAAGUCCUCCUUUCCGUCCCAAGUGGCCGGUCCAUAAACAUUUGUCACAAAGAGUCUAGUACCGUUGCUAAGCAUGGUUACCUGAAUCGUAAUGGAGUAACGACGAACAAUAACUUCAUGACAGGAGAAAAUGCGGGAGCUCCAGCAAGUGAUCAAACCCCCAGAAGCUCCGGUGGCUUCGACAAAAACGCAUUUGUCCAGAAAAGACCCGGCGAAGCUACGAAGGAAGGACCCCGAAACUAGACUAACUUUUGAUUCUUGAAGACACACUAUAACAUUACGAACCUUAGAAAUUACAUCCUUAACCGCAAAACGUUUAGAUGGGUCAUUAAGCCCUCUAACAUUCCAACAUAAGACCCUAAACAUAGUAAAUAACAUAAACCACCCCCCCAAGGAAGCCCCAAAAGGUGAUCAGUACCUACACCGCACGACCUACUUAAACAUGUUCUUUCACAAACUCGGCGAACUGAGUAGCCUCGACACCAUCCAGGAUCACUCCGCACCGGCGGCUUUUCCGAAUGAUCUUCCGCAAAGUAGGCUCUGGCUCUGCCACUAAGUCGGAUCCGCCGCCCCGCAAUCUGGCCUUCCUGGAGAUUGCUUUGGAGAGGAUGGUAGUCUUCUCCCCGCUUGCUAGACGUGCACUGGCUCGCAAUCCGUCGCCGAUCCCCUGUAUCGCUCUAACAACAUUGACGUAAUCGCCCGCCGCCGCGUCUCCGAUCGAGUCCUGGCUGCAACUGUCGCCGUAGCAGGGGGUUACAUCAUCCCUAACAGGCGUCUGGGCACCCACAUCAUACUCUGUAUUUCUAUAGCAAACCCCAUCCCUUGCAACCUGUAUCACAGCCUUGACUUCGAGACUUAUCGUGAAAGAGCACAACUGUUCGCCUAACAGGCUACCAAUACGAAGCUCCCCGUCUCGCAGCAUCGACCCAGCAGUAAUCAGAGGCGGGAUCCUAUUAGCCAUGGGGUUGAAAAGUCCCUCACCCAAGCCAAUAAGGGUGGUCCAGUUGAGGUACGGUAACUGGGCCCUCAUCGGCGGUCCAAAAAGAGCUACAGGUGCACCCCCAUGCUCAAUUAAUAGCAGGUGAUACCCACAACGUUUCAUAGAAAAAAGCCGUGCUUUUUUAAAGCAAGGCAGAACGGAUUUGUCAACUCCCGAGGUUUGACCAAGCCCAAUAAAUGCCCCACAAGUCACCACCCUCGAUGACACCUUGGGCACCUUGGGCGAGCGGCGUUGGUCUCGAGGCGGAUCAAUUGGCGAUUGCGAAGGACAGGGGGCUUUUGAACUGGGGACAAGAUGGCGUUGCGCCGUCUGCGCCAACGACACGCCCGCAACCUUGCCAGAGCAAACCUCGGAUUUCGGGGUAGCUUCAUCGUAACCCGAGUCCGACCGUUGCUCCAAUCGGCCCGCUCUCCUCCUACCUGUCGCCGUGCUCCAGCCCCUUCCGUUCGCCGGUCGAUUUGCCGUUCCCUCCGAUGCUGGCGGUAGCGACAAGGCCCUCAGAUCCCGAUUCAUCGGACUCGCAGAUCCGGCGUGAUCGAGUUCCCCGGUCCCUUCUCCCAUCUCCUCGUCGGUCCCUGCUUGACCAUCGUUGCCCUGGACGCCACCCCGUCUUGCGUCCUGAUCUUGAAUCCCGUUGUCUGGUCCAUCUCUAGGCGGUGCCGGUGGCUCGCCUCCGUUGCCGUCCGCCUCCCGCUCCCAACUCUCCAGGUGUAACAUCACAGAGAAGAUCUCCUCCCCCAGCACGAUAGAUAGGUUCUGCGGAAUUUCUCGAAGCGAGUCGAGAGAGAUCUGGCACCUGAAAGCGCGGAGAUCAGUCAUCGCUUUGGUGGUCUCGUCGGCCUUGACAAACCGUCCGAACCCUCCCACCAGUGCGGCGACACGAGCGACCGUCCAGCAUUCGAACGGUAAAUUGAUAAGUCGUAUCCAAGCCCUGAAGCUGGCUCUAUGUGGUCUCGCAUUACGGUAAUGUCCCCACUGAUAACAUCUGAUCCAGAAGCCAUCGAGUGUGAGGACCUCCCGCCGGGCAAGUACCUCCGCGGAAACCCAUUCCGGGAGGAAGAUAGCGUAAUCCCGAUCGCGGUAUCGAGCAACCGCAAAAUCCUGCCUGUAGCCUCCAAAACGUCGGGCCAUCGCACUUGCGAUGGUACGUAUGGGAUCUGGUCCCAAAUUAGCUGGCGGGAUGACGUCCGCCAGCACCGCAUUCCGGCGUAACUCCUUCCUUCUCAAAUACUCCUCUGUGUAAGGUACGUAAACCUUCGGGGCUCGCUCGCGUUGCCGAAAAGCCCUAUUCAUAUUGGCUCUCUCCCGCAGAUCAGACUUCUUGCAGUCGAUAACUCGGUGGCCGGACCUACGACACCGUAAGCACCUAACCGGAUCUCGACACUCCGCAAUCUGGUGAUCUGAAGCCAAGCACCUGAAACACCUUGGGCUGCUUCUCAGCUUGGUCCCCUUAGAGCUUCGAGAGACUCUGUAUGGCCGAGUGAGGGGUGGAACCUUAGUAUGAUGAGUGCUGAGGCCCCUCAACAAAGCCUCCUUAUAAGGGCAAGCCACUGUAAAUGCAGAGUUACUCCCCUCACCCUCCCCCCUGCCGCUACCCUUCGUGUCAAAUCUCUGGAUAGAUACGCUCUUCUUCCCUCGCGGCGAAACGGUAAUAAAACCUCUCUCUUCGUCUCGAGCCCUUCCCUCAAUCUCGUCAUGAACCUCGCUGAACGACAGUAAUGAUCCACCAACUUCGUCUGCCCAAGCCACCCUUUUUACCACCCUCUUCAAACGCGAGUCGUCCUUGGAGGUGGCGCAACGAUAAAUCAGGGUGGGAGAUGCCUUGCUCUUCCCUGUCGAGUCAUGAACUCUGACAGCGUCGUCAACAACCAGUUGGGAUGGUAGUAAAGAUGAGAUCCCCUUACUCCCACUCCCUCUCCCUGUUCCUCGGCUCCCUACUCUCCCUCUCCCAGAUCCACUCCCACUCCCUCUCCCUGUCGCGCUCAUCCUGUUUGCCAAUAUUAUUCUAUGAUUUGAGAAUAUUUUUCCGGAACCGCACUGUUGACUACGAAUUUAGUUGUUGGUACUUGAGACUUCAAGUUCAAAACUAAUUAUUUCGCAAUUUAGCUGAGAUCUUUUUUAAAAAAAUAAGCGAAACGGUUAUAUAGCUUGCUAUCUUUUUCAUAAUAAUAAUAAUUAACUCACCGAUUAAUAAAAAUCUCUUCCUUGUGUGGGUUUCUUUUAGUCCAUACCUACUGUAAUAAAUUAUGAGUAUUCGGAAAGUGCAUUGAUUCGUCAAAGUUCCUAAUCGAUAAAAGCAUUACUGCACAAUUUGGUAUGUGUCAUUCGUGCAAUUAGAACCCUAGCGUACGUAAAUCAACAUCUAAAAAUUGAGGUUUCAUCCCAGCUGUAAUUAUGAAAACUUCAACCGAAAAGAAAUGGGGGCUUCUAACUUUUGCUACCAAAUUAAAGUCAAACCAUAAUUUGUUGAAUAUUUAUUUAUUUAUUUUCUUGGUUUGGUUGGUUUUUAUAGGGAUCAGAGAAAAAGUUGCUCAUCUAGACUAUUUGUCAGCGCAAACUGUCAAAGUAGUGGGCUUUUUGUGAGAUUUGCUUUGAGGAAGAGAGAUUUUUCUAUAAUUUCUAGAAGAUGAAUUGGAAAGAUAACACACGCCCUCCACUUGAGACCAUCAUCCAAAUAUAUGUGGAGGAACAGCACUGCUAAAUUAAAAAAUGGGAAAACUUCAAAAACCCCCCUUAUGGUUUCAAUUUUUCUCACUUUAGUACCCUGUGGUUUAAAAUGUAUCAAGUUAGUACCCUGUGGUUUCUUACUUCAUCACUUUAGUACCCUGUGGUUUAAAGUGUAUUAAGUUAGUAUCAUGUGAUUUUGCAUUUUAUCACUUUAGUACCCUGUGGUUUAAAAUGUAUUAAGUUAGUACCCUGUGGUUUUGCACUUUAUCACUUUAGUAUCCUGUGGUUUCACACUUUAUCACUUUAGUACCCUGUGGUUUUAAUUUGUAUCAAGUUAGUACCCUGUGGUUUUUUAAAUCACAGGGUACUAAAGUGAUAAAGUGUGAAACCACAGGGUACUAAAGUGAUAAAGUGCGAAACCACGUGAUACUAAAGUGAUAAAGUGCAAAACCGCAGGGUACUAGCUUGAUACAUUUUAAACCACAGAGUAUUAAAGUGAUAAAGUGAGAAACCACAGGGUACUGAUUUGAUACAUUUUAAACCACAUGGUACUAAAGUGAUAAAGUGAGAAACCACAGGGUACUAACUUGAUAAACUUUAAACCACAGGGUACUAAAAUGAAAAAAUGUGAAACCACAGAGAGGGUUUUUGAAGUUUUCCCUUAAAAAAUUAAUAAAGUGAAUCUGGAGGCUUUUAAAAGUGCAUAGAUUAAUACGAGUCAAAUUUUAUUUUUGUUUGUAAACUAACCAUUUAAUUACUAUUGUCUCGAUUAGUUUAGUUAUCAGCUUACGACAUAAAAAGUUAGUAAAAAAUAGAUCAGCUCCCAGUCAAUUGAUUUGCAAUCGUAUAAUAUAUAUAUAUAUAUAUCGAGUAAAAUUCUCAAACGGAUUGAAAAUGACAAUUUAUUACAAUUUGAUAAAAUUUGUAGUCUAUUUCUAAAUAAAAUAGAAUAAAUAUUUAAAUUUAUCAGAAAUAAAUUAAUAUAAAUUUAAAUAUUAAUUAGAGUAAGAAUUAUAGUUAUACUAGAUUUGGAGGUAUGUUUUAGUGGAGCUAGCAUUAUAUAUAAAUUAUUUAUAAAUGGUUAAAGCUUGAAGUUGCUAUCCCCCGGUUGAGGUUCUCCAACAAGAGUGUAGGAUGAGGUAUCUUGAAGUCAUCAGCGGAUCGUACUAAAUGGGCGUGUCCAUGGUUGCAUGCACCUAAUGUAUGGGCGCAUGGGAGAGAGAGAAAAAAAAAGAAAGAAAAAGAGAGUAGUUUUUUAGGUUUAUAAAAGACGAGAAAUAGAUAUGAGAGAUUUAAAAAGAUUNCAAAUUUUAAAUUAAAGUAUUGUACUAAAAUCAAACAAAUUGAAAAAUUGGAUGGUUAAAAUUAAAAUUCUGAAAGGUCGGAUUGCCAAUUCAAAAUAGUCCACAGUUGAUCGAGUAGAUUUGAUAUAUCUUUAUCCAUAUUCUAUAAAAUGUAAGUGCUCAAAAAGACUUUAAAUUAAAGUGAAAAAAGAAGUUUUUUUCCUCUUCCAAAUAGAGCUGCUCAAAGAGGAUCCAAGUACAUAAUACAUUGAAUGAGAGGGUCUAAUUAAAGUUCUUUUUCUUUUUCUUUUUUGUUUUUUUCUUUUUCCUUCAAAUUAAAACAAAGGUUUAUUCAAGGGGGAGUUAAAGUAACUAGGAAACAUGACCUAACUCCUCCCUUUCCCUACAACUUUUUUGUGUAGGAAAAUUUGGACCCGCAAUUUGGCCAGUGGAUGUAGUGGGGCCCAAUUCAAUAUCUUUGGCCUAAAUUCUCCAUUACUCACGAGUGCAAUAGAAUGUGCAUCUUUUUCCCACUCAUAUAGCAUAUAUAUAAAUAUAUAUAUAUAUUUUUUUAAAGUUAUUAUUAAAUUAUACAUGGAGCUGAAGAAUGAUCAAGUAAUAAAAUUUAGGGAUAUUAUUUAUUGAAAUAAAGAGUAUUAUUUCAAGCUACCAGAUUAAUCCUUUCGUUAUGAUAUUAUCUCGGUUUGUGAACCACAUACGCACUCACCUGCACCUAGGGCUGGCAAUUCAGCUCGCUAUUCGCAAAUCAGGUCGUGUUCGACUCAAAAUGAACUCGAGAUCAAUCGACUUGUUUAUUAAACGAGCCGAUCACGAGCUAAAUUUUUCAGCCCGAAAUCUUAAUAAGCUGAACAUGAGCUGGGAUAAGCUCGUUCGUAUUCGACUCUAUAUAACUUAAAUAUAUACAUAUAUAUUAUAUAAAUUUCUACUAUUUUGAUUUUAGGCCAACUCAAAUAUAAAGAAGCCUAUAUUUUGUAAAUUCUAAUUUUCUAAUUUUCUUUCAAAGCCGAAUAUGAGCUAAAUUUUUCAGCUCGAGAUUUUAACGAGCCAGCUUGUGUUUGAUUCGUUUAAUAAACAAACGAAGUACACGAGUCAGUCCCAGCUCACUCUUCUUCCGAUUAUCGACAGUCUUCCUGCACCUAUCUCGCUUGAAGCAGAAAUCGAUCCCUAAUUAUACUUUAGAGAGUAAAGGAUAUCAAACAACCGCUUUAAACAGUGGCGACCAAAAAAAAAAAAAAAGAAAAUUCAUAUCAAAAUAAUGAUUGGGAGUAGAGCUCACAUUGUUGUUGCUUGGAAAACAAAUCUUGCUUAUAUGGAUAAGGAGUACGUGUUGAUUUUGAUAUGAUCAAACGACAAAUCCCAUGUGAAUGUGAAGCGAUUCAGUUAGUCAAGGGUUAGGCCAAUGACAUUGAUACUUUUCAGCCCCAACUUUUGUAGAGUCAAUCAUAACUAGAAAGAAUAAAUGAUAAUUUGGUUCGAAUUUAUCUAACUAUUUAUGAAUAAAGAAAUCAUUUAUUUGAAGACCUUUUAUUUUGGCGUUUUUAGUAUACGGAAGUCCACGGUUACGUGUAGCGUCGCCACCUGUAGUAUGAAACUUUGAUUUAAUUAUUCUGUAAUUUUAUAUUAAUUUCAUCAUAAAUGCCUGUUGUUAAGUAUGGUAGCAAAUUAUAUUCUUUGCAAAAUAAGAAAUGAUAAAGUACAUAUUAUAGAACGGUAAUUUUUUUUUGAGAAAUAAGUAGCAAGCUACAUGCUUCAUUUAUUAAGAAAAAUGAACUAAGCGUAUAAGAUGGAAACAGCUAGAGCCUCCGAUAGGAAAGAGGCAAACAGAGGUAAGAGUAAGAAGCGAAAGAUAGCGGGUUAGGUGAGGAAAGAAAGAGAGAAGGUCCAAUUACAUAUCAGAGCAGUGCGGUUCAAUCACUCAUCAAAAGAUUGACACGUUGUACAGCCCUAGUAUCAUUAGGCAGAGUUCCCUCGAAGACGGAGUUGUUUCUAUUGGAUUUUAUUAGGUUUGUUAUGAUUUAAAACUUGUUAAGGCCCCUUGAGAGCCAAAUAAUUGUUAAUAGGCCGCUUGGGGAGCCCAACUAAAUUCAUGCGUGAUGUUUAAUUCCACAUUGAAAAUCAAAAGGGUGUUUGUUGUUUUUAUAUAUUCUCUUGUUCUUAAGCUAGUUGCUUGGAAGAAAUUGAGAGUAAUGCUCUCGUUUAAAUACACACACGAGCACGAGCACGAGCCAAGUCGGGCCGGGCGGGCGGCGGCGCGCGUGGUUCGUACACCCGGUUUAUUUUAUUUUCUUUUUUCGAUUUUAUCUUUAUUUUAAUCAUUAUCUUUAUCUUUAUCUUUAUCUUUAUCCUAAUCUUAAUCUUUAUCCGUAUAAUCUUAGGCUUAUCUUGUUCUAUACGGAUUUGACGCGUUGAAACAAGAUUCUCGCCUAGGUUAUAAAUAUGGGGCGAGAUUGCACGAGUUAAUUAAUAAUAACACGAGCAUACCUAAAGCGUCUCGUCUUUUACUACUUUCUGAGUUUUCGCCGAGUUUCCUUUUGCUGGAUCUGAAACUAGUUGGAUUCAUCUUGCGCCACCUUGGAAGCGUGCCGAUGGAGUGGAACGUGGUCGUUGUAUCGUUAGGAGUAAUUGCCAGAAAGCCUCACACGUGGAGGAGCAAUUUCGCUUCUAGAACAAUGCUCUACACGCCUCGAUCCACAGGCCUUAUCUAAAUCUUUUCUUUAUAGUAUUUGUUAUUUAAUUUCUUUCUCGAAAUAUUUCGAAACUUAUAAUUUAAAUUUUCGAAUUGAUUUUUAAAGAAUAUUGUAAUAAAAGAUCAGAAAGAUUUUCCAACAGUUUCUAUCCCUCUAAACCACCCACCAGAUCGCAGCUAUUAGUGUUUGUUCUCGUCGAUUCGAUGGGACUGGCAGAAAUUCCGACCCAAAGGCUUCGAACGUCAUCCGUGAUGUCGACGGAUACAUCUAGUCCUUCCACGCUGAGGAGAAGGUAGCAUACGAAAACACAGUGAAUGAAAAAUGUGGUCAUGGUUUUCCGUGAGUACCGCGCAAAAGAUACAUUGUUGAUCCACAAGCAUGCCAUGGUUAAGCAAUCUGUCAGCAGUGGGUAAUCUCUUCCGCAGUAACAACCAAAUUAAGACUUUUAUUUUUACUGGGAUUUUCAAACUCCAUAGGUGUUGAUUCAUCGGGGUUCGCUGUCCAGCAUCAUGUUGGCCUAGUGGCCCUAAUCGUCUAUUAGUUUUUGAUGAUAACAAAUAAUCACGAUUAUUGGACUAAUCUUUUUAUCUUGAGUCUUGUGUUUUUAGAUCUCUCUAUCUUCAAAAAGGAUUCAAGAUGGGCAAUAUUCUGGCACCAAGCUUCACCUCUUGAAGCUGUGUUUGCUUCUUUUGUCAAAUAGACAAACUCACUCUCUCCAUUCUUAAUUGAUUAAUAUUAUGCUUAUGAUCAGAGUAAGAAACUUUGAGUUAAGUUUAAACUAUUCAUCUUAUCACCUUAUAGAUCAUUUAAACAAAAUUCUAAAUUUAUGAUUAGGUGAAAAGGACUUUUAAAUAUUCAAAAAUUGCUCAAAUUCUGUGUUCUGUAAAGUUAAAAUUUCUGGACCCUGUUCUGGGCGCCCGAAAGUGGAUCCGAAUCUUUUGAGACCUUUUGGAUCCUGCCUGUUUGCUGUUCGGGUGAUCCAGAAACACUAAGACUGUUUGACUUGACAGGUUGCGACAACAGGCGGCGCGAAAUCUGGGCGCCCAGAUUUUGUGGAAGCAGCGGCGCACGCAAUCUGGGUUGUCUGGCAAGAAAGUCAGCACGACUUUUUGAGCGCCCACAACUUUUGAAAGUUGUCCCUCGAGAUCUGGGCGCCCACAACUUUCUGACGGCCCAAAUCCAGAGGAAGCGGCGCGUGUCAGAAAAGCGGUUCCUCGUGUUCUGUGCGCCACAACUUUUGACGGCCCAGAACUUACGAAGUCAAGAAAAGCUGCGCGUGUCAGAAAUACUGUUCCUCGAGAUCUGGGCGCCCACAGCAAAAGACCUAAUCAAAAGAUUUGGCUUGGAAAGCUCAAAAGAGACGAACACUCCAAUGAGUGUCUCAACUAAACUUGACAAGGAUGAAAAAGGCAAGGAUGUUGAUAUCAAACUCUACCGAGGUAUGAUUGGCAGUUUACUUUAUCUUACCGCAAGUCGGCCGGACAUUAUGUUUAGUGUUUGCUUGUGUGCUCGGUUUCAAACUCAACCUAAGGAGUCACACUUAGUGGCUGUAAAGAGAAUUCUUAGAUAUGUUAAAGGGACUCUCAACUUAGGGUUAUGGUAUCCCAAGGGCACUAAUUUUAAUCUCAUUGGCUUUUCAGAUGCCGACUUUGCCGGAUGCAAAGUUGAUCGGAAAAGUACGAGUGGGACUUGUCAAUUUCUUGGUCACUCCUUAGUCUCAUGGUCUUCGAAAAAGCAAAAUUCGGUUGCACUUUCAACCGCCGAAGCCGAGUACAUCGCGGCAGGUUGUUGUUGUGCACAAGUUUUAUGGAUGAAACAAACCCUUGAGGACUUUGGACUACAUCAAAAACAAGUUCCAAUCAAAUGUGAUAAUACUAGUGCCAUCAACAUAUCUAAAAAUCCUAUUCAACAUUCUAGAACUAAACACAUUGAAAUUAGACAUCAUUUUAUUAGAGAUCAUAUUCAAAAAGAAGAUGUCACUAUAGAAUUUGUGGACACUUGUAAUCAAUUAGCAGAUAUUUUUACUAAACCACUUGGUGAGGAUAAGUUCACUCAACUUAGAAGAGAAUUAGGAAUGAUUGAUUUAUCUGCUUGAUUUUCCUUUUUGAUUGACUGUUAUGUUUGCUUUUCAAUUUUAUUUUUGGACACACAUUUUUGUUUUGCGCAACUUACGGACGAAAAUUUUCGGUCGCCUGAAAAUUUUCGGGCACCCGAAACAUGCGUUGACCACACAGUGCACCGUCUGACCGACCUAACGGGUUAACGGGCUUCGGAUCCGGGCGACCACUCGGUUCGCACCCGCACCCGAAAACCCGCCUUGACCGCCUCGCCGGUUUGACCGCGCUGGCGGGUUACCGGGUUCCGGAUCCGGGCGACCGAUCCGACCCGCACUCGCGCCCGCUUUGACCGCCGCGCCGUUUUGACUGCCCUGGCGGGUUCCGGGUUGCGGAUCCGGGCGACCUCGCCGACCCGCACGAGCGCCCGAAACCCGCUAGCGGGCCCCUUUGUCGUCCCCAGCAGCCCGACAGCCCUAUUUUCCAUUUUUUUUUCUCUUCUUCCUCCUCCUCUCCAUCCGGUCGCCCAGAUCCUGCGCCCACCCAGCAUCAAAUCCGCCCAAAACUCCUCCAAAACUCGGAUUUCCUCUCCUCUCCUCCUCAAUCUGUGGUAUUUUCCUUUCUUUUUAAUUUUUUUUUUCUCUUCUUCCUGCUGUUAACCCUAGGAUUGUAUUUUUUAAAAAUUUUUUUUUGCAGGUUUCUUGUACUUUUUGCACUAUAAUCUCAUUCUCUACCUAGAUUUACAUCUUAGCAUUUUAGAUCUUGCUCAUUUUUUUUGCAUAAAACCCUAGUUCCUUUUUUUUUUGCUGUCAACCCCAAAUUUUUUUUUACUAAUUUAUAUGCAACAUAAUCUUUUCUUCUACAUUGCAUCCUAGAUCUUGUAUUUUAAAUUUUUUUUUUUAACCCUAGCUUUCACCCCAAAUAAUUUUUUUACUAAUUUCUUGUCAUUUAUGCACCUUAAUCUUUGUCAUCUACCUUAUUUCUCUUAGGUCUAAGCACCUUGUCACUGAUCUUCCAUCUUGCUCAUUUUUUAUUUUGCAUAAAACCCUAGUUUUAAAAAAAUAAAAAAAAAAACAAAAAUGCCUAGAACUAAAAAUGCAUCUAGAAGAGGAUCUCCCUCACAUAGAUAUGAUCAAAACGAAGAUUUUGAUGCUUUUAAUUUUGUAUCUCGAGAGGCUCAAGAUAAAUAUCUUUUAGGUCGUCCCGUUCAACCUUGCCGUAAUAUUCAUCAUCUCAAUUUUGAUUGCUAUGAACUUUUGGAUAAACUCACACAAGUUGGAUGGGAUUUCUUUGUUCAAAAUUCGCGACCAUUUUAUCCGGAUCUCAUUAGGACUUUUUAUGCAAAUGCCACUUUUAAUUCCGAAUAUACUACUAUUACCUCCCACUUCCGGGGACGUGUUUUUGCCAUCACUCCUAUCCUUCUUCACACUGUUUUGAACAUUCCUAAUGACGGGGUUUGCUAUUACCAAACUAACACUUGGAACUUUCCUGCAUUUUCUGAGGCGCAACUCAGCAAUCAUUUUCUUUGUGAAGAAUCUAUUUGCGGGGAUCCGGGUAAAUUUGGGGUAUAUCAUCAUUCGCCACAUGGCCGUCGCCAUUUCUCAUCCCUCGCGCUCACUUCCCUAUGGCUCUUUGCUCACCGCUGUUCUCGAGUUCAUGUCAUUUGAUCUUUCUGACGUAAGGCCGAUGAAGUACCCUACUGCCAUUUCUACUGCCACUUUCUCUACUCUCGGCUUCAAGAAAAAUCGCCAUGGCAUUUGGGUAAGGAAACAUGUGAUUGAUUCGCCUAGCGAGCAUGCUGAUGACAUUGACGACGCCGAGGAUGAUCCUAUGCCUUAUGAGCCGCCGCCACGAGCAUCUCCUCCACCAUUUGAGCCGCCGCCACGAGCAUCUCUUCCACCAUUUGAGCCACCCCCUACUGUGCCUCCGCCCUAUGUUCCUCCACCUAUGGAUUUCCAAACCCAGGUUUUUGAUCGACUUGAUAGGAUGGAAGAUCAUAUGCAUGCUCUCCAGACAGAUGUUUCCGGCAUUAAGGCAUAUAUGGACUCCCUCUUUGGACCUUCGAGUGCCUUUUAUGCCGCGUAUGGACCCCACACUGAUCGACCAUCCUCCUCCACUAUGCCCCCACCAGUUUCGCCUACGGAUCAUGAGGACGAUGAAGAGGAUGACGAUGAUGAUGAUGAUUAGCUUCUGUUUCUACCAGUUUUAUGCCUUUUUUUUUUGUGAUGACAAAGGGGGAGAACUUGCUAUGUGAUAUACUAUAUUAUGUUAUGGUUUGUUAUGGUUUAUUAUGCUCCUUUUAUGCUUGAGGUUUAUUAUGCUCUGGUUUAUUAUGCUCUGACAUUUGCCUACAUGAUUGCUUACUUCUUUUAUUGUGAUAUAUACUAUGCAUAUGAUUGUGUUUUAUGCAUGUUAAAUAUAUGCAUAUAUUUAGGGAGAGUAUUCUACUCUUUUACUCUCUACUCAUUUGGAUAUUAUAUCACAUUAUUUGUCAUCAUCAAAAAGGGGGAGAUUGUUGGCCUAAUGGCCCUAAUCGUCUAUUAGUUUUUGAUGAUAACAAAUAAUCACGAUUAUUGGACUAAUCUUUUUAUCUUGAGUCUUGUGUUUUUAGAUCUCUCUAUCUUCAAAAAGGAUUCAAGAUGGGCAAUAUUCUGGCACCAAGCUUCACCUCUUGAAGCUGUGUUUGCUUCUUUUGUCAAAUAGACAAACUCACUCUCUCCAUUCUUAAUUGAUUAAUAUUAUGCUUAUGAUCAGAGUAAGAAACUUUGAGUUAAGUUUAAACUAUUCAUCUUAUCACCUUAUAGAUCAUUUAAACAAAAUUCUAAAUUUAUGAUUAGGUGAAAAGGACUUUUAAAUAUUCAAAAAUUGCUCAAAUUCUGUGUUCUGUAAAGUUGAAAUUUCUGGACCCUGUUCUGGGCGCCCGAAAGUGGAUCCGAAUCUUUUGAGACCUUUUGGAUCCUGCCUGUUUGCUGUUCGGGUGAUCCAGAAACACUAAGACUGUUUGACUUGACAGGUUGCGACAACAGGCGGCGCGAAAUCUGGGCGCCCAGAUUUUGUGGAAGCAGCGGCGCACGCAAUCUGGGUUGUCUGGCAAGAAAGUCAGCACGACUUUUUGAGCGCCCACAACUUUUGAAAGUUGUCCCUCGAGAUCUGGGCGCCCACAACUUUCUGACGGCCCAAAUCCAGAGGAAGCGGCGCGUGUCAGAAAAGCGGUUCCUCGUGUUCUGUGCGCCACAACUUUUGACGGCCCAGAACUUACGAAGUCAAGAAAAGCUGCGCGUGUCAGAAAUACUGUUCCUCGAGAUCUGGGCGCCCACAAAUUUUUGACGGCCCAAACAUACAAAGUCAAGAAAAGCGGCGCACGUGGUUCGACAAGCAGCUGGCGUGCACAAACUUCUGGGCGCCCGAAAACAGUUUGUGGGCGCCCGAAAGUACAACUGCAGAUCUGUCCGAGGCUAUAAAUAGAUGGUAUUGAGGCCUCACUCUGCAGCAACUUGAUAACUCAUUCUGAGCAUAAAAACUUCAGUGAUCUUAAUACUCUUAGCUCUCAAUUCUCUCUCUAAACUUGAGUGAAACUUGUAGUGAGAUUUAAUCUUGUAAAAAGAGAGAAAAGCAAAAUCUUGAAGCUUGAAAGAAGGAGUUGAUGUGAAGGCUUGGUGCUUGCCCGCAAAAGCAUCAUCUAGUGGAGAUCCAACAUUCUCGAGUGUUGAGAAGUUGGCGGGGACGUAGGCAAAGUGCCGAACCUCGAAACAAAUUGAUCGUGUGCUUUUCGAGUUUGCAUUUCUUUUAAUUGCAUCGGUUUUUUUAUUUUGCUUGAUUAUUUGGAUUUUUAUUUUAGAAACCUAAUUCACCCCCCCUCUUAGGUUGCCAUUUUGAUCCUCACAUCAGUGAUGAACUGAUAUAGGGAUUUGACUGUAAAUAUUUGAUUGAAGGUCCACCGCCAUUUGAUCGAGUCCGGUCUGCUGCAUGGGCAGUGAUGGAGAAGCAGAUCUUUAAGCAUCGAUAGCUGCCUGCAUCUUUCAGCGAAUUGAGACGCCGCAAAACCAUAGCAGAUGAAGCGCCAUCUCCAUUCGUCAGAUUCCAGCACUCGGAUAUGCGAGCCUCUGUGUUCGUAAUAUUCUCGAAGAUGUUUGGGAAAAGAGUGCGGAAGGGGGUUUCUCCAAUCCAGAUGUUGGAACAUAACCUAAUAUUUCUUCCAUCACCUAGCUCAUAGAUUACCCCACAAGUAAAUAGUUCGCGGCACCGAAGCACGCUUUUCGACCACUGUGAAUAAGGGACGAAGACUCUGCCCUUAUGUAGUGGCCUUCUUCUAACGUAGUAGAGGGGUCUUAUCAGUUUGCACCAAAGCAAAUUUGGUUCAUUGAAGAAGCGCCACCACCAUUUGGUUAAUAAAGCCAGGUUCAUGGAUUCCAUAUCUAAGAUCCCUAGUCCACCUUCUCUCUUACUUUUGCAGAUUGAUUUUCAGUUAAUGAGACAUGCGCUACCAGCAAUAAUGGACCGCCCUUUCCAGAGGAAGGCUCUUCUGAGAGCUUCUAUCCGAUGAAGUACCCACUGUGGCGCUUUGAAGAUGGAUAGGUAGAAAAGCGACAGGUUGGUGAGCACUGAGUUCACAAGAGUAAGUCUUCCCCCCAAAGAGAGGAGUUUUGCUUUCCAGCCUUCGAUUCACCCCAAAGAGAGGAGUUAUAGAAUUUAUAAGAAGUAGGGUACGUAAACUUCAAAUACCAUCUCUGUGUUUCACACUUUCUCACUUUAGUAUCCUGUGGUUUAAAGUGUAUCAAUUUAGUACCCUGUGGUUUUAUUUUUCUCCUUUUGUCAGCUCAUCCGUUAAUAUUUCAUUAAAUUAUAUACAAAAAAACUUUAGAUACUCCACCUAUUAGGUUUAUCAAAUAUUCACUUUAGUACCUUUUAGAUUUAACUUUGUCACUGAUUUAACGAAAAAAAAAUUAGCGAAGGGGAUAAUAAAAAGAGAAAAAUAAAAAUAUGGAAUACUAAAUUGAUACACUCUAAACCAUAGGUUACUAAAAUAAAAAAAUGCGAAACCACAUGGGUGGCAUUUGAAGUUUUCCUAAAAAGUAUUACUUUUUUACUAUGUUGAACGAUAGAUAUAUCUUUACCAUAAGACAAAAUAUAAUCACAAAAUAAUUAGGUACAUCCUUUUGAUCUACAGAUCGGCAAAAUAAAAAUGCACUUACUCACUGGAGGGAAAUUAAAGUUUAUCUUUUCUUUUUUUUCUUUUUUUUUUUGUGUGUGUGUAAGUAGGUCAACACGAUAUGGUAAAAACUUUCGAAUCGAUUAUCAUCAUCAUUAGACUAACACCGUGAUGGAAUUGAAGAAAUCCCGUACUAUCGACCGGUACGUAUGAUGAAAGAGCUCCUGCACAUAGGCGCGUACUGCCCGGCUGCGGGGGAAUUCUGAGGGGUCAAGUAGUUUCGCGAGAAACGGCUACUCCGACAGCAUCAGCGGGCCGGUCGCUUACGUGCCAAACGGGGAGGCGGAGGUGUCGGUGUCCUAGGAGUGGUUCUAAUUUCCUCGCUUGCGAAGAAGACGUUUUCUAGAGAGGUCAAAGUAGCCGUUACUAUGCGUCCACUACAGUUACACGGCCAGGGUUCGCUGAAGAGAGGACUAGACUCUCCUUACUGGAUACAUUUGUUUGGAAAACCAGACACAACAUCUCCUUAAUCCAACACUCUAGUAACGAAAGAAGAAAAAAGUUUAUAUCAAAUUUCGCGUAAAAUCACCAGUUUGUAUUAUUUGGAUUAAAAAGAUACUACACUCCAUUGACUAUGUAGUAAUCACGAUGACGAUGAACCUACGCUUCAUAUGGCCCCAUUGACGUAGACAUACCACAAAGUAGGUACUAUACAACGUCGUAUUAAAUUGACACUUACAUCACUUAUACACAUAGUACGUAUAAAAAAAAAGGGGUAUUAGAAUUUCUCAACUACAUGAUUAAACACUUUUACUUUACUUUGUUUUUAAUAAACCAGCUCAAACUUUUACGGUUAACCUUGAUCGUCGAACUCACAAUUAAUGAAACUUCCAAAAAAAAAAAAAAAAAAAAAAAAAAAAACCCUAGGAAAAUAAAAACUCGUUUACAAUGUAUAUAUAUAAGGUUUUCUUCACAUACUAUAUGCCAAGUAGGUAGAACACUCCCACAUUCUUCAUAAAUGAUAAAAAACCCGAUUUAACGUGAAAGUCCAGAGUUUUGAUCUUUUUCACACUAUGAAGCCAGGAGUUUGAGAUUCAACAUUAAAAAGCAAACUUAAAAUAUUUAACAACGUUAGAUUCAAAGAUUUCCGAUUAAAUCAAUUGAUUCAUGACUAUAUAACGACUACACCAUUAUUAUGCUAUAAAAUUAAUAACACGGCAGUAGUUAAUGUUACGUCGAUAUGGUGACGGUGUAGUCGUUAUAUACUAGUAGCGAUGUAGAGACUGCGUAAGCGAUGUGUACUGGUCAAUCAGUUGAUUUAAUUCAACACACUAACUCAACGUUAUUAAAUCUUUCAACCUAGGUUUUUAAUAGUAUUUAAUUUUAAACUUCUAGUUUAACAUGUGGGAACUAUAAAGCUCCUGGUGUCCACAUAACAUUGGUAAACAAAAGAAAAAAAGAAAAAAAAACCUGAACCGUCGAACCUGUAAUUCGAUUAGUGUUUAAGAUACGUACGAGUAUAAUAAUAGAAGUAAUGCAUGGUACAUAAGAGACCCUUUCAAGUAGAAGAUCGUUCCCUGUUUUAGGAGGGGAAAAAAAAAAAAACCAAAAAUCAUUGAAUGAUCACAAAAAAAAAAAAAAAACUCUCUAUCCAUCGUGCGAUUGACAAAGCAAAUAAAGUAAAUCUUUAUUUGAAUCGAUCUUUUACACUUAGUUGAUCCUAAGCUUGAACCCAGAGUCUAUAGUUAGUGGUUUAAAAAACGGUGAACGAGAUCCCUGCCAGCCAUCAUUGAAUGAUCACAACUACACCAGGAUCCCUUAUCUACGCAUCUAUUUCGUUAUUUGUAUCAACAUUAGAAUAGGUAAUCGUGAACACUGACACUCUGACACUCUGGCACUCUAUUGGAAUAAUGCAUGAUGAGUGGGUGGUACAAAACAGGUAAAGGGGUGAAGAUAAUGUGGGAGAGAUACCCCUGAUACAAAAACCGAACAAGUUGUUCGUACGUCUCCUGAAUAUGGAAAGGUCGUUUUUAUUAUUAUUGUUUAUCAUUGAUUAUUAUUUUAACCGAACCAAAAACCCUACAUUGUUACCGAGAGGAAAAGUGAGAAGUCNNNGGGGGGGGGGGGGGGGGGAAGGUUAUUUGAGUUCAUCAAGAAAUUGAUCACUUGGCCGUCAACAACAACAAAGGUUAUGGUACAACUAUUUUGGCUCAGCUAAUAGCAAGUCAACGAAAACCAUCAGCCAAGUGGGGCACCGCUAGACUAAAUUAUAUAGGAAAAUGAUUAAUCUAUUAAUGUUGAUACAUAUAUCCUACAGCUAAACAAACAGCAUCCUACAGUUUACUCCUCGAACCACGGUGGUGGAAUAGGACCUAGUCAUAAACAUCUUUUUCUCUUCAAUUGUCUUGUAAUUAGCAUGAACUAAGUGCAAAACAAGAUUGAAUAACUAGCUAAAGGAAUAGGUAUCAAUCCAGUCACGCAACAAGCCUGGACACAUUGAAAUCCGGAAAUAAUUUGGACAAAUGAUUUACCAAAAAAAAAAAAAAUCCCACAUUCAAAUAAGACAGUUAGUUCGAAUCAGUAACCUCUUGACAGUUAUAUCUUCUACUUCAUUUUCGACAAACUGUCUCUAACUUCAUAUUUAUUACCAAGUUGUCAAAUAAAAUUUUCUCAAUGAUUACUGGUAACAACUAUCUCAGAUCUUAAAAGUAAGCUUACCAAGAGAUCCACCCAUGUACUGCUACCAACAAGAAUUGAGAACCCAAGAAGCACCUGCAAAUUUAAAGGAAGAGAAGAGAAAUAAAAAACAAACUAAUUUUUGGCCUUCAGACAAUGAAAAGAUUGCACAGCAAUAAUGAUAAGAUUUAACAGUAAGGUGCAAUCAGCCGCUCAAUGGUGACAGAUAGUCACUUUGAAUAAUAGGCCACUGAAGAAUCAACAAGAAAACUCACCCAUGGUAGAUAAGCUGCAGUGAAGGUAAAAAGGCCCAAGAAACUCAUGUGGAUGAAAGGGUUAUGUUUGCUCCACACAUAGACCUGCAACGUAAAAAUAAAAUAAAAUAAAAUGAAAAAUCCAACAAGGCAUUUCCAACCUAAAAUCAGAAAUAGAACUCUAACAACAAUAUGACAGUAGAUGGCAUUGCCGGAGCAUGCGUCAAGGGUUAAAUAGGGCGAAUGGUAGAUGCUGUACUGGGUGACUAACCAUCAUGAAAGUCAAUGAGUUGCUAAGGAAAAAAAUUUUGGCAAAAGUCUCGGAAAUAUAUGGUAUCAUCCCUCCAAUAAGAACAAUCCCAGUGAGAACAGUGGCACCGAAUAAGAGCAUGUAGAAAAAAUCCGCAGUCCGUCCCCUGAAUGAGUUUUCCUCAAGUAGUUUGCAGUAUCGUGCAAGGAAAAACAUGUGGAACAGAAAGUCCAAAUCUGGUAAGGAAAAUUAGUAUCAAUAAGAGUAACUUGUCAGCAAUAUAGUUUGAUAUUAAAAAUUGAUAAAAAACGAAUUUUCAAAAGUAAGAAAUAAAAAAGAAUAACAGAAUAUGUUUUGUGAAAACUUAUAUUAUGCAUCAAAGAUGAGAAGAUAAAGCAUUCUAUGUGUAACUUUAUUCCGAAUCAAAAUUUGAAGUGACGAAAAAGUCAUCAAAUAAUUUAUAUCAAAUAAAUUGAAAUGUAGAAUACUAACAUCAAAAUUUUGAAAGAUUAAAUAGUCGAAUCAAAAUGGUAUAUAGUUUAGAUACGUAAAUUCUUCACUUUUAUACCCCAACUUAAAUCAAAGAAAUUAGAGGUUGUGUAGGUAUUGUUUAAAAAUUAAAACAAAUGNAUAAGGCAGCGGCGGAGGCGGCGCAUAGGCGGCGGAGGCGUACGGGGAGAGAGAGAGAGAGAGAGAGAGAGAGGAGGCGAAUAGUAGAGGUCUACAGGGUAAAAAAAAAAUAGCGCUCGAUGGGACCCACGAUCCGAAAAUUCGGUUUGGCGAAGCGGCGGUUGAGCGGCGUAAGGUACGACCCCUACAGGGAGGUCGGUGGAGAGAGAGAGGGGGAAGGGAUUGGAGGGGGGAGUGGAGGCGCCAGAGAGAGGGGACCCACUGGUCAGAGAGAAAGGGGAAAAAAAAUAUUGGGAGCGGGGGAGUAGCACAGUACAGGGGGGACCCAUGGGUCAGAUGGUGAAAGAGGGGGAAAAAUUUUUUGGGGGGCCCACAUCACUGAAUGAAGGAGAAGCGGAGAAAUGGUUAAGGGUUCGCCCUUUAAUGUUACUAGUGUAGGUCCCACGCGUUGCCGCGGGCCAUUUGUGUAGGUGAAGAAUGAAGAAAUCACAAAUGUGUGAGAAAGAAAUUGUAAGAAAAAAAUUAUAGUAAAGUUAAAACUAUGUUAAGCAGAUAAAGCUCACUGUCAAUAAUUGAAAAUCAAGAUAAAGCUAAAAACAUCUAUAUAUUUGGAGCUCACUAUCAAUAGCAUGAUUACGGCUGAAAACAAAUUAAUAAUGUUCGAAUACAUAAAGCAUAUAUAUGAAAGUUCGAAUACAUAAAGCAUAUUAAAUGGUAAGAAUGAACAUUUAUAUAAGUUCCGAUACAUAUCAAAUGGCAAGAAUGAAAAUAGUAAAGAAAGGCUCAGAUCAUAAUAUAUUUUUUUGUCAUGAGGCAUUUUUUCCUUUUAAUGCAAAUUAAUUGGCUGAAGUGUUGAUGGCUGCAGCGGUUGCCUCUGGCCGUCCAAGCUGCCUUGCUGUCAACACAUUUGUAUGGCCAUGGAUGCAUGCCUCAGUUAAUUGGCACGCAUGGCCUUUUAAUUGCAUAUUGUUUCAAUUACAGGUAAUAUGCAUACAUAUUAGAGGGCAUAUUGCUUAAGUGACCUCUAAUGUGCAGAUAAUUGCAGGUAAAUUACCUACAUGCAAUUAGAAUUAAUUCAACCAAUAGUUGAUCUGCAUUGAGAUUUUUCUGCAGUUCAAUUAGAGUGAAAAUUAGAGGUAAAACCUUACCUCUGUGCAAUUUACCUCUACAUGCAAUUUACUUGCAUUGAGAUUUUCACUUGCAUAACAUCCAGUAAAAGCUUGUGUAGCGGCAAAAGACAGAGAGUUACAUGAAGACAAAUGAGAAAACAAAAUUUUGUUAUUAUACAGUAUAUGUUUUGGAAGAAGUGGGAAACAAUUAAACAAAAAGAGAGCUGAUCAAGGAACCAACCAUGAGAAUUCUUAUCUCAUCAAGAAGUUCAUGGCCUCUCUCCUUUGCUUGAUGUGUAGCAGUUUCAACAGAGAUCGCUAUAUCACCUAAUAAUAGCUGCAGAACAAAGUUACAAAAGAAGCGAACAAAAAAGUGGACAUAUUAUGCAAAUAAAAUAUCAAAAUAUUAUGCUAUCUCAAAACAUCAAAGAUAUGCCUUACAGUCGGCAUGUUAAGUUCAGGGACGUGUUGUGACAUAGAAAGGACAUCAGUAGCUCGGUCCUCAUCCCUCCAUUCUUUGUUUAGCGUUCAGAUAAAUUUGUCAUUACAAAGAAGCAACGACAACUCAACUUUCUCAUAUUUAUCAACAUCAUCUAUACAUUUGUCUCUAAAUUUAUAUUCGGAGUCUUUUAUGUCAUCAAAUGCAACUUUUAUUGCCCUGGCAAAAUCUAUUUGCAGCGUCUCUGCAAUACUCUACAUAAAUUUUACCAAAACUACAUAUAAAAUUGAUGUUCAUCAAGACAAUAAUCUAGUAAUUGAAGCAUAAGUUUGGGUAAAGAGCACCAAACAAACUUCUUCAUGAAAUGCCAAUAUGUUGCAUGAUAUGCUUAUCAUAUAUAUAAGGAAAAAAAAACAACUUGUAUAUAUAGGGGGAUAAAAAAAAAAAAAAAAAGACACGAAGUGAUCUGAAAAUUGAUAGUUUUCAAAUAAGAAUAAUUUGAGACUACUUGAUCGCUAGGUAAAUGAUGUUAUAAAAUCACGAAAUUUGAUUUUUAGUAAGUUAAAGUAAGUUUGAUUAGGUGGGUGAAUCUCCAAAACCUACGAAUCAUGCACAGUACAAUGAUUCACUCGCAAAUAUGUUACGCCGUUUAGAUUUUUCAUAAUCCUACGAUAAGUAAAACUCUGCACAAAUGUUGUACCUUCCUUCCUUGUGUAAUCCAGAGUUUCGGAUAUUCCCCGACAACUGAUCUAACAUGCUCAAUCAGGACAUGCCAUUUCUAGUACAGAGCGAGCACAAAUUAGUAAAGUUUCUCGCGGAAUUUCUUUUUGUGGCAACAAAGAAUGCUAAUUUGCGUCGUUAGAUCUUUACCUUUUCCUCGGCUCAAUAGAAGUGAACUGAUAUGCAGAACUUAUUGUUCUCCACAUAGGCACCUGGGAUUGAUUCCAUUUUCUCUGACAGUGCUUCAUAAACCUUAAAAAAAGAGAGCAAAAAACAUUAUAGCACAUUAUGGUAGAUGACACAAUGCAUGGCUUUGCUAAUAUUUCUCUAAAGCAGUUGUGGGCUGCGAUAAUAAAUUGACAUGCGAUAUAUAGCAGCUGCAUCAGUAAAAUUUGGUGACUAAAGUGAAACUCUGCCACAUGUUUAGGGAGAAUUGAACCAAGUGACGGGGUCCUUGUGUCAAGGCCUGUUACCGAGCACCGAUGUCGAGGACGAUGCACGUGGGCCCCACCACGGCGACGACGGUGGUUGAGCCCACGGUGUCGCACUUGCGCGCCUGAAGCUCGAAUCGGCACCGAAGGUUCCGGGAACCGCUUCCCUGGCCCGGCCCCUGCACCUCCGCGUCCAUCCUCGAGAAGCUCCGCUCCAUCACCUCCCUCCAACCCCCCUGCGUCGGCGACGAAGCCCCCGCUCUCAGCCGUCGAUCUCCUCCCCCACCACUUCGUGCAUCCGAUCCUUACACGACAUCGCCACCUAAGCAACGAAGACAUUCAUGAUUAGUUCGAAGGAUCGAGAAAGAAGAGUAGGAGGAGGAGGAGGAGGAGGAGUACUCACAUGAGAGCAUCCGUGGCCGUCGAAUACGCCGAAGAAAUCGAACCUCCCUCCCCGCACGAAAUCGGGGCGAAUGAACACGGCGUCCUCCAUCUCCCUCCUGCGUCCGCACACAGAGAUCAUCCUGAACCUCGAUCCCUCAUGAGCGCGCUCCUCCUCGAUCGAUCCCGCCGCGCGGGGAGGAUCCCCGCUCAAAUUCCCGCUCGAUCCGCUCCCGACCGUCCCGUCGCUCGCCCAGCGCUCCGGAUUCGACGCGGCUCCCUCCGCCCUCGGCCGCUUCCUCCUUGACUCCUCCGCGAUCUCCAUCAGCGUCGUAUUGUCGACCCCAAACUCCUCGGCGAUCUCCUCCGCGAUACUCUCGUGGGGCACCGAGUACCCGAGAUGCAGCUGCGGAUCCCGGCGGGGAGAUCGAAGAGACAGAGCGCGGAUUCCUGUGGGGAGAUCGGAGAGAGAUCGAAGAGAGAGAGGCGGGAUCGGAGAGAGAGAGAGAGAGGCGGGAUAGGAGAGAAAGAGGCGGUGGCCAAGAGAUCCUCGCCAGAUCUCACACCGGCGAGGAUCGUGCCGCGAAUCCCGCCCGGCAGGGAGAUCGGACGGCGGAUCGCGAAGAGAGAUAGAGAGAGGGGACAGCGCGGAGGGGAAAAAAAAACCCCGCAGAUCGCGCCGCGGAUCCCGGCGGAUCCGCGUGCCGCGUGGGGAGAUCGGAGAGAGAGAGGUGGGGAGCCACGUCACCCAUGCCCGGCCCGACUGGUCGCGCCAAGCACGCGCACCCGCUCGCGCCCGGCUCGCCCCGCCCGCCCGCCGACCACGCCGGCGCCCCCGCUCCUCGCUGGUGGACCCCACCGACCCUCGAAACGCCUGGAAGCUAGAUGCGAGAGAUCGGGGGAGAUCCUCGGCAGAUCUCCCCGGGGGAAUCAUGCCGAAUCCCGGCGAUCUCGCGAGGAGAUCGACGGCGGAGAGAGAGAGAGAAGAUCGGGAUUGGGGAGGGUGGACGUGGAGAGAGAGAAAGAAGCGGCGGGGCAACGCCAGCGGAAAAAAAAAAAAAGCGAAAACCCGCGACACCCCCACUGGUGGCCCCACCGAACCCGAAAAAUGCGGGGAGCGUGCCGUACAACUCGCCUUCAUUUGUUAUUGAUUGUUGAUAGAUGGACAAAAAAAUUUGGUCUAUUUGCAUUGAACAUUGGCUUAUGUAUUGGUCCUCAUAUGUUUGUUGAUUUAUUAGCAAUAUUAUUAAUAAGAUUUUGAUGAAAGUUUAUGACACGUUCAACCCUGCCAUGCAGGUUUGGCUAACAUGUACAACAGUAAUAUAUUGAUAGGGCGAAGUUUCAUCCUGAUUUUACAGGGAUACUUGUGUAGGAUUAAUAAGAUUAGCUAUAAUCCCUCUUCAAAAGUCUCAAAGUAAAAGAAUGUGUCAUCAUUGAUUCUCAACAAGAAGAAGCAGCUUUCAAGCGCAAACCUGUUUUCCAUCUUGAAAGGUCCGCUGGAACAUGGAAGCGACAAAUGAUUGCCCCCUCUUCAAAGGACGCCCUAUCAAUUACUCUAAUAUAAGCACGAAAAGUAGAACACUUCUGACAAGGACACGGCUCCUUAUGUGAGAAGAACACUCCUGAUCUUUUGUCCUCGUUUGAAUACUUUUACUGCGAUAGUACCUGUAAACCAAAUAUGUAUUGCAAGCUGCGUCCGGUCCUGUGCUCGUGUAAUAAUAAAAAAAAAUAGUUGGAAAGAUAUGGAACGACAUCCAGUCCCUUUUCGAAAAAUUAAUGUGUCAUCAUAAGUAAAAAAAAUGUCUCUCGUCUCAUUAGUAAUAUCGUAUUCCAUUUCUUGUAUAUAUUCGUUUCCAUCUUAUGCGUCACAAAAACCCUUCUAAAUCAAGAUGUGUGGUCCACCCUUUAUAUUGGGACAGCUUAUCGUAAAAAAGAAAAACAAUAUUCCAAAUUUGUAAGGAGGAAAUUUAUGAUACUUUAUAAGUUCUCAACUACAGCGAGACGCUUCAAGCCACGACCCUCGACCAAUGCAGCUGCCAAAUUCGAGUCGGUCUAGAAAUACCGAUAAAUAAGCCGUCUGCAAUCAGGAAGAGUCGUAUAGGUAUAUACCAGAUGAAUGUAAGACAGCAUAAUGCGAGAAAACAGAAUAUUGGCAUAUAGCCAGUAAUAUGAACUCAAACAUGGAAUCAAUAAUUGUCAUAAUCAUUAAUUACAAUAUAUAAGAGUAAAAAAGAGUUUUCAGGAAUUCACUUGGAUCAGACAACAAAGAGAAAAAAGACAGCCAUUAAAGAGGCACGCACGGAUGUUUCUAUAUGCAUCUUACAAAAUUCAGGUAUAAAUUGACUAAAGAUUUUAUGAUAUUUUGCAUAUCUUUAUCCUAGCAUCCGCCUACAAAAUUUAUUUUUUAAACAUAGAUUCGUCAUCGAUAAUCUUAUGCUGCAUUAAUAAGUAGCAUUAAAUAAAUAAUGGCAUAAGACUAUACCACCCCUAUUAUUAGCUUGUCUCGAACAAUACAUCUGCUUUGGUUUAUUCAAUUCAGGAAAUAGAUAAAUUGCAUAGAUAAUAGUUUAAUAUAUUGUAAUUAUUUUGUAAAUAGGAAAAGAAAAAUCUAUAAUAUUUAUAUUUUAUAUAAUAAAAUCCUCUAUAACAAUCUGAAAAUUAUACACACCGAUACUCCUUAUAUCAAAAGAUUCAUAAUUUCUAUAUAGAAAUAACUAAAUAUAAUACUGAUACUCUACAUACACACACCAACUUAUCUCCCACAGAACUAGGGUAUCCACUCCAGCAAAACUCGACUUUAAGGAAAAUGAUUGAAGAAAAUCACCUUCGGAGGAAAGAGACAGUAUAUGAAAAUUUCAGAUUUUUAAGCAGGGCCCACAUAAUUUUGCAAGGAUUAAAACACAAUGAAUAAGCCCUAUUCAUUUAAAGCUCAACCGGAAAUUAUGUUCUAUGUUUAAUUGAAUUGAACAAAAAAAGAAGGAAGAAAGAACACAUCCGUAGCUGUUACCAGGUUGAUGAGGAUAACCCAAAUUAGGUGAAUUCCUUAAGGUGCCCACGUCACUAAAAUAUCGUUACACCAUCCUCCAGAUGUUAGAUAUUAUGCGAUGCAAAAAGCGUUCAAAUGACAAUCAUAAACUUUCAAUACACUUUAAACUUGUUCAUGACUUAGUCUUUGUAAAUGAUGUAGAGAAGGGGCAUAAACCAGAAAUACCAGCGAGAGAACUCACGGCAUCGCGUUAUCUCGAGACAGAAAAUUACAUAAAGAAAACGGUCACUAUAAUAUAAAAUAUAAUUUUUAUAUAUUUUUUAAUAAUUAAUAUAUAUUAAUAAUUUAAUUUAAUAUGUAUAUAUUAAAUACUCAAAUUUAGAUUUACAAAAUUAUCUUAAAAUACCUAUUAGUAUUUUUAUUAUUAAGUAUUAAUAAGAGAUAAAGGGUAAAAAUGGUAUUUUGAAAAUUUAACUCCGUUUCAAAUGGGACCUAACGGAUCUAAACUAAUAGAGGGCAUUUAUGAUAAUUUUUACAUAUUUGGAGGGUAUUGGUGAUAUUAUCAAUUUUAGAAGGGUAUUGAUGAAAUUAAUAGUUUCUAGAAGGGCAUCUAUGAAAUUAUUCCUUUUUUUUUUUUGACUCAAUUACAUAACUUUUUCUUGCAUUUUAAACCUUGCCUCAUUUAUUUCAUACAUUAAAAAUUGCAACAUUAGCUUCUUGCACUUUAUCANNNNNNNNNNNNNNNNNNNNNNNNNNNNNNNNNNNNNNNNNNNNNNNNNNNNNNNNNNNNNNNNNNNNNNNNNNNNNNNNNNNNNNNNNNNNNNNNNNNNCCUUCUUUACUGCUUUUUCUUUCUAAAAUAAGAAAAGCAUGCCAUUCACUUUGGGGAUACACUGUUUAGUGUUAUUGCAUAACUUCUUUCUAAUUAUGCCACAUUUUCCACAACUCUGAUUUUUAAAAUAGUAUUAAUGAUAAAAAAAGACUUUUAAAAUCGGCCCCGAUGCGUUACAAAUUUGCGCCAAAAUGAUUUUAACUUGAUCCAACAUUCCAAAACAUGCUGUCAAGGAACUCAAGCUGCAAGUCUGCCAAUUUGCCAAAGUCCAGUAUAUUACACUUUUAAAUUUUGUGGUCCGAUUGGUACGAUCGUUCCUACCAGUUCCAAGCCCAUCCUUAGAUCUAAUUAUCUGAAAAUCUUUUUGUUCAGUAAGAGGCAUGCCUUGUACUAUCUGAAAUGUGGGAGGAAUAUCCUGCCCAUUUAAGAAUGAAGAUGUCCUCUUAUUGGACACCAUGUGAACACUAUCAAGAGAAAAAUUACAUUCAAAGAUAUGCGCAUUUAUGAUCCAUUAAAUUAAAGAUAUGUAUAUCCAUAUCUUUUAAUAAAUAUUUGAAGUUAAUAAAUCUAAAUUAAAGUUGUUCUGUCGAUUAUGCAGAUCUUGCCUAUUUAAAGAGAGGCAGAAAAAAGGGUUGUUGCCAUAGGUGAUUUUGUCUCUCCUUAUGGCUUUCAAAUGGUCUUAUGCAUCAUUUUGUUUGCUAUGGAUUUCAAUUCUCGUAGUUUGUCAGAAACUUGAUGGAACAGAGUACUAUCCCAAUGGAAGAGAAUGGGAGCGAUUAAGUCGUCUCAUGGACCCUCCAAACCGUAACAAUCGAGUACUUUAAUGCUUCUUUUGGUGACUUAUAAUGUUUAUAAUAAUUGUAGGAUAGGUCAUUCUUGUUUGAAUUGCUAGACAACUUGAAAUAUUUAGGCACACAAUACUAGAUCGACUUAAUGGUUAGCAUGUGUUAAUCAACGUUCAACACUCCAAAAAUAAAUAUACUCAUUUGAUCAUUAGUAGAAAUUUACAUGAUUAUACCUAACCCUAUUGGCCAAUUCAACUAUUCAAUACUAAAAUAUUUAUUUUGAUUGAAGUGUAAUUGAGAGCUAUUAUUAUAUAAAACAAGGACCAAGAAUAGGCUAUGAUUAAUAGCUUGUACCACAGAGUCAUUUUGGGUGUUCGAGAAUUUGUUUUGACAACUAACAUCAUUGAAUAUUUUUGGAAUAUUUGAUCUUCUUGAGAAUCAAAUUUCAUAAUCUUUUAAUUUCACUUUCGAUUUUAGAAGUUACAAUUUUAAUUACGUAUAUAAGGUGUUUUUUGCAUUUAAUAAAGCAAAAUGAUUUAAAUGGAUUGAAUUUUCCAUAGAAAUUCUUUUAAUUCUCUAGAUCAAGAUCUAUUAUCCUAAUCAUUAAUUUAAUGAUCUUUGCUCUUGUUAUUUGAAAGUUGUUCAAUUUUGUGUAUUUGUUACGCAGCCACUUGAUAAAAAUGAAAAUAACUUUCACAAAUCACAAAAUUAAAUUCUAAGAAAGGUCAAAUACCGAAGAUUAUAUUCAACGGUCUUAACUAUGGAUUUAGAUGUUUGAUCAUUGAAAACAAGUCUAUAGCACAAGGGAUUUGGCAAUAUUAAUAGCACCGUAGCUCUACUCCUCAAUAAUCAAAUUAUUUACACAUGAAUUGCAAUUAUUAAUUAUUGAACCUCUCUUGAUUGGGAGGCUCAUACUUUUUUUAUGGUAAUGGUGAAUAUACUAGGUUUUUAAUGGAUUUGGAUCAUUCAAGAAAUUUCUAAUAAAAUUAUAUUCAUAGUUUGAAGGCUAUAACAAAGAAGAUUCAGGUGAAAGACGCAAUUCAAGCAGGACUAUUCGUACACAAUCAUCAACUUUCGAUGAUGAACCACCUGACCAUGAGCGUCAUGUAAUUAUCUUAACUUUUUUCAUAUUUAUAACUGUUAUAUUUGGUUUAGAUUUGUAGUUGCCUAAAUUAGAGUUAAAUUCUAAUAUAAUUGGGAUUAGAUAUAAUUUAGAUUUAAUUUGGCAUAUAUGGACUAUGAGUCGGAAUCUAAUUUCAAACUGAAUUAGAUUAGACUUGUAUUUAGAAAUCCAAUUAGAUUAGAGUUCUAAUCAGACUCUAGUUUGAAGCAACAUCCUAUAUAUAUAUGCGGCCAAGUUAAUGGGUGACGAAAUUUAGCCAUGCACUAAUUAAGACAUUGAUGUCCGUACCGUCAAGGAGCCGCGGCCCUGUUAACACGACAUGCUAAUUAAUGAAGGAUCGAGGCAUGUUGUUGGUCUGUACAGAUGGGUGAGAGAGAGAAGUCCUUCGUUUUGGAGUUGCUUGUUGCGGCGUUUUCGAUCUAAUUAAGCUUUCGUCUUUUGAGAGAUUUUUUUUUGUAUUCCGUCUUUUCGACAUUAAUAAAUUAUUUGCUCCGUUUUUGUCCGUGGACGUAGGUCGUUGGCCGAACCACGUAAAUAUCGUUGUGCUCUUUCCUUAUCUUUUCUUUUCCUGUAUUAAGUUAUUUUUUGGAUCUAUUUUUCGCCACUCCGAUUUUAACAAUAACUAAACAACUUAAGAAAGUUUUAAUUGUUUCAAAUAAAUUGUUUAAUAAACUUUUUGCUUUGUAAUUUCCAGAUAUGAUUUUAUUUUUCAGACCAAAAGACAUUUUGUUUCCUUAUAAUUUGUUUGUUAAUUUGAAUGCUUUUGUAUUAAAAACAUUCUAAUAAAAUUUUAGUAGCUAGAAAUUAUGUAAAUAACUAGGCAGAUCAAACUAAAGAUUUUUUGUGAUCGCAAAUAUAUGUAUAAGGCCGAAUUGCUUUUUAAAGUUUUUAUAUUAUAGAUUAUUUUGAUAGUUCUUUUAUAUGCAUAUAUUAAGUAUUAUUGACAAGAACAAGUGUAAUUUUGGAUUUUUUUUCCUUCCUCUGUAGUGGGCUAUUUAUCGCACAGUUGAUGAUCAAUAUUAUGGCACACAAGCUAAAAUAAAUCUAUGGGGUCAUCCAAAUCUAAAACCUCAUCAGAAAAAUUCGGCUGCGAUAUGGAUUAUGAACUAUGAAAAAAUCCCAAAUGUCAUAAUGGCGGGAUUUCAAGUAUGUAAUAGAAAUUUUUCUAUGUAGAUAUGUAACUUCUUAUUCCUAUAUAUUGUGAAGAUUGUCCUAUAAAUAUUAUGAUUUGCACUUUGGUGCUUUUAAAUUUUUUUUCUAUUUUUCCCCUCAAAUCAAUUUUUUAAAAAAUUUUGAUACAUUUUGGGCCAAACAUAGAUAUUUUAAAAUCAUCAGAAGGUAAAGUGCAAAUCACAAUAUUCAUAUAACUUUAAUUCAAAAUAUAUCAAUAAUUGUCAUUUGCAAAUGAUUUCUACAUUUGUUCAUGUAAAACAAUAACAUAUUUCUAAUAAUAAAAAUAUUCAUGUCGAUUACAAAUUAUUGCAAUAAAAAUAAUUAGUUAAUUUCUCUCUAUCUUUUUGAAAACGAGUUUUUAAAUAUGGGCAUAAAAUCUCGAACAAAGAUUAAUUCCAAAAGACUAAAACUUAUUAGCAUUUUCAAAAACAUUGGUUGCAGGUAUAUCCUGAAUUGUAUAAUGAUAGCAAGCUUCAUUUCUUCACAUUUUGGACUGUAAGUAUGAAAUUAAUUUUCUUUCAACUACAUAGCAUGCAUAUACUCAAACUGUAAGGCAGGUUAUCUUUAAUCUCAAAUCUUUUUUUUAUUCUAAUUUCAAUUUCAAAUAUUUAAUCAGAAGCGUAGUAAUCAAUUUAUUAACAUUUAAUAAUAAAAAGAUAAUUUGAAAGUAUUAUAACAUUCUAACCAUUGCCAUAUUAUCAAUCAUAACUAUCAUGAUAAUGCGACAACAACAUGACAUACUAAUUAUUAUUGCAUUAACUCUACAUCAUUAGGGGGAAAAAGAGAAAAAUAUUUAUUUGCGUCAACCGUCAAAUGCACAAAAUCAUCUAUAAACCACUAAAAAUAUUUAUUUGAUGUACUAAAAUGGGUGUCUACCUUAUAUUUGAUAGAUUAUUUAGUGCAUCACAAAUAAAAUUUAUUUUGACACAACAAAUUUUUUAAGAGCAAUGCUCCUAUACACCAAAAACAUCUUAACCAUUAAAAUUUUUUAAAUGGACAGCCAAGAUGCACCCUUUAAAAGAGGAUGACCGGUAUUUGAUACCAUCGGUACCGGUCAACUCUUAACAGGGCAAAUUUUUUUUUUUCAACAAGGGCAUUUUGAUAAAUUUACAUCUUAUAACAUAUCCUCUUUAGCUAGAAAGGUUUGGCGUUACAAGUAAGGAAGGUGUGUAAUUACCUUUCCUAAAUUAACUUUUCUUUACUAAUAUAUUGCAUUCAAAUUUUAAAUAAAAAAUGAUAUAUUAUUGAAAUCAUUUAGUCUACCCCUUAAACUCGAACCUGACUUAAACCAAGGUUAAAAGUUUAGCCAAUUUUGAAUUUAUUUGUAUGAUUUGAUUAUGAAAUAAACUCUUAAAUUUGUUUCUAAUUUAAAAUUUUUUGCAUGGAAAAUUAUAUGUAAAUAUAAAAUAUUGCAACUGAAAAAUUAUAUUAUACAAUUUCUUAGUAAUUGAAUAUGAAAUAUUAUCCCCAAGUGAAUGUUUGAAAGUUAAUUUUCAAACAUAGAAUAAUUUAAUUUAAAUAGUUAACAAAUUUUAUUUUUUUAACUAUAAUAUAAACUAAAUCUAAAUUUAAAAUUUAAUUUUAAUCAAUAUUUUUGAACUUUAAUAUUGUUUUUACUAUCGAAUGAACAAUUUGAAUUUAAUUUUAAAAAUAGAAGCCUUUAAUUUAAAUAAAAAAUAAAAGUUAUGUUUAUAAAUACAGCAUAAUUUACAAUUUCAAAUAAGUUAAUUGUUAAUUUGAAAUUUCGUGUCAUUUUAAUAUCAAAUUAACAAUUUGAUUUGAAAUAUACUAAUCAUUUAAACAUAAAUUUUUUCAUUCAGAAAAUUAAAAUUAAAAUUAAAUUUGAAUUUAAUAUACACAAUUAUAAAGUUUAAGCUCAAAUUUAUUUUUAAAUUCAAUUUUAUAAAGAUUUAUUACUUAUCAAAUUAGUACUAUCUAAUUUGGUAAGUAACAAAAUUAAACAAGGAAACAUAUAUUUGUGUAGGGUUGAUUAACUUUGGUAAUUAGUUUUUAUUUAUUUUCCCAUAUUACCCUUACGAAUAGUAACCUGUUGAGCAGGUUACUACCUGGUGUAUUGAAGCAUUUCUCAUUUUUUAAUGCAUUAGAAACUUAUUUAUCUUUUAUUUAUGGCAAGUAGACAAUUUGAUUCACCUUGUUUCAAGCAAUAAUACUCCUGUAUAUCUUCUUCUUUUUAUUGAUAUGGUACUAACACGGCAAUAAUGUAACAGGUACUAUGGUUAAUAGCUAUAUGAUGCAUGAUAGAACAAUGUAAUGAAUUAUAACUACUAAUUUCAUAAUUAUAACUAACACCACAAUUGGACUAAAUUGCAGUAAUUCGAAGACUGAGAUAGAAUUUAUAAUAAAUUAAAGUAUGGAAACUAAAGUGUCAUUCAUCCUAGUAAUUUAAGGACCAAAUAUCCAAUUUAGCCUUUCUUUUAUAAUCAAUACUUCUUUUUCUUUUUCUGUGCAGGCAGAUGACUAUAACUUAACCGGUUGCUUUAAUCUUCGAUGCAAAGGUUUUGUAGUGGCUAAUUGGAAUAUACUUACACCAGGAGAUGUGAUUGAACCUGUAUCAACUUAUAAUGGUGAUCAAUACUUCAUCACAAUUAGCAUAAAAAAGGUUAAAUGAAUUUUCUUUUCUUUGAGACAUUUAAUAUUUUAUUUCAUAUUACUCAGUAGGAUAGAACAUGGAGUCAUUUAUAUUUGAAGAUAUUUAUUGCUUAUAAUCAUAUUUGAUUAAAUUUAAUAAUAUAAAUAGAAUAGAAUUAUAAUUCAAUGAAAAACAAACGAAAGACAAAAAAAAAAAAAAAAAAAAAAAAAAAAAAAAAAAAAAAAAAAAAAAGAGGGUAGGAAUUUAGUUAUGCUAUAGAGUUAUAGCACGCAAUUACACAAAUGAAAAAAUUUUUGGAGUGAGAAGAGUAGUAGACAAAUGGUGCAUGAUCCGUUAAAUAGUGUAAAAAAAAAAAAAAAUUGAUCUUAGUGUGUGAGUUGACAUUAAUAGUAUUUGGGCGAAAAAAAAAAUCUGGCUAUUUUGCAUAAAAAUAUCACUAUUGUUAAAAUUUUUUUUUAAAAAAAUAGCAUCCUUCUUUUAUUUUUAUAGAUUUUGAUUUAAUUUUUCGUAAUAUGACCAAAAUAAAAAAAAUUUAUUCUGUUUCGGGUCUUUUUAGCAAUUUUUCUCCACUGGCUUUUUCUCUCCUCUCCUCCUCGCUCCUCCACCAACUCUGCUAUACUACGGUCUCCUGUAAACUUAAGAGUAGCGCGUUUAAGCUUCAAAGCUCUAUUUGGAGCAUCAAUAUCUUUAUUCCGUGGUGAUGCUCUCAUAGUUUUACGGGAGAAUUUGUAGUUUGGCUAGAUGAGUAUGAUUAGGUGGCUGCGAAACGAGGCCGGGAGCUCGAGGCGAGUCACUUUUUCAGCUCAAAUAUCAGCUUGAAAUUAAAUUUCGAGCCAAAGAACUAGGGCUCAAGCCGGCGCUUGAAAUUAAAUUCGGCCGGCAGCUCGAGACGAGGCCUAAUUCGAGUCGAGCCGAGCUCGAGCUCUAAACGAGCCUAUUGAAAUUGUCGAAUGUAUAUAAUUCAAUAGUUUAUUUUUUAUAGAACAUUACCUACAAUUUGAUGCAAACAUGUCUAAUAGUUCAAAAAUACAAAAUAUUGUAAAAAAUGUUGAGUUAGAUGACGCCCUGACUGGUGUGAGGGUCUGAGCCUAGUUAGUAAAUUUUCGCGAAUUAUUCGGCGGAAUUAUUCGCCGAAUUAUGUGAAAAUCCAUCUAAACCGGUCGUCUUUACGAUUUUUUUCGAAAGAAAGAGAAUUAUUCGCGCGAAUUUUCAUGGGGCCAGCCCGAAUUAUUCCGCGAAUAAUUCUUGCCGACAUAUUGCCGAAUUAUUGAAAUAUGGAAUAAAAAAAAAAAAAAACUGUAUAAUUUUAUUUUGUAAAAUAUAAAUUAUUUUUAUUUUAUAUCUUAUAUUUUAUAUUUGUAUACUGAAAUUCGUUUUUAAGCCGAAUUUUUCAACGAAUUUAAAAAUAGAAAAUGAAUUUUAUACACGUAUUAUAUUCGGUAUCGAAUUAUUACCAAAUCGGCGCAAUUAACUAACUAUGGGUAGUAGAGAGAGGAGAGAGAGAGAAAGAGAGAGGGGAAAAAAAUUAGGAAUUUGAAAUUUGAAUGUUAUUAUGUUUAGGGUUAUGUGCAACAGUGAAAGGUCUGAAAAAGAGUGGUGUACAUGUUAAAUUUAGACGUUUGGCUCAAUUGCCACGGUUGUCUUAAUUGGGUUUAUUUUAUGGCCAAGCCAAAUAAAUUAAAAUAAUAUAAUCAUUAUAUUAGUUUUAUAUAAGUAUAGUAGUAUUAGUAUAUCUAUAUAUAUAUAUAUAGUAUAUAUAUAUAUUAAUAUUAUAUAUAUAUAUAUAUAUAUAUAUUUUAUAUAAUAUAUAUAUAUAUUCGAGCUUUUCGAGCUUUUCGAGCCUAAUUCGAACGAGCCGAGUAAUACUCAAGCUCGGCUUGAAAUGAAUUUCGAGCCUUUUAUUUUGUUCAAGCUCGGCUCAUUUAAUUUCGAGUCGAGCUCGAGCGAGCCGGAUAUCAAGCCGAACACGAGUCGAACGCGAGCCGGCUCGCUCGUUUGCCAGCCCUAAGUAUGAUUAUAUGUCUAGAAUUUGGUAUUAUAUUCAGCCUUUAAAAUUUUUUUUGUGAAUAAGAUAAAUCACUUUGUAAGUAGGAUGUGCUAUCCUACUAAUAAUGAAUAUCAAGACCUUUUAGGUUAUGUUUGAAGGCAUGAAUAUAUCGUUCAGUGAACCUUUUUAAUUUGUUCAAUAAAUUUGUAUGUUUAAUUAAUAAGAAGUGUGAUCAAAUGUUUAGAAUAAAAUAUCACAUUCAGGCUUUAAUUUUUUUUUUCAAGAAAAAAAUAAAUUAUUUCGUAGAUGAAAUAAACUAUCUCAUCAAAUUAUAAAUAGCAAGAUCUACAUAAAUAAAAACCAAACUAUUUACUUAUAACCAUACUAAAAAAUCCUAAUGCGGAAUAAGUUAUUCAAAUAUAACUUAUUUCGAUAUUCAAACAGAACUUUAAAAAAUAAAAAUCAAAUUUAUUUUUUAUAAUUACACUAAAAUAUUUUUAUACAAAAAAACAGUUUUGAAUAAUUUAUUUUGACCUCUAAAUAAGACGUAGGCGUAUCUAACGUUAUUAGAUAAAAUAGAGUUGGGGUAAAAAAAAUAUAGUGAUAUAUUUUUGCGCUCUCCGGUGGGACUACAUAAAUAUAUUGUAACCAACUAAUUACGAUAUGCGGAACAUGAUAUUAUGUAUAAAAAUAAAAAAGAUAUUUUUUUCAUCGUACUUUUUUACUAAAAAUAACACAAUCUCGCCGCAAUCUCAAAUGAAGCUAUAAAAUUUAAGCAAAUUUUUGCUUCUCAUUUGGAGUGCACAUUCUAAUAAUUUAACUUGUGUGCUCUUUAGUUCGUACUAUUUUUUGUUAGAUUAGGGUAUUUGGGUUCACCAAACAUCCUUUUUGGUAGUUAUUGUGUUGUCGCAAAUUUUUUUUUAAUGUUUAAUAAAUUAUACAGAAAACAUCUUCUAUCUUACAGUUUAAAAACAAAAAUUACUUAGGCAGUGGGCAUUUUGGGUAACCCGUGGGUACCUACAGAUACCCGCACAUAUUUUUUUAAUUACAAAAUAUAUUUUUUAAUUAAUAUAUAUUUUUUAUUUACUCAUUUUAAAAAUUCUAAUCCUAAUUUUUUAUUGCGUGUCUUUUAUAUUAUAAAAUAUUUUUGCUUUAAGGCUUUAAAUAUUUUUAUUGUAUGCUAUAAUAUUUUAAACAAUGAAUUAUAUUAUGCUUUUAAAACUUAUAUAUAUGUGUUUUGCACUUAAAAAAUAUAAGAGCAAAAAAAAAAAAUUACGGGUAACCCACAUACCCACCCGCCCACUCGUGGGCGGGUAUGGAUAAAGAUGUUGGCUAUUAAAAAAUUUACGGAUAAAUUUUAUCCAUACUCAAAUAAUCCGCCUACGAGUUACCAAACCCGCCACUUUGCCAAGUUCAGUUAGUACGAUAUGCUAUCCUUACAAAUAACGAAUAUCAAGAUUUUUUAGGUUAUGUUUGAUGCAUGAAAAAUAUAAAAUAUAAAAUAUAAAAUAUUUUCAAAUUUGAAAAAAAAUAAAAUUUAGAAUUUAAAAUUAUAAAUUUGAAUUUGAGAUUACAAAUUAUAAAUUUUAAAAAUUUAUAUUUAAAUUUUUAAUUUUUAAAUUUUAAAAGUAAAAAUAGGGGUGGGAACAGCUGUUCCCAACCUUAGCGGAUUAUCCAAAAAUAAUAAUUUAAAAUUAAUAUUAAUUAAAUUAAUUAAUAAUUUUAAAAUAUAAAUUAAAUUAAUUAUAAUUAAAAUUAAUUAUGAGAGUUCAAUUAAUCUUGUUUUCGCUUAUUCUAGGGAUAAAAGUGGAACAGUAAUUUCAGCAAAUUAUAUCAGCUUAUUUUAGAUAUCCGGAAAUUAUUAUUCUCGGAUACAAAAUUAAUCUUUUGAUCCCCAUCCUUAUUUUGGCACCAAUAAGAUGUUAAAAAAAAUAUAAAAUAAUUAUUACAUAUUUUAAAAGAUAAUAAUAUUUUUUAAUAUUUAUAUUCAAAAGAACUAACAUAUUGGUGGCGACGGAUUUAUGACGGUGCAACCAUAGGGUACAAUUGUACAAAAGUUUAACUUUUCCCUUCCUUUCAAAUAGAGAAACGACAAAAUGUGAAUAUUUCAAACCCUGUAGGAAUAAAUUGAAUCUCACACUUGCACAUCUAAUUUACCUCUCUCUUACGCACCCAUGAAGCAUCCAAAGUUACCUUUGAAUGUUCGUUUGAUUCAAAAGUAUUUUGUAAAAAAUAAAAAUUCGUAGAAAAUUUUUUUAUACUUUAUAAUAUUUAAUUUAUAAAAAAAUAAUUUUUUAUUAAUAUUUAUUUGAUUGAAAGGCAAAAUAUUCAUAUUUAUUUAGUCCAGUAAAAAAAUAAAGAAAAAAAAAUUUACGCAGUUCGAGUUUUCGCUUUCGGUCGAAAAACAGUAAAAAAAAUAUAAUUUUUAUUUUUUUCAAAUUUAUAAAAUACAUAUUUUUAUAUCGAGCUAAACAAACGAUAAAAUAUUUUUCAUACUAAAAAUAAAUUUUCAUUUCGUUUUACGUGGAACGGGAACAAGAGCCAAGCCUGAUACUGUGUGGUCCGUACCAACAGCAGCAGCUCCCAUCAUCCAGGCUAGCCACUUUCCAACUCCCAUCUGCUUCUCUUGUGCCUCCUUCCCAUAAAAGCACAGGGAAACCCUUCUUCCACCGCCACCAGCUGUACAGUUUUUCUCCAUUCAUAUGUGAGAAAGAGGAAAACACCACAUCUUGAAGACGUUUUUUUUUUUUUUUUUACUCCCAUCUCCUACCAACAGCAAUUGGCAGCAGCAGCAGUACAAAUAACAAGGGUUUAUAAAUUUGAGAGAGUUAAAAUUCGCGAGAGUUAAAAGAGUCCUUUCAUUUCCCCAUUUCCCUUAAAUAAGAAGAGAGAGAGAGAGGGGAAAGAGAGAGAGAGAGGGGGGGAAAUGGCUUCUCUCUCUGCAGCUCUCUCUCACACCCUAUUCCUUUUCCUCAUCUGCAUUGCUUGCUUUUGCUCUGCCCACAAAUCAGCUUUUGCUCAUGUGGGUUCUCCUCUCUCUCUCUCUCCUUUUCUCACUCAAUCAUAUUGUCUGCUAAUUUGGCUUGUUUCUUACAUGGGUUUUACUGCAAUUUGGGUUCAGGAGGAAGAGAGGUGGCCUCUGGCGGCGCCGGCGCAGCGGCGGCUGCGGUCGGUUUUGCUCAAUCAAACCGAUUUACGGGGCCGGCGGCUCACCGGGAGCUUCCAGCUCUGUGCUCUCUGCACUUGCUGCGGGGGGCCGAGAGGGCUCUGCCUGCCUUCCCCCUGCUGCUAUGCUAUCAACUGCAACAUACCCAACAGGCCCUUCGGAUUCUGCUCCUUCACCCCGAAGACAUGCAACUGCUUUGGGUGCCAUCUCUAGUACUCUUCUUCUUCUUCUUCUUCUCUCACAUUAUAAACUGCUUCCUAUUUCCAUUUGCUUAGUUGUUAGUAAGUUACUUAAUGUGGUGGGAAUGUCAAUUGUGAAUAAAGGGUGGGUAUCUCAUUUUCUGGGCUUCUCUUUUUUGUUGUUGUUAGUAUAAUGGUUUAUAUUGUGUUUUUGAUUGCAUUGGAUUGGACGUUGUCGACGAGUCGCGUAAGAUUAAUUAAUUUUACAUCUAUAUAUUGGAAGUAAGUGAUUUCUUCUUGAAAUAUACAGGAUAUAGCUGUGAAGAUGUUAUACAAUGUUAUGCCACUUGCUUAGUGUGUUAUUAGUCAUUUUGGUGGGAGUGUUAAUUGUGAGAAGAGAAACAUCCAUUCCCUAUCCUUUUUGUUGCCCAAAAGACAAUCUAAUUGAAAACGAAGCAGGAUUAGUCUUAAACUCCUUUCAUGUGCAUGGUGAAUAUCAGGUGGAUCAUACCACGUGCACUGACUGAAGAGGUAACAAAAGAGACAAAUGAAAUAAUGGACGAGAAUAAUAACCGUCAAAUAAUCGAUGUGGGAAUCGAACUUAGAGACUUUUUGAAACAAAGGCGCUUAGGACCGGCUCUGAGACCAUGUUAUCCAAAAGAUCGAUCCGGUAGGAAAUGACCUAGGAUUAGUCUUAACACUUUUCAUAUGCGUUUGAAUCAAGUGUUUAUAUAGUGUCUUGCAUAUGCAUUGCAUUGGACUUUGUUAGAAAGUUAAGUGUUGUUAAAAACUUAACUAGCAAUGUUUAGGGUGGGAAGUAGAUGUUUUGUUCUUAAAACAUUUACAGGGGAGUAAUGUUGUGGAAAUAAGAGGAAGAUAUAAUGAGAUAGAGAGGGGUUAUUGUGGAAGGGUGUUGGGGUGUUGUCAAUUUGCAGUAGUUGUACAUUUGUAUUGCCAACCAGAAAUGCUAAAGGUGGGUGGGAGUUGGAUGGGUGCAUUAAUGCCUUUUAAUUAUGCUGUUGUGCUAGGUUGUAUAAUUAUUGUGAAGUUGGGCUAUUUAUGUGGUUGCUUACUAAGGGGGCUAUUAAUGUUGUUGUUUUUUCUUCUUUCUUUCUACUUUGAACAUGGUCCAUAGUGUGAGGGCAUCAAGGUAUUUCAAAAGAGAGAGAUGGUUGAGCCUUGUGGCAAAGGGAAGUGUUAUUAGUACACUCGGUUUUUUUUUUGAAACCGGCCAAAUUCGGUCGGUGCGUUGUGACCGUAUUUGACAUUUAAUGAAUCUAUUUUUCAAUAUCAAGAUCUCAUAUGUUAAUAGCAUCAGACCGUGCUAAUACUUUUUUCCAUGCUUUGUAAUGAGUGCGCGACCUUGGGAUUAAAUUGCUAAACCUCAUUGAGACUUUCCUGUAGUGCGUGUAGGGUUUGAGGUUUAACUCAAAACUUUUGUGUGGCCGAAAGAGGUGACAUUGAUAAAUUGUAGAAUUCAACUAACUUGACAGAUGAAACAAAAAAUGUAGCUUCUUGUUGGCUUAAAGGGGUUCGAACUGGCAGGAGGUUAGUUGGGCCGAGUUACAAUCGAGAUCCAUGGGCGCUGUGUCUGAAUUGAUUGCAUCUUUUUAACGGCUUAAGUUUUUAAAUUAAUGGUUAGCGCCAACGAUCUGACACUUCCAACGGAGCUGGGAUCAAGGAUAAUUACUGACCUUGCUUUAGAUAAAUAUGAAGUGCCCCUCACUGUAAAAAUUCUCUAAAAAGCGAAUCUUCAAAAUGAGCGUUUCCAAAUGAUCUUCGCAAAAAAAAAAGAAGAAGAAGUACGAACUCCUAUAUCUGGAAAAUCAAUAGCUGAGAUAGGUACUGUUCCAUGCAUGUGAAUUCCCCUUGAACAUGGUGGGCCAAAGUGACCCCACACUCUUUUACUGCAUCAUCUUGUCGCCAUUCAUUCAUGCUAUUGAAUUCACACUUCAGUGAAUUCUAGGAAUCUCAUUGACCAAAUUGUGGAAUUGUUUUGCUUCUCCAUGUGCAUUGUUGUGAAGAACCCCUAGAUGCAUGCGGUGCCAACACUUCAAUUAUAAUACCAUAAGUUUAUCAUAGCACACACUUUGGGGGCAAUUGCACUCAAUAAGUAUCAAUGUCUCAAACUAAAGCUUGUUGUUCCUGUCCCCCCUGAACCCAUAUAAAGCUCCUAAUUUUAUUGCCAUAAAUCAAUGGAUUAGUACUCAUUGCUGUCAUUUUAAAGUGCUUCAGCUGUCAUCUUGUUGAGAAGAGCUUGGCAUGUGGUGUGCAUGUGGCUUAUCAGAUUAAUAAAAUAAACCAUUCUUGGUAGGUAGCAAGUUGUGUUACUGCAUCUAUGCCCUCUUUUGGAGGCAAGAGUAGGAGAGAAAAGAAGAGAGAAUAAAGAAGGGAAUUAAAAAGAGAAAAGAGAAAGGAAGAUGAUUUUCUCUUCUGUUGUUCAGAUGUAUAGAAGUGAAACAAAGAGAAAACAAACUUUUAAUGGGGUUACAUCUCUUUUUCUCCAAUUUUAGAGGGGGGAAAGUGACCAUUACAGCUUGUAUUCUUCUUUCAGAUUUUAUUUUUCUCCAGCUUAAUUUAUCCUUCUACAGAGAGGAAUGAUAGAAUCUUUUCUGUUGUCUUCUUACAUACACAUAUAGACCUAGGCUGGCAUACUAUCGGUAGCAUAAAAGCGUCUGUGUUACCGAGUUGUUUUCAAUAAUAUAGCUUUCAAAUCAACGAGCAGCUCUGUUAGACUUGAUCUAUACUAUUGAAAUUAUUUGGAAACUAAAUUUCAUAAUUUUUCGAUAUCAUUUACCUAUCAAACGAGUAGUUUAAAAAUGAAUGGUUGCAAAUAAAAAUCUCAUAAAAAAUAAUGAUAAAAGAUCUGAAUUUAAGAUCAGAGAUACUGAUCUUACUCUAAAUAGUGAAAAGAAUUUUUUAUAAAAAUUUCAUUAGAUUUAGAUUGUUUUAUACCGUUAAAUUUACAAACGCAUUAUAUCGACAAUUAAAAUUGUCAAUUUUGAGACUUUUUGAUCACUAGUUAAAUGAUGUCGAAAAAUUAUAAAAUUUAGUUUCCAAAUAUUUUCAAUAGUGUAGAUCAAGUCUAACGGAGUCGAUCGUUGAUUUGGAAGCCGCAUCAUUGAAAAAAACUUUUAGCAUAGAGGCCUCUGUGCUACUGAUAGUAUACCCACCUCUCUCUCUUUCUCUCUCUCUAUAUAGAGAGAGAGAGAGAGAGAGUAUAUAGAGAGAGAGAGAGAGAGUAGGUCUUGUGCGCUAUUAGGAGUACGGAGGCCUCCAUGCUCCUAAGCCGUUUUCGAUAAUGGAGCUUCCGAAUUGAUGAUCGGCUCCGUCAGACUUGAUCUAGUAUAUUUGAAGUAUCUAGAAAAUAAAUUUUGUGACUUUUCGAUAUCAUUUACCUAACGAUCGAAAGGGUUCAAAAUCAACAGUUGAAAAUAAAAAUCUUACAAAAAGUGGUGAUAUAGUAUGAAAAUUUUCGAUCAAAUAUAUUAAUCUUUCUGUAAAUAGUAUAAAGAAUUUUCUAUCAAAAUUUCAUCUGAUUUGAACACUUCUACACCGUUAAACUUGCAAACGGUAUACAUCAACCAUUAACAAUUGUUGAUUUUGAACCCUUUCGAUCGCUAGGAAAAUGAUACCGAAAAAUCACAAAAAUUAUUUUCUAGAUAGUUCAAAUACGUUAGAUCAAGUCUAACGGAGCCGAUUGUCAAUUUGGAAGCUCCAUUAUCGGUCGCCUUUAUACUCAUAAGUCGUUUUCGAUGAUAGAGCUUCUGAAUCAACGAUUCAUAUCGUUAAACAUUAUUUAGAGCAUUUAAAACUUCUAGAAAUCAAAUUUUAUAAUUUUUUAACAUCAUUUAUCUUACGGUCAAAAUAUCUUAAAAUUGACAAUUUUUAACGGUCGGUAUGAAAUAUUUACUUGUUUAACGGUGUAAAAGUAUUGGAAUCGGUUGAAUUUUUUAUAGAAAAUUCUAUUCACUAUCUAGAUAAAGAUUAAUAACCCCGAUCUUAAAUUGAAGGAUCUGAUCAUUUAUUUUUAGAGCGUCGUUUGAUUUUGACCAUUCAUUUUAUGCCCGCUUAAUAGAUUUUAUUAUAAUUUCAAAAAAUUACGAAAUUUAUUUUUUAGAAAAUUUUAAAUACUCUAGAUCAUAUUUAACGGAGUGGAUUGUCGAUUCAGAAGCUCCAUCAUCGAAAACGACUAAUAAGUACGAAAGAUUUUAUACUCAUAAGAGUAUAGUAGUCCUACUCUCUCUCUCUCUCUCUCUCUCUCUCUCUCUCUCUCUCUCUCUCUCUCUAUAUAUAUAUAUAUAUAUAUAUAUAUAUAUAUAUAUAUACUAUAUUUUUAUAAAUAUAGAUUUAUUUGUACUUAUAAAUUUUCGAUCGUUAGAUUUAUUCUUUUGACCUUAAUUUUUAACUUUUUUAAAACUAAAAUUUUUUUAUGAAAAAAAUUAUUACAUUUAAUACCUAUAUCAUAUUUGUUGUUUUAUUUGCUAGAAAUAUAUAUAAAAAAUUUAAUUAAAAUAAGUUCAAAAUACAAUAAAUUGAACAAAAGUUUUGAGCUAGAUGGAAAUAUAGAAAGAAAACCAGCUCCUAAAAGUGGAGAUGGGAUAACACAGUGGACAAAGUCCAGGAAUUAAUUUGAUAAGAAGCCCCAACACAAGUGCACUUUUAAUAGGAUACGGAUACUCAAAAUUUUAAAAAUUUUAUUCGAAUCUAAACUUGAAUAGAAUGAAUUUAUCCACUGCUAAAUGGAAUAGAAUGAAUUUAUCCACUGCCAAAUGGAUAUAGUUUUGGAUAUAGAUAUAAAAAACGAAAGCCCGGCAUAUUUGAAUUCGAAUAUGGAUUUUGAGCCCGUAUUCCAACUAAGCUCGAAAUUAUAUAUAUAUAUAUAUAUAUAUAUAUAUAUAUAUAGAACUAGGCUGGAUUACUAUUAAUAGAACCAAUGACUUGGUGCUAUUAAAUUUUCUGCCCUUAGAUUAAAAGAUGUGCGGUUAGAAUGAUGUGGGCCUCAUAGGGUUGAGUGGGUGAUUGGUUGAAUAGUAUGAUCUAACGGGUAAAAAUAAUCAAAGGGGUUAAUCUAACGGCAGAAAACUUGAUAGCACAAGUGUUUGGUGCUAUCAAUAGCAUAACAGCCGGACUCUCUGUCUCUAUAUAUAUAUAUAUAUAUAUAUAUAUAUAUAUAUAGAGCAGGACUGCUGUGCUCUCAGGAGCACCGAGGCCUCCGUGCUCCUGAGCUGUUUUCGAUGAUGGAAUUUCCGAAUCGAUGAUCGGCUCCGUUAGACUUGAUCUAGCGUAUUUGAAGUUUCUAGAAAAUAAUUUUUGCGAUUUUUCGAUUAUUUACCUAGCAACACGAAAAGGAUUCAAAAUCAAUAUUUUUAAGGCUGAAAAUAAAAAUUCUUAUAAAAAUGGAUAUAAGAUAGCACUAAAUUUCUCGCAUCAGAAAUAUUGAUCUUGUUGUUAGAUUGAGGUAUAAAUUUAUUAAAAUUUUGUAUCAAAAUUUCAUCUGAUUGGAAUACUUUACACCGGUUAAAGUUGAAACGGAAUAUCAACCGUUAAAAAAUGAUUAAUUUGGAAUCUUUUGAUCCACUAAGUAAUUGAUAUCAAAAAUUGUAAAAAUUAGUUUUCUAGGAAACUUCAAAGUAUCCUAGAUCAAGGUCUAGACGGAGGCGUCAAUAGAUUUGAAAAUUCCGCAUCAUCGAAAGGGCAUCAGGUACGGAGGCCACAGCAGACCUGCUAUUUCCCUUCUCUCUCUCUCUCUCUUCUUCUCUUGCUCUCUUAUAUUCACUAUUAUAAUAUAAUAUUAUAUAGAGGAAUACUAUUGCUAUCGGAAGACGAGCCUUCGUCGCUUCAGCUUGAAAUUUUUGAUAGAAAUUCUUGUUACUAUAUAAAAACAAGAUCAAUAUCUUUGAUUUUAAAUUUUAAUGUCUAUUAUUCAUUUUAGUAGAUUUUUAUUUUCACCGUUGAUUUUGAGCUCCUUCGUUCACUAGGCAAAUAAUAGUUGAAAAUAAUUAGAAAUUAAUUUUCUUAGGUACUCCAAAUGACUUAGAUCAAGUUUAACGGCAGCGAUCGACGAUUCGAAGAGUCGCAACAUCGAAAACGAGCUUGGAAGGAACGGGAAGGCUCCGUGCCUUCGAUAGAUAGUAGCCCUACCGCACGGAAGGCUCCUGCUUCAGGAGUAGCCAUAAGUAGCUGAGGCUACUAUAGCGUAUCGGAAGGACGGAGCCUUCGUGCUUCCAGCUCGCGAGUUUAUCGGAUUGGUUGCGACUUUCGCAAUCGUCGAUCAGGCGGUCCGAUUAAACUUGAUCUAGAGUAUUUUAGUACUAGAAAAUAAUUUUAUUGAUUUUCGAUUGUGAUUUGCUAGGUGAGUCGAAUAGGCUGCAAAAUCAACAAAUUUCAAUGCCUGUCAGAGCGUUGGGCAAAGUUUAACACGGUGUAGAAAUAUCCAAUCGUGCAAAUUGUAAUGUCAUAUAUUUUAAAUUAUGAAAUUUGGUUGAUUUUGAGCUCCUUCGUUCACUAGGCGAUAAUAAUAUCGGUAAAAUUAAAAUUUUUUUUCUAUGAUACUUCAAAUACUCCGUAGAUCAAGUUUAACGAGCCGAUCAACGAAUUUGCAAAAUACGCACAUCGAAAACGAAUAGCUGCAAGCACGGACACGCUUCGCGUGCGUUACCGAAUUAGAUAAGGGUAGCCUCACUUCUUCUCUCUCUCUUAUAUAUUAUAUAUUAUAAUAGAUCGAGAGAGAGGAGAGAAGUGAGCUAUGAUAUAUUUACAGUUCGUACACAUGCGUGCUAUUAGGUUUUAAGCCAUUGGGAUCUACGUUUUUGAUUAUUUAAUAGUCCUUGGAUUAAACACUAUUUCACUCACAUCACCUACACCUACCACAUCAUACUCAAACCUACACAUCUCUCCAUCCACUGGGCUAAAACACAAAGUAUCACCCCGCCUGAUACUUUUACAAGUAUGUCUAGCCCUACUCUAUAAGAUAUAUAUAUAUAUAUAUAUAAUAUUUGAUGUUGUAUUUGAAUGUUUUCUAAAAAUUUAGAUCUGAUGUAAUAUAUUUUGAAAUAUUAUAAAGAGAAAUUAUCAUUUCGGGUUUCAAAUUUUUGUAUUCGGAUUUUAAAUUUUUUGUCGGGUUCGGAUUUGGAUAUGAAUUUUUAAAAUCUGUGAAUUCGGAUUUGAGUUCGGAUUUUGGGUUUAGAUUUUUAAAAAUCUAUCCUGAAUCCGACUCUUUGACGUCCCUAGUCAAGCUAAACAUUGUUUGCCAACUACGUCCUCUUUAGCUUGAAAUUGCACAGAUUUUCUCCUUUAAUAAACGAGCAGAUCACGAGCUCACAUUUUGCGCUUCAAUAGUUAAAUUUGCCAAACAUGAGUUGACUCUAGUUUGUGUAUUUUUUAAUUGAUAUAGCUCGAAAAUAAAUAAGUAAUAUUUAUAUAAAUGUUACUUUUACCAUAGCAAAUUUAAAUAUUAUUUUUAAAAUUUUAAUUUUUUGCUAGCAUAACAUUUUGUAUUGAACACCUUGUAACAGUAAGAGCAAAAGAAAUCAUCAAAAAAAAUAAAUUAGUAAAAAUACAAAUCAUAGUUAGUUUUAAAAUUUUAUAAAAGUUUAAUUUGAGUAGGCUUGAAAUAAAUCCGAACAAGCUCAAAUUAAUUUCAAGUUGAAAAUUAGCUGGGUAAUCUCGCUUGUUUAAAUUUGGAGCGAAAUAGAAAUCGACUCACAUUAUUUUCGAGAUGAUCUCGAGUUAGUUCCAACUCGCUCGUGGUCGACUUGUUUACAGCAUCAACAUAUUGCUCCAAAAAAAAAAAAGAGAGAACAAAAUCAGAAAAUUACAUUAUUUUCACUCAUUACUUAUAAUUUUAGGAGGAAAUGAAAAAAGAGAAAUAAAAAAGUACAGGAAACAAGGAGAAUAAUUUUGCAGUGAUCCUUAAUAUAAUUAUCUAACAAAUGAAAUGAGAAAAAAAAAUAAAAGCUGGUGGCAUCUUGAGUGUAGAUGAAAAUAAAAACAAAAAAAAUGUAGAAAAUCCUUUGUAAUAAUAAUCUAACAAUAUUUUUUUUAAUUAAUUGUACCUAGUGCAAGUGAUAAAGGAUUUGAUAGUUGAUUUUAAAUUGGAAUUCUAGUUACUUUACAUUUUUAGGUAACUUUAUUUUUUAAAAAAAUAAACGAAAUAAGUAACAUGUCUUAUUUCUCUCAAAAAAAAAAAAGAAAUUGAAAAAAACCUUGUGGUAAUUGGAGUGUAGUGGAAAAUAAAAACAAAAAUUACAGAGAGAGAUACUGUCCAUUCCUAGUGUAAGUGGUAAUGGGCUUGGUCGUUGGUAUUCGAGAUCCCAAGUUCUAAGUCUAGUUAUUUCACAUUUCAAAUUAAAGUUUAUUUUUUUAAAAAAUGAACGAAGCGAGUAGUAUACUAUCUUAAAAUAAAAAAAUAAACGAAGAGGAUACUAUGCUACAUUUCUUUCUCAAAAAAUAAAAAAAAAACUGUUGAUAAUCUGGCAAUUAUAAUGUGCAGAAAUUUAGUUUGUUCCUACUUAUAUUAGAUAGAAUUUUCUUUUUAAUUUUUAAGUUUUAAUUUUUUUCUUAGUGCUAGCUCUUAGGCCUUUAACUGCACUUCUGAAUCCAACCCACCUCAAACCUAAUGUGAGAGGCAAGAAAGGCUCAUUUAUUUGCACAAUUGGAUGUUAAAUACAAGACUUCAAGCUUCAUUAUAAGUGUCUUAACCACCAAGAUAAAGAUAGAUUAGUCAUUCUGUAAAUUUAUCAACAAAUUAAUAUUUUUAUAAUAAUAAUAUUUUGAAAUUGAGCUGUGUGAUCAAUAUGCUCAAAAAGUUUUUUAAGCAUAAAUUUUAUAUUUUCUUCCUAAAAAAUCCUCUCAUUUACAUUAGUCCUAUCAAUUUUUUUUUUCUUUUUUCAAAAGAGUGUUUAAGGAAUUGUUUGUUUUCUCAAGGGUUAGAAGAGGCCCGGCGUUACGAGUUCCAACCGUACGUCUGAUUUCGACUUUACCUCAGUGGGCGGUGAAGUUGACUUUUCAUUGCAUACAUACGGGAAGUCAGAGACGGUACUCACAGACUCUAAAUUCGUCGGUCUUCUUCAAAUAUCUGCAUUCGUGAUUCGAUGAGGCACACCUCAUAGCUCGGACAAAAUAAAUAAAAAAAUGCUUCUUCUAUACUUAAAAAGAUGAGUGUAGAUCUUACACUCCCAUCCUAAAGUUGAUAAAAAUUCUAGUAAAAAUAAAAAAAAAGUUGAUAUGAUAAGUAAAAUAAUAAGGACAUCGAGAUAAAGCGGAUAAAAGAUAUAUAUCCUAUUUUGAAAUGUACCCGUAAUAUUACUCAAAUAGACAUCCUAAAUUUUUGAGUGAAUAGGUAUAAAAUUGAAACUUUUGUUACAUUUUUUCAAAAUAAAAUAAAAUAAAAAGUACAUAUGCAACGGCAGGGUUGGUGUACCCGUGUACCGUAGGUGGGGCAAGCACGGCACGUACUAUAUAUAUACAUAACAUACGCACACAUCUCCUCCCUGGCGACCCUCCUCCGAUCCUCUUUCUCCAAGCUCUCACCUUCUUCUUCUUCUUCUUCUUCCUCCCCCUCCUCGCUUCUCCUCCUCUCGCGAUCUCCCAUGGCCGCCUCCUCCGUCGCCCUCAGCUCUCCGGCGACGAUCGCCGCCCCGAGCUCCGCCGAUCGCCGGAGAACCGCUCCCCUCGCGCGCCUCUCCGCCGCCCCCGGCUUCGCCGCACGGUCCGUAACCCUACGAUCCGAGCUCAGAACCGCCGCUCCCGUCGCCGCCUUCUCUGGUAACCAUUCUCUCCCCGUUCGUGUGAUCUAGAUGCUGGAUUGGUGGUGCAUUGGGAUUGGGUGAUCUAUCUGAGUAGGAUGUGUAGAAUUUGAAGAGGAGAGGCUCUUUUGUUAUGUGGAUUUUGUGGUAUGUGGGAAAUGAGAAGCCCCUUAUGGGAGUUUUUGGUGUGGUAGAUCGUGUAAAUCAAAUGAAUGAAUGAUUGAUUUGAGCAGGAUAUUGUAGAAAUGUUACCUCUUAAGCUAUAGAGCUGUGUAGGAGGAGUUUUAUUUGGUACAUAGCUUAUAAGAAAAAGGGAAAUAGAAUGGUUUGGGGUUUGACCUUAAUUUUGUCUAUUACGAGUAAGUUUGAUGAUUUCUUUUGUAAGUCGGGUUCGUUUAAUUUUGGCAGUACGAGUGUUCAGUGUAGUGCAAUAGUCAUGGCACUGAGUAAAGAAUUUGGCUAAAGAUUGAUAUGUUGUUUUUAAAUUGCUGAUGCUAAGGGUGUUUGUGCGUCCAAUUGGACAAUGUGCCUGACUACUUUGUGUUGUUCAAUGACAUAGACUCCGUAUUGGAUUGCGGGAAGUUUACGUUACGUGCGGUGAGAAAGUACGAUGGGAAAUAUCAUGUUUGUAUCCGUAUGUAAUAUCGCGUUCCGCAUAUCUCAAUAAGUUCGUUACGAUAUAUUUUUUGCGAUCCUACUGAAAAACGCAGGAGGAUAUUCCUAUAUGCUUUCGCCGCAACUUCAUUUUAUCCAUUUGCGAUAGAUGAGCCUCAAUACCAAACGGGCACAUAAUAUGCAAUAAAUUCGACUUCACAAAUGAUAGUGAUAUUGUUACAUAUAUCUUAUUUAUGGCUACGUCAACGUUUAUUCUAUAUUAAUUUUUAUCUAUUGUUUGAGCUUCCAAUUUAGAAAUUUAUUUGACUUUUAAUCAACUAUCAUUUAUAAUUGUAGAUCUUACAGAUUCUUGAAUUCUACCAUCUCAAUUCUAGGAGGCGUCAAUUUUAAAUAUGACUACUAAAAUUUGCUGUUGAUUGUCUCUUGAAUCCUUGGUAUUUUCAUUUGUAUACGUAUUCAACUAAUUCUGGUAUUAUUGUUAUUACAAUGGAUUAAAUACUUUAUUGUCGUUUAUCAACUUAACUUAUGUUGCAUAUAAAUUGAGGGCAGACAUAUAUAUAAAGUGCAUUAACUGACUCAAUUUCAUGUUGUAAACUUAAUAGUGUACUUUAACAUCUCAUUUUCUACAUCAAAAAAUGUUGUACCUAGUUUUAAAAGUUGUCCCACCUUUUUGUUGUUUCUUUCUCCUUACUCCAUGUUUCUCAAUCUAUAUUUUUGAGUAAUGACCGAUCUGAAACUGAUAGAACUUAAACCACUGGCACUGCAGAAAUAUUUUGUUUAUGUCACUGACGAAAAACCAAGUUCUUAAACCAUGGGAUGAACAUGAUUUGCUUAAGCUUUGUCAAUGGCGGAGAUAUUUCACAUUUUGGUGUAUUCUAGUUGAUCUUCAUUAAUAGGCUGGUUAUUAUCAAAUUCACACUGAAAUGAAUAUGGAGCUCUAACUAAGGCCGAAAUAAAUAUGUAUACACUCUCUCACUUUAUCUUGGUUGACAGUUAGCGUGUAACUUGAGCAGUACUCAUAUUAUUGAUAGGCUAAUGUCAUGACUAUAAUAUAGUGUUUUCUAGACAUACUCAUAGAUGCUAUAAUACUAUAUACAGGUGUAAGAACUCAAGUUGCAGCCGUUGAGCAAGCAAUUGUUGAAGAUGGAAAAAAGGUGGAAGCUCCUGUUGUUGUUGUUACUGGAGCAUCUAGAGGAAUCGGGAGAGCUGUAGCAUUGACUCUUGGCAAAGCUGGGUGCAAGGUUAGUAGUUUCUUAGGAACAUGAUUUCCUUACUAUAAAUGUAUGUCUUUGGUCAAUAUAAGUUAAAUAUUUAAUGUGCUAUGUUGCAUUCUCUUAUUCCCUUUCUAGAGAUUAGUGCUAACUGCUGAGUUCGAUGGUGCUGAGUAAGAUGGAUUUAGAUUAUGUAGUAGACCUGAAGCCAUUUCUCUAAUAAAUCAGGUUUAAUCAGGUCAAGACAGCUCAAAAUCAUCCUCUUCUGUUUCGGUUGUCUGAUAUGUUAGAGUCUGGUCAACGCUUUGGUUGGGAAUGUAGAUUUUUCUUGUCUAUAACUGAUAAUAGCAUUUCACCUCAUCAACAAAUGUAGAAAUCAGAACCAUUAAAUGAUUUAUUAUAGUGUCAAAGAGAGUAAGGUAAAUAUUAUCAAUAAUCAAAACGUGGAUAUCUUCAUAUUAUGUUUUGUUGAACUCUUAUACUCCAUAUACAUCAGUGAUAUCUUGUUUCAUUCUCAAUUUAUCUUUUGAAAGGUGCUAGUUAUGUAUAUCAUGGAGAUCUACCUCUUCAGUUUUCUUUGUCUGAAGUGUACAUUAUUGUGCUACAUACCUUUUGCUUAAUUGAUAGUUCUUCUGUGAUGGGUUUGCUUGCUUUACUUUUAGGUACUUGUGAAUUAUGCGAGGUCAGCAAAAGAAGCUGAAGAAGUCUCCAAAGAAGUGAGUUGAUUAUCUCGUAUUUACAUGUAGGAGCAUCUCAUCAUCUAUGCUGUUUCUGCUGAGAUCAACGCAUUAAAUAUGAAAUGGUUGUAUGAAUAAAAAAAGAUUAUACAUUUGUACUCAAUUAUGUAACUUUCUGUCAAAUUGUGCUGAGGGGAUGUUUUAGGAUAUGUAAAGAACUUCUUCACAUAUAAAACCUUAGGAGAAUACAAAUUGAUUGCAUUUAUCAGGGAAGGAAAUAAAAUAGAGAACUUAUAUUUAUUGAGUUUCUGGAGAAUAUGCAGCUUCUAAAAGGGAAAUAUACUUUACUUAGAAUUUUGAUGUUUCUUAUGUUUUUUAACACUUGUUUUGAUUUUCUUUUCACUAAUACUUCCAACUUUUCUGGGUACUAUUGUACAUGUCAUCUACUUCUUCCACUAAUACUAUAUUAGAACUAAAAUGCAAAGAAUGUCAUGGGUAAUACUAGGCACAUGAAAUGAUCAUGAGGUUAUCUAUGACAAUUGUCUUGUGCUUUAAAUGACCAUGAUGUCAUCUAUUCAUCAACUCUGGAAUUGUCCUUAAUUGGGAGGAUAAUUGGGACGGAACAAAUUUUGCAUUUAGUUUUCCUUUCAUUAGCAAAGGAACGUUCCCCAAAAGCUACAUAGAAGCUUCAAUUAUAUGAAAAUUUCAGGACUUACAUUACUUCUAUGCAGUUACUGAGAAUCAAAUGUUUCGAGUGGAAGCAACUUUAGGAACUUUUUUAUGUGCAUGCCAACUCUUAGAUUCUGUUCAUUCCAGAGAGACUCAAUCUGUUGAUUGUACCAAAAUAUUUGUUCAGAACUUCAAGAUUAGUUCAUUAAUCCUUAAAACAUAUCUUGGGAAAAUGGCAUGCUUUGUGUAAAUCUUUAUCUAGAAAGGCUUGUUAACUUCUCUGCGCAAAUAUUGCUCUUCCAUUUGAUAUGUAAUAUUGUCUUAUAUAAUAUCUGUUUAUUAUUUUAAAAUCAAAGUGCGAGAUUACGUGUCUUUGAUUUUUACAUGACUGUAGAUCGAGGCAUCUGGUGGUCAGGCAAUCACCUUUGGUGGAGAUGUUUCUAAAGAAGCUGACGUGGAAUCUAUGGUGAAAACAGUGAGUCAGCUUCAAAAUGAAGCAAUUGAUUCUAUCCUAGAUUUCACUAUUGCUGUCUUAUAUAUUGUACUUAUAUGGUGAAAUGGUUAUUACAGGCGGUUGAUGCGUGGGGAACAGUUGACAUUUUAGUAAAUAAUGCAGGUAAUUGGUAAUUGACUUUCUCUGUGUUUCAGUUCCAGUAAAUUCAUGAUACCUUUUGGUGAAGAGAGACCAAAAUAAAUCAUUUAAUUAGGAAUUACAAGGGACACAUUGUUGAUGAGAAUGAAGAAGUCACAGUGGCAAGAAGUAAUUGACCUAAAUCUUACUGGCGUCUUUCUCUGUACGCAGGUGCGUAUUUCCACAAUCUUAAUUCAGCAUAAUAAGUCAGCUACAUUAAGAUAUUGAAUCAUCUAUUUUUCUGUUAUCUACCUGUUCUUUGCAGGCUGCAGCAAAAGUGAUGAUGAAAAAGAAAAAGGUAUGCCCGGCAGAUUUUCCUCUUGGCUUCUGUCGGAUUGAUAAUUAGGUGGACUGCAUUUUCUAGUCUCUGCAACCCUUAUCUCACUAUUUUUAUGAAACCUGGUUUCUAUACCUGGUUGCUGCACUUUCAGGGUCUUUGCAAUUUAUCACUGCUUUACCGUAUCAGUACAGAAAAUUACUUCCUGAACCUGGUCCACCGUGUCAAUCAUAAAUCAUAAUGCAGUCUUCCAUCCGUGUCAUCCUUUUUUCAAUCCCAACUACUUUUAAGAAAUUAUCUUUUAGGAGAAAUUAGUACAAGAAGCCGUGGAUACACUUCUUGAUAAUGGGAUCCGCGGGCAACCAAUGAGGGAUGGUCAUAAUAAAGUUUACAAGUCAUUUUCGGAUGUAAUUGAAGGUAAAGAGGGAAGAUUUCGUGAGACUCUGCUUGGUAAACGGGUCGAUUAUUCGGGGAGAGGAGUUGAAGGAUAAGAAUAGACAAAAUGCAUUUCAAACAGAGUACAAAUCAAAUCCAAUCCCUUUUCAUUUCUUAUUUCUUUCUUUUUUUUAUUUAUUCUAUUUCGUCAUAUUCUAUUUCUUCAUUAUUGCUUACGUUACAUUACUUUCCGGGGUCCGGUCCAUCUAAGUGAUGUGCGCGGUACAAAGUUCAUGGUGCAGAACUCUUUUGAUUCAUCCUAUUUACGUGAUGGAUCAGGUUUAGUCAUUAGUUACUCGUGGCACAAAAUUCUGUGUUCUGUCUGCAUUUUCUUCUCUGUGCCUUUACAAUUAAAAAGAUUUUAAUGUUUCUACAGCAAGUGUUUUUAAUGUUUCUAUGUUACUCUAUGUUACUCACAACUCUCUUUGAUCAUUUAACUACAAAAAUACAGGGGAGAAUCAUCAACAUAGCAUCUGUUGUUGGUCUUGUGGGCAAUAUUGGUCAAGCUAAUUAUAGUGCUGCAAAGGCUGGAGUAAUUGGUUUCACCAAGACGGUAGCUAGGGAGUAUGCUAGUAGAAAUAUCAAUGUAAGCUUCUUUCUCUUUCUAUGUCAAACAAUAACAUCUGAAACUAGCUAUCUGAUGUGACUUCAUCCCUGUGCUUUAGGUAAAUGCCGUUGCUCCAGGCUUCAUUGCUUCUGAUAUGACUGCCAAACUCGGAGAAGACCUCGAGAAGAAGAUCCUGGAGACCAUUCCCUUAGGUUCGUUGGAUGUUUUCAUGAAUGAGCAAUUUAGUGCCUAUUGACCUAGCUUUUGGAGUAAUUUCUCUAAUUGGGAAGCAGAAGUUGGGUAUAUGGGAACCAAAAUUUUGAACCAUCUGCUGUGGCAAAAAGCUGAAAUACGGCAAGCUUUUUGUGGCCAAAAUCAAAAGCUCCUAUAUGAAGCUUCCGCUCCCGGAACAGUCUGAAGCUGUUGGUGGCAUUUCAGGAGAAAGCUAUUGAUGCCUUCUUUAGCAGCUAUAAUCGCAUACCUCUAUUGUAGAGGCUCUAGCCAGGACAAACAGGUUCUUUAUUGAAAAGGAAUAUAAUUGACCGCUUUCUUCUGCUUGCAAGUUGUGUGAUGUGGACAGCAUUUUGAGGACUGCUUCUUGAUUAUGUCUUUGCUUGACAGUUGAUUGAUUUCAUGCCGAUUUCUAUGUUCAUUCUACUUCAUGCUGUUAAAUUUGUUUUACGACCUGAUGAUACGUUUAAGUAAAAUUCUGCAAUGAAACAACAUACUGUGAAGUUACGGAAGUUAUUCUUUGUAACUUUUUUCAGGGCGGUAUGGUCAGCCAGAAGAAGUUGCCGGCCUAGUGGAGUUCUUGGCCCUUAAUCCCGCUGCAAGUUAUAUAACCGGACAGGUAUGCUGAACCAAUUUACAAGUUCUAGUUUCCACAAGAUAAUGGAGAUGAAAUCUAUCUCGUUUUUGUGAAUGCAGAUCAUUUAGCAAAAAGUUAAUGCAUUUCCUCAUUUUCUUUCUUUUCUUAGUCCAAAUUUUUAUUCUUUUUUACUUCUGGUAGUCUAAGUGAUCCUUUUAUCAGUAUUAAGAUGGUAUUAUGAUGACAAUAUGAUGCAGGUGUUUACAAUUGACGGCGGGAUGGUAAUGUAGAGCGAAAAAAUGAGUUUGCAGAUGGUAUUGUCGCAUUUGGGCCUCUCUUCGGAUAAGCUGUUUUGGGUGAAUCACUUUUUCUUCAAGUUUUUAUAGAUAUUGUUUUGCUUUUUCAUGCUUCUGGAGGAUGGCAGAAAUAAGCUAUUAGAACUUCUAAACCGGGUAACUUAUUCCCAAGUUCAUAGUUUAAUCCAAGAAUCUUUUUCCUCUGUUGUUAUAAAUAGACUCUUUUGUGAUUGAAAGAUGGCUCCACAACAAUUUAUCUAUCGAAAAGCCUGGACAAGAUCAGUAUAGAUAUCAUACUAAUGCAUGUGUUGAUAUGUGGUGAUGUUAGUUUUAGAUUUCAAUAAGCGUGGAUAAGUACGCAAUUAUGAUAUAUAACUUAAGUAUUUGUUAGAUUUGAAUAUGAUUAUAAAUAUAAUUAUGACAUAUAUGUUAAAUAUGUGUUGAAUUCAAAUUAGAUAAGAGAAAUAUCCUGUCGUGUUAGAAGAGUCCGACUAUGCUGUUUCUGAAAGCACCACUUUUCGAUUUUGAUUUUUUAAUUAUCGGAUCAGUCUUUUUGAUUAUUUUUAGUCCUUGGAUUAAUACUAUUAUCCUAAGAGACAACUAAACUCUCGGAGAGACUACUAUCAUUUCAAUUCUAUAUUUCUUAAUUAAGGGGCUAAUAAGUUGGAAGCAUCAAUUUUUUUAUAUAUUACCGAUAGUAUAAUUAAGGGGCUAAUAAGUUGGAAGCAUCAAUUUUUUUAUAUAUUACCGAUAGUAUAGUUGCUUUACACAUGUAAGAAUUGUUGAAAUUAAUAAUUUUUUAAGUAGAACAAGUGUUAUUUGCGAAUUUGUUUUCCUAAGUCUUACUUCUGGAUUUUGUAGCUAUACUAAAUCGAAAUCUAUUUAUCACAAUUAGAAGAUAUAAAUCAAGAAUUUUGUAGCUAUUCUAAAUCAAAAUCUAAUCAGCACAUUUAAAGAUACUAGCAAUGUAAUGGUGCUUUACAGCGGGUGUGAUUUUUAAGUUCAUAAUUAUUAUAUUUUAUGCUAUGUAAAAUCACUUAACAGAGUCAAAGUGUUAAUUUUUAUAUAUAUUUUUUAUUUAGAGAGAGAAGAGAAUAUUAAUUAAAACUUAAAGUAAAAAAGAGCAUUUUGAAAGUGUAUUUUCUUAUAGAAAAGUAAAAAUUAAAUAUUUUUAAAAAUGUAUAAUUAUUAAAUUUAAAUGGAAAUUUUUUUUUUUGAAAAAGUGAUAUAUUUUGUUUGGCCUUUUUGCAUAAAAAAUCCACUUAUUUUGGGCUUUUGCAAAAUCAGGUCACUUUUUUCGUUUUUGCAGAUUCGGUCCGUUUUUUCAGUAAACUGACAAAAAUACCCUUAUUACUUUUUCUCUUUCCUCUUUCUCUCUCCUCUUCGUUUCUUCCGUUCUUUUUUUUUUUUUUUUUUUCGUUCUUUUUUCUUGAGCCCGCCGCCAAACCCCUCCUGCGCCUCCGCAGCCGAAUCUCCCUCCUCUCUCCCCCGCCGUCGCCGCCGAGCCACCCCCACCGUCGUCUCGCCUCCUCUUUCUCUCUCCUCUUUCUCUCUCCUCCUCAAGCCCCUCCUCACCUCCCCGUCGCCUCCUCAAGCCCGCCGCGAAGCUCCGCGUCCUCCUCCUCCGCCUCCACAAGCCGAACCCGCCGCCGCGUUGUCACCGAAGUUGCAGGGGCGGAGCAAGCUCCUCGUCAAGCUCAAGGUCGAGGAGUCCCCGAUCGUCUCCCUCUUCACGCGAAGCUCCGCCGCCGAGCCCUUCUCCUCUCCCGCCGCACGCCGCCGAGCCCACCCCCACCGUCGUCUCCGUCGCCGUCGCGCGAGCCACGUCCCGCCCCUUGCCGACCGCCUCGUCACCCUCCAAUCGCCUCGUCACUCCCCUUGCUGAGCCCUCGUCACCCCAUCGUCGUCUCGUCGUCGUCACCAUCGUCCUCGUGCCGUCGCCAGCCCCGCCCCAUUAAUGGUGUAAUGGUGCACCAUUGCACCAUUACACCAUUAAUGGUGCACCUUACAGCAUUAAUGGUUGUAAUGUGUAAUUGUGCACCAUUGCACCAUUACACCGUUAUGGUUGUAAUGGUGCAAUGGUGCACCAUUACACUUAAUGGUGCACCAUUGCACCAUUACACCAUGAAAUUACACCAUUAAUGGUGAAUGGUGUAAUGGUGCACCAUUACACUAUGAAGAAGAGAAGAAGCAGCCGCAGCGCGCCCGCGUGCCUGCCGCCGCGCUGCGUGCACCGGCCUCCGCCGACGGCCCGCACCGCGGCUGCGCGCCGCCGCGCCAGGAGCAGCCGCGAUCAGCGCCUCCCGCGGCCGCCGACGCCUCAAGCGGCGUUGUCGGCCCGCGGCCGGGGCUCGACGUUUGCACUGAACUCAGCAGCAGCUGGACGAGGUUCGGCGGCCUUGCGCGAUGGCCGAGUGCAGCAGGCCGACGCCGGACGCAAUAAACGGCGUCGGCGGGCGCCAUCCGGGUCACUCCGCUCCAGCCGCGGCGACGAACUCCGCAGCCUCUUCCUCCGCGACGCCGCCGACAGCGACGACGAUCGCGUGACGGCGGACGAGGGGCUCGCGACGGAGAACGACGGUGACGGCGCCUGGCGCGCCCGCCCGCCGCCAUGGCCGUGGGCUCGGCGACGGCGACGGAGACGACGGUGGGGGUGGACUCGGCGGCGGCGGCGGGGGAGAGGAGGAGGGGUCGUGGGCGGUGGAGAGGAGGGUGAGGAGGGAGGCAACGGUGAAGAAGGAGGGUGAGGAGGGAGGCGACGGUCCGAUCUGCCUCUUUUUUUUCGGCGAGAAAAAAAAAAAAAACGACAGAAACGAAGAGGAGAGAGAAAGAGGAAAGAGAAAAAGUAAUAAGGGUAUUUUGGUCAGUUUGCUGAAAAAGCGGACCGAAUCUGCAAAAACGAAAAAGGUGGCCCGGUUUUGUAAAAGUCCAAAAUAAGUGGAUUUUUUAUGCAAAUUGGCCAUUUUGUUUCGAGAAAGAGAGAAGAGAGAGCAUUAAAAAAAUUAAAGUGAGAAAGAGGAAAAAGAUAUGCACAUUUCUCUAUGAGAGCGAGAGAGGAGAGGAAAAGAUAUGAAUAUUAAAUUAAAUAUAGUUAAUGUAAGAGGAAGAGUACACACUCCGAGAAAAAGAGAGAGAGAGAGAGAGAGAGAGAGAAUGAUGUAAGGGAGACGUGUAACAUUGAAAUAACGCCUUUUUGAUAGUAGAUCGGGUUCAUAGUCUAUACUAGAUGCACUCAAUAUCUCAAUUGUCAAUUCAAAGGUGUAUUGAAUACGCUUUACCAUAUGUUAUGCACGAUUACCCUAAAAAUUAAUUAUAAAUAAUUUAAAAAUUAAAAUUUAAUUUAUUGAGUAUGUUUUAUGACAUCAAAAUAUUUAUAUAUUAAAAAUUAUAAACUUUAAAUACAUCUAUUGAAAUAAAAUUAUAUUUCAUUUAACUUGGUCCACUAUACACCAGAUGCACGAAAUAUGCAAAAUGGACAUUUAUCCACAAAGAACCCCCUAUAAACUUUAGUAUACAUUAAUAGAUAUUACUGGGAAUUUAUAAUUUUGUACACUAUUUUCUUACAAGUGAACGUUUUUUUUUUUCGUCUGUUGUCGUUAUUCAGUAAGCCUCUUGAAUUUCAUAAUACUUUAUUUUCAUAUAUAUAUAUAUAUAGAAAGAGAGAGAGAGAGAGAGUAGGGUUACUAUACUUUUAUGAGUAUUAGAGCAUUCGUACUCAUAAGUUGUUUUUGAUGAUGGAGCUUCCGAAUUGACGAUCCACUCCGUUAAAUAUGAUCUAGAGUAUUUGAAACUUCUAGGAAAUAAAUUUCGUAAAUUUUCGAAAUUAUAAUAAAGUCCAUCUAGCGAGCAUAAAAUGAACGGUCAAAAUCGAACGACGUCCUAAAAAUAGAUGAUCGGAUCCUUCAAUUUAAGAUCGAUGUUAUUGAUCUUUAUCUAGGUAGUGAAUAGAAUUUUCUAUCAAAAAUUCACCAAAUUUCGAUUCUUUUACACCGUUAAACUAGCAAGUAUCCCAUACCGAUUGUUAAAAAUUAAAUUUGUGACCUUUUGAUCGUAAGGUAAAUGAUGUCGAAAAAUUAUAAAAUUUGAUUUCUAGACAUUUUAAAUACUCUAAAUAACGUUUAACGAUAAAUACUCUAAAUAACGUUUAACGAUAUGGAUCGUCGAUUCAGAAGCUUUAUCAUCGAAAACGACUUAUAAGUACGAAGACGAUCGUACUCAUAAGAGUAUAGUAGCCGGACUAUAUAUAUUAAUAUUAUAUAAUAUAUAUAUAUAUAUAUAUAUAUAUCUAUAUAUAUAUAUAUAUAUAUAUGAGGCUACUAUGCUUCUGGAAGUACGGAAUCCUUUCGUGUUUCCAGGUCUGUUUUCGAUGUUCGUGACUUUCGAUCGUCAAUCGCUUCUAUUUAACUUGAUCUAGAGUAUUUGAAAUACCUAGAAAAUGAAUUUAUAUUUUCGAAAUUCAUUUGCUUGUGAUCGAAGGGACUCAAAUCAAUAAUUUUAAUGGCUGUAGUGAGCCGUUUGCAAGUUUAACGGUAUAGAAAUAUCUAAAAUUAUGUGAAAUUUUGAUAGAAGAUUAUUUAUACUAUAAACAAGGAUCAAUAUCUUUGAUCUAAAAUGUUAAUGUCAUAUUAUCACGUUUUGUAGAUUUUAUUUUCAACUAUUAUUUUGAGCCCCUUCAUUCACUAGGCAAAUAAUAUCGAAAAAUGCAUAAUUAUUUUUUUGGUACUUCAAUACUCUAGAUCAAUUAAACGGAAGACCCGAUCGACGAUUUGAAAGUCGCAACAUAAAAACGACCUGAAAGCACGGAAGGCUCCGUAUUUCCAGAAGUAUAGUAGCUACUUCGGCUGGAGUCUAUGGUGGUGUAUCGAGUUUUUCACCGUUUAGAUUUAAAUUUGAUUAUUUUUACUCGUUCGAUUAUACUAUUUCAACCAACCACUCACUCAACCAUAGGGGCCCACAUCUCCUAAUCACUCUUUCUGAUACCAAGAUAAAAGUCAAUAGCACAAUAGCUUGAUACUAUUGAUAGUAUUUCAGCAUAGUAUAAGUUAUAUAUAUAUAUAUAUAUAUAUAUAUACACACACACACACUAGUGAAAGACUCACCAAUACAGUGGAUAUAAAAAUAUUUUAAUAAUAAAUUUUAAUUUAUAUUUUUAUGUAAUUUUAUUAUUCUAGUUAUAAUUAAAUAAACUAUAUAAUAAUAGUGUAAUAAUUAAAUUUAUGUAUAUAAAAAUAAUUAAAAGUGGUAUGCCUAUAACGUAAAUUUAUAUAACAACUUAUUAGUAAUUAAAUUAUUUUAUAAAGAUGUGAAAAGAAUUUGAGAGAAUUUAUUAAAAUAAUUUAAAUAAAUCAAUAAAUAAAAAAUGUAAAAUAGCUAGAAUAAAGUGGUAUGAAUUUUUAUUACAAAAUUUUUUUAAAUAUUUAAAAUAAGAUCUGCACUCUUGAUCUUACAAAAUUCAAAUCGGUUGAAUUUUUAUUAUAAAAUUCUUUAAAAUAUUUAAAAUAAGAUCUACACUUUUGAUCUUAAUGCACAAAAAAAUAAUAUCGAAAAAAUAUGAAGUUUGAUUUCUAGAUACUUUAAUUGGUCUAAAUCAUAUUCAACCGUGUUGGUCGUUGAUUCGAAGGCUUCAUCAUCGAAAACAACGCUAUAGCAAACAAGCUUUGUUGUUAUUGAUUUGUUUUCAAUAAUAAAGCCUCCAAAUUGAUGAUCGGCAUAGUUAAAUAUGAUCUUUACUGCUUGAAAUAUCUAGAAAUUCAAUUUCUAAUAUUUUCGUCAUUAUUGACCUAAUGAUUAAAGGGUUGCAAAAUUUAUAAUUUUAAUAGUUGACAUGAGGGGUUUGCUCAUUUAACGAUGUAAUAAAUUUAAAUCAAUUGAAUUUUCGUUCGAAAAUUUUUUAAACUAUUUAGAAUAAGAUCUGUACUCUUGAUCUUAAUUACAAUAAUCUUUUUUUUUUUGAGAUAGAGAUAGGUAGCACGCUACACGCUUCGUAUAUUUCAUUUAGAAAUAAACUUAGCUGGAAUUGUGAAUAAACUAGGAUUCGAACUUGGAACCUCGGGUAUCAACCACCAAGCCCUUAAUUACAAAAAUCUUAUCAUCAUUUUUUGAAGAAUAUCCAUUUUUAGUCAUUCAUUUUUAUGUCCAUUUGAUGCACAAGCAUACCAUAUAGAAAAAAAAGUAAAACUUGAAAUUAAAAUUUAAAAUUUAAAAUUAUUUCAGAUUUCAAAUUUCUCUAAAAUUUAAAAUUUAAAAUUUAAAUUUUAUAAUUUUAAAUUUAUAAUUAUUCUAGAUUUCAUAUUUUAGAUUUUAGUUUCAGAGUUUAAAUUUUAAAUCACCUAAAAUUUAAAAUUUAAAAUUCUAAAAUUUAAAAUUUUGAAAUUAUAAACUUUUAAAUUGGAGGUUUAAAAUUUAAAAUUUAAAAUUUAAAAUUUAAUAUAUAAAUUUAUAAUUUAUAACUUUAAAUUUAAAAGUUAACUCUGAAAUUAUAAAUUGCAAACUUAAAUUUUAAAAUUUAAAUUUAAAUUUACAUUCAAUAAGUUUUAGUUGCUUCUCAUUUCAUGCCUCUAAAAUCGCAAAACUAAUUCUAUGAAUCAGAUUUUUAAAUAUUGAAGGAAAAAGUCACUUUUGGCCCUAAAAUCACUUUCUAGGAUUUAGGUGAAACGCCUCUGAAGGCCUUGUUUGAUAGUUGGAAUAAUAUAUAUCUAACGAGAACUUAUUUGGAAUGAAGAUUUUUUUGUGUGAUUUUACGUCUUAUAAGAUAAUUUAUCUUUUUCCAAAAAAUAAUUUGAAGGCUUGAUAUUUAUUCUAUUCUGUAUCUCUGAAAAUACUUUUACCAAAUAUGUGUUUGCUUUUUAAUCACACUUUUCAGUUGCCAUAUAUAUUAUAUAUUUUUGAGUAAAUCGAAGGCGUAUACCCAAAUAAAAUGUCCAUGUAUCCAACAGGGGGCUAAAAGGAAGCAAAAUAUAAAUGUUUUAAUUUAAUUGAGGCCAAACAUAAAAACUGAGUACCUCAUAUGGAAAUGUCGCUUUUGACCACCCAUUUGGGAACACUUCCAAAAAUAACUCAGCUAUUUAUCACUCUCCAUUUUUCAAAAAAUUAAAUUAAAAAUACUUGUGUAAUGAAAAACUUUGUUAUUUCUUUGUAAAGGAUUCAAUGCCCCUCAAUUCGUACUCUGUCACAGGUUGGCACAUCCUAAGAAAAUUUAGUAAUUUCGAUAUUGAAAGGAAUGAAUGACUAUGUUACUUUUUUUAACAUGUACGAUGUAUCCAAUGGGACUUACUUUGGAAUCUAAGCAAGCGACACCUUGAUUUGUAGAAUCCAUUAAAUGAUUUGUGGAGUCCAUAAAUAAGAUCCCCUACUUAGGAAUGUUUCACACACACAUUUUUUUUGCGUCAUCGUACUCUACAAGUUGCGAUGGGGACGAAAAUGGUGGCUCGAUUUUUCUUUCUCCUCCUACUUGCCUUUGCUUUGCUGGUACUUUCUCUCUCUCUUAAAUAUAAAAUAUUUAGACAUCGUUCUUUAUCUGCUUAAAAUUUUAAAGAAUAACCAUUAUUUCGUAUUUUUAAUAUAGUAUCAAAAUAGAAGGUCUCGAGUUCGAGUUUAUGCCAAGCUCGUAGCGUUAUUAAUUUUCUUUCAUUUGAUUUAGUAAAAAUAUGGGCCUAGUAAAAAAUUUCGAGUUCCAGCGUUUGGAGGGGUGUUAAAUAUAAAUAUUUAAACAUCGUUUUCUACCGGUUUAAGUGAAUGCACGAUACUAGAGAGGACUUUAUUUGGUGGCGAAAAUUUUGAGCUUGAAUUAGAAUUAUUGACUCUAAUUAGCUCCAUUCCGAGCUGCAGAGAUUCAUUCUGAGAGAUGUUUCAUUUUGAUCUCUAUAUCACCGUUUUCUAUUACUUCGACGUACUUAGUCGAUUGAUUUUAUUUGCGCAUCCCACUCUUCGAAAGUCUACUGUAGUCACACAAAGAAGCAGCUCUAAUUUGAGUUUGCACAUUCCAGACACAGAAGCUUGUUUAAUUUUCCAUCAAUCAGGAGCUUACAUUUAUUUGUCAGAAGCAGUCUCUGCUUCUCAAAUUAGACGAGUAGUUCCAGAGAUGAACAGAGAUAGAAGCCCCAAGAUCAGCAAGCCGAAUCGAAAUUCGCUUGUUUUCUACUACAAUAAACACAUUAAAACAUAACAUUAAAUAAAGAAAUUGCAAAUUUUUCUCAUAAAAAUUUGUUCAUUGAGACAAAUAAUAGAAGAAAAGCUUACAACACAUGGUGUUCCUUUGCAGGCGGAGAUCAUUGGCGGCGCAAACGCCUCGCAUUAUCUACCAGUAAGUUUGCAACACAUAUAAGUGAAAUAUUUCGUCGGUCGCAUCAAUAACCAACUGUAAAUUUCUCAUGAUGUUUACUCUAAUCUGAACUCCUUUUCCUGCUGAACAUUACAGACAGGCGGAGAAGGCUCAGUUCCUCCAGAAGGUAAACAAAAAAGUGUUUCCACCUUCAACUUCAUCAUAAUAUAAGAUUAAAAUAUGUCAGUGUCCAAAAUAAUCACAGGAAAAAAAACAUUGACAGAUGCUUCCCUCAUGUGCUUGAAUUCACCUAAAAUAAGCAAGGGAUAACAAAGAAGUGAGCCAAUAUAGUGUUAAAGCAAACUCGAACUACAAUAAACUAAAACAUGUACCUUUGUUCGGUUCUUCUUUUUACCACUUUAAAAAAAAAAAAAUAAUAAAAAAAUAGAAUGCCCGGUGAAGUGCGAGUACAGAUGCUCCGCGACGUCCCACAAGAAGCCGUGCUUGUUCUUCUGCAACGAGUGCUGCCAGAAGUGCCACUGCGUCCCGUCGGGAACAUAUGGGCACAAGGAGGAGUGCCCUUGCUACAACAACUGGAAGACGAAGGAGGGCAAGCCAAAGUGCCCCUGAAAACAUUCCGCUUGUUCUAAAAUUGUAACUUAUUUGGUUACGUCAUUCGUGGAAAACAGGAAAGAAACAAAGAGAAUAACAAUUGAAACGAAUACUAAGACUCCUGCUUCAUUAUACUAAAAAACGAUCUCCGUAGUUCUUUACAGUUGAGAUGAGCCUAUCUUUUUCGUCUAGCACUCUCGAUUAAUGAAAACAAAAUGAAAGAGGAGAAAAAAAUGGAGCUCAAAGUCAUGCCGAUUUUUCUUUGUAAAUCAGCCGCCUGCUUUGAGGCCCACAUCCGUUAUACCUAUAUAUAAGACCAAGUACACACUGGCUGAUGCAUGAUACAUCAAACAUCUCAAUGAAUCUCAUAUCCGAAAGCCGGGAUUUGUCAGCGGCGAAUCGCCGAUAUUCCUCGAAAACAGAAGUCAGGCACCAAGACUGCAGCUUCCUGAGACAGGCCACGAGGCACCCUGUCCGAUGCUGUGUUCGGUAAUAAAUAAGUGGUUAGAAUGUCAAAAUACUGCAAGCAUCAAAAGAAACUAAUGAAAUGACAAAUUUGUUAUUCCAUACCUUCCCUCGGUUGCAGUGGAUUAGAAUGGGAUGAUUCCUUAGAUCUGAAACACCAAAAAAAGGUAAAAGUUGACCAAAAUUUGCUAAAUAACUAACAAAAAAAAAAUCAGAAAAAAAAAUUUGCUGAAUUAUUCUAUACCAAGUAAGAUCUUAAGGGCACCAAUGAUGGCAGCCUUAGGUAUGGAUGCAAAAGGCUCCUGUAAAUGAAAGCAUUUCUUUUGAGAACUUGUUAAACACAAAGGGAAACGAAGGCAACUUUCAGGGAAUGCAAAAUGAAUCUAUUGCAUGUGUAGCAAACAUUCACUAAUUUUCAAAUAAACUGUGUUUUUCAAUGAAUGUAAACUAGCAAGACAUCUGUUGGCAUCAAGAACAAAGUGUUUUGUCUCUCAAUCCGUAAUGCUUUGUUCGGAAGGAAACAGAUAAGGAAUCUGCGCAUGAACUAGAGUCCAACUUCCCCCCAUUUCAGGCAAUUAAUAGUAAGGAAAACUGAUAGCAGCAAUUCACGCAGUAAUCUGCAUUAUGUCCAGUACCAAAGAAAUAAAAAACCUGUGCCUAAAUUACUUUCUUCCAUCAGCUUUCCGUUCCACAUGAUGCAGAGAAAGCUGAAAAAUGCAGAGAAACAAGGCCCUCUCUAUAGAAGUAAUGUAGAGUGGUCAUCUGGAUCACAUUUAGCGACACUUUCACACCAUCUUGCUUUAUGUUUUCGCUAAGAAGUUUCCAUGUUGUUUUAUUAUCAUAAAAACAGAUGGGAGAAAAUACAAUCAAACUUACAUUUUCUCAAAUUUUAUCAAGUGAAAUUCCACAACCUUAAUCCUUCAACACAGCAAUAAAAUAUAUUAAAGAAUUUCCAGAGUUGAAUCAAGCCUGAAAUCUCCCCUCGCAAUGUAACGGAAGGUGGGGAGCAAAGACUCCACUUAUCUAUAAAAAAUUAAUCAAAUUUACCGUCGAACUCAGAAAUAUAUACAGAUCCCAAGGGAAUCAUAAUUUCACGAUCCAAAGACUGUAGCUCAGUAUGAGAAAAUCUCUCAGCCACAUGACCUUGAGAAAGAAAUAAUCCUUUUUGUAGUAUAUCGGCAGAUUAGAAAAGUAUUUUCAUUGCAUACAGGUAUUUCAUCCGGGUUAGAAAUGAGUAUGACAAAAUUAUGUCUUCAGGUUCAAAUGAGUCUAAGAUGAGAAAAUCUACAGCUUACCAAAACAAAUGGGACUCUCUUACAUGAACUCUAAUUUGAAAGAACCCCAGGAUGUAAUGUUCUGAGGGGGAAAAAAAAAAUCUGAUUUCACAAGAACCUACAAUUGUGAGCCGUAGAUUGAUCUUCUAGUACAUAGAUUAGUUUUCUUUUUAUGACAAUCUGAAUUUAAUCUCUUAUUUGGACCUUUAUUUCAUUAAUCUAACUAUCAAAAUUAUUUCCAACAUCUCUAUUGAUCUACAUGUGUGAGACAUAUGACAAGUAAGCAAAGCCGCUGAAUUAACAAGAGAAAUACUUAUACAUACUUUGAUUCAAGUAUUCAACAACAAAUCCCUGUUAAACAACGUGAAACAACAAUUUAUCUCCAAAAGCUUAAGCUACAAAAGAACAAUGUUUUUGUUAUUUAUACUCAACACUCGCCCUUAUGUUUGAGCUUGAGGCUUUUUUGACAGCAAACUGCUAGGGCCUGAUGAGAUUUGAACUUAGUUCCUCUUGAUCUGAAACCAUAUUAAAUAAUGUAAAAUAACUACUUAUCUCUAAAAGCUUUGGCUAUCAAAAAUGAUGUUUUUAAGAUUAAUAUUCGACCAUCACCCUGCCAUUCAGUAAAGAAGUUACUCUAUCUAAGAAAGAUUCCAUUGCCAUCGAAAAUAGAAUGAAGUGCAAUCGACUAAACUAAGAUCGAAAAACACGCAAGACCUUUACUGCCGCACUAAAAUCAGGUCUUUAAGAACAUAGAUUUCAAUCACUACUUUAAUCCACGAAGAAUAAGAUAAAAAGAAAGGAAUAUAAGAAAAUAAAGUACAACAGUUACCUUGUUCCCUUCGAUCCCAAACUGGAGCAACCGAAUCCCAUGAGACCUCAGAAACUCCGCAUUCUCCUCCGGAUAGGGCUCCGGGCACAAGUACCUGCACAAAACGCCAAGCGCAUUGCAUUAAAACACUCCAUUUCCCCCAUUCAAAACCCUAACCCUAAACCCCGAAUCCCUCGAUCUUGAAUCAAAAUAAGAGAAGAUCUAAGAAUCCUCACACGAUGGAUCGAAGAUUUAGCGUUUCCAAGAAGCCGAAAUUGGCCGGAUUGGGGAACCCGGACCUGUAGAUGCCCUUAUCCACCAUCGCAAAAUUGGGAGGAGGAACCAAUAACUCGCCGCCGCUGCCUCCUCCUCCUCCUCGUGGGUAUUCGAUUGCUUCCACCGCCAUUAAUGGCGGAAUCUCCUCCUCCUCCUCCUCCUCCUCCUCCGACUCCAAGAACAUCUUCUUCUUCGUCGUCGUGACGAUCGAUUAGAUCGAAUGAGAAAGAAAGAGAGAGAGAGAUUGGGGAUCGUCGUCGCCUCUAAUGGCGCUCGGGAGAGGCGCGAAGAAAAUUAGGGUUUGUUGGCUUUCGCAACGGUCGAAUCUUGUUUUAGUUCCCGGAACGGUACGGAUGCGUUUUCCGUUACUCCGGAUAAAGACGGCGGGAGCGGGGGUGGGGCCCAGGUGGCGACGUGAAUCCGUUCGUACGCCACGAAUAUGCGGCUGUUACGUCUCGAGUCAUGUGGGGACCACGACCAGGGAUUCAGCGAUCCACACUUUUCCCAAGAUGGAGAUUCUAUUCCAUAGACCGGGUCUAUAGACCAGGGUGACGAAUACACCCAAAGUCUCAGUAUUAUAUUUGUGCCUAGGAAUGCGGAGGAUCUGAGCAGGUGGAGCGUCCUAUCACGGACUAAGUAUUUUUGUUCGUAAAGUCCGUACAGCACCCAUCUUUCUACUCGAAGAUGGAGAGGCCUAUCUCCCUAUUAUUACACUGUACCUUCGCAUCCUACGACUAAAUAUGCAAGAAGGAGAGAAGAGAGAAAGAGGCAAAAGUCUUCAAAAACCUAAAUACUCUACUGCUUAAAAAAAAAGGAUUAUAAUACACAACUCCUCUUGUAUUUAGUCAUAUAUAGCUAUCCCCACAAUUUAUAGGCCUAAAAUAUAUUGAAUCUAGCUCAUUCUAACUUACUGCUAAGCAUACAUUAACUCACCCACUAUCACAUAGUAAAGAGCCUUCAUGAAUGUUUCAUGAAUGUAAAGUGACAAUAAGGGUUGCUCAUGACCCUUGGAAUUUUGCUGGCGAUUUUGGAGCCAUUAAGUCUAGCAGUCAUAUUUGACUCCCACAAUGGUUGUUGGUUUUAGGCCUCCUUGACAGCCCGCUCAGUUAGCGAAGUUGGGCUAGGGACUCAGGCUGCACGGUAAUUUUGCUAAGUCCCUGACAUUCUCCCCCACCUAACAUGCAGGCGCUCUCGUCGGGCACCAAGUCGAUCCUUGUUUGCAUUGAAUUGCUCGCAGUUCACCGUGCCUUCACGCCUGCGCAGCCUUGAGCCUUGCUAUCGCAGUCCACCCUUGCUUUCGCACCAGCUCCUAGUACUUUGUCCCUCUGAGCAUGAACACCAGCUAGCUCACUAUGCGGAGAAGUUUGUUAUUGAGCCCAAAUAGUUGAGUGUGCUUGUCCUCCGUGACACGCACGCACACGCCACCAAGCUGCGGGAUGCUCCUUGGUCCCCUCGGGCUCUUUGGCUUUGUACUUGAUAGAGCAACACACCCCUUGCUUGGGUAGUUGCUCCAGCAUCAAUUAAGACUUGACAGUCUCGCUUUUGCUCGGGUCCUCCUCCUCGAGGUCCUCAGCUUUCAUGCAUUUCACUUUCUCGCAAAGCUGCAGGGCUGUAAGAGUUUGGUUCUUCAUCGGCUCGCCUCGACACAUCGAAACCAUACAGGGGGCUAACUCGUCCAUCAAACUCAACACCCACAUAUGAGGCAUAGACACUACAUUCGACGAGGCUAAGAAGUCCAUCCCUAGAAUUACUCCAAAGUCGUCGAGCGGCUCGACAAUAAGAUUCGUCAUGCCCCUCCAUGAACCAAUGGCUAUCUUCACGUCCAGCGCUCGCGUGGCCCUCCCAUUGAGGGUCAUAUCAAUGAACAUCAGUUCCCUCCUGCAUAGCUUCUCAUUACUUGGCUGCCCACAAACUGCAUUGACGAGCCUUAACGUGCCCAUCCUUGGCAAUUCCGCCUUGUCCUUGCCCUUCUCGGCUUGGACAGCAGCCACUUGCUUUCCCUUUACUUUGUUCUGGUUUGGGUGGUCCUGCGCCCAAUGGUUCUCGCCGCACACAUAGCACAUGAUCUUUACAUGCCACGGAGCAAGAUUCCUCUUAUGCCCAUUCGCGUCCACUGGAGUGGUGCUCUCCACGCUUUUGGUGGUUUACCAUAAUCGCCCUCGGUCCGCGCAUACUUGAGCAAUUUCUCUGCCAAAGCUAUCGCGUAGUAUAGAUCCUUGAUACUUGGCCCCACAAGCUCUUUGUUCGCCUGUGGUUAAAGUCCAUCGAGGAAGAAAAAUAACUGUUCCUCAUCGGCCAUGUCGGUGAUCGUCAACAUUAGCUUGGAGUAUUCCUGGACAUACUCCUUUAGUGUUCCCAAAUAUUUGAGCCAUUGAUGUUGCCUCAGCGCAAAAUAUUCGACGUGCUCAGGGUAGAACUACACCUUAAACUCACGCACAAAGUCCUCCCACGUUUUCAGUUGUCAUUGGCCCUCCUUGGCCUCUACCGAUUGCCGAUGCCACUACAGCAUAGUGUCAUUGAUGAGGUAUAUGGAUACGAUCUGGACCUUCUCCUGCUUAUCAUAUAGCCAUAGCGCCUUGAUGUAGCGCUCCAUCUGCCACAAGAAGUUUCGACCUCCUUCUCAUCGCGCAUUUCUUUGAAGUGUUGAGGUUUAGGGACAUGUACCUUUGAAGCACACUCCUUUUGUGGUUCAGGAUCACGCGCCACCGCACUUUCAAGGAUUGUCACCCGCAACUUGAGGUCCUCAACUUUGUUGUUCCGAGCAACAAAGUUCUCAACCAGCACUCUUUGCUCGUCCUCUCGUCGGGCGAAGUCACUAUGAAGAUGCUCGAUCUAUUGACGGAAAGUCGCUAUGGCAGCGGCAAAGCUAUCCUCCAUUGCCCGUUGCUCUUUCUCCAUCACUACCACAUGCUAGGAUAAGAGAGAGCGAUGCUCUUAUAUUCUCGCAACAGUAUCUUCCAAGGAGCCCAUGUGGUCCUUAAGCGAAGCGAACUCCCUCGCAUAGGUCCGCGGCUCCUUACUCUUGCUACCUUGGACUGCCUCGGAGGUUCAGCUGUAAUGUCAAUGAUUGCAGCAUCUGAUGACAACAUGGUUCAUCCUCCUCGAACCAGGUCUGAUACUAACUGUCACGGACUAAGCAUUUUUGCUCGCAAAGCUCAUGCGGCGCCCACCUUUCUACUUGAAGAUGAAUAAGCCUAGCUCUCUAUUGUUAGCUUGGACCUCCACGUCUUGCAACUAAGUAUGUAAAAAUGAGAGAAGAGAUAGAGGCAGAGGUUUCUAAAAAAUUAAGUACUCCACUACUUAAAAAAAAAGGAUUACAAUACACAACUUCUCUUGUGAAUAGGAUUACAACACACAACUUCUCUUGUGUUUGGCCAUAGCCAUCUCCAUAAUUUAUGGGCCUAAAAUAUAUUGAAUCUAGCUCACACUCACCACUAAGUAUACAUUAACUCACACACUAUUAUAUAGUAAAGAGCCCUUAUGAAUGCCUCAUGAAUGAAUGCAAAGUGAUCCCAAGGGUUGUCCAUAACCUUUGGGUUUUCACCUGCGGUUUUGGAGCCAUUUUGUCUAGCAGUUAAUUAUAUGACUCUUUGACUCCCACAAUCGCUGCUGAUUUUGGGCCUCCUUGACAGCCUGCUCAGCUAGUGAAGUUGGGCCACGGACUUAGGCUACAUGGCAAUUUUGCUAAGUUCUAGACAUCCUACUCUUAUCAGUUCCGAAUAGGACGGUAAGUGGGAUAAAAAAUUAAGGGAAAAAAUAAUCAACUCCGAAUCCGCCUUGAUCUGAUAAAAAAAUGAAACGGGAGAAGACGGACCCUUCCUUCAUUUUAUCCAAAUCCGCAAAAAAUUCGUCAAACACCAGCCCCCGUCCUGACUCGCUACAAAUGAAAUGAUAAGUGGAGACAAAAAAUAAAAUAAAAACUAAUCCGCCCUAAAUCUACUAUGACCUGCUACGAAAAUAGGGUUUUGAGGUGGGGAACCCUCCCACCCCCUAUUCUACCCUAUUUUCAUUCCUAAGGAUGUCAAUGGAUAUAGAUACCUACCAUUAUAGUUGAACAUCAAACCGUUUAAAACGACAUUAACUAAAGCUAAAUAUAAUAUAUUGAAUUUAGUGUAGUGCACCAAACUUUGACCAAAUUGGCAAAGUGAGAAUUAAAGCCAUGCUAAACAUGAUUAGAAAUGGUACAUGAAAAGUUAGGCUUAGCUAGAUAAGAGUUAGGGCCAAAUCGGAUCGAAUUAGGGCUUUUGAAUGAGUGGAAAUCAAUUUUCUAGACCUUUCGUAUGCCUAAAAAAUAUUUUCGGGUGCCCAAAAAAUAUUUUUGAGCGCCUAAAAACUUUCGAAUUGUCCAGUCAUCAAUUUAAACGGACUUUACUCGAGAGUAAGGGUACACGGAUUGCUAAAUAUUUAGGAGUUCGGAUUUUCGUUCUAGCAUUUGAAAUCUUUCGGAUUGUCUAGCGGGUGACUGGUUUCACUACCGGAUGCUCUACCCGAGAAGAGGGGUCGCUUGGAACGUCAAAUAUUCAGCCCUUUAGUUUGCCCUAUGAGCGUCUGAAAUAACUAUCGAAUGAUUGGGUGGGCACUUGAGUCAAUUUUCGGAUAUUCAACCCAAGAGCCUUGGAGCGGAGCUGCUUGAGACUUUUGGGCGCCCAAAAGAUUGGUAGACGCUUGAAACCUGGCGCUGAGGCAGCAGCAAUUUCAAAUAAAACUUGACAAGUUGGAGGGUUUAAGUAUAAAUAUAGUACUCUUGUAUGUACCCUUUCACAGUUACAUCCUAAUCUCUUUAUUUUCCUUUCUCUCUACUUUCUCUUUCUAAAAGAGAAAAGAAACUCUAGCUCUCUCUAUUUUGACCCUUUAAGCUCCAUCUGCAACAAGUUUGGAGGAGGGCAAGAGCAUUUGGAAGGAGCUUUAGGAGGGAGAAGGCAAGCUUCUCAAGCUUCAUUUCCCUAGUUGGGAGAAGUAGAGGUGAGUUAGAAAUUCAAAGUUAAAAUUUAGGGUUAUUUUUAAAUGCGAGUUUUGAAUAUUCUAACAUGGUUAGAACUUCACUUUUAGGCUUGUUUAAGAGCUUUGAGAGCUCAAAAAAUAUUUUCAAGAGGAUUUUAAUAAGCUAAGAUGGCAAAUAUCAUCAAAAUGGGUUUGAUUUUUCUUUAAUUUGUUUAAAAAACUUCCAUUUGCAUGAUAGCUUAAACUUCAUGCUUUAUUGAGUAAGAGUGGGCUAAAUCUUUUGAUGUACUUGUGUGAAGCAAGGGUUGAAAAUUUUAUAAUAGUGAGCCCUAUCUUUUCUUUCUUGUGCUCCUCCACCAAAAGAUUGAUUUUAGGAGUUUGGGUGCUUUGUUCUCAAUCUCUUUGAGCUACAUUGUUGAGAAAAAUUUUCAAGUUCUAGGUGAGUUGUUUGAUUUUUUAGUUUCUAGAAGAUUCUUGUUGUUUCUUAGGUAUUUCCUUAAUCUUGAGCUUUAACUAAGCUUUAAAGAUGUUUUCUUGAUUUCGAAGAAGGUGCUUGAAAUUCUAAAAUUUUCAAAGCUAUUUUUGUGUAAGUUUACAAACGGUCGAUCAUUCAUGCUUGUUUGAGGAUAUUUUGGCCUUCUAUUAGCUUUUAAGAGAUCAAUUGAAAUUUUCUUGGUCAAUUUUAUAGAAACACAUUGAUUUUGGUUUGGACUUUCCGUCCUUGGAUUUCAUUAAGGGCUCUUGUUUUCUUGUUCUUCUUUUAUCUUGCUUUAGAGCAUUCCCAUUAUCUCGAUGAGUUUGUAGAUGUGCAGCCUGGGUUCCUGGUUCCGGAACUAGCCAAUGCAAUAAUGUGCAAGACCGGCAUUAGCUUUCUAGAACCUGGCGAUAGCUUCCGAAACUUGGAGCUGGUUCUGGAACCUCAACAGUAACUUGUAGAACCUUAACCUCUAGGAACUCCAAAUUUUGAGUUUUUACAGAUCUUUGGUCAAGAUCAUGCCGUAAUCUUAUGUAUGACCUGUUUACACUCUUCUUAGGUCUGGGUGAAGAUCGAGGACCCGUGAAUGCAUCGUAGUAGCGAAUUAGUAUUUUGAGAUGGGUACACACUCCGAAGUGUGCUUAGCAUUACCCCGGUUUGCCUGAACUUAUCUAUUCCCAAUACUUCCUCUAGAUAACAAGCUUUUGACCUGCCCCUAAUUGUACUUUGGAUGUCACAUAGGUUUUAUUAACAGUUGCUGCUCAUUGAAGCCUUCACACUUCAGCAUGUUUCUAUUCUUUCGCCGAAGUUGCCUAUUAGGACAACUCUUCUUUGAGGUGUCACAUACUCUUUUUUGCAUACUUUGUCGUCAAAAGUAUGCGUCAAUCACCUCUCAAAUUAGAGCUGCAACAGUCACAGCCCGACGUAGAAACUCAACUAGGCACGUAACAAACCAUCGGCAUGCACAAAGUUUCUCCUAUAAUUGCAAGGCAAAAUCGAAAGCAACUUACUUAUUUAUAGUAAAAUAUUGACAUAACAAUAUUACAAUUAGGGAUGUAAAUUUAUAUGGAUACCCGAAUUUUAUCCGAAUCCAAAUCCGAACGGAGCGGAUUUUAUCCUAUGUAAAUGGAUAUGGAUAUCAAAAAUAAAAACCCGACGGAUAUGGAUUUGGAUAUGGAUAUUGACUGUACUCGACCCGAACCCGACCCGAAUCCGAACCCGAACCCGAAUCCGAACCCAAGCCCGAACCUGAACAAAUUUAAUAUGAUAUAAUAUAUAAAAAAAAAAAUUCAAGCCUUUAAAUUUAAAUCUAAAGGCCAAAAAAAAAAAAACCUACACUUUUAUAAUCUAAACCAAAAUACAUAUAUAUUAAUAUAAUUUUUAUAUAUAUUAUAUUUAUAUAUAUAAAUAUAUAAUUAUAUUUAUAUAUAUAAAUAUAUAAUUAUAUUUGUAUAUAAAUAAAUAAUAUAGAUAAUAUAGAUUAUUAUUUUUAAAAUUUUUAGCCCAACUUAAAAAUGAAGCCCAACUUUUUUAUAAAUAGGCCCACCUAUAUUUAAAAAUUUCAACCGUUGGAUCAAAAUCUAACGGCUAAUAUUCCAUCAACAUUUAACUUUAGUAUUUCACCUCUUUCUAACCCUAAUUCCUUUCCUUUUUCCAAAAGACUCUUGCUUUCUCUCUUGCGCCGGCGACUACACCUGAAGAGGCGAAGAACCCCCCUGGCAGCGACGCCCCCCCUGGCAUCUCUCUUGCGCCGGCGACUACACCCGAAGAGGCAAAGAACCCUCCUGGCAGCAGCGCCCCCCUGGCAGCGGCGCACGCAGCGCUUUUCCAACGUCGCCAUUCGCACACGCCCGGCAGCGGCUUUCAGCAGGUUCGUUCUUCGUCUUCCAUUGAUCUUCAUCUUUUUUUUUUUUUCUUUUUUUCUAAUGGAUUUUUUGAGCAAAAUGUGAGGAUUGUUCGCAUAGUAUCUAUCGAAUGUCACAACUCUUGGUCUUAGUAUAACUCAUGAGUGGAGUACUUCAGCUGUGUAUGAUGAUCGAUGAUGAUUUAGACGCCAUCCUUAGUGUUUCAUUGCGGGAUCAGUUGUUUCAGAAUUGUGAAUUUAAAUCUAGCAUGUGGACUAUUUGAACUACCUCAAGAUGUUAUUGUGUAUCAGCUGAUCGUUUUUGUAGCCGUUGUUUGUUCUUAGCAGCUUGCAAUUUUCUACUACAAUUUGUUGAGUGACUUGAAAUAUUGAGAUGAUAAUAUCUAGAUGCAUGGACUUGGUUAAUGUCAUAGUGGAAGAUUGUUUUAAAUCUUAAUAUCAUAUUAUGUUGUGUUCUAUUUAGAAGUUGUGCAUUUAUAUUAAACAUAUGAAAAUUGUAUUGUUGUUUUUAAGUAUUUGAGUUUGUAUUUUUCAUAUUUUGCUAUCGCUAUUAUAUGGCAUAAAUGUUUAAUAUUGUAUUUGAAUAUGUAUUUUGAAUGGCAUGAAUGUUUAGUAUUUGAAUAUAUAGUUUGAAAUUUUAGUUUUUUUGUAUAAUAUGUUUCGAAAUUGGUAAAUAUUAUUUUCGGGUUCGGAUUUUCGGGUUUAGAAUCGGGUUCGGGUUUUCGGGUUUUUGGUCAGGUUCGGGUUUCGGGUUUUUGCUCGGGUUCGGGUUUGGAUGUGGAUUUUUAAAAUCCAUCCGGUUCGGGUUCGGGUUUCGGUUCGGGUUUCAGAUUUGGUAGUUAGGUUCACGUUCGGAUUUUUAAAAACCCGCCCCGAAUCCGACCCGUUGACAUCCCUAAUUAUAAUAACCGUAUGAAUUUGGUGAGCCUAUUAAAGCAUAGUAACAACCAAGAGAGAGUUUUCACAACUUUCAAGCUAUGACUUAGCUAUGGAGGGGCCUAAGUAGCCAUGUCCCCGUCAACUUUUCAAAAAUUACGUAAAGGCAUCUAUUCAUGAUAUAGAAAAAUUAAAAUAUUAUAAAUUAUGGGGACUAAAAUAAAAUUUUUCUUAAAAUGUUUCAAACUUUUGUUAUAGUUUGCUUUAUAAUUUUUUUUAAGAUAAAUAUAUUACGCAUUCUUCCCCCUCGAAUCCAAGUUCUAGCUUCCUCUCUGCCCAAGUUCAUAAUUGCAUUUAUAUAACAAAUUUGUUUUAAUAAAUUUCAAGAUACAACAUUCAAGUAUAAAAGCAAACUUAUAAAAUAAGUACCUAAACUUUUAAUUUUGACAAUUAGACUUUUAUAUUUUAUCAAAUAAUUUCAUAAACCUCUCUAUUCAACUAAAGGAAUUAAUUAUAUUAUCAUUUUAGUUGUAUGUAUUGUACAUAGUUUUUUUAAGUUUCACAACAAAAAAAUUUUAUUUUUUUGUUCUAACAUAUAAAAAAGUAAUAAAAAUUAGUUUGAUUCAACAUAUUUCUUGAUCGUCAUGUUUAAUUAUCAAAAUUGGUAGAUAGAAAAUAAAUUAUUUUAUAUUUUGAAGUCUUAUACGAUUACAUGCAUAAUAUUCAAUUAUGAAUAUUAUGUAAUUAAUGAGUUUACUUUAAAAAAAAUCUAUUAAAUUAUUUGAUAAAAUUUAAAAAUUAUUAUUACUUAAAUAAAAAGUUUAGGCACCUACCUUCUCUCUCUCUUUUUUUUUCUCAAAACUAAAAAGAAAGGGAUAAUUGUUUAUAUACCCCGUCAAAACUUCUGAAAUAUUUUAUUUAUUCAUAUAUUUUUUUUGUUUCAAAUAUACCCCUUUGUAUAUCUCUCCGUUAUUCAAAAAUAUCCCUACUAUUAGUGCCCGUUAAGUCAUCUCGGUUAAAUUUGAAUUAAAUUUUUACCAUAGUUAAAAGUAGAAAUAAAUACCUAUUUUUCUCUAACUUAAGAGCAAAUAAGAAAAUUUGGUUACUGCAGAAGAAUAUAUUUGAAAAGGCAAAAAAUCUAAAUACUUUUUUUAUCCCUAACUUAUAAAUAAGAAAAUGUUAGUGAUAAUAGAAAGGUACAUAUGAAAAGGCAACAGUUUCUCAUCGUUUAUUAACACAAUUUAAAUAUAGAGUUAAAUAUGAAAAAGUUUAGAACCUUGAUAAGAAUAUUUUUAAUAUUAGAAUAGGAUAAAUAAAAAGAAUUAAUUGCAUACAGAUCCCUGUAAAUAUAGUGAAUCACAAAUAUAUUCCUACAAAAUUCAAUUUUUAUAUAUUGUACCAACAAAAAUUCGGAUGUUUUCAAAUAUAUCUCUACUGUUAGAAUCCGUUAGAAAAUUUUAGUUAACCUUAAGUUAAAUACUGGUUAGUUAAUAAGGUGAUUUGACUUUUUCAACCCUGUUUAAUUAACAGUUGGAAUUUUUAGAGUGACAUAUUUGUGAUGCUAAAAAUAUCAUUUUACUUAUAAAAUAGACAGUGCUUUAACGAUAAAAAAAUCAGAAGAACAUAUUUAAAAAUAUUAGAAUUUUGAAGAAAUAAUAUAUAUAUAAAAGUUGAACUUUAUAAUUUACUAUAUUUAAAUAUAGGUAUCUGCAUGAGAUUAACUCAAAUAAAAAAGUUGAAAAUAUUGCAGGAAAAUAUAAGCAGUCGCCCCCAAAAAGGAAAGAAAACAUAGAGAAACUACUGGAAGAGAAGCAAGGAAGAAAGAAAAGAAAGAAAGAAGCUUAGCGAUGGCGGAGAAGCUGGCGCCGGACAAGCGCCACAGCUACGUCCACAACGGUAAUAAAAGCUCCCCUCCCUCCCCAAAUUUCUAGGGUUUCUUUCUUUCUCUCUUUCCAGUUCGCGCUCUCUCUCUCUCUCUCUCUCUCUCUCUCUCUCUCUCUCGCGGAUCCCUAUUCCCUAAAAUAUCUGUUGCAAUCGAUCGAAAUUUCUAGGGCAAAAGGUGUUCGAAUGGGAUCAGACCCUGGAGGAGGUGAACGUCUACAUCGAUCUCCCCCCAAACGUCUCCACCAAGCUCUUCUACUGCAAGAUCCAGUCCAAGCACAUCGAAGUCGGCAUCAGGGGCAACCCUCCUUAUCUCAACGUUCGUGAUCCCGAUCACCUUCAACUUCUAAUUUUCUUUUUCAUGUUUGGGUUGUUAUAGUUAGUUAAAUUGAGAGUUAAUUUGUUGAAAGAUUGAGUUUGUGCCAUUUCGAAGAAAAUUUUUUCUUGAGAAGUUAAGCUCAUGAGUUCCUACUUGAUUUGCAGCCGAAUCUCAACUUCAUCAAUCCAAAUGCCCCCUUAGUGUUUGUGAUCCCAAUUACCGUCUCUUGUUUCUGUCGAAUUCAUUGGUAAAAAUGUAUUGGAAUCUUCUCAACUCAUAAUUGUCUUUAUCGAGUUUUGCUAGUUAGUUAAAAUUGAGAAUUUUGAUAAAUUUGAUAGCUCUAUUGGCUGUAAGUUGGUAAUUGUAGCAGUUUAUAGGCUAAAAUGUUACGAUGGAACCAGUGUUGGAUUUAGCAAAAAAAUUUCCAAUUUAUUUUGACUAAGGUCAUUCAAAAAAUAAAAAAAAUUAAAAAAAAAAAAUCAAAGGAUGAGGGGUGUCAAUCAAAAAAGAAGUUUUGAGGUGGCCAUUUAUAAAUGUCCUAUUUGUUUUGUUUUGUUUUGUUUUGUUUCUUUUUGUGGAGGAACCGUUGAUGGUGUUGUUAUUUUUCUGCUUUUGUGAUUUGAUUUCCAGCAUGAGCUUGUGCACCCCGUCAAGACGGAUUCCUCAUUCUGGACUCUUGGUAAUGCAUCCUCUGACACCGAAGCAAUAAUUUAGGGUUCAAAGUUUAUUUCUUGUCUUACUGAUUGGUGAAACUGAACAUAACUUUGCUUUAUAUUGUUUGUGCUUUUUUCAGAAAAUUAGGUUAUUUUUUAUGGUGAUGAGUCAAUAGGGAAGGACUUCAAAUUUUAUGGAACCGAGAGCCAAUAUAUUAUAGUCAAUAAUUGAUAAAAAAAUUGAAUUUGGCCUUUAAAUUUUGCUAUGUACACUUAUCUUUGUUGGAAUUCCUUUUAUACUAUCAUUUUAAAGGUUAGCUAUUUUUCAUUUAUUGGCGCAAGUGUUUGAGUUUAUUGGGGCUUAAUCAACACAUCGCGAUAAACACUUGUACACUUUAUCGUGUCUCUUCAUUGGCAUCUGGUUAAUUGAUUUCAUAAUUUAGUUCUCACUAUUGCGCAAUCACAAAUAGUUGAUUUAUCGAAGAAACCUAUUGGGGUUAUCUCAGGCAGCUAGGCACUGAUCUGGAUGCUGCAUCGAAAUUCUCACUAGUUCAUUUACAGCAUUUUUUAGCUUACAUAGUCAUUGAAGACAAUACUAGCUUGAUCUUGUAGAUACUAAUAGGUUGAGUUCUAUGCUGUCUAGAGUGUCCACAAAGAUGAUUUUUUUGAUUUCAUAAUGCAUCUGGAGGAGCUAAGGGAGUUUGAAAUCCUUGAGUUUUAGGAAGGUAGCAUGAAUAUGAAAACCUUAUAUGUGUUUACUGGUUUUGCUUUCUUUUCGUGCAACUGGUUUUAGAUCUAUAUUGCUACUGUAAUUAGUAAGACUAGUGGAAUACCAACUCUAUAAAUAGAAUAUAAAUACUAACACCUAUCAUUAUUUACCUCGUAGAUGCAACACUAUUGUUUAUAUGCUAAAAAAUUUCCACAAUACUGAUCAUGAUUAGAGAGCCAGGAUGGUAUCUUGUAUCAAGGUUGUCUGUUGCUACAUGAUCAUAGUUCAGCAUUUGAUGCGUUUGUUGCUGCCUGAUCAUAGUUCAACAUUUGAUGCAAGAGCAUUGAUACCUAGAUAGAAGGUUGCCUAUAACAAAGCACUUGGCCAGCUCUUUUAUAGUUUUAAGAGGGAGUGUAUUGAAAUUCAGACAUUAUUGCAAUUUAUUUCCUCUUGGUUGUUCUCUAUGGAAAAAUAUUAGGCUUUGUUUAUAUUUGUUCUGGCAACCUCUAUUCAUGGUACUUUCCCUACUUUUGAAAGGAAGCUCGAACACCCUUCGUAUGAGACGCUGCUUGUUGAAGCCAAAAGUAUUUCACUUACUGAAAUUCACAGUAUGACAAUUUGUAGAUUAGCAAUAAUGAUAACCUCUCUCGUUUGGAAAAGCUAUUGUUGAAGGUUCGGACACAUUCAGUGAACAUGUUGUGACGAUGAUGAACUCUGAUAUGUUGGUGUUCAAAGUUGUUGAUAAAUUUUGUCCAAAGUUACUGCUGAAAAUACUAUGGUCGUUUAUUUAUGCCAAUGAAAUCAACAUCAACUUUAAUGUGCAGCUUUUAUGUGCUCUAGAGUAUCUGAUGCUUAAAUCUUUCUAAAUAGAUGAGACCCAUUGUAACUGUGUUCAAAAGCUUUGCAGAUAUCAUUUUGUGCACUCCUAUGGAAUGGAAUAAAUGUACAAUGAAAUAAUUCAAAUUCUCAAUCUGUAUAUUUUCUCUGUGCACUUUCGCAGUUCUAUCGCAUCAAGUACUUAGAUAAUUUGACUUUUAAUUGCCCAUUGUCAUGGACUUUCUUGUUGGCAACGACUAAUCUUGCUAUAUGAACCUACCAGAGGAUGGAGUAAUGCAUAUCACGCUGCAGAAAAGAGACAAGGGGCACACUUGGCCAUCUCCAAUACUUGGCCAGGGUGUCUUAGAUCCUUACUCUGCAGAUCUUGAACAAAAGCGUCUUAUGCUGCAAAGGUUCCAAGAAGAGGUACCAACCACUUCUCUAUGAUUUUUUUUUUUUUUUUUUUUUUUGUGUUUCAUGGUGUUGAUUUUGUCUUAAUUAUGUCCUGCAUGAUAAUAGUCUCGUACUCCUUUCACCUUUCGUCUUCUAUAUCUUGAUUGUCUUGCGGAGUUCUUGGCAUUAAGCCAUCAAUUAGCACCAAUUAUGGCACUAUUUAGAUAGAUUAUCUAAAUAAUCAUUCUCACAUUCAGAGUAGCAGAUGUUUUCUAGUUCUAUAAUUUCUCUAGUUCUAUAAGAAUUUCAAAAGGUUUUUUCAUGCAUGAGCCUAGAUUAUUCCAGGAAGGUACUGCCAAUACAGCCUCGUCAAUCAUAUGUUUCAUGGCUAGGCUUCUCUUAUUUUCUUUUGGAUAUAAACUUAUUACCAAAAUCACAGUUGCUUUCAGGCUGCCAAGAUGAUUGUAAGGAUGUGCCAAUUUCCUUGUGGCCUACACAUCCGUCUUUUAAUUGAUAUGCUUAUUUGGUUGAUGACUGACUGAAUAUGAUCUCAUUUUCAAAUUAAUUUAACUCCGGCAGUUGUUGAAUCACCUCUUCUAUUCAAUGGCCAUUCUAUUUUGUAUAUCCUGGACCAUAUAACUUGGUUUGUCGGAGAAAUAACUAAAAGCUAAUAAUGGGCUAAUGGCUAAUUACACUUGUAUAGAUGUGGUGAAGCUAAGGUCCCUGCUCAAAAUACAUAUAUUCACACUUUUAUGGGGUGACUAGUUUGGACAAGUUUUUAGGGGAACCGACAUUGUCCCUUUGUCUAUAUUCUAUCUUUUAUUAUGCUGUAAGUUCCCUUUUAGGAAUGUUCUUAGUGAAGGAUACAUUAUCAAGCAUGUGUGUCAGGGUCGCCAACAGAUGGCACUUUAGCUGAAACGAUGGGCGUUAGUAGGGUGAUUGAGUAAUUCAAUAGCUAAACUUUGACUAAUCAAUUCAAGAAAGUAACCGUUGUUUUUAGCAAAUCUAUUCCAUUUUCCUUGUCUUUCGUUGUUCGCUAUCUUGAUACUGAUAUGAAGGUGCAGGUGCUACUCGUGGUAUGUCCCUGAUUAUUGUGCAUCAUCCUUCAGGAUGAUUCUUCAUUGAUUUGGAACCUUUAUUAUGUCCAUUUGAUUUUCUUAAUUCAACUGUUGCUGUUGAACAUUAAUGUACCUGCCAGGAAUCUAAGUUUUUGUUACGAUUUCGGCCUGUGUCUAUGAGUUUCAUUUUUGGCAGUUUUGACAAUUUUGGCCCAAAAGAAUUUUAAAAAGUUAUGAAAAGAUUAUCAGAAUUAAUUGGAAAAGCACAAAAAAAUUUGGUGUAUUUAAAUAUAUAAAUAAGAUUUUCUGCCAAUUUAAUUCGUAGAUUUGUUGGCCUUGGUGGAAAAUUUAGUAUUCAAGGUUGUUCUCUGUAGGUCUUUGGUGAUUGGGCUACUAGGGUCUCCUGAAAACUUGAUGAGUAUGUUAUGUCUAUACCAAUUGUAACUUUUAAUAGCAAAUAUUGCUAGUAUUCUAGAAGACAUUAUUUUGAGAUAGAAUGAAAAACUCAAGUUUUCUAAGAGACACUAGAGUUUCAGCUUUUUGUCCCUUAAAAACUAAUAUUAGGACUCUUUUUAUUAAGUUCUUUGAGUUUCUUAUUUUUCAUUUACUUAAAUGAUAUGGAAGUCAAAGAAACAUUAGAAUGUUUAAGGAGAUAUUUAUGGACGGAUAUUGGCUGGAACUUGUGAAUUUUGGCGGAGACUAUAUUAGUUUCAACCGGACCUAGAGAAUUUAGGCUGAAGUUUGGUCCAUAAGUGUUCAAUUUCGGCCAAAACAAGUUGGUUUCGGCUGAAACUUGGUCUCUACUACUCGCUGAUUGGUUGGCUUGUGAGAGUUAUCCUAUUUUCACAUUAAAUCUGAAGCCCGAAUUGCCAUCGUGGGACUCUCAGAUUCGUUCUACAUUCCAUGUCCUGUAAUAUUAAGUAGGUGAACUAUUCCCAAGCCCCAAUAUUUGUAAUUUAUCUAAUUCUUGACCUCUAGGGAGAGAUGCUUAAGUGACAGAGAGAGAGAGAGAGAGAGAGCUAAACUGCUGUAUGUCUCAUUGUUUUCUCCUCAGUCUAGUUCUUCUAACUUACUGCUUCUGCACAUUGAUUAUUUUCUUGUGUUUCCUUUUUGAUGUUUCAUCUUUACAUCUUCUCAUCUUCUUUGAAACAAUUGAGUUCAAAUUUGAUAUUAAGCUUUUGCAUCUAUUAUGUGUUGUUACGUUCUGUUUGCUUUCAAUCUAUUCUGUCUUUACUUAAUUCUCCUUCUACGGCAUUUUGGUUAUAUACAUCUUCUUUUUUCCCCCUCAUUUGCAGAAUCCAGGAUUUGACUUUUCCCAGGCACAGUUCAGCGGAAACUGCCCCGACCCCAGGACCUUCAUGGGAGGGAUUCGCUUCGACUAAAAAUUACGUUAUAGCUGGUCGGAAUCACUAUAUUGCUCAUAAUAUAAGCCCUAAAUUGUAAAAAUAUUGUUAUUUUAGCAUCAAUGUUUGAGUACAUAAAAGUUAUUUGUGACUAUUAGUCCUCGAACAUUUAGUCGAGUUUCACUUGUAGCCUCUACUUUUUAGCUGGAAGUUUGGAAUUCGAAAUUUUUUGGGCCUACUUAAUCUUAAUUUUGGGGCCUACUUCAUCUUAAUCCAUCAACUCUCAUGUAUCUUAAAGUUUCACUUCAACUGUGCAUUUAAAGUAGAAAAAUAAAUUGCACUUAAAUUGAUGGCAGUGAUGGAAAAAUGUAAUGGGAUAGAGAGUUGAUGGAUGUGUGGUGUGGUGCCCAGAUGUAGGCAUGCACUGUGCGCAGGCAAUAAUUUUUAGGAGCAAUGGUUUAUAUACUCUUGAAAAGUUUUCUGACUUUUCGAUUUACUCAUGUUAGAAGGCUAAUAUUGAAAAUAUUCUUACUACGAUCCAAUCUAUUUUUAAUAUAUCCCUAGAGUUAAAAUCUGUUAAUAAAUUCUGUUAUCUCUGUAAAAUUAUUAUUUUGCCUUUUCAAAUAUACUUUUUUAUCAUCACUGACUUUUUUAUUUGCCCUUAAAAGUCAGGGGCACAAAAGGUAUUUUGAUUUUUGGUUGUUUUUCAAUAUAUCUUUCUACCGUCACCAACAUUUUUUAUUUGUCCUUAAGUUAAGGAUAAAAUUGAUAUUUUAAUUUUUUUAACUGUGGUAGAUAUUUAAUUCACGUUUAACCUAAGUUAACUUAACAAAAGAUAACUGCGGAGGUAUUUUGCAAUAACGGUAGAACAUAUGAGGGGUAUGUUAGAAAGAAAAAAAAAAAAAAGGUAGGGAUAAAUCAGAUAUUUUCAAACGUACGAGGAGUAUAUAGGCAAUUAUCCCUAAUUUUUAACUCCAGCAAUACAGAGGUCAUAUGUUGAGGGGGUGUUUGCUUGUAUCUAAAAUCGUGAAAAAUAGGUUUCCUUAGAAAAAAAAAAAAUGGUAAAAAAUGUUUUUUCUUUUUGGUGAAAAAGAGUGUUAUGUUUUGUAGCAUUUGGUUUAUAAGAAAAACAAUCAAUUUUCAUUAAUAUUUGUUUGGUUGAGAAAAAAAAAAAAUCACAAUUGUUUCGUUCUAUGAAAAAAAAGGGUGGAAAAUUUUUUACCCAGCUUGAGUUUUUAUUUUUUGUCGAAGAUUAGUGAAAAAUGAAAAUACUUUAUUUUUUUUUAAUCUGCAAAAUAAUUUUUCAAACAAUCUUUUGUAUUGUUAGACAAACACAAAAAAAUAAUUUCUUAAGCCAAAAAAUAAUUUUUGAUAUAUUUUACGGCCAACCAAACACAACACCCUUUUUACUUCAAAAAUUUAAGCACAAUUUGUGUAGCAAUUUUUCAUUUGUUUUUCUUAAUAUUUAAAAGGAACUAUGCCUACAGACUUUAUUGGUUUUGCUUGGGGGUCUGGUUUGUUGAAAAAGAAUGUUUCCUUUAAAUAUGUGAUUUUGUUAUUUCUAUUUUUUUAUUAAAAUAAUAGUGUAGGUAGCACUGCUGAUGUAGAAAACAUGCAUGAAGACAAAAGUGCUGAGAUUCUGCGUAGAAAUUGUUUGAGAUCAAAUUCUCUGCAAUCUGGUAUGGAAACACAAAUUUCUGCGCAUGAGGUGACCUUAACAUCUAUUUAUUUACAACAAGCUAAAUCUCUUAGCCAUAAUCUUUCAGUAUAACACAACAAAAUUUUGUCAAACGAUGUAUAAUUUACAUAAUUAUAAAUUAUACAUAAGUUUAUUGAGGUAGAACAACUUUACUUGUCACCAACCAAACACCACCUUACCAAUGUUGGAUUAAUUGUAUCAUUCGUCCCCAACCUUUAUUUACCAUUUAUUUUAUUAGCCCCCAACCUCUUUUUUUUUUUUAUUGCAAUAGAUUUCGCCUUUCGUAUUUAUUUAUAACUAUUUUAAUCUCAUAUGUAAUAUUGACGACCUCUUUUAUAGUAUUUCGCACUUUGGCAUCAAUGCAAGCAUACUAGUGAAAACUAGAAGAACUUGAUACUUUAAUUGACAGAAGAUGCUGAACUAUCUGAUUUUUUUUAAAUUUUAGUUUUUUUAUUCAGUCAUUCAAUUCAUUUGAUUUGUGUCAGUAACAACACUUUAACUUUAAAAUUUAAUAUUAUUUAUUAGUGCAAAUUAAAUAAAUUGAAAAAUUAUAUAGAAGAAUUAAAAUUUUAAAAAAUUAAGUAGUUGAUUCAAAACUAUCCGUAGUCCUUACAAAUUCGUUGCUACUUAGAAAAAAAAUCUAAAAAAAAAUUCAUGUCCUUCGCACUGUACUGUAGUUGACUCCUGCGGCGCCACUCUCCGUCCUUCGCUCGCUACGUUGCGUAUUCAAAACCAAAAGCGUAGACCAAAACACAGAGAGGAGAAGAGAUAAAAUAAAAAUUAUAAAAAAAGGUCUCCCUUCCGAUCCAAGAUCCUACUCAAACCCUAGCUCGCGCGCAUCUCCGCCGUAUCCGAAUCCAAUGAGGAGGUAUACACUCCUCUAAUUCCCACUCUAUGUCCACGGUUCCAAAUUUGAUGUGUAGCACCUCAUUUUUCAUCGAUUUUUUCCCUUUUUUUUUGAUCCAUUUCCACCGUUUUUGCAGGGGAGGAGAUGUUUUGGGACGGCGAAGUGGCAGUGGGGGCGGCGGCGGCGGCGGCGGCGGCGCGAGGCAGAUGAAGCAGCUCGGUGGCGGCGGCGCCGCCGCCGGAGCGAUGAGGGGUUUGCCCGUGCGCCUCUCGAUGGCUCUGCUCGUCCUCGUCAUUUGUAUCCUCGCCAUUUUCUCCUCCAUUGGUGUUCAUCGCCCAUCGAACUCAGUACAGGUGAGGUGCUCUUUUGGGUUAACAUAAUGCACAGGGACUUCCCUCCCCUAUAGGACUUUGUGAAUUACAUAACCCUCAAUUUUGGAUUCCUUGUAUUUGGGUUAUCGUUAUGAAACAAAUUAGAGAUUUUGUUAAAUUUAAUGAUGAUCGUGCUGAAGAACGCUUUUUCAGCUGAUAAAAUGGCGGAUUUAGUUGACUAUAUAUUAAUGGCUGGUAAUUUUAAUGAAUCUCCAACUCAUUUUAAAGAUAUAAUUCGAAUCAAAAUAACGAAAAGUUAUGAGGUUCUCAAUUAAUAAGAAGUUGGUAAUAUAUAUAUAUAUAUAUAUAUAUAUAUANNNNNNNNNNNNNNNNNUAUAUUUUUUUUUUUGACUGUAAAACAUGGGGUGAUUCCUUGUGUGCUUCAUUAAAGGGAUAGAAAAGAAAAAAAAAAUACACAGCAUUUUGGCAGCAAGAGGCAUGUAGGCAGACCAUCUAAUAACUUAGGUGGUAAAUCAAAUGAAGUUGGAAAAAACUUAGUUUCGCAUUAGCUUUUCAAUUAAAUCUCUAGUUUGCAAAACAAAAAACUUGAGUGAAACACCUGCGUUGAUCAGCAGCAAUUUACGAUGUGUAUGGCAACUUGUCGAAAGAAAGCAUUGAUUUUGGGGAGGUUUUGUUCCUCGGAAAGGGGUGGAAAACUAAUUUUCAGGAAAACAAUCGUCCAUGGAACCAAGGUUUUAAGUGCCCGUCGGCACGGGCCGUAUCCACCGUGCCGUACCGUGCCAACAAGAUACCGGCACGAUACAGACCUCGUGCCGAUGGCACAGCUCAAAACCCUCCAUUCUUUAAAUUAGUAAGUAAUUUCCUAAAAAAAGUUCAAAAGAUGUGAUAAAAAAGCAUAAUAAAUAGUCAGAAUAUUUUGUUGCUAAAGAAAAUAAAUAUUUCAUGCUAUUAUGUGUCGGCACACAAGGAUUUUUUUGACCGGCACGGCUCGGCACGGCUCGCCACGCACCGUGUCGUACCGUGCCGGCAAGUUUCCAGUACGAUCCCGUGCCACGACACUUAAAUCCUUGCAUGGAACCCUUUUCACAAUUUUGUUUUCCGGAUAAAAAUUUGGAAAAUGAAGACACUACUUUUUCAUAAAACCUGGAGAAAGCUUUUUCAGGAAAAUUACUUCUCCUAGGAACCAAACAGACAAAAAACGCUUUUUUAGGAAGUAAGAAAGCACAUAGUCAUAGGUGAUAAGUAUGAAUUUAACAUAAUAACAUGAAGCCUAGGGUGAUGAUUCUUUGGUAAAUUUCAUUCUGGAUUCCUACUUCAUCGUCGCCUUUUUGAAAUUGCUUUCUUAUUCUUUAUUCUCGUAGACUGGACGGGUUUUCACCUAAUAUCUUAACUAAUGGCUGAUCUUGAACAUUUCUAAGAAUAUAUAUGUUGCCUGGUAAUGCGGUAGUUGUAGGUAGUACCCAAAUUUUGUCGAUUUUUAUUUAUGCUUUACCUGGCAACCAUUACAAUGUCAUUGUGUGGAAAUUUUAUAGUCAUAUUAUUACUUGUUUCUCACUCAUACUAUUUUACUCUUUGCUUUUACUGAAAUCCUUCAAGAAUGUUGCCGUGACUAAGCUGUGGAAACCUGCUGAUUCUGGUGGGUGGAGAGCAUCAUCUGCACCACGUUCAUACUGGCCUCGUAUGUCAUUUACCAAUACCUUUGUUUAGAGCUCUUAUAGGUUUUCUCUUCCUGAAAUAUUUUUGGCAUUCCCAAUUUCAAUGUUACAGCUCCUCCAACUGAGACCAAUGGUUAUUUAAAGGUGCGCUGUAAUGGUGGCUUGAAUCAACAAAGAAGUGCGGUAUGAAGCAAUUUCUUUCUAUACAACAAGCUCAAAUUAAUACUGUUGGUAUUAACAUACAAAGCUUGUAUUAAAUUGUCCAUGUUUGAGACUUGUUUUUGCAGUUGAGGAUUUCUUUUUUUAUUUUUUUCCUCCAUUUGCUCUAUCUGUUUUUUAUCCAUAAAUCUUAUUAGUAAUUUAUGCAAACUUGUUAUUAUGAAUUUGAACGUAUUCCUUUAUGCAGGCAACAAUGGUGUUUCAUAGCAUUUUCCUCCAUUUGCUAACACCUGUUAGAUCAUUGAGCAAGUAUUGAUCUUUUAGAAUAGUAGUUUUGACGAGAAAGAUCCUCAAACUAAAUACUUUAGCUUCUACACUUGUUAUUAUGAAUUUGAUAUUGUCGGUUCCUGAAUGGUUGAUAUGCCUUAUAUGAUAUUGUCGAUUCCCGAAUAGUUGAUAUGCAUUAGUCUCUCUUCAAUUUUAUGGAUCUUCUUCUCUACUACUAUCUCAUCCUUAUUCAUGAAUAGAGCAUUGGACCAAAAUUUUGAAAAAUAUUUACAGCCAAGAUGAAGACCUAUACAUAUUAUAGUCAUGAUCGUUGAGCUCUUUCUCAGAAAAUUGUGGAACACUAGCACAAUUAAUAGCACAUUGAUGCUUUGAUUGAUGAUUUGAUGUCAUGUUCCAGCAUUCAUCCUCUUUAUCUUGCCUUGUAAACAAUAGAUUCACUGCUGUUGAAUAUCAAAUUUUGCUCUUCUACUUAACUUGCCUUCAAUUAUUAUUGUCAACUUGUGCGGCACAUACCUUAACGUACCUGCCUCCCACGCUCCCACUCCCCUCCCCCACCACCCACCCACCCCGCGGUCAACAUUCUGUGUGUGUGUGUGUGUGUGUGUGUUUGCUUGCGUGAAGUUUUAUAUAUUAACAAGCAUUAUUAAUUGUCGCUGGACUUUGUAGAUUUGUAAUGCUGUUGUUGCUGCAAGAAUAAUGAAUGCCACAUUAGUGCUUCCAGAGUUGGACACAAAUUCCUUUUGGCAUGAUGAAAGGUAUCUCGUUUUUUGCUUGACUACUUCUGCAAUUGGGCUCUAGCAUUCCUUCAUCCAUAUUCAUUUUUCCUUUGAACAUGGUGUAUGAUUUACUUUAAUAAACAACAUUUAUUGGAGAAUUUAAUGCUUCGUUUACUAGAGAAAUCUGAUAGCUUUAAUUAUGUCAUUUGAUAGGAAGCAUUGAAAACUAUUAAUGCUCUAUAAUUCUGAUGAUUUCCUCCAUGGUUUGCAGAUUCUAUACUANCUAUCCAAUCUAGGGUGCAAAAGAGUGAAGGAAAUCAUCAGUAAGUAAUCAAUCAAUACUGUUCUCUCUAGAUUAAGUAAUUCAUUAUAGUGAUAGCUUUAAUUAUGUCAUUUGAUAGGAAGCAUUGAAAACUAUUAAUGCUCUAUAAUUCUGAUGAUUUCCUCCAUGGUUUGCAGAUUCUAUACUAGACUCAAAAUUUUCUCUAUCACUAUAAUGAAUUACUUAAUCUAGAGAGAACAGUAUUGAUUGAUUACUUACUGAUGAUUUCCUUCACUCUUUUGCACCCUAGAUUGGAUAGGAUAGGACAAGAUAACAGUAUUUGGGGUGGAGAAGGGUUUCGUGAAUUAGAGGCAUUGGAGGUCAUGAAAGGCUGGAAUUAUCUAAUUUGGUCUGGUCAAACAAUCCCAAUUGGAUGGGAUUAUUGCAUCAUCCAAUUGGGGUUAAGUUCACCUAAUCAAAUUUGAUAAUCCCAACCUCUGGCAACCUCUGACACCUCCGAGUUGCUAAAUGCUCCAUCUACCCCAAAUAGCUCUAUUGUCUUAUCGUGUAUCCAAUCCAAUCCAGGGUACCAAAUAGGGCCUAUGUGUUUUGACUUAAAAAAAGACAACUGGUUUUUUGAUAACCUGUUAUCCUGCUCUUCAUGACAUUUAUUUGCAAUAGUUACAAAUAUUAUUAUUUCAAUAAUAAUAUUUGCAGUUAGAUUCAAAUUUAUCCAAUAUUGCUGUCUAAAUUUGUCAUUGUUUGAAAGUCAGUAGAUUCGGUGAUUAGAUGACCAUUGAAGCCUACCUGCCAAUGAAAUUGUUGUUCUAUUAUCAAAUUUUACCCUUCACUAAACAAAGCAUAUGCUAUCAUGUUUACUAACUAAAAUAUGUGCACACCCAGCGGGUUUCCAGGUAUUUAUGAUGUUAAGCAUUUUGUAAAGACUCUUAGAUAUGAUAUCCGGAUUGUAAAAAGCCUUCCAGAAGUCCUUUCAAAUGGGAAGAGCAAGAAGAUGAAAGCUUAUCAGGUGAAACACUAAACCUCAACGAAGCACCCAAAAACACCAGGUGAAUUACACCAGUCUGUGCAUUGAGAAGUAAUCCACUUCCAUAGUAUUUUGUACCUCAAUCCAAAAGCCUGGCGUGUUGCAGUCUUUUAUUGUUAAAGAAAUUGUCUUUUAUUGGAUGUUUAGAUAGAAAAUACAAGAUGGAUGAAGGGUGGAUUACUUGGAAUAAUUUUGCUCAAAUGAAACUUGGAAUACAAGCCCAUGCUUCUUCAUGGAUUGACGUGGUGCAUACAGCCAAUAAUUUUUCUCAAAUGAAACUUGGAAUACAAGUAUACUGAUGUAUUUGUUUAUACUCUUGAGAAUUCGAAAAGUUAUAUCAUAUUUUUUCCAGAUUCGUCCACCAAGAGAUGCCCCCUUGAGCUGGUACACAACAUUUGCUUUAGGAAAGAUGAAGCAGCAUGGCGCUAUUUAUCUAACUCCUUUUUCACACCGUUUAGCAGAAGAAAUUGAUGAGCCCGAACUUCAGAGGUUGAGAUGUCGAGUGAAUUAUCACGCACUUCGGUUCAAACCACACAUUAUGAGAAUAAGCAGCGAGAUAGUAAAUAAGCUCCGUGCAGAAGGCCAUUUCAUGUCAAUACACCUUCGGUUUGAGAUGGAUAUGCUUGCAUUUGCUGGGUAAGACAUUCGAAUAAUAUUACAAAUUACGAUUUAAGCUUUAUAAUUAUAGGCAUUGACUAUUUCAGUGGUCUUUCCGAAACUUUAAUACAAUUUCAGAUCAUGGAUAAGUAUCUAUCAGUUAUUCGCAAAUCAAGCCUUAAGGAUUAUUUUCAUUCUCGUGUAAAUUUAGUCUAUAACAUUUCUGCGGAUUAUUGUUUAGCAAAGAUAUAUGGGUGAUAUGUCAAUUAUAGUUAAUCAUUUGAAUUGAAAGAGAGUUAUUUGUUAGCAUAAUUACUCACAUACACUAUGGUUUUAAGUUUUCAGUUUCAGUCAAAAUAGUUAGCCCUUGGUAGCCCUCCGUAUCACUUCUGUUAGGUUCUUAACCAUCUGAUAACAGGAUGGGUUUGGAGACGAACAAUUAGGCAAUAUAUAAUGAGUUGGUUUGAUGCAAAACCCUAAAUUAGAUGAUGCUAAUGCAAUUAAAUGAGAUGAUUAUGAUAUUGAGACUUGUUUCACAGUUUCAAAAUAAGUAAUAUUCGGCAAUUAAAAUCAAUAGAAAAUUCUAACGAACAUACAAAAUCUGAAUUUAGAUAGGAAAAUGCAAUACAAAAUCAUGUACCGUCGAACACUCAUGAAAUAGAUACUAAUGCAUACGCGUCAAAGGAUCAAUCUCAAAUCUUGAUCAUGAACUGUUUAUCUUUCUUGAUUGGAACAUCUAAUAUGAUGGAAGUAAAAGAAUUAUGGUUAGAGUUUCAAAUAAGAGAAGGGAGAUAGGGUAGAAAAAGCAUAGAUCAGGGUUAAGGUUUAGAGUAGUUACAGAAACAAAAUAAAAGUCAAAGGAGUCGUUAAGGGCACGUUGGCGUAGUGAAGCUCGGAUCAAAGAUGAUGGCAUAGGUCAUUGGCGUGACGGCUCAAACCAAGAAAACGCGGCGGUAGGGUUUUCAUGGCGUAAAUCACUUGCGGAUAAUUUCUCUUUUUUUUCGUUCUGAUCAAGUGGAGCCCUUCUCCUUUGUGCAUGGACAGAAUAAAGGGGGGGGCCGGGAGGUGCUUCUCACAUAUGGAUUUUUUCGUAUGGGUGGAGUUGAGAGGAAGCCCGCAAGUGUCUUCAAUUGUUGGAAUAAAAGAAAGAAGAUAGAAUAAAUGAGGAAUAGAAAACGGGACUUUCCGGUCGGACUCUCUCCAUACUCUGCCUCACAAGAAGGAACAGUUUGCGAAAAAAAUUUCUCCAAACAAAUGUCUUUUUAAUUCUCAAAGCUAUCAUGAAUUACAAUGAAGCCAAUUACUCAUAUUUAUAGAGUUCCACACCCUAAGUUUCCUAGUAGGAUAAGAAAAGAAACAAAAUCCAAUUAAAACUUUCUUAAUUUACUAAACCCUAACCAAAUUACAAAUAAAAUCCCAGUAGGAUGAAAUAAACAAUAUAUCCAAAAAAAUUAAAUUCCUAAAUAAAUUCUACGAUCUAUCGGUUUCCAAUUAGGUAAAUAUUGUAGUCAAUUCCAACUCGAUUCGAGCCCAAUGAACAACUCCAUCACCAUCUCUUUUUUUUUUUUUUCUCUACAAGAACCUGCUCAUUUCUCCAACAUUAAUUAGUCUGUUGAAGCACCAUCAUGGUUUGCUUGCUGAAUUCUUUGCAUAAAAUUACCUAGGUGGUCAUCAAAAUCGUCAUGGGUUUUUCGUGCUAUUUGUGCUUUCUAGUUUCAUUGUCCUUGACGUAAUUGGAUCAAAGUACCUCAGUCACCUAAGUACAAUUCAAUUUGACAAAAAAAAGAAGGAAAAUCAAUGCUCUUGUAACCCAAAUGGACAUAAUACCAAACUAUCUUUGCUUUUGGGUCCAAAACUCCUUAAGAAUAAAUAAUGAGACUGAUGUCUUGAACUUGGCACUGUUAUUAGACCUAUUUUCUUUCAAGCUAUUUAGGUUCCUUUGAUAAAAGCACUUCAGAAAUGCUUUCCUUCUUAGCAGCUAUUUCAAAUGUAUCGUAUGAUAUUUCUUGUCAUUUUGUUUUUACUAAUAAUGCAUUGUGCUAUCACAUCCUUCAAAAAUCCAACUUAAAGCCGAGGAAGCGACGGAGAGUAGCAGGCGAAACAUCUGUGCUGUGGUCGGAUCUAAAGAAGAGAUUCCAAAGACGGUUGCUUUUGGGGUAGAUUAAAGAACAGUUUAGCUUGUGAGGGGACGAGUUUGGGGUUUGUACCUAUCCUGCGUAGGGAGUGGGGUGAGUGUGAUAGGAAGGAGGAAAGGACUUAACAAAUAGUUGUCAUGGCCAGAUGAGGUUGGUGAUUCCUUGAAUGCUCACCAUGAAGGGUGAAAGAUGGGCAAAAGAACAUACCCUCUUGGGUCGUAUUGAUGAAAAUAUAUAGUACACGAGAUAAGCUUACUAUAGUAAUAAUACACCUACUAUAGUAAUAAUAUAAUUAGGAGUACAUACCAUAUAAUUCAACACUAUAUAUGGUAGUAAUAUACAAUAUCCUAUCAUACUAAAUAUAGAAUUAAGUAUACUAAAUGUAUCGUAACAAAGGGAAUAAGGAACCACUAUUUAUUCCUAUAGCUUCUGAAGAUAGGAUUCUUCAGUGAGACUCUUCAUUGAUUGGCAACAAGGAAGGUAUUUAUGGUUUACAAGGAAAAAGUAAAGAUUUGAAUGCAUUUCGGGACAUGAAGUUGGUGAUGGAACUUGCUAAGCCAUCGGAUCUUUAUUGCAUCCUAGAAGGAGAAAGUCUUAUAAGGAGGCCUUGCUGAAGCAACCCACACAUACAGAGUGUAUUUUCAAUCAACUUCCAAAGAGCAGAGGUAGACAGAGUAGUGUAAGGACUAGAGUGAAGUGUUCCAUUGCAGGCAGGUGUGCAAGGUGCCUUGAUCGGGACCACAAAGUGGCCGAUGGUUGAGACCUUAUUAGGUGUCUAUGGUGCUUCAAGACUGGUCAUAGAGUGGUCAACUGCAAGGAAAAGAUACAAGGAAUUAGUAGCAACAUGCUCAGGGCUCAGCAAGCACAUUGUCCUGUCCCAGCCAUGAGGGUGUUCGUCCCAUACACAAAAGAUUUUUUUAACUCGCAGGGAAUUCCAAUAGAGUGCGCUGCUUGUUGACAUCGUCAAUGCAGCAAACCUAGGACACUUGUCUUAAUAAGCGAUCGCCAAAGCAUUAGCCACUCGCUUCGGUCGGUACCUUACAAAUUUCCUGGUGGCGAGACGCAGGGAGUGCAACUAUGCUAUCUUUCUGUCUGAAUGGGUCUCGGUAGAGAUCCUUAUAGGAAGACAAAUAAUCAACCAGGAAGUGGAAGAUGGCGACUCCUGUAUCCAUGGGAUAGCUAGGGCUUUCCUUAAAGAGGACUUUUGUACCAAGGUUCUCAUAUGGUGGAAGGAAGUGGAAAAUGGCGUAUUAACAGUUCUAUCUUUCAUGGCUAAAUUGAGACACUGCAGAAAAUGAAUAAAGGAAUGGUGCACGUCAAAGUUCUACAGCAUCACUAGAACCAAAGUGAAAUUUAUGAAUGAGAUUCAGCAUAUUGAUAGUUUAGAGAAGCGACAGGACUUGACUGAGAAGUUGGCAGAUAGAAAAGAGGAGCUUAAAUGUAUGCUCAGUGGCAUUCUUGAAAAUGAAGAAGUCAUGUGGAAGACACAGGUUAACAAAAGAUGGCCUCGAGAAGGAGACGAAAAUACGAAAUUUUUUUCAUGCAAUGGCAAACAGCAGGAGAUGUACUAAUACAAUUGGAGCAAUCGAGGAUAAUAAAAGGAAAUCUACAGUGAAGAGGAGAAAAGGCAUUAUUUCUAUAUGAAACUUAAAGAGCUUUUCAUGUGUAGUCUAUUUGAAUGGGCCUGAAGAUUGAAAAUAAACAAAGAGAAGAUGAAACUUUUCUAUACGGGGUGUACGGGUGGACUUAGCCUCCAACUUGCUUCUAUCCUGGAUUGUAGGGAAGGGAAACUACCAACAAAGUAUCUGGGCCUACAAUUGACAAAUAGAGCACUGCAAAAAGAAAACUGGACAGGCGUAAUUGACAAGAUUCAAAAGCGAAUAUAUGGUUGGCAUGCUAAAUUACUUGCGAAAAAAGGAAGAUUCACAUUAGUCAACUCGGUUCUAUCCUACCUGUUGCUUUAUUUCUUCUCUAUAUACAUGGCACCGAAGUGGCUAGUUAAUUACAUUGAGGCAUUACGUAGGAACUUUUUUUGGAAGGGGUGUACGGAGUGUAAAGGUGGAGCCUGCAUGGCAGCUUGGCAAAACGUGUGCAGGGACUAAAAGGAACGUGGACUUGGGGUUAAGGAUUUAGCCUCAAUGAAUGCCACCCUCUUUUCAAAAUGGUGGUGGCGUCUAUACACACAAUGGGACUUGCAAUGGAAUAAACGACUGCAAGCUUUAUAUUAUAAUAGGAGGAAGCCUCUGAACGAAGAAAAGACAUUCAUACUAGCCUCACAUUGGUGGAAAAGUGUGCUUAAGACAAAGGAAAUCUUCAAAUCCGGCUCGUGCUUCGCCCUAGGUGACGGUCAUCUCAUUGACUUUUGGUCUAACCGAUGGUGUGAUGAGGGCUUACUGAGGUCCUUUUUGUCGGAUAUUUAUAGCAAGGCAAUAUGAAAGAAGGCCUUACUCAAGGAGUGCUCUUGCUCUAAUGGAUGGAGAUGGAGAAUGGAGAUGAAGAAAGAUCUUGAGAGGAGCUGGGUCAAGAUUACAAUGUAUUGGUCAAAGGAUAAGGGAGUUCAAGGAAAUGCUUGGUAACUUUUAAGUAACAAACAAGCUUGAUAAAAUCUAUUGGAGAUGGAACGCGGGAUAUAGAUUCACAAUAAAAUCGAUUUAUUUGAUGAUCAGGGAAGGGGGAGUACGUGAUGUCCUAUUGCGACAUGUCUGGACACUUAAAAUACCAUUAAAAGUGAAGAUUUUCAUUUAGCAAUCCAUUAAGAAAAGAAUUUUCGUUGCUGAUAAUCUAUUCAAAAGAGGACAGUCGGGAGACCGUAAUUGUGUCUUACAAGGAUUUAAGUGCCGUGGCACGAGGUCGUGCCGGAAACUUGCCGGCACGGUAUGGCACGGUGCGUACCGAGCCGUGCCGAUAUGUGCCGGUAAAAAAAAAAUUUUGUGUGCCAACACAUAAUAGCAUGAAAUAUUUAUUUUCUUUAGCAACAAAAUAUUCUAACUAUUUAUUAUGUCUUUUUAUCACAUCUUUUGAACUUUAUCGAAGAAAUUACAUACUAAUUUAAAGAAUAGAGGGUUUUGAGCUGUGUCAUCGGCACGGGAUCUGUAUCGUGCCGGUAUCUUGUUGGCACUGUACGGCACGGUGGAUACGGCCUGUGCCGACGGGCACUUAAAACCUUCGUAUCUUGUGUGGAGUUGCUAUAGAAACAAUGGACCACCUACUUGUGGAAUAUGUCUAUAGUAGGUUCUUGCUAUGCAAGACCCGUUAGGGCAUUCCUAUAUAGGUGUUGGUUAAAGACGUUAGAGUUUCCUUAGAACACCUAAUAGGGGAUGGUAAUUCGAAGGAUAGAGAAAAGUACCUAGCCAGCUUAGUGGCACGUUGGUGGAUGAUUUGGCAGGUGCGAAGUAAUGUGAUUUUUAGAAACCAAUCUACUAAUCCUCUAUUAGUGGUAAGACAAAUCAGGGAGUUGAGGAGAGAGUGGAUUGAGUUUUGUACCACUAGCUGAAGCUCUCUGAGUAUUAAAGACUCCUUUUUCUUCAUUUCUCGCUCUUCUUUUUAUGUUUGGCCUUUUACCUCUUUCUCUUUUUGAACUUUUUGUCUAUCGCCUGAGGCCCCAUUGCCUUACUUUUUGUAGCCAUGUUCAUUUUUGAAAUAAAUGAAGUAAGUAGCGUGCUACCUCUCUCUCUAACAAAGAAAACAAAAAAUAAAAAAUAAUGCAUUGUGCUAUUGUCAGGCAUUGAGAAAUAUCGCAUAAUGAUAUCUAACAAGUUUCUGAACCUUGAAUUCAAACUAGCUUAUAUAACACUAUAAAGGAAUGUACACCAAGUACACAAUCUAUAUACUUCGCAGUUCCUAUGCUACGUGGCAUUUGGAGGGGGGCAGUGGGGGUGGGGCCUAGUCUUUUUCUUUAGCUUAAUUUUCCUCUCUCCACUGAUUUGGACAAAAGGGGUAGGAUUGGGCCUUUUUUUUUUAAUCCAAUCAAAUUCCUCUCUCUCUCAUUAUAAAACUUUAAAAUAUGUAAUUUUUUACACAGCUUUUUAAAUAGUUUAGAUUGCAUAUUGAUCACUUAAAUAUAAGAUUGUACAAUAAAAAAUAAGAGAGAGAUUGAUGGAGUUUAAGUUAAUUACUUAUUUUAAUAAAUUUAGUUGCGAGAAUUGCAUGAAGUAUACUAACUAAACCUGUAAAGAUAAAUGACGCAUUCAAAUUUUUAAGUCAAAGUAUCAUUGAUUGACUCAAAUCUAUCAUAUUGGAAGGUUGGAUAGUAAAAACAAAAUUUUGAAAGAUUAGAUAGCUGAUUCAAAAUGAUCCAUAGUUCAGGAAAGUUCUAUGCGUUUUUACUUUGAUUUUAAUAUCAAACUUCAAUUCCAUAUUUAUAGUCUGAUAAGCUAUCAACUUCACUUUCAAAAUCUUCUUGAAUAUCCAAAAUAUGAUUGGAAAAAUAUCCAAAAUAUGAUUGGUUAACUUUUAAUUUUAACAAUUAGGCAUUCUAAAAUUUAUUAGAUAGUUUAACAGGUUCAUUUCUCGAAUGAAAUUACUAAUUGAACAAAACUGAUCGAUACUCAACUCUGUCUUUGUUUGGAAUAAAAAUAAAGCAUUAAAAAGGUAAAUUACUCAUUUGGUCCUCAAACUAUAAGACGCAUGACACUUUAGUUCUCGAACUUUAAUAUGUUAUGGCUCAAUCUACGGGGCAUGUGAUACUUUAGUCCUCAAACUUUAAUUAGUUACAAUUUCUGGCUCAAACUAUGAGAUAUGAUAUUUUAGUUCUCAACUUUUACUGCUGCUAUAAAUAUAAUUUAUUAUUCUUGUGGUUUUGCCUUUAUUUUUUUAUCUUCGUAUACUUUUAUUCUUAUGCUUUUACUAUAGCAUCAAUUGCGUCUUCUUAAGUUUCUUCUAUUUUUAUUCUUUUUUAUUCUUUGAUUUUUUAUUUUAUUUUAUUUUUUUUUUUGUGUUGUUUCUUCCUUCUUUAGUUCUAUUUAUUUAUUUAUUUCUGUGGUUGCAGGUGCCUUCACUAGUUUUAUUUUCAAAUGUUAACAUUUAAUUGGUCAUACUUUAUGAUGUAUUUUCUCAUCAAGGGGCCACUGUUUUGCUGCUUUUAGUACAGUAGUACAUAAUACCUUAUAUGAAUUAGUCUGGAAAGUCAUUAACACCUUGGUUCUUAAAAGUUCAUGAUGCCAAGUCGCCAACUGAACAUAACAAGAAAUUCUCUGCUAUAAAUAAUUUGUAAUUAAUUUCUCUUUCCUGGUUUAAGAAACUGCUUUAACAUUUAGUCUUAUGAAGAAUUUCAGGUGCAUUGACAUAUUUACGCCUGAAGAACAGAAAAUUUUAAUCAAAUACCGAAAAGAGAAUUUCGCAGAGAAGGAACUUGUUUACAGAGAACGGAGGCUUAUUGGGAAGUGCCCGUUAACUCCAGAAGAGGUAAACUCUUUAGCAAUGUUCCGUUUGUGGUUCUCUCUAUGAUCAGAAUAUAAAUAUUACGGGACAUGCCACCUCCAAAAUCCAAUUCUUGUUUUAGUUAUUGAAUGAUUAAAUUCAGCAUUUUCACUUACCAACUGCAUUGAGACUAUUUUCCUUAUUUCUAAUAUUUUUCUAAGACUAGCAAUGUAUACAUCCUAGUACGAUCGAUGCUUAUGAAUUAGCAAUAUACUCUUAUAUUUGUGCUGAGCCAUAUGAUUUUACUUGUAACAAUUUAAUUUUUGCAUGCUGCCUUAUAGUGCAAUUUUCUACUUCGACUGUUCUUUUUUUUGACGGUAUAGCUAUUUGCUAGUUCUUACAAACAAAGAAGUGUUAAGAAAAGAGCGCCAGAACAAGUACAAAAACUAAAUAUGUAGUCCCAAAAACUGCUCUGCAUGUUUGUAUUUGGUGCAUACAGAGCAACUUAAGAGGAUCUGUAGAAUUCAGUGUGUAGAGGGUGACAUCGCAUCUGCCAUGAACUCUUCCUGAUCUUGAAAAAUCUGCUAGUAAUAUAACUUUUCGAGUUAUCUUUAUCAUUAUGACUCAAAAUUGUACUAUGGCAUACAUUGUAUAUCAUAUAAAAAUCACAAAUUUAGAUCACUAAAUAUCAAACUAAUUCCACUUGUUGAUACUCUCUCGUUGAUCGUAACAGGUGGGUCUCAUUUUGCGUUCUAUGGGAUUCAACAUCUCAACCCGCAUCUACCUUGCUGCUGGUGAGCUUUUCGGUGGGGACCGCUUCAUGAAACCAUUCAGGGCAAUGUUCCCGCACCUUGAGAGCCACAGUUCAGUGGGUCCCGGGAAGCUCGAAGAGAACACUCGCGGGUUAGUUGGUUCCGCUGUUGAUUACAUGGUUUGUCUCCUAUCAGACAUCUUCAUGCCAACAUAUGACGGCCCGAGCAACUUUGCCAAUAACCUAAUGGGUCACCGCCUCUACUAUGGAUUUCGCACCACGAUCCAGCCCAACAGAAAAGCCCUAGCUCCUAUAUUCAUGGAUCGGGAGGAAGGCCGGGCGGAGGGCUUUGAGGAGCGUGUCCGGCGGGUCAUGUUCGGAUCCAAAUUUGGUGGGCCUCACAAACGUGCCCGGCCUGAGUCAUUUUAUACAAACUCGUGGCCUGAGUGCUUCUGCCAGGUGGUGCCGGAGAAUCCUGCAGAUAAGUGUCCACCAGACAAUGUUUUGGAAGUGCUGGAGAGUCAAAUGCAGGGCGAAGAGAGCGAUGAAUCAGAAGAAGCGAAGGCUACUCCGACAGACAUCAUAGGCUUAACCGAAGAGACUUUGAUUUAGAGCAAACAAUUUGUCAGAUAAAAGACUGACUUGCAAUUCUGUUCAAUACAGCCUUAGAGAGGACCAAAAGUAGUAAUCAUUGUUAGAUUAGAUCGGCGUGGAUCGCCAUCAUACCGUCGGAGUGAUGCGAAUUUUGGAACCACGCUUCUCGGAUGCUGAUGAUGAUGAUGAAGAGUUAUAGGUGAAAUUAAUACCAAAGCAUCUGUGUGAACAAAAGGUAAAUUAUUGUGCCAUAAUUCUGUUUUUAGUGGUUGAUCAAAAACAUGGCAUUGUUUCUUCAAGAUAUUGAUAUUGGACUUAGAGGGAUAUUUUACGUCUAAUGUUAGACAAUUUUAGUGCAAAUUAUGCGAUCUAAUUUGUUGGGCUUCAUUAGUUUGUAAUAGCGCUUGCUUCUCCUAUCAAAUUCUACUUUUAUCUUUUCCUUUAAAGAACAAUUUGAUCUGUGCUUUAGACUCACUUUUCACAGUGACUUAUUAAGUAACAAUUAUCAGGUUUCGGAAAAAUACUAACCUCAUCUCAUGUGAUCUGAAGCUGGUUCGGCAAGCUAUUAAUCAAGAAGAUUCCAAACAAAAGCUUAUUAGAAAUUUUUUUCAUUGAAGGAGAUAUCUUUUGGUAAGCUAACCAAAAAUAACUGCAAUUAAUCUACCGGCCUUUUUAAUCGCAGGUAAGUUUUAUUUACAACAUUGCAAAAAAACUAUACAAGAUAUUGGUCUCUAAUUUACAGUUGAUGGGUUGGAUUUUAUUAACAGAAACGCUACUUGUGCACUCGAAAGCAAGGUGAAACUAUAAAAUCCAAAUGAUCCAAUGGCUUUUUUUUUUUUUUCACACUAGUCUUAUCACACCUUUAUUUUUUAGUCUUAAAAGUCUAAAUGUGUUGUCAAGUUCAAAAGGAACGUAUCUAUGCAUCCAAAAAUAAAUGGAAAUUUUUUGUCCUCUUUAUUCAAUUGCUCGAUAUGUCGUGUUAACCUUAUCACAUCUUUAUUUCAACAAUGCUAUCUGUAUACCCAUAAAUGAGAGUGUAAAUUUUACAUAUUUUUAUUUAAGAGCUAAAUAUUUCUUUCUAUAUUGUCAACUGUUUUUUAUCUAAUACGAAAAGUUUAAACAAAAAUUAUAAAUUUUUGAAUUAUAGGUGUAAGAUGUAUACUGAUUUACGACUGGCCUUUCUCAAAGUUCAAAUUAUGAUAAAGAUAACUAAUCGAACGUAUAUAAAGGGUGUGUAUGGUUUGCCCCCAUUUCACUGAGGAAUUAGAAUCGGAAUGGACAAAUUUGUUUGUAGGUGUUUAAUAUGCGGGAGUCUCAUUUCGAUUCUAAUUUUUUUUACUUUAAUUUUUAAUUAAAAUUAAAAUUAAAAUUUAGAUUUUACAUUUUUAAUUCAAGAUUUUGGUUUAGAAAUUCAAUUAAAAUAAAAAUUCAAUCAAGCAUUUUGAUUUUGAUCUGUAAAUUUUAAAUUUAAAUUUAAUUGUGAGUUUGAAUUUGAAUCACAUCAGAAAUUAGUUUUAUAUUUUGAAUUGUCCACUCAAUUUUGAAUUGUCCACUCAAUUUUGGCUUAUCAUUUCAUUAUUUCGAUGUAAAUUUUUUAAUACUUAACGUUUAGUUUGAAUUUAAAUUAUAAUUAUGUUUUGAGGUGCAAACUCAAUUUUAUAUUUUUGUGUUUCAAAAUUUUUUAAAUAUUAAAAGUAUGAAUCAACCAUACCGAUUCUGAUUUUUAUUCAGAACCAAAUAUAUUGGAGGUUUUAUCAUUUUAUUUUUAAUUUCUGUCCAUUCCUAUUCCCAUUUCGAUUCGGCUUUUUAUUUGGAGUUAACAAAUGAGUGUUUACAACUAAAUUAAGUACGUAAUCUCUUGAUUAAUGCAGCGCCGUCUUAGCUCAGCUGGUAGAGCGCAUGGCUUUUAACCAUGUGGUCGUGGGUUCGAUUCCCACAGACGGCGUCUUAUCUUUUAUUAUUCUAAUCUUAUAAAUUUUCCAUUUUUUACAAAUUUAUCGCAUAUUUAUUCUAGUAUCUGGAGCACGGAAUAUAUAGAAUAGAUCAAGAAAAGAAAUAUUUGAACUAUGAUUCAUACCUACUAUUUAUUCAGACCUCGCAACCGGACUCAAAAAAAAUUCAAAUAGGUAUUUCCUAAAUCAAACGAAUUUUAUUCCUUCAGAUUUAUUUUGACCGAAGGAUAACUCUUUCUCUAGAUUUUGUUGAGUCAUUACAUCCAUUCAUUCAAUAAGUGAUCAUCAAAGGUUCUCACUCAGAGAACCUUUGAGUUUAGCUUGAGGCUAAAUCAUCGUGGUUCUAGUAUGAAUCUGAGGUUUCAAUUGAUUCAUAGGGUCUCAACAAGAGAAUUCCUAUCAAUAGUAAAACAAGAGUAAAUCCGCAGUACGCACAAUUUGUCUCCUAAAUUAUGUUAUUCUACUAAUACCCAUUCAACCCUAAUAUAUUACUAUUAUUUUAAUUUUAUAAAUUUUUGACCAUAAGAUAUCACUAUUAUUUUAAUUUUAUAAAUUUUCAUAUUGUUAUAAUGUAGAAAAUGGUAAAUGAUUCAUCGUCUUUCUCUUAAGUAUCGAUUGGUUCGGGAAUAAGCAAAAAGUGGCUGCGUUUGAAUAAAAAUUGGGUUAUUCCUGGAAAUAAAAAAAAUAACGUUUGGUUAAGUAAGAUGGAAUAAGAAAGAUAGUGAAUUUUUAUAAACAAAAAAUAAUCAUAUUAUUCUCUUAUUAUAUUUAAAUUUAAAUUUUUAAAUUUAUAGUUUUAAAUUUAAAAUUUUAAUUUUAAAAUUUUAAAAUUUGAAAUUUAAAAUCUCAAAUUUUAAAUUCAAAAUUUUAAAUUUUAAAUUUCAAACUUUAAAUUUAAGAUCAAAUUUAAAUUUGAAAAAUAUAAAAUUUCAAAAUUAAAAUAUCAAAAUUUAUAAUUUAUAAUUUAUAAUUUAUAAUUAUAAAAUUUAAUUUUGAGAUUAUAAAUUAUAAAUUUUAAAAUUAUAAAUUUAUAAUUUUAAAAUUUUUAAAAUAAGAAUAGGCGUGGGAGCAAUUAAUAAAAAUAAUUUAUUAUAAUAAAUUUAUAAAUUUUUUUUAAAAUUUUACUUAAAUUUCAAUUUAUGUAGUAUUCUAGAUAUUUGGAUAGGAUUGGCUACAGUAUUAGUGACUGGUCGACAAAUCUGGUGAGUGUCGCACUGAGUCGGAGUCAUUUCUGCACGAAAUGAAUGCAACAAUGAACUUGGCGCACUCAAAGGAGCAAAACUGGAGUUUUGCCAGUUUCGGGCACCCAAAGCUGGUUUGGAUCGCCCAGAACUCAAGUGCUGAUUUGAGCAGAACUGGAAGCCAAUUCGGAUCCUUAUUUUGGGCGCCCAAAAGUGGGUCCGAAAAUCCACCUCGUGAAUAUCGUUUGAGCUGACAUGUGUUUGUGGUAGGCGAGUUCCGCCGGACCAGGUUAAGGGUGCAGUACACCGUGGGCGGAGGAACCGAAGGGGAGCAAUUAUGUCGCCUGGAGGUUUCGGACGCCCAGAAAGGGGUUGUGGGCGCCUGAAAGUGGUCGUUUCUGCAAGGAUAUCAGGUUAGCAGUUUUUGUUCAUGAGGCUUAUUUGACCAUUCUAUUACCCUAUAAAUAGAUAGAGUACGACCCUGGUGAGCUCUUUUCACCUCUUCUUCACAGUGAAGCCUACAAUUGCAUUCCAACCCCUCUAAAUCCUCCAAUUUACACAAUUCCACUAUUUCCACCUUGAGGAUGUCAAUUCUAGCAGUUUCCCAGCGGCGACCUUCGGCGUUUUGACUCAUGUGCGACGUAGGAGGAUCGGAUUACUACGAAACUUGGUUUGGUGGUUAGAGGACUCCUUAGAGAUUUCGUGGAAUAAAUUUGACAGAAAUUGAUUGAGGUUAGUAUAGUCAAUUUCCUGUUCUACUCAACUGCUAUGGAUUUUGAGCUGAAAAUGAUAUUUUUGGGGAUAAUUCCUGGAGGGAGCUGGAGUUGCGACCUGAGCCUAAUUUGCUAUCAUCCUCCACUGGUUUUGGGACCUUUUCUCACCUGAAUUGGAGAUUGAAAGGUGAAGUUGAUAUUGUAAUUGGGGAAAAGUUAAGGUUAAGUGCUAAAUUUUAUAAGAUUAAUGGAAUUUUAUAGUGUUUUUGGUGUUUAGAGCCUUGGAGGAGUAUUGUUGCUGGUUCAGGGUGAUCACGGCUGAGCCUCCUAGUAUUUUCGUGGCAUCUAGCCUGUCGGAUUCACGCUAGAGGUGGGUUAGUGAUGCUUACCGGAUUUUUGUGGAUUUCCUCCUAAGUUUUGUUGCUAGCAUGUAUAGUGAAUUUUUAUAUAUCAUGUUUCAUUGCUCAAUUCGUCGAUUUAUUGUGUUCCUAAAUCUGAAUUGGAGCUUAGAAUAUUAGUUAAAUAAUACAUGUUGGACUUCGAUUUGACUUAGGAAAAAACUGACGUUUCUACACUGUCAUAUGUUAAAACUACCAGAUUUAGCUCUAGGAGCCGUAGUUUGUUUGUAUCACCGCAGUUUGUGGGCGGUGGAUACUCAGGAUAGUGUAGAAUGUAUUUACGCUCAUGCUGGGAUACCGAGCUUAUUUUUACAGUAGUGUUUAGGCUAUUCCGGACCGUCGGGUGCCGUUGAGGUUGACGGUGGACCCAGAUUGCUGUUUUGCAUCAGAUUGUGCUGAAGGCACGAGAGUUUGGUUGUUAGACCAGUGUGACCCUGUUUACUUGGAUCAUAGCCUGUGAGAGUCUGAUUGAGCUCGACAGAGAUAUGCUUGCAUACUCGGUUGGAUAGCGCCCACGAGUGCCACUUCGGGGUCGGGCUUUGUGCGUUUGCGUUGUUGUCGUUUUGUCCUAAUUGGACUUGCUCUCCACGGACGGCUUAGUGUGGAGGUAGUUGUAUAGCUUCGACAGGCGGAACGGGUGUAUUCACAGUCCCUAGUGAGAUUGGGUCAAAGUUUACAUUAUUCUACAGAUAGUAGUGCCGGAUCAUGAUAGUAUAGUGGCAUGUAGCUGUAGAUUGUUUCCAGUUCCUUUACUAUCAUUGAGUAUACCUUCUGUAGACUUAGUGGGUGAGCUGUUGAGGUCAAUAGCGGUACUCACUGAGGACUACUUCUUUUUACAGUAGUUCUCACGCCCAGUUGUGGAUCUUUUGUAGAGCCUUCGGUUGCGGCUGCUGCUACUGCUAAUACUGGUUGUGGAAAGGAUAUUGCGAGUUAGAGCCUUUCCUGACGAGUUGUAGAGGUAGAAGAGUACCAGCUACAGAUAGUUAUAGUUUUUGGUUCUUUACAUACUGUUGUUGUACCUCGCUGGAGCGAGUAUUUUGUACCCGGAUGCUAUGUAUGUAUUGAACCAUUGUUGUUUAUCUAUAUCUUAUUUUCUCUUUAGCAGCUCUAUAAUACUGGUUGUAGUGUUGUAUGAAUACAGGUGCAGCUUCGCUUCGUAUACAGGAAAAAUUCUUAUGUAUACGGCGAGUCUAUUAGCGCUCCCGAAAAAACGAGUAAUCCGAGGCAUGACAAUUUAAUAAAAAGAAUUUAUUAUAAUAUUUAAAUAUAAUUUAUUAUAAAUUUUUUUAUAAUAUUUAAAUAUAAAUAAUAUGUAUUAAUACAGUACAAUUAAUAAUUUUAUAAUAAAAAUAAUGUAUUAUAAUAUAUAACAUAUUAUAUUUAUAUAAUUUAGUUUUAAUUUAAUUUAUAAUUUUAAUUAAGUUUGAAAUUAAGUAUUGGAAUAACACUAUUCCACCAAAAUGGUGGAAUAGCAAAUCCCUUGCUAUUCUGGAAUAACCGUGAAUAGCAAGGUUUGACCGGGAUAAAAUAUUCCGGCCAAAUUUCACUCCGUUUGGCGGAAUAGCGGGGAUAACUUUCGUUAUCCCCGCUUAUCCCCCGAACCAAACGGGGCCAAAUAUUAAAAAGAAAUACAGAGAUUAAUUUACAUUGUAAAAUGCAUAUUUUUGCCAAAUAAAAAUUAAAGAAAUAUCAAUUAUUAAAGCCGAGAGUGCCAUUCAGUAUGCCCUUUAGUUGAGGGGUCUCCAUAUAUCACUAAAGAUCAGUUUGGUUUUGAGACUCAUCUGAUGUUAGUAAGCAAAAUGAAGUUGAAAUGAAAGCAUAUAGAAAAUAUAUUUAGCCGCUUAUUUGAUUGGGCUAUAGAAAAUAUAUCUUAACUGGCUGAUUAUAAUGUGUGGAAUAUAAUAUACUCAAAAUGAAACAUAAUUUUUUUUACAAUACUUUUUUAUUACAUAAGAUAAUCUUUUCGCAAUUCUAAAGGAAGGCUAAAGAAAAAAUAAAAGGAAAAAAGUGUACAUAGACUGCUUAAACAUUAGCUCUUUUGUAAAAAUAUCUCUAAAUUUUUUAUUUUAGCAAUUACACUCUCUAAACUUUAUGAAAUACUUUCAUUGGCUACCUCCUGAAUGAAAAUUAUUAAUUACACAAUUUGUUUGGUCCUAUGUCUUCUAUGUGAACAUAUACAAAAAGUGACAAACAAAUAUGAAAGUAGAUUAAUCCAUCAAUUUCUAUAUGUAAUUAUCAUAACUUGAAGAGAAAAGAUAAAUUUAGUACACUUUACAUUCUUAUAAAAUUAUAUGCAAGACAUGCAUUCAAUAAACAAACUGUAUAAUUAUUAACUUUGUUUAAAGAAAGGGGACUAAUUGAACUAUUUUGAUAAAGUUUAUGAGUUUUGUGGCAAAAAUCAGAAAUUGAUUUGGGUGCCUAUUUAUAAAAGACUAUAGUUCAAGCCACUCUAUACAUUUCUUGAAAAAUAGAAGGUGUAGAACGCAGCGGAAGUAUUCGUUCGUAUCUUUUUGCGGAAGCGAUUCGCGCCACAAAACAACGAGCCCAGAUCGUAGAGGUUGAUUCACGUGUCCUUGGAUCGUCCUUGAAGGUCUUCUCACGCUCCAAACUCGCGGUGGAUCGAACUACAAACGAGCACGAUCGCAAAUCCACCGUUCAAGUCCCUUUAGAAUAAUAGGUUAAUGGAGGAUGUGGUUUUUCUCUUUUAUUUUCUUAUUCUCUUUCUUUUCGUUCCGUUCACUUUUUUCGUGUGGGAUCGCCCGUAUAUUUAUAAGGAAUUCUAAAAUAUUAAUAGCAUAGGAGAUAAGGCCAAAUCGGUUAUUAAUUGUCAUCCUAAUAUGAUUAGAUUUUAUCUCUAAAUAGCUUUCCAAUUUAAAAGCGAGAUUAAUCCUAAUCCAAUUAGAUAACAUAAUAACGAUCGGAUCGAGCCCAAUCAUGAGCGCACCCGAUUCAAUUUAACCGAAUGCCAACAUAAGGAAAAUGCUAAGCCCCUAAUACAGGUUUGAAUCUUACGCCACAGCGAUCUAAAAAUUCACAAAACUCUAAUGGUUCUUAUUUUAAAAAAUAAACUGACAUGAAGGUUUGGGUGCAUAUCUUACACCCUAGCCUACGAUGUAAGGAUUGCAAUUCUCAAAAACAAAAAAAAAGUUUACUUGUACACUACAAAAGUGGAGUGUAGAUCUUACACUCUCAUUUAGAAAAAAUGAUAAGAUAAAUAAAAAUUAUAAUCCUUAGACAAAUUGGUUGUAAUAUAUACACCCACUUUAGAGUGUACAAAUAGCAUUGCUAAAAAAAAAAAACUUAAUUUUAUUAUAUUAUGCUGUAUUUUACAAUUUUUUCGGUUCUUACACUGUUUUUUUUUUUUUGGAAAAACUUCAAAUACCACUCCUGUGGUUUUACAUUUUCUCACUUUAGUACCCUGUGUUUUAAAGUGCAUCAAUUUAUUAUCCUGUGGUUCUAUUUUUAUCUUUUUAUUAUCGAUUUCACUAAUUUUUUUCGUUAAAUCAGUGACAAAGUUAAAACUAAAUGGUACUAAAAUGAAUAUUCAAUAAAUCUAAGUGGGUAUCUAAAAUUUUUUGUAUAUAAUUUAACGAAAUAUUAACGAAAAAUAAAACCAUAGUAGGACACUAACUUAAUAUAUACUUUACCACACUAAUUAUGCUAUAUUUACAAGUUAGUAUACUAGUUAUGCUAUAUUUGUUACAUUGGUUUUCAAGUCUUUAGCCAAGUUCACUGAAUCGUCUUUUUUCUUUUUCUUUUUUUUUUUUUUUUAUCUAUGCACUAUAAGUAAUAACCAUAUAAGUUUAUAUAAAAAUUAUUUUUAAAAAAUACUUGUUAAAAAUAGCAAAAUAUAUAUUCAACUUAUUAUAAUAUAAUAAUAAUAAUAUAUAAUAUAUAUAAAUAACAAAUAAUAACUAAAAAUAACUUAAUAAAAACUUUCAACGUGUCUAUCUAGAAAUUUAUUUUAUAUUUUUUUUCACUAUUAAACUAGUAUUUUUUAAUAAAGUUAUUAAAUUAUGUCUAAAAUAAGAUGUUUGUUAAUAUUAAUAUAAAAAUCGGUAAAAAAAAAUUGUUUAAUGAUAUUUAUGCGAAACAAAGUUGCAAAACAGCAUAAGAUUAAAAAAAAAGAAAAAUAGACUUAAAAUAUAGUAUAGAAAUUGGUAAACAUAAUUAUAUAAUAAUAAUAAAUUUUUAAAAAUAAUAUGAUGUAUUAAAUUAAAAUAAUAAAAAAGUACAUAUAUUAAAAAAGUGUGAUUAAGCAAAAAGAAGAAUAAAAAGCAAUGCGCGUCGGAUACUCGGAGCGUCCAUGGUCGUUGUCGUAGCGAAGGACAACGACGACUCUUUCGCUUUUACGACGAGGACGAAAUAGUAAUCCUCUUUUGAGGCGAUUUAGAAACCCUAGUAACAACGUUUCGAUCGAAAUCGCCAAACCCUCGCCCACGCGAUGCGAAACCCUUCCUUCGAUCUACGCUGAUGCAUUCGUUGCUGCGGAGUUCGUCGAUUUUAACUCUGGAUUUCAUAUUUUUUGGCCUCUUCUAGGGUUUGUACGGAUCUCUCUGCUAUCCUCUUUACUUUCCUUUUUUAAAAAAAAUUCUUAUGAGCAUUGAUGCUGCUACUUUUAGAAAGUUCAAGUUUCUUCUGUUUUUGAUCGGAGUAAUUAAUUUUGAUUUGUUGUAAUUGAGUUGACUUUGAUUUCUUGUCGCUUCAUCGAGCUCCAUUUAAUUUUUCUUGGGAAAAAAUGAUCUAACAAAGCUAAUUUAGUUGUCGCGUCCAUCUUUUGGAGAUGAAAUUAAAGAUGAAAUGGUUGUUGAAUAGUUAUGUUCUUAAGAUGAUAUGUUAGUUGAAUUAGACAUUUUAUUGCUCAUCUAUCAAGGAAACUUAAUAGAGUUUGAUAGAGUGACCCGAUUGAAACAUAAAGUAAAGAUUACGGACUUAAUUGCUACAAAUUGAAGUUCAGCGGCACAAAUAAAAAUUUAUAAUAAGUUCAACAGCAAAUUGCAUCAUUUAUUGUUUUGGUGAAUUAUUAAGUAUCUUCUAUUUUCUUUUUUGUUUUUUUACGGCAUAGAAGAAAUAUAUUUUUGCUUCUAAAUAAUGAUGUGGAAGUUCUUUAAUCAUCAAAUAGGCUAUAAAUUAAUUUGCAGCAUUUCCUUGUUACUUUGUAGUUUGAUACUUUUGCUGAUUGGUUGAUGCUUGCUCAUUGGAUUGACUGAGAAGCCAUUGUAAAAUGGGCAACAAUAAUCGCAGGUUUGUAAACCCUGCCUCUACACCUCUUAAAUAUUCAAGAGCUGUGCUUUUGAUGGGCAUGAACUCUAUGUUAAGUUAUGCGAUAGUAAAUUAUGAUUAUCAUAGCUCGCUGACGUAAUCUAUUUAAUUGUCCAGUGCUCUUCUUAAGAAGCCAAGUGAGAGUGCCAGAUUAAUUUUUUCGGCUGUUGUUGGAGUUGCUUUAGGAUUCUUCUUUGGAGUUUUAUUUCAAACAUUCUCCAUCACCUCGGUAUGUAUGUUAGUUAACUUGGGCUGAUGAAAAUACAUACAUAUGUAAAUAUGUUUACAACUUUUCACACUUUUGUGCACUGAUGCACAUCGCAAUCUGCCUGUAACCGCUUAACUAAUAUGCGUGUCUGUCUGAUGCACACCAAGAUUGCUGCUUAGCUGGCCCGUGUAUGAAUUGUAGUGUGUAUAGGAUGCACAAAAAAAAAAGGCAGAAGGACUGAACUCCCAUACUUCCAAAUGCAUUNCCCCCCCCCCCCCCCCCCCCCUUCUCUCUCUCUCUCUCUCUCUCUCUCUCUCUCUCUCAUUAAUAUGUAUGUAUUCUUUUUUUUCUCAAGGCCUGAGUACUGUUUUUAUUUUUUUAUUUUUUUAUCACAGCUUAGUUUGCUUCCCAACAUUACCUCUACAAUAGACAUUGCAUUUGUUGAUAAUGGCCAACCAUUUGGCCAUGAUAUUCCAUCAGCAUCUAAACAGCAUACAAAUAGAAGCAGAACUUCCAGAAGUCAUGGAUCAGGUGAUUCUUUGAAGGUAACAAGUAUUGUACUAAAUUCUAACUCUUUAGAUGAUUUAGAUUAGUUUGAUUUUUAGUCCCAAUUAAUUUUGUUGCUUGUUUUCUGGCUGUGAACAUUACAUACUAUACUUAUAUAAAUUUCAAACCAUGCCCCAGAAAAGUUACCUUUAAAAGUUGAAGUUGGUUCCAUUAUUCCAUAAGUCAAAAUUCGACUGACAUUGUUUCAUUUGGAAUGAAGUCUCGAUUUUGUUGAAGCAGCUAGCUCUUUAACAUCUUAGAAUGUCGGUUACUUAAAAAGGAUUACCCAAUAUGUAUGCUAAGGUACUGACUAGACUUCUCAAAUUUCAUGGAAUAAAAUCUAAUAAGAUGUUAUCGUGGAUUGCCAGCGCCAAAUUCUCAGUUAGCACCGUACAGGAUUCGAUAUCAGGUUAUCUCCUGUGCCACAAUGUGUUGAGUUAUGCCAGCAUGUUGUGGUGUGCUUUGAUGUAUUAUUCAAAAUUUGGUCCAAUAAGGUUAUUUAUAUUCUUCAGAGGACAUUAUCAAUUUGUAAAAAUUCAAAAGACGGACAAGAACCCUGUGUCAAUGGUGUGCCAGGAGGGGGCAGGUCUGUGUCAUUGGGAUGCAACAGCACGCCAAGUGCAGUCAGAAUACCUGCCAUGGCAUGUACCAAGCCAACUAGGGCACAACAUGAUGUCAUUCCAGAGCAAAAGGCAAUUGUUGAAUGCAAUAGAAUGCAACAGAAACGAAGAUAGGGAAUAAGCUUUUAUCUGUAGAAUCAUCUAUCUUAAUUGGUAGGUUAAUUUUGGAUUAAGUCAAGUGGUCUAUUUACAAUCUUCUAUUCUCAAGUGACUGAAAACAGGUGCAACAAAGUAUGUGUCUCAACUAUCUAGACUCAUAUGAUAUUGAUGUACUUAAUUUGUUUCUAUCAUCUAUAUGUCAAUGGUUAAAAUUUUAGGCCUUUAAUAUUUUAGGGAAGCAAUGAGAUAACCAUGAUUUAGUAAAGGCUUUCCAGCACUGUCGCCUAAAGUGGAAAACUUAAAAUGAGAAGCAUAUGGCAUUGGUGUAUUAUUAAUGAUACUUAUUUUUUAUCCAUGCAAGCACAUAUUCCAACACUUGGUUACGAUAAUACGGUAUGGAACUGAUUUCUAUUUGUUGAUUGCUUGUGAAAUCUAUGUAACUAAACAGUUGUCAAUUACAUUUAUCAUCUUCUGCCUACAAGUAUUAUUUAGAGAGUUAUAUAGCCAGUGCAAAAUGAAAUCAAGGAUAACUUGGGAAAUUCUCGAUAAUCCGAAUAAGAUAUUUGGCUUAUUAUUUAAAGAACCCGUUAUUCUGAUGUUCAGUGGUGUUUAUUGAUUUCUUUGAUAACAACAGGAGUAGAAAGGAAGCAUUGCUUAUUAUUUUUUGCAUUUAUGGAGCUAUGAGCGAAUGGUAGAAUAUGAAAGGAUGUCAUAUCGCUCUUUGCUGUAACUUAAUAUCUUAUUUUUUCUUAUUUUUUCCUUUUUUUUUUUUUUUUUUUUUUUAAGGCUUCUUAUAAUGGAUAGAAUGAGAUGCAUGCUAUACAAAACUAACAUUUUUCUUUACAUGUGUAUUGAUCAUUUUGGGGUAGAAUAUUUACAGGAUUCUAUUUUUCUUUUCAAAAUAAGAACUCUUCUUUCCUUCUUCAGAUAUAUGUGCCAACGAACCCUCGUGGUGCUGAGUUAUUAGCUCCGGGUAUUGUCGUUUCUGAGACUGAUUUCUACUUGCGACGAUUGUGGGGUGACCCCAAUGAGGUAUGUCUAUUACUGCCUCAAGCACUAUUUAUUCUUUGUAUUAUUAUCUAUGUAAUCAUGGAAGUUGAGAGCUCACUCCACUAACAUGCCACUCUUGGCAAAUGACUUCUAUUAAUUUGUGGCCUGUAGUGCUUCCUAUUUGAUUGCCGGCAAAAUAGAUCCUUUAAUAGGCCCCCAAGCAAGCAUGAAUACUUUUUUCACCUAAUUUACUACACAGAUUUUAUUAGUGAAAUAUUCUGCCCAAAUGAAGAUGGAUGAUGCUUCAGUAUUCCUAGUUUGGCAAGUUGAUGGAUAUAAUAUGAUCUGUAUAUCUUAGUUCAAGGCAUCUAUGUAACACAUUUAUUGACCAUGAUUAUUGAAAAAAGAUCUUCACUGAAUUGAAAUCUUUUACAGGAUGACUAAUCUAUGAACAAUUGUUAGAAUAUUUAGCCUAACCUAGUGAAUUAUCUGCUUAUCUUUAUGAAGGGCUCAUUCCAUUAGUAGUACUAACAUUUCUGUAACUACUGAUGUGUUGUUCUUUGCAACUGUAGGACCUAACUACUCGGCCUAAAUAUCUUGUGACAUUCACAGUUGGAUUUGAUCAAUCAAAAAAUAUUGAUGCAGCAGUGAAAAAGGUUAGUCGAAAGUAACAUGCUAUACUUCUAGUUUCAUCUCGAGUGAUGUUCAAUUGACAUGCAAUUUAGUUUUAUGAUUUUCUAAAGUAGUUGAUUAUUUGUAUUAUUCUGUUAGUUUUCUGAGGACUUCACAAUUUUACUCUUUCACUAUGAUGGCCGGGCAAGUGAAUGGGAUCAAUUUGAGUGGUCGAAACGUGCAAUCCACGUCAGCAUAAAGAGGCAGACUAAAUGGUAAAGUCAUCUAGAACUUUGAAUAUAAACUGUGUUGCUUUUUUCUUGUUUUCUUUUUUCCUUAUCCUUACAUUUGGAUGUGUUUCUAAAUUUUUCUUUUUCUUUUUUCUGUUGGUGCGAAGUUGGAUAAUUUUCCAGCUAGACUUGCCAGGAAGAGUCUUUUAAGCUGCGACCAUAAUUGUGUAUUAAUUAUUUUGUAUUAAUUUGCAAAUGUUUAGGUGGUAUGCGAAACGUUUUCUGCAUCCAAAUGUCGUUGCAGCUUAUGAUUACAUUUUUAUAUGGGAUGAAGAUAUUGGAGUCGAACACUUUGAUCCAGAGAAGUAAAUUUCUAUUUCAAUCCAUAAUAGCCUAUGUUUUCAUAUAACUCCGAGGUCAUGAUAGCUAGCGUUUCCUAAUUUUUCUUGAUAUAUAUUAGGUACAUAAACAUAAUAAAGAAACAUCGCUUGGAGAUAUCACAGCCAGCUCUAGAACCAAUGAGAGGAAUGAUGUGGGAGAUGACUAAGCGAAGAAGCAGCAGUGAAGUUCACAAGUAGGAUAAAUAUAGAAGUUUCCCAUCUUAUAUUAAUUUCCAAUCUAUUUUAUCUUAUUAAUCAUUAGCAUUUUUUUGGAUAAUCGUCUUGCUAUGAGUCUUAGCCUUUUUUGAGAAAACCUUAUUAUUGUUCUCUUCUCCUAAUAGAUUGAUUUCUUUUUAAUAACUUUCCUCUAGAGAAACAUUGGACAGACCUGGUUGGUGUGUUGAUCCCCAUUCGCCACCAUGUGCAGCGUAAGGACUCUCUUUUACAAAAGAUUCAGUUAACUGUACUAGGCGUAUGCCUGUUUGCCCUAGCUUCUGGAAUAGUUUGUCUACUUUGAAAAGUUUCAACUAGGCAUUUAGCAAACAAAAAGUCUGGAGCUUUUGCUGUGGCAGACCCCAAGACAGAUGCUCCAGUUUUGGAGAUUUUGGUUUUAUUUUAGCGGGAACUUGAUUGGGAGGAUAUGACUGAAAAAUUAGAAUAAGUUCAGCAGCAUUUCUGCUGAAGAUACAGUCAGGCUAAACAGGCAUGCCUGUGUCGAUUAACUAUUCCUUCAUUAUUUAUUCUUUAGUAUAACUGAUAACAAGAAUGUAAGUCCAUGUGAUUUUUAUUUUUAUUUUUUGUUUGUGCAUUAAGUUGUAAAUUUUAAGCCAUAGACACUACUAUCCAGUUGUUGUCCUUAAAGCGUUAAAUAACUAAACAACUGAAAUUGGCAUACAGUUCUUGUCUACUUGACAAUUGAUGGAUUGAGAAUUUGGAGACCUCUUUUCUUAUUCUUUUUUCAGGUUUGUAGAAUUAAUGGCACCCGUCUUUUCUAGAGAUGCUUGGCGUUGCGUAUGGCAUAUGAUUCAGGUUUAUUCUUUUUUUCUUAGACUGCUUAAGUUUCACAUUGCACUUUUAUUCUAUGUUAGUUAUCUUUCCAGUAUUGUGAAAGGGUGCCUUAUUUCUUUCUUAAAUAAAUAAUUUCAGAAUGACUUGGUUCAUGGGUGGGGUUUGGACUUCGCAUUAAGAAGAUGUGUGGAGGUAUGCUUACAUUCUUGAUGAGUAACCUAGUAAUUAAUUAUGAACAAAGAUUCAUCACUAGAAUCAAAUACUAGGAAGUAACUGUUAUGAAUCAAACCUGUGUGGUACGACCAGACUAACACAACUAUGCAAAUCAACUACUUAGCAGACAGGUUCAUAAUAAGAGUUGUGGCUGCACAUGGAAAUGAUUGUUUGUACUUAAAUCGGCCUUUUCUUUUUCAACAUUGUUGGAUCGUGGGCGCUAACCACUAAUUCCAAAAGCUCGAUCGGUUAGAAAAGAGCAACCGAUUCACUUAAAGCGUUUAGACAUAGCAUCCAUAGGUCUCAAUUGUGACUUUGAUAAACUCCGGCCUCUGCCACAUAGCCCGCAGGCUUUAAUUUUGACUGGGCCCUCCCCGGCUUCUGCCAUGUAAGAAGGAUGCUGACCCAUUUAAGCCAACAAAACUGCUUGUGAUGUUUUUGGCUAGUUUCUUGGGAGCAUAGCCUUGUGCUAAUCAGUCCUGCCAAAAGGGUUAGGCUACAAUGGUUUGCUGAUAAGCUAUACAAAAUGGUUCAGCCAUAGAUUUUCCUAAAUCAUAGUAUUGGCUAGACCUUGGCCUGAGCUGAGAUUGUGUGUAGACGAGAUUGAGAUUUGGGUAGGGCUGGUAGGCCAUGUUUGUUCUUGGUCUAUGUGCUAUUCAGGCGAUGCUCCAACCAAAAGUUCAACCACAGUGCAAAUCAAGCCCUAGUCUGGUUUAUUGUAUCCAGACCAUUUUUGGUACUUUUGUUCUUUUGCCCUUUGUUUCUCUCCUCUUGCUUGCUUGAGCAUACUAAAAGAGGAGCUUCCUUCAUAAUUGAUUUGUUAACCCAACUUUUUCUAAAGAUAAAGUUUGUCUAGAAGCCUAAUAUGUCAAAAUGCCCAAGAAAUCUCUUAUAACUGUUGAUGUGAGCAGAAAAAGGAAAUUCUGAUGCAACUUUAUUGAAAAUACUCCCAUUCAUACCGCAAGAAGGGAGCGACAAGCCUUUUCUUAUAUUCUGCUUCUCAGACUGAACACUUCCUAAAAGAUAGACCGGAUAUAUACCUGCAACAUUUGAUUUUAGAAUGUUCUCAAAUUGCUAUCUUGAAGUUGGUUUCAUUCCAUCUUGUGGCAUAAGAAACCUUUUUUAAACAUAAGUUUUGACAUAUUUGUUUGAUUUGCAGCCUGCGCAUGAAAAGAUAGGUGUUGUUGACUCGCAAUGGAUUGUUCAUCAACUUAUUCCUUCUCUUGGGAACCAGGUCAGUCAUUCUCUCUUUGAAAUUCUUGUGGAAAAUCAUUUUGGAUUGUUAUUUAUAUAACUCUACGUCAUAAACUGAAAUCAGCAUUUGUAAUCUUUUUGCACCCUUUUCUGAUUUUACAUUAUCAUUGUAGUUCUUCAUAGAGUUUUAAGAUUUUAGAUGACUGAUCUUUUUUUAGAACAGUAUAAUGUUAAAUAUGAUUUCACCAAGGAUUGAAUUCCACUAGAAAUUUAACUAUCAUUGAAUCUAUAUUUCAUAUAUUCCCUUUAUUAGAUCUCAGUUACGAACAGAUUCUUUUCUUGCUUCUUUUCUUUUCUUUUCUUUUCUUUUUCUUUUUUGGGAGUUGGGAGCUUGGUCUCUGCACUCCUAUCUUAGAUAUGCCCCACCACCCCUUCAGACCUACCUUAUCACUUUGGAUACAGUGGUCUGGCUAUCCAAUUCUUAUAAUAGCAUCUUUUUUUGUUAGCUUGGUUACAAACUAGGACUAAUCACUUAGUAUGGCAAUUUGUUGUUAUUGUCAUCUGUAAAUCUUCAUUUCCCUCUCCUUUCCAAUUGAUAUUUCCCCUAUCAUUUGCAGGGAGAGCGCAAGGGUAUGAAAGCAGCAUGGCAAAGGGUACGAUUCAAAUAUUUUCACAUUAUAUUUUUCUCAUGUUUCUUAUCUGAUUAAUAUGCGUCGAUGAAAGUUUUCUCAAACCAGAAGUGUGCUGGGACGCCAAAAAAAUGUUCGACUUAUGUUUUUUGUUUGCACCAUAAUGGUAUCAUUAUUAAGUCAGCCUACAUCUUCUCAGUGACAAUACCAUUAAACUAUUAGAUUAUUCUUGUAAAAGCAUAUGGCUGCUGCUUUUUCUUCUUUUUUUUUUUUCUGAUUUUAUCUGCUAAUGAGUCCAUCUCGUCUAAUAACUCUUCCUUGCUUGUAGAGGUUACCUUAUCAUUAAAUAAGCUGUACCAUCCUUCACAGCAAAUGCUAUUUUGUGCAAAAUUGAAGCAUUUGUAGUACCAUUUCACAUUCCAUUGUUUUUAUUUUGAUGAAUUAUAUGACACCCCAAUUAAUUCUUGUAUAAACAGGUGAGAGAAAGGUGUAAAUUAGAGUGGUCACGGUUCCACACUCGUCUGGUGUAUGCUGAGAGGCAAUAUUUUGCCGGAUUAGGUAAAGGUUAAUGGACUAUUUUUCACGAACUUCGAGUAUUCGGCAGCGAUCUAUUCCUUUCAUCUUUAUUCAUUAUUAUUCUUUUUCUCCGUGAAAUUUUAUGCAUAUCCUUUCCACUUCCUCCUCCCCCUCAGGGGAGGGUACAGGGGAUCAUGUAGUCAUUAACUCCUGAGUUUUAACUUUUCAUUAUGAGCUGAUUUAGCUGUAUCUGGCCACUAAUCCCUGUUAAUAUUGAGAUGUACAUGACAUGUUUUCCUUAUAUUAUGUCCAAGUUUUGCUGUUGUGCUAUAUGAGAUGAUUGUAACUUAAUGAUGUGCAAAAAUCAGUUUAUUGUGUAUUGCGAAGUUAUACAAUGAUGUAUAUGUGCAGCAUUUCCGUACUGCCUUACAAUUUCAGUAAAUUUCAUCUCAGUAAAUAUCUCACUGCUGCACUGAACUCUGAACUUCAGAUAUUUUAUUAUAUAAGAUUAUUUUUCACUCUCUCGAAGGAAAAAUUUUAAAAUGCAUCAAUUAUGUUGGUGAAAUGGCAUCUCGAACCAAUCAAAUUGAUCCUUUUGGAUUAAUCCAUUACUUCAUGAUUAUAAAAAAAUAUUUUUAUUGUAUCUUUUUUUAAAAAGAGAGAUAUGAUUGGUUUGUUAUUGCUGAUAUAGUGCAAGUGUGGUACAGUAGACUUCCUCUUUUCGGAGACGCUUUUGGAUGGUGAAGGAUAAAAAUUCUCACUACACCGUAAUCUUAUUGAGUGGUGCCACAAAAAGUUUUAUAAAUUAUAUAAUCUCAAAUUAGCCUUAUUUGUAACUCAUGUAGGCAUUGGCAAAGUUUACAUGGGGUGUCCCAAUAUGAGCUUUAGUGUGAUCACAAGUAGGGGUGUAAACGGGCCGAACAUGAGAGAGCUGGGGGUCGGCUCGUGUUCGACUCGUUUAUUUGUUCGGCUUGUUUAAUAAACGAGUCGAACACAAGCUGGCUUAUUAAAGUAUCGAGCCAAAAAAUUCAGCUCGUGUUCGGUUCGUUUAUAAACGAGCCGAACACGGGUUGGCUCACGAGCUGGCCAACGAACAAUAAGUUAAAAGGAUUAAAUUGAAUAUAUAUAAAAAAUAAAUUUAUGAAAACUUAUUCAUUAGACUUUAAUCUAAUAGUUGAAACUUUACAUAUAAAUGAGUUUUUUUAUAAUUAAACUCGCCUGUAUAUUUUUAUUUUACUAAAAUUUAAAUAAUAAUAAUAUAUAUUAUAUAUAAUUAUUUAUUUAUAUAUUAAAUAUAAAUUAUAUAAAUUAUAUAAAUGUAAAAUAUAUGUAUUCGAGCUGUUAUCGAGCGAACACGAGCGAGCGGACCCCAGCUCGUUUCGCUCGUUUAAUAAUCGAGAUUAAACGAGCCGAAAAAUUCGGCUCAGUGUUCGGCUUCGUUUACUAAGCGAGCGAUUCGAUCUCGAGGUCAUUUCAAGCGAACACGAGCUGGCUCGCAAAGAACGAGCUGGAUUGCCACCCCUAAUCACAACUGACAUAUGGUGUUUUCGUUCAAUUCAUAACAUGGCUAGUUUCAUCUCUAAUCUUGAAGAAAGAAAAGUUGGAUUACCCAGGUGUUUUAAAUUGUCAAAAAAAAAAAAUUGUUGACAAAAAAUUAUUGUAUCAGAAAUUUUUAUGAGCUGCUGGGGUUUGGUGAAACUUGUGCAGUUUUGAACUGAAAAUCUCUUUUGCCAAACUUUUCUAUUAUAGGAUAAACUUCAAAUACCAUUCCUGUGGUUUUUCACUUUUUUAUUUUAGUAUUCUAUGGUUUAAAAUAUAUUAAAUUAGUGUCCUGUGGUUUUAUUUUUAUUUUUUCAUUAGCUUUUUCGAAAUUAUAUACAAAAAACUUUAGAUGCCCCACCUAAAUUUAUCGAAUAUUUAUUUUAGUAUUCUUUAAUUUUAACUUUGUCAGUGAUUUAACAAAAAAAAUUAGUGAAAUUGAUAAUAAAAAAAUAAAAAAUCAAGGUACUAAAUUUAUACAUUUUAAAUCAUAGAAUACUAAAAUGAGAAAGUGUGAAAACACAAGAAUGGUAUUUGAAGUUUUUCCUUCAUUAUAUUAUUUAUAUUAUGAAAAAAUAUUAUAGGAUUCAACUCAACUAAAGGCCCUCCAACUUUUUUUUUUUUCUUAUUGACAUCUCUCUUACCUUGUUUUUUUCUUAUUGAUAUCACUGUAGCAUGUAAAUAUGUGAUUAAUUUAAUUUGAGGUAUUUACUCAAAAUAAACUGGAGAUUUGUUAAGGGAAAGUAUAAAAAAAAAUUAAAAGUUUGCUUUACAAGUCUUACACCCUCCAUUCUAAAAUUCACAAAAUUAAAAAAAAAAUUAGUUAAAAAAAAUGAUAAGUUAGAAAUGAUGAUCUUUGGAUGACAUAGGUAUAAAAUAUACAUGUAAGUAUAUAUUGUAUAUAUUACAUCCUAGAUCAUAUAUAUAUAUAUAUAUAUAUAUAUAUAUAUAUAUAUUUAUAUUUAUAUAUUACUUAUCACACCAAGUUUUUUUUUCACUAAAGAAUAUUUUAAUCAAUUCAGUCACCACAUCCUUUUGUAUGUAAACCAAUAGCCAAUCUCUGCCGUCCAAAUAGACUGGGAGUUCAAUUGGACGGUGGAUUGCACGUAUCACCCCCUUCUAUAUAUAAACCCAACUCAACUCACCUCAACUCAACUCAACUCAACUCACCUCGGGUUCUUCUUCUCUCUCUCUCUCCCUCUCUCUCUCUCUCUCUCUCUCCCUUCCCCACCAAAACCCUAACCCUAACCCUAACACAAAUUUGCUCAUCAACUACUAUGCUGCACAAGCGGCGUCGACCUCGCCAUGAUCGAACGCCUCCUGAGGACAGCGAGAUCAUAGCCGUCGAUCAUCUGACCGGUUGGAUCUCGCCACGUCUCCCCACAAUUCCGCCCUUGUCACGACACGAUACACCUCUCUCUCUCUCCUAAUUUUUUCCCCAAUUUUUCCGAUUUUUUCCUCUUUUUUCUUGAUCCGAUCUCGCUGGUGAUGUGGUGCUGAGAAUUGGUUCUCCGGUUUCUUCGCACCUCCCAUAACCAGCAAAAUUAAUUCCUUUUUUUCAAAAAAAAAAAAAGAUCACGAUCAUAAUUUUACGGGUGAUUUUGGUUCAAUUUUGCUUUAUUUCCCCCCCGAUCUCACCCAUGCCACGGUCGUGACAUUUUCCAUUAAUUUUGCCUCAAUUUUUCGCUAAUUCUCAUCUUGAUCUCUAGCUUUUUCUCGAUCGGCUUUCUCAAUUUCUUAUUUAUUUAUUUAUAUUUUUUAUUUUUUAUUUUCCAAAAAAUUUGAUUAAUUAUUAUAGUGUUAAAUUUUACCCAAUGAUUUAUCUAACUAAAGCAAUUUAAUUUUAAAAAAUUGCAAGUCAAAACGGAGUUUUCCUUCUUUUUUUUUUUUUUUUGAGAAACCAGGCAUAGUCAUGUAUUAGCAUAAAGAGAUUAUUUUAUUUUUAAAAGUAUUAUUAUACUCCAAUGGCUAAUACAGUUACAUGCUUGGGAGAUUGAGAUAAUUGAACGGGGCCUAUCGUUACACGGGCCAUGGCCAAUCCCAUGCUGGCACGUGUACAUCUGGGCCUCACAAUUCACAUUCUCUGAGAAAGAAUUUGCUCGGACGAGAAGCGCUUUUCGGAGAAGCAUAAAAAGCUAGUGUAUUAACAAUAGUUCUAUAGCUUACCCAUUGCAACUAUUAGUAACAUAGUUUAUUUUGACUUUAUUAAGGUUUUAAUUUGACAAAAACUUCGAUAUUUUUUUCUUUGAACUGAGAUAUAGAAGUGUUUCUCACAACAAUUUGCAAUGCACUUAUGAACAACAACAACAACAACAACAACAUAAAAAAAAACAAGGACGCAAAAUUAAGAGGCAAUAUUUAUGUUUAGAUUUAUUCUGCACUAAAUUUCAAAAUGUUGAAAAAAAAGAAGGAACAGCAUUUUUGUAAAAUAUUAGUAAAAAUAAUCUAUGAAAAUUGUUUUUAUACUUGUUACUGAACAAAAAAAAUAGAGGGCUUCUUAUGAUCCUUGUAUUGAGAUAAGAAGGUUACAGUGAAAGAAGCAAUUUUUAUAAUAUGGUGACACGGGAUGUUUCUUUUUUUGAAUGGUGAGAAUGUAAUUUUCGAAUGAUUCAAAAGUUAGAAGUAAUGUAUGGAGCGUCUCUGCCAUGUCAAAAUGUCCUCUGUGGAAGCUGUACCUUUUUUUAUUUUUAUGGAGACUUGCUUAAAUUUUUAUCUUUUAGAAAAUAACUUUGGCUAAAAAAGAGCAAUUUUAGUUAAUUUGUAGGUCAAAUUUCAUUAAAAAACCGCCCGUUUUUUUAUUUUACAGGUUUGGUAUAAAUUUUUUAGAAAACUAAUUAGAAUUUUCGUUGCCUUCUUUUUUGAUUUUUUUUUCUCUGGUUCAUUUAUUUGUCAUUUUUCGUCGUUUCUUCCUCUUUGUUUCUUUAAACGGUUCGACUCCUUUUGCUUUUCCUUCCUUCUCUAUCAUUUUUUUUUCUUUCCUAUUUCGUUUUCUCUUUCUUCGUUUUCUCUUUCUUCGUUAAUAUUUCGCUGAAUUAUAUAUAAAAAUUUUUAGGUAGCACACUUAGAUUUAUUUUAAUUUCUUACCAAAAUAUUUUUUCACUAUUUCUUUCCCUCCUUCAAAUUACAAAUAUUUUUAUGAAAUCUAUUAAAAUUUUAUUUUUUGCAUUUUGUGAAUUCUUGCAUUCAAAUUAUAAAUACUUUAUCCAAAUUUUUUAUUAAAACAUUAGUUACAAAUAAAAUCAAUUUGGAGGUAAUUGUAGUUCUAGUAAAAUGGCACAAGCUGACAUGAAAGGGCAAAGAAUCAAAUAGCAAUUAGUUUGAAAAUAAUAGUAUGAUACUAAAAAUAAAUUUCUUUUACUAUAAAAUUAAAUUAAUUGAACACUCACAUAAAACAAAGACAAAAAAAAUUAUUAUUAUAAAUUUGUAAACAAUAUAACUGAGUAUAUUGACAUUAUAUAUAUAAAAAAUAUCUUCAAAGCAAUUAACAAUUACAAAGACAACAAUAUAUCAAAUCCAACAAAUUUAUAUAUACAACCAAAAUAUUUUCAAAGAUAUGAUAACAUCUACAUCUUACCAAUACUAUGCUUAUAAAAUUACACAAAUAAAAAUAAAAUAAAAUAUCUAUGAACAUUACAUGUUCCCAAAUAACAAAAAAAUAAGUAAGCAAACAUUAAAAACCACAUGCAUUUCACACAUGUUCAUCUUAGUUGCUCCAAAUUUAAUACAAGUACUGCACUUAGUUCUAUCAAAUAUCAAUACAAUUCAAGUUCAUAGCAAACUAAGUUUUACUAUUUCACAAUUGGGCUAUGUCAGGACUUAUCAUUUCCUUCCAAAAAAUUGGAUUUUUUUCUCCAAAAAAUUGGAUUCUACAUCUCAUCUUUUCCGUCUGUGCAUCUGACUCGUUGGAAAAAAAACUAUCAUUAGCUUGGUUUAGGGAAUAAAGUUAUUUACCACAUUAGCAUGUCAUAGCAAUCUAGUAGAAUUAAUGUUGUUACAUUGAAUAUUUUGAAACGCUUCUUUAAAAUGCCAGAUAUCUUUUCCACCAUAUUUCGUAACUAAGCAUGCCGAUGGUUAUACAGAUCUCAUAAAUUUCGAUAUAUACGAGCUCGUGUGUUAUCGUCAAAUUGACUAAUAUGGUAACGUUCUCCUCUAUAGGGGGGAAAAAAUUUAUCUAUAUUUGCGUAUCUCGAAUCUACUAAGUAAUAUUUAUUCACGAUAGUUGUGGAUUACAACUUUUUAAAUAACUCAGUAUGCAACGUUUUAACAACAAACAUUUAUUGUAGGCAACAAAAAUUAAGAUAUUAUCUUCGGGAACGGCGAAACCAUCACUAUCGCACACUCAGCGAAGUACUCUUAUAUCCGAAGCAGAUCUUUUCCAACAUGUACAUUCAAAUAAAAAAUUAUGAUCAAAUGAAAGGGCAGUUAUCAUAUUUUGGAAUGUAAAUCUUUUGCGACAAAGAAAAUGGGCUUGCUUGCUUCUGCAAACCAUCACUGAAAUAUGUGUUCCGUCGAUCGUACCAAUAACAUUCUACAACGCAAGAAAAAUAUUAUAUUGCGAAUUAUUAUUAAUCAUUUAUAAUCCAAUAUUAUAUCUGCAUGAUGGUUUAUCUUGAAAGAAUGAAAAUUUGGAUUAUUCCUAAUUCUUGGAUGUACGAGUGCAUUAUUUGCUGACAAUAUUUUGUAGUCAUCUUUCAACAUCACAAUGUCUCGAAGAACGUUGUUAAAUGUCUACUAAUUGUUUCUCCCGAAUGUUGGAAUAGUUCCGGAAGGAUCCUAUUUGCCACACCAUAGACUACACAAAAUAAAAAAAAAUUGUUAACUGUUCGUCAACAGUCAUAUUUCUUGUGCUACUUAUCAACCCCCUCCCGACUAACUCAUCGCGGAGUGCAAUAAAUGUAGCAGUACUCAUAUGAAUGUGAUGGUAGCAGCGUUCUGGAUGAUCAAUAAAAAUAUUAUAGAGCGUCUGAUGUUCAUUAAAAGGCCGAUUUUGACAUGGUUGCUUGUUCAAUAUAUUUGUGGAUAGUAAGAAUCCUUGCUCAAGUAGCGUCACAAACACUUGCUCUCAAGAUUCAUCACCUUCAUCUAAAAAUGCCAUAAUAUUCCCUACGAUUGCGGAUGAAGAGUCCAUCACUAUCUUUAGCAAGACAGGAAGUCGUUAGGGACAAAUACUUAAAUACAAAUUAAUACAUUAUCGUAAAUAGUGAUUUUGAAUUACAAACAGUAUUACAAAGUAUAAUACAAAUAAAGGAAUAAGCUUCGCCAAUUUUGCUUUUACUUAUGUAAGACAAAUAACACAAUAAGUAGGACACGAUAAGUAGGCUAAUAUUUUAAUAUAGCACUAGAUCAAAUAUUCACCAGACUUUUGCACAUGCAUACAAAACUCAUCAGUACACUUAAACACAAAUUAACAAACAUAGAGCAUCGUUAUGACAUUGUUCUAAAAAGCAGGCAUACGCAAAGAUUAGCUAAUUAGAAACAUAACCCAAUAUAAAUAAUCUAAACAAUUGACAAUAGUGUUCCAACAUACAUGUAAAGAUUAAUUCCACUAGAAACCUAAUUCAAAGUAACAAAUCUAAACAAUAGAUAUAAUAGUUCCAACUAAACAAAAUACAUACAAAGAUAGGUCUAGUGGAAACAGGACACAGAGUAACAAACAACACAUAACAUUACGACCUUAGAUUACAUUCCUAAAAAGAUCUGUUUGUGGAAUAAAUUUUGUUGUGCAACCUGUCGAUCAACCCACAUGAAUGCUAGUUCGUCAUUCAUAGUCAUGAAGACUUGCCGAUUCUUACCAUCCUUCAAAGCAUCUCCUGCUAUCAAGAUAUUUUUAUUAGUUAUUCUUAAAAGAUUAUAAACUCUGUGCAUGCAUGCCUCAAUCGAUGAAAUAUUAGAGUGAUUGGUGAUCUCGUUGUGAUAUAAUUGGCGUGGAAGGUUAAGAUUUUAUUUUCCAAUUUCAAUCAUCUCAGCACUCGCGAGAUCACUUUUCUUUUUUCGGCCACCAGUAGAAAAUGCAUGCUUGCGUUGAGGAUUGGUGGGUUGUGGAGAACAGUCUUUUUCCACUAGAGCUAUGGCCUGGUCCACUAGCAUUUAGUUCGGCAGUUGUUUUCAUCGGGGGAGGGCUUGUAGAGCAUAAGGGAUUAAUGCCUCCAUUAUUUGCAUUUAAGCUGUCCCCUGAUGACCCUGUCUCAAAUGGACUAGGUGAGAGAUUAAAGCUUGACAUUCUCUCGCCAAUAAGACUUUCCUCCUCACCAGGGAAUUAUCCGGGUAAGCUUUCAACUAUAGCGGGGCUCACCAUUUUAGUGGAAAAUUUAUAUUUUUCAAUUGCAGUUGUCUUUUCAGUAAGGAACUUAAGAUCCUUAUACGCGAAAAAAGGUUUAUCCUUACACUUGUCGUACGCUGGAUUCUUCUGAAGAAAGGAUAAUAACAAUAUAAUACUAUAAAAGAAAAUCAAUGAUUAGAAAAAUUAAUGCAACGUAUUUUAACUUUACCGCUAUUACAGCAUCACAGAUACUUAGGUCACCAGCUGUGGGAAUGUUGAAUUCAUAAUCCCACCCCUAUUCGCUCUUAUUAGCAAGGCAAAAUUAUAUGUCAUGAAAGUUCUCUUCAAAACUUUCACUUCAUAUGAUUCUUAGUAAGAUUAACGUUAUUUCUAAUGUUGAAUUUACUUAUGAUCCUAAUCCAAGCUAUGGUAGUGAGAGUCUCAUUAACAUAGUUAUCUAACAUAUGUUCCUCCCUCAUUAGAACUAACAAAGAUGAAUCCAAUGAGUCGAUCCAAUUGGCAAUUCUUGUUCUUGUUUCAUUUUGAAUAUUGACUCGUCUUUCAACAUGUUGCAUUUUAUUAGGUGAGUUCUCUAGUAACCCACCUUCCUUAUGAAAGUUCUUAGAAAUUUUUUUGAAGGCAUGCAUCUGUAGUUGUAACAUGAGAUUAAGUAAAUAGUUGUUAAUCAAGUGUUAGACAUAAAGUAACAUAUGUAAGAGAAGUAAACCCUGCAUAUACAAUAGUAGAGGAAACUUACAAGAUAUGCAAGGGAUGUACAUAUAUAGGUUAUAUUACACCCAACAACUAUACGUAAACUAUUAAACAGCUUUCAAUUUAAAGUGCAAUUGUAGUGCUUAUUUUAAUACCAUAGUUCAUCUAUAUGAAAUGGAGAUAUAUGCUUUAGUAAAUGGUAUACAUAAAUGAAAUCAGGGUGUCACGUAUAGUCGACAAACGAAAGUAAACAUGAUUAGAGCAAUAUUCAACACGCAAUAGGGUAAUGCAAAGUUGCAACCAUAUUCUACCCAAAUGAUUUCGCCGUAGGCCCGAAAUGUAGUAGCAUCAGUAGUAUGGUUCAUUUGGUUUUCAAUUAAUAUGGGGUUGCACAAAUUUUACAAUUUAUGCUGUUUUUCAAACAUUAAAUGAAAAUCGUCAUCAUCGCCGACAUCGGGUUGACAUAAAUUAUGAUGGAUAGGCAUUUGACUUCGCAUUGAUACUACAUGUACAUUUUUUGCUAUUGCAUUUAGAUUUCUCUCUGCUCAUGUAAUUGGCACCUCUAUAUCGUGUAGAUCAAACGUUAUUUUUACGUUGCUAGAUACAAUCAAAUUACAUAGUAUUAGUGUGAUCAUCAAGAAAAGCUUCAUUAGAAUGACAGUAUGGUUUUCAACAGUUAUAAAACAACAUCACAAAACAACAUCACAUAACAUAAGGAUUGUGAUAGAGGUGUAUGAAAAAGAAAUGUCACGGAAAACAAACCUUGCUAUAGCAAAAGAACCAAGAUCGGAGGCUGAGACUGUAAUAAAUAGAGGCACGAAGCCUACCUGUGGAUGGCGCAGGUAGCACGAGCCGGAUUAGGCCAGACUGCAAAAAAAAAAAAGAUAAUAAAUACAGGGCUACCUCUGCCAACAACAAAGCCAAAGGAAGUAGAUUCGUAGGGUAACCACCAAAAGGCGCAAGAUCGGAGCCCAAGCCCGUGAAGGAGUGACAGCACGAGGCUUCCUAGCAACGUCGAAGAAGGCACAAAGAGUAGGUGACACAACCCAAGAAAAGGGAGAAACCCUAGGAUUUAAAUGCAAAUGAUGGAGGCAUUAAUCCCUAAUACUCUACAAGCCCUCCCCCGAUGCAAACAACUGUCGAACUAAAUGCUACUAGUUCAGGCCAUAGCUCUGGUAGGAAAAGACCUCGUUUUUCACAACCCACCAAUCCUCAACGCAAGCAUGCAUUUUCUUCUAGUGGCUGAAAGAAGAAAAGUGAUCUCGCGAGUGAGGCGAUUGCUGAGAUGAUUGAAAUUGGGAAACAAAAACUUGACCUUACGCGCCAAUUAUAUCACAACGAGAUCACCAAUCGCCCUAAUAUUCUAUCGAUUAAGGCAUGCAUGCACAGAGUUUAUAAUCUGUUAGGGAUAACUAAUGAAAAUAUUUUAACAACAAGAGAUGCUUUGAAGGACGAUAAGAAUUGGCAAGUCUUCAUGACUAUGAAUGACGAACUAGCAUUCAUAUGGGUUGAUUGGCAAAUUGCACAACAAAAUUUAUUGUGUAAGCAGUUCUUUUUAGAGAUGUAAUCUAAGGUCGUAAUGUUAUGCGUUGUUUGUUACUCUGUCCUGUUUCGACUAGAUCUCUCUUUGUAUUUAUUUUGUUUAGUUGGAACAAUCAUAUCUAUUGUUUAGGUUUGUUACUUUGUGUUAGGUUUCUAGUGGGCUAAUCUUUACAUGUCAGUUGUUUAGGUUAUUUAUGUUGUGUUAUGUUUCUAAUUAGCUAAUCUUUGCGUAUGUCUGAUUUUCAGAAUAAUGUUAUAAUGAUGCUCUAUGUUUGUUAAUUUGUGUUUAAGUGUACUGAUAAGUUUUGUAUACAUGUAUAUAACAACUGCAAAAGUCUGGUGAAUGUUGGAUCUAGUGCUAUAUUAAGAUAUUAGCUUACUCAUCGUGUCCUACUUAUUGUGUUAUUUGUCUUACAUAAGUGAAAGCAAAAUUGGCGGAGCUUAUUCCUAUAUUUGUAUUAUGCUUUGUAAUACUGUCUGUAAUUCAAAAUUACUAUUUAUGGUAAUGUAUUAAUUUGUAUUCAAGUAUUUGUCCCUGACGACUUUCUAUCUGGAUAAAGGUAGUGAUGGACUCAUCAAAUUAUCGGAAUUUAUUUUCAUUUGCAAUCGUAGGGAAUAUUAUGACACUUAUAUGAAGAUGAUGAAUCUUGGGAGCAAGUGUUUGUGAUGCUACUUGAGCAAAGAUUCUUGCCACCCACAAAUACAUUGAACAAACAACUAUGUCAAACUUGGCCCUUUACUGGGCAUCAGAGGCUCUGUAAUAUUUUUAGUGGUCAUCUAGAACGCUGCUACCAUCACAUUCGUAUGAGUACUCCUACAUUUAUUGCACUCCGCGAUGAGUUAGUCGGGAAAGGGUUGAUAAGUAGCACAAGAAAUAUGACUACUGACGAACAGUUAGCAAUUUUUUUAUUUUGUGUAGGUCAUGGUAUGGCAAAUAGGAUCCUCGCGAAAAUAUUCCAACAUUCGGAAGAAAAAAUUAAUAGACAUUUUAACAAUAUUUUUUGAGGCAUUGUGAUGUUGAAAGAUGACUACAUAAUUUUGUCAGCAAAUAAUGCACUCGUGCAUCCAAGGAUUAGGAAUAAUCUAAAUUUUUAUCCUUUCAAGCUAAACUAUCAUGCAGAUAGGUAAAAUAAUAUUGAAUUAUAAAUGAUUGAUAAUAAUUUUCAAUAUAAUGCUUUUCUUGUGUUGUAGAAUGCUAUUGGUACAAUUGACAGGACACAUAUUCCAGUGGUGGUUUGCAGAAGCAAGUAAGCUCGUUUUCGUUGUCGUAAAAGGUUUACAUCCCAAAAUAUAAUGGCUGCCAUCUCAUUUGAUCAUAAUUUUUUAUUUGUAUGCACAAAUUGGAAAAGAUCUGCUGCAGAUAUGAGAGUAUUUCGCUGGGCGUGUGAGAGUGAUGGUUUCGUCCUUCCCGAAGGUAAUAUCUUAAUUUUUGUUGCCUACAAUAAAUGUUUGUAAUUAAAACGUUGCAUACUGAGUUAUUUAACAAGUUGUAAUCUACAACUAUCACAGGUAAAUAUUACUUAGUAUAUUCGGGAUACGUAAAUACAGAUAGAUUUCUUACUCCCUAUAGAGGAGAAUGUUACCAUAUUAGUCAAUUUGACAACAACACACGGACUCGCAUACAUCGAAAUUCACGAGAUUUGUAUAAUUACCGGCAUGUUCAGUUACGAAAUGUGGUGGAAAAGAUAUUUGGCAUUCUGAAGAAGCGUUUUAAAAUACUCAAUGUAGUAACACUAUUUUCAUAUAAAGUGCAGUGCUUGAUUGUUAUGGCAUGUUGCGUGAUACAUAAUUUUGUUCGUCGUCACCAAGUCAAUGAUAGUCUUUUUUCCGACGAGCCAGAUGCACAGGAUGGAAAAGAUGAAGAUGAAGAAUCCAAUUUUUUGGGAGGAAAUGAUGAGUCCCGACGUGAUGAGGAUCUCUGUGCUAAUAUUACAAACUAAUUGUGGAAUAGUAGAACUUAGUUUGCUAUAAAUUUGAAUUGUAUUGAUAUUUGGUAGAACUAAGUGCAAUGCUUAUAUUGGAUUUGGAGCAAAUUAAGAUAAACAUGCGUGAAAUUUAUGUGGUUUGUAAUGCUUGUUUACUUGGUUUUUUGUUAUUUUGGAACAUGUAAUAUUCCUAGAUGUUUUGAGAUUUCUCAUUUGCGUAAUUUUAUAAGCAUAAUGUUGAUAGAUGUAGAUAUUAUCAUAUCUUGUAGUUGUCAUCUUUGAAAGUGUUUUGGUUAUAUAUGUAAGUUUGUUUGAUUCAAUAUAUUGUUGUCUUUGUAAUUGUUAAUUGCUUUGAAGAUAUUUUUCAUGUAUAUAAAUGUCGGUAUACUCAAUUAUAUUGUCUACAAAUUUGUAAUAAUAGUUUUUUUUGUCUUAUAUUAUGUGAGUGUUGAAUUAAUUUAAUUUUGUUAGUUUUUUCUGUCUUGUAUUAUGUGAGUGUUGAAUUAAUUUAAUUUUGUAAUGAAAAGAAUUUGUUUUUUGUAUCAUACUAUUAUUUUCAAGCUAAUUGCUAUUUGAUUCUUUGCCUUUUCAUGUCAGCUCGUGCGAUCUUGCUAGAACUACAAUUACCUCCAAAUUGAUUUCAUUUGUAGCUAAUAUUUUAACAAAAAAAUUGGGUAAAGUAUUUGUAAUUUGAACGCAAGAAUUCACAAGAGGCAAAAAAAUAAAAUUUUAAUAGAUUUUAUAAAAAUAUUUGUAAUUUGAAGGAGGCAAAAAAAAUAGUGAAAAAAUAUUUUGGUAAGAAAUUAGGCUAUUUUGCUUACUCCAACCAAACAUUAUUUUGCUUAUAUCUAAACUAAAUUCAAUACUCAUCAAAUACAAAAUGAUUCUAUACCCACCUUAUACCCCAUCUUAUACCUAUUCCUGAAACAAUUAGUUCUUGCUUAUAUCCUAACCAAACGAAGUCUAAGUGGCUGAGAGCGGGUACAGAGCACAAUAAUAAAAAAAAAAGUGCAGAAGAAAAAACAAAUAAAAAAAUAUGAAAAUAUAUAUUUUUUAGAAGGUUAUGUAAAAAAGGUGCAGAAGAAAAAACAAAUGAAAAAAAUGAAAAAAUAUAUUUUUUAGAAGGUUAUGUGUUUUGGUGGCCACGCUGAAGUAAAGAAAAAAUAAAAAGACUAGAAAGUAGAGAAGAAAGAAAAAAAAUAAAUAAAGUUAUAGUAUUGGAGAGGAAAUUGUACUAUACAAAAUGAAAAGGGUUAAUUGCUUAUAUAUCCCUCAAAAUUUUAAAAAUAUUUUAUUUUUUUUUUCAUUUUAAUAUAUUUUUUAUAUGUUUUUUUGUUAUUUCAAAAUAUUCAUGUAGUUAUCACCUAUUAAGUUAAAGAAUAUUUAAAUUAAGAAAGUACGAAACCAUAUGGUGGUAUUUUAAGUUUUUUUUUUAUUCUAAAAUUUAAGGGUGUGAAAUGUAGACCCUAUAUAGAAUGUACAUGUGGCAUUUAUUUUUCCAAUUAUGUUCAAGAUCCGAGUUCGCCCUCUACGUAGAAAAUUUUUAAUUUGAACUUCAAAACAUUUAGUUCGAAAAAGGUCAUUUUGUGUAACAACGAUCUCUAUACAUAACAAUGCUGUUUUACUUGUGUAGAAGAUCAAAACUUCUUGGCUAACACGAAGUGAUACAAAACCUUAAACAUAAACCGGAAUUAUAAAUAAUUUAUUUUAUUAAUUGCGUUAUAAAUAUGAAUUUCAUAUCCUAUAUAUGGGAUAGCGUGUUACCUCUUAAUAAAAAAAUAAAAAAAAGGGUGCAAAACGUCUGUUUUUAUGCAUUAAUUCCAACUGUUAUAUCAAACACUUACAUAGUUAUAACUAGGGCAAUUAAAUCCAACUAUAUCAACUAUUUCGAAUCAUAUACCUUGUUUGAAUCUACAAACAGUUAAAAUUAUAGCAUAAUUGUACUCACGAGCAACCAAACAAGUCCUAUAAGGCACAAGCAUCAGAAGCAAGGCCCAGCAUAAUUAUUGACAGUUUCCUACCAAAAAUGGCACUUACUACACAUCUAAACUGGGUUCAUAUUUAGGUGCAACACAUGAUCCUACGAUAGAAAAGCAUUAGCCGAAUAAUAAGAGUUUAUGAACAAAGCACAGGCAAUGUGUUCCGGAAUAAACUAUUUUUCUAGAUAGCGUCACGAUAUCACCUACAAAAAUCAAUCAGAAGUUUGUAUACUUCCAAAAUUAACCAGCUCUAAAUCUCAGCUACUGUUCAAAAAAUAAUGCCAAACAACAGCUACUAAAGCAACAAAUACAACUUUUAGAAGAAGCUUACGUCCUUUUAGCUUGGAAGAUAGCCUAGAAAAUAGUAGAGGCACAAGACCAGGCCUUGCUGAAUCUGCAGAGAGAAAAAAAUAACAAAUUAGACUUUGUGGAAAAUUAGUAACAAAAAAAAAAAAACAGUGAAAAAAACAAUUGGUGAAUUAAGGGAGUGAACAGUCUUUUGCAGGUAAAAUAAUUUACUGUUCAUCUGGCAGAAACACAUAAAGCAAUUCUCAAGGUUUUCUUGAAUAUUUCCCCGUCCCUAGUCUUAUGUUUGACACAUUAGAUGUUAGCUCAUAACUUGAAAAGAAGGAUGAAUACAUUAAAUUUGAUCAAACUGUUGAGUUCAGAUAAAAAAUGACAAGAUGGAAGAGAACAAGAGAGUAUGCUUCAUUAAAGCAUGAACUCGAACUCCUACCGGCUCAGUUCAUGAUUACGAACUAUGUUUUCUCUCUCAUGGGAAGAGCGCAACUAUGCAGGUAGCUGUCGCAAAAAGCAUAACAGUAUCAUUUAAAUAGAAGCCUUUUGAGGUUUUCUAUCUGAUGAGUGAGGUUUAUCUGCUACAAUACCGGAGAACCCUGUAAUAUGAUGAGGAAGAUGAAUUGUUUUUUCCGAACAAAGGUGGUAGCUAUCAACAAAAAAAUUCUUGGUAAUUAAAUAUCAGGUAUUAAAAGACCAUUAUUUGUCUCAUGCGGCAUAGAGAAGGAAUAAUUUAUGAAUCUAACUUUACAACUAUCAGACUCAUGAGUCAUAAGUACUUAGAGACAACUUUAUGUGUUAUGACUAUCCAAAUCACAAGUCAAUGUAUUUACGAAUAACUCAUGCAAUGAUGUAAAUGCUACUUCAGUAAAAGUGAAGAAAUGUAAAGGUUCCAGGAAUAUUCAAAAAAUUUUAAGGAUGUUGAAGUACCUUUUUUGGCUAAUAAUCUCUCCUCCUCACCAAUCCUCCUCCUCAAGACAUUGAGCAACGAGCCAAAAUAUAGUGCUAAUACGGUACACGUAAAGGUGAUGACAUUGUAUGGCAUACUAAAAUCAGGAGUUGUCAAAGGCACGAGCAAUACUUCAGUGUAAGACCGUACGAGAUACUUUUCCUGUAGGGCCAUCAAUAAAGCCAGGAGAAAAUCAAUGUAAGCAAAUGAAAAUAAAUACUGGCAAAGAUACUUAUUACUUGUUGUUUGUAAACAACAUUGUAUAUGCUCAACAAGAUAAAAUGUCAGUCCUGAAAUACUAUUUUAAAUAUAUUUAAUGACGAUAUCAGAUACCUGCAGAUUGUGGAGCAGCGAGGAAUCGUCAGAUACAUCAUAAUCAGGAUAGCUCCUGCUUGAAUAAAUAUUAGGAAAAGUAACCAAAGCUGAAGGAAUGUCAAAUCCCUGAUUAGCAUCUGGAGGAUAUUCGUCAAUGUGUAGGAAUCCCUGCAAUAUAGUUUUAAUUAUGUAACAGUUAAAUAAGUCCAAUAAAAUUGAAAAAGUCAAGUUUAUUUUAACAUGAACAUCCUGAGUGAGGCACUACAUCAGCAAUAGGCUUUAACAGAAAGUAUCAGAUCGUAUAACAUCUUUACAGGUAUUAAAGGGGUAGUUCACAAAAAUAUGAAAGAGAUAACGAAUAUACCUUGUCAAAAUCUAAUGAUAAUGUAGCUGAGAGCAUGCUGCAAGGAAAUCUGAGCAUAAUUUCUAAUGUCCCCGGUAACAGCUUGUCCUCUGAAGGAGUAACUUGAAUCUUCUCAAUCACAUCUGACAAAGUCUGAGGCUUCCCAUCUAUAGAGAUUUGUAGAGUAUGAUAAUACACUUUAACGUACCAAGGAACCACCUGUAAAACAAUGACCGGCACUGUACAAUCAUUCAAAUCACCAAAGUAUUGAUCAUGUGUUUGAGUGGACUGUAGUGAGAUAGCAAUAGAUCCUCUCUCAUUACCACUUCCCAUAAGAAACCGGCUUGCUUGAAAUGGCGCAUGGACACUAGACCAGACCAAAGGUAGCUUCCAUGUUAUUCCCACAUCCAAAGGCUUGUUCUCAUUGGAGUUAUCCACUUUGUAUUCGUAUAGGGAAGAACCAACUUGACCGUUCGAAUUUUCCAACUCUUUAAUUUCCCUAUCAGGGGAAGGGAACAAAUCAAAGAAAGAAUUACUCCAAGAAUCAUCACGUAUUUCAACAAUCUUUUCAAGUAAACCCCUCUCUAGUUCAAGAAAUAUUUUGCUGGACUUAGCAAGAACGCAUUUUCCGGUCAUCUCCUUCUUAAACAAUUGACUCAAUGACCAACUUGGCUGAAGUUGUGCAUCACUAGAAGAUAGUAGGCUACUUGUAUAUGAAUUUGGUUGGAGUACAACCGUCAAUGUCUGCUCAAGAAUAAUUCCCUUUGAUUCAGAUGAUAAUAAUCGCAAUCUUUGGGAAUGGUAAUAUCCUUUGUAAAUGGAAGGCCUGUACAAGAGAGAAGCAAUGCCAGCUUUGUCUCGACAAGGAAGAAUCUUCAACCAAGGAGUUAGAUUCUCAGUGCAUACAGCUUCGCGGGGCAGAGCACCAUAUCGUAAAUUGCCAUUAUUAGAGAGGAAUCCCCAGUAAGGAGAAGAAUAAGCAGUGGGGGAUUCUAGAAAAUUAAUAGAAGCACAAAAUAGGCCUGACAGGGCAUGCGUGAGAUUUUUCCAUGUGGGAUCGAUCUCUUCUGUUGGAAGGUCAAAAAGGGCCCACAGCUCAACGCCAGGGGGCUUUGCAUUUCUAGUUGAAAUGGGAUCAGAUCCACCCCAUCUCUCAUAGUUCCAUCUUCCUUGUGUGAAUGACAACUCCAGUUCCCUAAUUUGGAACUUCUGGACCUGAUUUAAUCAUAUAGAAAGAAUCAUUAUGUUUUUGACCUUUUCAAAGAAUAGGAAGACUACUGAUAUACAAUCUACUGAUAAGGUGCUACCUACAAAAGAAGAAAGCUUGCUAGCAAUUUACAAUAUGACUUUGAAGACAUCAAUUCUGUAAAUGCACAAUAAUUAACUUCAUGACAAAUAAUCUACUAAAUUGGUUUUAUUCUGACAAACUAUUAACCCAUCAUAUAUUAUCUCUCAGUGCCCAUGAAACAGACAAAAAGAACACAGAAGCUAAGGAUAGAUAAAUGGAACAUAGCUUCGAAUUAUCUGUUCUUAAUCAUCAAUUAUCUGGUUGGAAUUCUCAAGUACCUUCACAGAAGCAGAUAUAAGGCAAAUUUACAAUUGUCUUGAUAAUUGCUAAAAUCUUGCAAGCACUACAAUAAUGACAAGCAAGAUGCUCUAAUGAGAUUCAGCCAUUGAAAAAGAUUGUAGGAAGGUGUUUAGUCUGUUCAUGGUUUAGAAAGAUUAGUAAAAGAUAUAAAUGUUUCCAAUGAAGUAUGAAAUAUAACUGUAUCUAUUUAAAAGUUUUGUUCAAUAUGUGUCUAAGGUUUAAAUUAGCUCCAUAUGAUAAAACUUGUGAUUAAAGUUUUUUCCCCAGUUGGGUUUUUCUCUUUUUUCUUUGUUCUUCUUUGUUAUAUUGAGAUGCAGAAAUGCUCAGGUUAGUAUACAGCAAACAAGGAAUUUAUAGCACCCAAGGCUUUGAGCCAAGGACGUGCUAUAUUACAUGCUAGAAUAUACUGUGAUAUUCAGCAAAUAAAUAGGCAAGCAAGGAAUCAAACAAAUGAUAAUAGUAUAAUAGAAUCUGGAAGACUAUAUACAGGGGCACACUCAUGAUGUAACAAACAUCUACAGAAAACAACAUAUAUAGAAAAUAUAUAUAUAUAUAUAUAUAUAUAUAUAUAUUGACAACAUAACCUGCAAUGUGAAGAGAAUAGCAUAGACCUAGUCAGCUAAACUCACCUACGGAAGCCUAAUGUAGUCAAUACAUAGUGGCUGUGUAGAAGAUUCCAGUCUAUAUGGCACCUGCUAUGGAAUUGAACACCAAAAAGGCUAUCGAGGUUCGUAAUUCAGCUAGAUGCUGCAUAGUAAGAUUGCUUCGGUAGUGGUUGCAUGAAAGUUAGUCAAACUAGCUCAACAUGUUCCAAUUGUGGGGCCUUGUUCAAAUUUGGCUUUGUGAAAGAGUAUUAUCUUAUGCCAACAGCAUUCAAAAGAACUUUUGGUUGAUAUUUGUAAGGAUAUUGAUGCUUAGCUCUCUACAGAUACUCCCAUUUUGACGUAAUAAGGAUGGGACGGCCUUUUAAGUACAAAAUGAAGCUAAGGCUGUUGAGAAAGAUUCUGAAAACUGCAUAGCUCAGGCAUUACUCAUUGUUUUGGAGAUGGACAAGUUACCAUCUUUUACAAAGUAUGACAGUAUGAGAAAAGAGAAAAUUUUAUGGUAGGGAUACCUCUCACUGUUGACUUCUAUACAUAUCACAAUACCUCAGAUUGACCAUCUUUUUUGAAUUGUAGGGAUGUAGCUUUCCUACACGAGUGACAGAGCCAAAAGAGCAUGUUGACUUGUUUAGUGGAGCUCUUCCCUUCUUGAUCUUUAAGGAGGAAACAAGGUAUCAUUUUAGAAUGAAAACAAAUGCUUAUUUAAUUUGCUCGGCCUGCAGUAAAGCACUUCCAAUUUUUUCCUCCUUGGUUGUGUAAAGAUAAUGGAUAUAGUAGGUAGCACAAACUUAAGAUUUUAAACUCUUCGUUCAGGCCAGGCGAGGCAGCCCAAAACGGAGGAUAAAAUAAAACAAAUUUUAAAUUUUUAGUAAUUGUAAGUUCUCUAUUAGAAAACUGUAAAUCUCAUAAUUAGUUGGAUCAAGUCUUAAAUCUUGAAAAUUUGUGUCUAGUGACAAGAUUCUAAGAGAUGUUUGGCUUCUAUUCACACUCAAACAAAUUUGCAUGGCAUUUCCCGAAGAGAUGAAAAGUCCAAACACGGCAACACAUAAGGUAUAUAUGCAAACAAGUGAACAACCAAAAGAGCAAAAAAGAAAACUGAUAAAACAGACGAACAAAUCCAAAACAAACAAAUCCGAAAGGACCAAACAUUUUUAACUUUAUAACUGCUUUCACCCGUGGUGACACUUCCACUAUACAGGAUUGUUUGAUUGCACAUAGUUGCACUUCAGUUGUAAUUACAUGUAGCUCUAAAUCCGGGCGUUUGUUUUGAUGCAUUUGAAUUCAUCUGCUGCAGUUGCAACUGCGUGAGGAUGCUCAAUUAUAGUAGUUGGCACUAUGCCCAAUUGGCAGCAGUUUCAACUACAACACUUGGAGAAAGUAAUUUCAAACAAAUGUGAGUUUUACCUCCUAAUAACCUUUUUCAUAGAUUUUUUUUCUCUACUAUAUAUGGGAUAAUCUCAACAUCCCAUAUAUAAAAUGAUAAAAAUUCAUACAUGCAUUUCUCAACCACAUGCAACCAAGCAAAAUAUUUAUGGCUGGAAUGCUUUCCACUACAUCCAACCAAACAAAAUACAUGUAAUUAUAAUUGCUGCAUUUCUAACUACGUACAUCACCACCUGUAUUGGAUUUACAAUUACGUCAAACCAACCGGCUCCUACAUGCAACACACUGAAUAUUUUGUGACUUACAAGCAAACAAUAAUCUCAUUGCAAGUCAGUAAGCUAUUAUAUUAGACUAAACUUGUGUUUUCAAAACCCAACUUUACCAGCAAAAACAUAAGCAAACAUAAAUCAGUGAAGUCAAGAACUCAGGGGGAAUAAAUUAUCAUCCAUUAAAAAUAAUAGUUCGCAAGAUCUCACUUGCACAUACAACAUUCAAUUAUUCUUCAGAUAAACAUUCCGAUACUUGUUCAUAUGUUCGAUUUUCAUAAAAUUUCAAGAUAUAUUUUUAAUAGGUGUCCGAUUAAGCUAAUUCAGCAAUUCAUCCUUUCAAAAUCAUAACACUUUGAUUCUAAGAUUUUCUCGACAAAGGAACAGUAAUAGCUCAGGCUAGAGAAUCAAGGCGGGGAAUUACGAGAGGAAAAGAUGAAACCCUAAUUUCAUUAUCAAAUUGAAAUGGAUCAGAGAGGAAGGUACCAAUUGGGCGAUGGCUUUGGGGAAGAGGUGGUGGUGGCGGCCAUUGGCGGCGGAGGGAGGGGCGGCGCUGCGGAAGUGGAAGUGGGCGAGGACCUUUCGAUCGGGCAAGGGCUUUAGAAGAAGCUCCUCGGAGAACUCCUCUCCUCCUCCGCCGCCGUCGGAUCCGCCAUUGCCCUGAAUCGGACGGAGGAGGGAGAGAGAGAAGACGAAGAAGAUGAGGAGGAGGAGGAAGGGGCCGCGGGAGAGGGGGCGGAGCGACGCCAUUAUUGGCGGCGAUGAAGCUUCGAUGGCGAUGGCGGAUCCGCCAUGGAGUGAGAACUCGAGGCGAAGCCCUAUUUUGAGUUCGGGUGUGGACCGUGUGGUAAGUAAAAGGGACAAUUACAAUUUGCUCCCGAAGUUCAGCAUAGUUUUAAUUCGUUCCUCAAACUUUCUAAGUCCUAAACUCUCCAAAGAGUUUUAUUUUUGGGUCAAUUGCAUCCAGGUCGCCGCAAACAUCUAUAAACUUAUAUUAAUCCCCGUAUUCUAUGUCCACGUGACAACUUUUCCUUAAUUUUGAGAUUAUAUCCGGUUAAUUUUUUUAUCAACCGGCUCAUAACCGGUUCAUCUUCUCAUUAACCGGCUAUUAUUGCUUCGUUCCUUCGUUCCCUGUGCCCUCGCAGUCGAAACAUCUCCUCCAAACAAUUUGUUCCUUCGUUCCCUAUGCCCUCGCGCAGGUACAUCUCCCCCAAACGAUUUGUUCCGUUUUUAUGCCUCGACAUUAAGGCAUGGUAACUCUUUACCUUCUCCCUCCUUGAACCCCCCUUCUUCAUCUUUCUCUAUUGCCUCGCCUUUGCCGCAACAUCCCACGCUGAUGGUAAUAACGACCUCAAUGCCUUCAACUAUGUCCCCUGAUCUCUCAUGCCAUGUGAGUUUCAGCGCCGCAACAUAGUCGUAUCAGCCACUACCUCCCAUUGACUGUGACAACUUCUACACUAGGUGAACAUCGCGAUCAAUUGUAGCCGACAUUUAUUUUCGCCACCUUCGAAGUCUCUUUCGCUCUUUUUCUCCUUAAUCUCUUUCUCUCUACCAGGCAAAGCAAUUGAAGUUCCAAAUUGGUUGUGCUUUCGAUUGCGCCUGCCAACUGUUUGAUGAAAUGUUAAUAAGGGUCUCUUUCUCUAAUUUCUUGCCAUCUUCCUCACAGCACUGCCAUUACUAUUUGCAUUUUAGGCUUACAAUCUGGUUCUUAAGUUGCAUACAUACAUACAUACAUACAUAUAUAGGAAGGAGAAAUAGUCUCUCAACUUCUUAGUCUGAUUUUAUGUCUAUAGGUGCAAAUUGCUGCCAUUUUCCUGCACCAUUAUUUGUGCUAUCGGAUCUUGCUCGGUGUUGUUUGCAAAAUUAUUAUAAGUUAAUUGGUUCACUUUUUCUUGAUUAUAUACUAUUUAUCACACUUUAAAUGAACUUUCUUUUUGAGUGAAACAAAAGGGACUUUUUCCGAUACAAAAUUAGUUACUCCCUAUAUUUGAAUUAUUAGAAACUUAGGGGCGUCUAUAUAAGAAACUGCAUUUUCGAGAAAAAUAUAUGAAAUAUUGAGACUCUUUAUUGUUAUAUCGGUAAAUAGAUGAUUUUGUAGGAAUAUAUAUGUAAAGUGCUCAAUAUUUAUUUCGGACAUGCAUUACUAUUUUUUGCUUUAUCUCCCAAGUCUAACAUGCUGAGACUAAUAAUAGACAAAAUUAUCAACUUCAUAUAUGGUUUACAUACUAAAUGCUUUUUUUGUUUUUGAGCACAAUAGGAUUUUGGGUGAUGGUGUUAUCAGCUUCAUACAUAGUUGUUCUUUUUUUUUUUCUUUUUUUUUUCUUUUUUUUUUUUCAAAGAAAACUAAAUUUUCAUUACCAAAAUAUGGCAAGAAGCCAAACAAAACAGGAUACCGAAGUAUAGGCGUUCAAAGCAGAGUUCAAAAGAAAAUACAUCUUUGUCAACGAAAAAGUAAAAAAGGCUCUAUAUCCUUAUCUAACAUGCGACAUAACUCUGGAUGUCGAUUUGCAUUAGUAAAUACAGAAGAUUGAGGCAAGUUAGCUCUGGUAGCCAGCCAAUCGGCUACCAUGUUUGCCUCCCUUUUAACAAAAAGGACUUGAGUAGCAGCAAACUUCUUCAUGGUGCUAGAUAUGCCAAGCACAAGAGCUCUCAGAGGCCAUGGAGGUGAUUGGGCAUGUCGCAGGCACUGAAUAAGAAGAUAGGAAUCACUUUCUAAACAUACUCGUUGAAGUCCAUGUUGAUGCGCCUCCGCAAUAGCUUCCUUCAUUGCCUUUGCCUCAGCUUCCAGUACUGAAGUUGCCUCAAUCUGUCUACCUGCAGCAAAUACAACAUGGCCUAAAUUAGUACGAGCUAUAUAACCAAUAGCGGCAGUGCCUUCUUCAGACUUGAAGGACGCAUCGGUGUUAAUUUUAAUCCAACCAUCUGGUGGCGGACACCAUUUGUUGGCGUUCGAGUGUUCAAUAGUGUGCGAAGGGACUUUAGAAAUAUAAUCCAAAGUCAUAUGCAUGAUAUGGCGCAAUAUGACCUGGAUCGAAGAGGAAUUGUUAGAGAAUUGUCUGGCAUUUCGUUCCUUCCAGAUUUGCCAAAAAGUGUUGGCUAUCAAGGCGCGGAUAAAUUGUUGCUGGACCACCGCCAGAUUUUUACCCUCAUCAAUCCACUCCUCAGUAAUCCAGUCACCAUUGAAAGAAAACAAAAUGCCAGUAGACGACAUAACGGCAUCCCAAAUUCUUCUAGCAUUUAUGCAAUCCAAAAAGAUAUGAUUUUGAUCUUCCGGAGUGGAGCAAUAAAUGCAAAAAGGAGACGGGGCUGAAUUAAGUGAGUAACAUCGCUCAUUAGUAGGUAGCCUAUUCCAGAGAAGUUUCCAUAAAAAGUUCUUAACACGAGGAGCAACCGGUAAGGACCACAACACUAUCCACUUGGUCGCUUGAGGGACAUAGAAACCUUGAUUUAUGUGAUGGUAUAUGGAUUUAACCGAUGGCUUUCCAUCCUUCUUAGGAGCCCAAAUCCAUUCAUCAGAACCAUUAUCAGGGCUUAAGAUAAUUUUGCAAAUAUUAUGAGCCAGAAUUGGCCCAAACCACUCGACCAGACGAUCAUAAUUCCAAUUGCCUGCCCGAAUGAGUCUAGCAACUUUCUUUUUGCCAAAUCGAACAUUCAUAUUAAUAUAAGUAGGCUUCCAGGAUAAAGGUAUAGAAAAGAUCCAUGGGUCAUCCCAUAUGGUAGUAUCCUUACCAUCACCAAUGAGCUUACACAUCCCAUCACGAAUCACAUGCAUUGUAACUCUAAGGGCCUUAAAGAUUGGGGAGCACUUUUUAUACUUUCUAUCAGUGAACUUCCAAGGAUGGAAACCUCUGUACUUAUCUCUCACCAGCUUAACCCAAAGGGGCUCGUUGUUAUUUAGAACCAUGAAGACUUUAGGCCCAAGUAAAGCUUUCUGAGAUAUGUUAGGGUCACGAAUGCCAAGCCCUCCAUUGACCCGUGCAGUAGUAACACUAUCCCACUUAAGAAGAUGUAGACUCUUCUUAUUAUUCCUUUUUUCCCAAAGAAAAUCACGAAUUUUUCUAGAGAGAGAAUUUGUCACUCCUUUUGAAACAGCAAAGUUUGCAAAUAUGUGAUUCGACAUGGCCCCAAGGACAGAAUUGAUGAGAACCAAUCUGCCCGCUUGGGACAAGCUAUUUCUCUUCCAAGAAGCCAGUCUGCUAUCCACCUUAGCUUGAAAGUCAUCAUAAUCUCUCAGAAGUUGCUUACCAUAGCCCAAUUUGAUGCCAAGAUAGGUCAAAGGGAUGGACCCUUCUUGCAUGCCUAGUUUCCGAUGGAUACGGCGUUUCAAGUCUCUAUUUAUCCAGUUCGGAAAAUAGACCGCGGAUUUGGUUAGGUUGACCUUUUGGUUGGUGAUAGAGGUAUAAAACUCAAGAGUCUCAGUAAUCACAUUGCAUUCUUGAAUUUUAGCCAUUGUGACUAUCAACAGAUCAUCAGCAUACAUGAGGUGGGAUAUUCUUGUCCGACUAUCGAUACAAAACCCAGAUAUUUUGCCCGCACUCAAAUUCUUAUUAAGCAUAUGAGUUAGCAAUUGCGAAGUUAAAAUGAACAAGUAGGGAGAAAGCGGGUCUCCUUGACGAAGGCCGCACUUUGGUUUUAACCAAUUUGAGGGAUUACCGUUGACCAGCAAGGCGUACAUUGGUGAGGAAAUACACGCCUCAAUCCACAUUAACCAUUUUUUUGGAAAAUUCAUAUGAUGCAUGGNGUAAGCGUCGUAUCAUCUAACUUGAGUGGCCUACCAACCCGACUAGCAAUUUGCAAGAAAAUAGGCUGCUUCCAGUACUCAAUGGGUAAAUUGUGGAAGUGGACCCAUACUAGAGCAGUAGAGAUCAUCUCCUCCAUUGGGUUAAAAUUUGGCCUCCAUCGCAUGAGAUUAAGGGGUAGACCCCUCACUGUCCAUGGGCUAGCUGACAGGAUUGAUAGCAUAGCUUGCUCGCUUGAGAACUUGAACAAGAAGAAACCCGAUGGCAGGUCAAUAAUGUCAAGGUUCCCAUCAGUAGGCCAAAUAGUGCUUAGGACAUUCUUAAUAAUAUGUAAAGGUGGAGGUCUGGUAAGAAACUUACCAAUUAAUGAGAACUGCCAUUCAUUUAUACUCUCCUGGAGCUCUAUUGGAUCAAUAACUACACGAUCUGUAGUUGCAGCCUUAAUUCUAGAAAGUUGAUCAGCAGUAAUAAAGUUAGCAUUUAUAUGAGCAAUGUUCUUUCCCACACCUGAAGUAACUUGUGCCCACGAACGAGAUUGGGGCAUCAAUUCGGAAUCCUUCUGAGCAUGCGACGGAGACGAGGAUUCCUUCAAAGGUGGAGGGUCGGGAGGAGGGCCUCCCUCCAUGAGGAGGAAGGCAAAGCUACAGGCAAGUCUAGGAGGGACGCUCUCUCUCUCUCUCUCACUCUCUCUCUUUCUCUCUAACACAUGAAUUCACAGUCAUUCACUUUGCAUACAUAGUUGUUCAAUACUUUCUUGCAUGUUGCAUAUUUAAUUUAGCAUUUCUUAUAUAUCAUAUGACGGGAUUGAAUGUAGAAUUGUCUUUAUUUGAUGCAAUUCUUAUUACUUUGAAUUGAAAGGAAUGAAUGAUGGCCAAUCGUGCACAUGACAUGAUGCACUUAUUUGUUUUUUCUUCACUUCUUGAACUUUCCAAUCUUUUUAAUACCUAGCAAUAUAUCAUUGGCUUAUUAACUUAAUAAAUUGAAUCUCUCAAAAAAAAAAAAACUUAACAAAUUGAAGGUGGCCACAUCUAUCGCUUCAAACCCUCAGUUUGAGGCAUUAAAUCUAGACGAUAUAAUUUAAUUUGAUAGUUGUGACAAAAACUCUGUCGUUGGCAGCAGAUUAUUUGCAUUUAGUUUUUCUUUUCCUUUUUUUCUGAGACUAAUUUACUUGCAAAUUUGUGUUUUCAAUUCUGUUCAAGCACUAUGCUCCCAAAUCUAUAAAAGGUGAUCUCGUUUUUUACAUGUUCAAUGAAAUGCCAAUUCAGAUAUACUGUUGUCAAAUUUUUAUAUUUGCUUUUUAUGUGUUCAAUGCAUGGUCACUUCAGGUAUGUGGCUUAAAAUUUUGUCGGAUUGUACGAGUAUUGUAUUGCUUUUCAAUAUGUUGGAUGGAUUGCAAAUUUAGAUUUGUUUGCACUUUUUCUGAGGAAAUAUUUAUACAAUAAUUAAGUUUGGUUUGGAUGAUGAUAAUUCAUACCUUCUUUUCUUUUUUUUGGGAAAGCAAUCAAUGAUGAUAAGAUACCUUUCAAUAAAGAUUCUUUUACUUUUUACCCAAUAGUUUUAAUAGAAGGGUAGUAAGAAUGGUCUCAUGGCAAUCACUGCCAUCCUUAAUCUUUCUAAAAUUUGAUUUACUUGAGAAUAAAAAUUAGGAGUCUAUUUUAUAUACCAAAUAAUGAUGAAUAAGUAUAUUACCAUCUGAGCCAUUCUUUUCAUAGUUUUCACUUAACAUUUUCGAUUUGGUUUGAAUUUUGCAACUUAUUAUCAAUCUUUUAUUUUUCUUGCUUUUUAUUAAGCUUCAUUAAAACUUUCAAAUACGUGCAAGGUGGUCUCGCUUGCUCCCAAAUUUAUGUAAGGUAAUAUUGUUCUUCAUAUGUUCGGUAUUUGUUUGAUAAAUGUUAAUUUAGAGGCAUUUGGCCAAUUAGGAAUAUAUUAGAUCUUUUAAAAAUUUUGAAGGGUAUAUUUGAUAUUAUUUAUUAUUUUUAUAUGAUCAAGAAGAGAGAGAGAGAGGACGUGGGAGAUAGCUAUCAAUUUGAGCAUGGAUUGGAAGUAUUUGUAUAUCAUUUGGAUACUUCGGAUCGAGAUAUCCAAUCAUAAAAGUAUUUUAAUUCAGAUACUGUGUGUUCCCCAAUUAUUAUUAUUCAGUUUUUCUAUUCGUUAUUAGAACAUAAGUUAUCAGUUCCUAAUUCGUAGGUAAAUGUGUUUUUUUUAAGGUGAAUAUGCUUUUCGGUUUUUUUACAUUACAACAUUAUUAAACUAGAGAUAACUUUUUAGCAUUAUAUUUAUUUUUGAUUUGAAACAUUGUCAUUUUUUUUUUCCCUUUUUCGUUAGCAUUGAAAUCAUUUUUUUGUUCAUAUAUUUCUGUGUGCUUAUUUUUUUGUACAUCUUUCAAUAAAGGAUAAUUGAUGAUCCUGCUUCUUGGUAAGUUAGAAUAUAUGGAGAUUGGAUUUACCAUGUGAGUAUGAAGAAUUAAAAUGGAACUCUACAAAUGACAAAUACUGAGUGUUACUACUAUAUAUAUGGAGGAACUAAUCGUAACUUUGAAUGGAGGAGCAGGUCCAUAACGUUAAAAACAUUAAUAAAGUUUUGAACUAUGUGCUUUUGGGUGUUCUUUUUGGAUUCUUUUUUCACGCUUGAUAUAAUGAUCUUUUUCUUUACUCACCAUAUGUCAUGUUUCUUUUGUUUUCUAAUUUGUCGGUUUGUAUAAGGGUCCCCGUAUCUUUAUUUUAAAAUCUUGAGUCCUUGAAUUUUACAUAUGUCACACUUUUAGUCCUCGCACAUUAGAAAUUUGGGCUUUUAAUCAUAUUUGAAUUAUAAGUGAAUUAUUUAGGGUAGAAAGAUAAAAUGAUUACUUCACAAGCAAAAUAAGAUUGUUGGUAUAAAAAGUACAGGGACUAAGCAGCACAAUAUUAGAUUUCUACAGGAACUAUCCCAAAAUUUUACCUAAUUGGAGAAAUAUAUCUACUUUCAUUUGUCCUAUUCUUUAGAAAGUUUUAUUUGUAGCGCAAUGUAAAACUAUGAAAUAUGUAGAAUUAAACUCAAAAAAGGUUGAUUUUUAAGAGUUUCCAAGUUAAUUAUAUUCUCCGAUUAAGUAGUAUCUUCAAAUGCAAAAAAUAUAGUGUUUUUUUUUUCUAUUUUCUAGGGUUCUUAUUUAUAAGAUUUUUUUUACUAGAAGAAGCUAUAAUAUGUUUUAUACGUACAGUUCAAAUGUUGAUUAUUCACGAUUCGUCAGGGCAGCAUUAGCAUCUCACCAAAUUGGCUUAGUUCGUCUACAUUCUAAGUUGAGCGUAUACUUUUUUUAGCAACUAUAAUUUUACCUUUAUUUCAUAUAUAAAGUGAGCCAAUCACCAUUCUUUUUUAUUUUUCUUAAUUAAACAUUGAAGUUUCUCAGGUGCCGCAGAAGAAAUUUCUACAUGAAUAUCACUUUAUGUACUCAAACUUGCAUCUAUGAAGCUUUAUUUAAAAAAAUUUAUGCAUUUAAUCCCUAUUCUCAUCAUCUUCUUUGUUUAGGAUGUGAAAAGUACUCAACUUGCAAAAGGUUUGAGAAGUACACGGACCAAGUCGUGCAUUAUUAGUUUCUACAAGAACUAUCCGCAUAUUUUGCCCAAUUAGACUAAUACGUCUUUUCCCUUUUAUCUUCCCCUUUAGUUAGCUUUAUUUGGAACGGUAAUAUUUUUCCAAUAUAUAAAAUGUUAAGGCACUCAUUUUCUAAGCAAUUCAAUUAGAUAUUAUUCAUAUUCUAUUCGACUAUCUAUCUUUGAGUCAUGAUGAUCAUGCGAAAAUAAAGGAUAAGAAUAAACUUUAAAAUUAGAAUCAUAGUAAAAAAGAAAAUCGAAUAACAUAAUUUAUAGAAGAGGAAAAAGUAACAAACUUUAUAAUAGUAAAAUCAAAGUUACAUAUUGAAAAUUACAAAAAUAAACUAAAGCAAAAGAAAAUUUAUUGAAAGAUGGAAAAAAUAUAUUACCCACUAAGGAGCAGAAUUAGACUUCAUUUGGAAUUGUGAUGAGAUUGUGUCAUGUGCGGUGAGAAACGACAAUGGAAAAAUAUGAUGUUUGUUUUCGUACGUAAUAUUCCGUUCCGCAUAUUGUGGUCAGUCGGUUACAAUAUAUUUUCUACGGUUCCAUUGGAGAACGUAGAAGCAUAUCCCUAUAUACUUUUUCUCAACUUCAUUCUAUCUAAUAGCGUUAGAUAAACCUCAAUACCAAACUAAGCCUUCGUAGAUAUGAUAAAAAUUGACUAUAAUAAUUAAUAGAUAUGAUAAAAAUUGACUAUAAUAAUACCUAUCCACAGCAUCGCGCGGGCCACUACACUAGUAGUGAAUUAUACAUAUAUUCCUGUAAAGUUCAACUCUCAUAAGUUAUUCCUGUAAAAAUUCUAAUGUUUUCAGAUAUAUCCUUGCGGUUAGAAUUCGUUAGAAAAGUUUAGUUUACUAUAGGUUAAAUACUUUACCCGGGUUAAUUUUUGAUAUUUUUACCCCUCUUAUAUUAUACUGUUAUAACUUUUGAAGGAACAUAUUUGUGAUGGCAAAAUCGAAAAUAUAAAUAAUUUUCUAACGGUUCUCUAACCGUAUUAAACCAGAGGGACAUAUCUGAAAACAUUAGGACUUUUGCAGGAAUAACUUAUGAAAGUUGAACUUUAUAGAGAUAAAUUUGUAAUUCACUAUAUUUGCGGGGACCUAUAUGCAAUGAACCCUUUAUUUUUGUAGGAAAUUUAUAGUUUAGUUAAAAAAAUAACAGUUUGAUAUUGGGCUUUGGAAAAAGACUUAAUCUCUGGUGUAUUUUACUUCUGUCUUAAAUAAAUUUCGUCGUCAAAAGUUUUCAUACAAAAUAACAAUUGUAGAUUGAUACUGCGCAAUGUGGACAACCAUCUACGCUCAAUAAAAAAAUAAAAGGUACUUGUAUACACCCCAAAAAAUGUAUAAUGUUUACCCCAUUCAUCCUAAGGUAUGGUAGCCUUUACUAGUCAAUGUGACUAGUGAAAAAAUUUUCACCCUAAGAUGAAUGAGAUAUACAAUAUAUACUCUUUUUGAGGUGUAUAUGUAUCAUUGCUCUAGUAAAAAAAGUAAAAAAAUAAUAAUACACAACCCCUCCAAAGUACGUGCCCUUCUCUCUUUUAUUAUUAUCCAAAAAUCUUACCUUUUCCUUUUCUAGCCUAUCGCUCUCCCUUCCUCUCUCCCCUCUCUCCUUCCACAACAAACCUAACUCCUCUUCUUCUAAUUGCUUAAUCUGCUAACGCUUAGAGAGACCAUAAAAUAAGACCAACAACUUUCAUAAGUUCUAGGAUUUUAAAUUGAUUUAAAAAAGAAGACAUAUAGAAGAGGAAGAAGAGUUAUUGUCUAAACAUGUUAGAAGAGCGAAGUGUAAGAAAAGAGAAGUUUGGAUAAAAAUAAAAAAAUGGAAAGGAUGUUAGCUCAAAACGUCUUAUAGUUGAGGGGUUAUUUUAAUCCUUUUUAACCUAAUAUAGAUACGGAUGUGGUUGGCUAUGUAAUACAAUGUCAAACUAUACCUGUUAUAUCAGUUGAAACAUUGUAACGGAAUGACUUAUUGAGACAAAAAUGAAGCGAAGGAGGGGCAUUAUUUAAAAUUUUUAUUCACGAAAUAUUUGAGACACAGGGCAAAGUGUAAUGAAUUUUUAUAAUUAAGCAUUGAAAAAAAAAUGUAAGAUAGCAAAUAAAAAAGUGCAAUAUAGAAAGAUAAGAAAAUAAUACAUUAAUAAUUUUUUUCAAAACAAUUAGCAUAAUCUAGCAAGCACUAAUUAAAUUAAUUUUUAAAUAAAAAUAAAAAAUUUAAAUUCAAAGAAAUAAGACAUUUACUUCAAAAGAAUUGAUUUUACCAAUUGUCCCAAAGCUUUACCCAAUUUGUUACUUUAUUCCCAAUUUUUUUUUUGCAAUUUGAUCCUUGUAAUCAAGAUUAGUAGCACUAUUAGUCCCUUCGUUUUGCCCACUUUCUUAUUUUUGGUUUUUAACCUAUUUUAUUUAUGCAUUUAUCUAGUGGAGCACCUAAUGCAACUAGCUAAAGGCUUGAUGAUUGAUAUUUAAAAUCAUAAGUUCAUAAUCUAAUUGUUCUAUAUUUUUAGUUAAGUUCAGCUAAAUAAAAAAAAAAACGAAACGUGUACUAUGCGACAUUUUUCUUAAAUAAUAAUAAUAAUAAUAAUUGGCGUCUAACAUAAUAAAAUAUAAAUAGAAAUACUAAAUUUACAAUCCUUAGAAGUUGUAAUUUUUACAACCCUCAGUUCAAGGGUUUAAGGUCUACCUCAUAUUUUUUUAUAUUUAAUAAAAAAUUUAAAAAAAAAUGACAAGACAAGUUGGAAAAGAGCGACUCUUGGAUAAUUGAAGUUGAAAGUUUACCACACCCGGAGGUUGUAAGGCUAGCAUGGCUCAAAAAUACAAUGGUUAGCUUUAAUUUGACCUCUUUGGUUAGCGCAACUACACUUUUUCUUUCUCAAUUUUAAAAAUUGUACUUAAUAAUUCUAUAAAUUUAUCUUUAUUUUUACUAAAAAAUCUAUUAUCAAAUAGAGUAGAAGUUUUUUUGAUAACCAAAGAAUAAUUAAGUUUAAUUUUUUAAAUCAUAGAGUGAUAAAAUAAAAAUGCGCUAAACCACAUAAUAUUUAUGUGUAAUUUUUGAAUCAUAGAAUGGUACAUUGAAAAUAACCUAUUGGUAUACCCAAAAGGAGGUGUAAUUUUACAUCCUCUCAUCUUAGGGCUUAAAAUUUUUUUGAAUUUUUGAAACUUUUUUUUAAGAAAAUUGAUAAGACAAGGACCUAAUAUAGAUCAAGCAGUGUAUAAUUUAAAAUUCUUUUAGGUGGUGUUUAGUUGGGGGUUAAGAGAAGGGAUAAGCGGUUAUCCCCCCCUAAUCCCUAAACACUUUUUUUAUAAGGGUGGGGUUAGCUAACCCCACCUUUAACGGGUUAUAGAUUAAAAAUGUAAGUUUACCCCACCCUUAUAUAUUUAAAUUUUAAAUUUUAAAUAUAAAAUUUAAAAAGUUAAAUUUAAAUAUAAAGGAUAAUAUCAUUAUUUUCUAUUUAUAAUUACUUGCUAUUCUUCUUAUUCUAUUUUAUUUGUCCAAACGCUAUUUUCUUAUUCUCGGGAACAACUCAAUUUUCAUCCAAACGUAAAAUUAGCCUAUUUCAAGCUUAACCCUGAACUUAUACUUAUCACUGAAAUAACUAAUUCUCACUUAACCUCGAACCAAAUAAAGCCUAUUAGGGUGUAUUAAUAUGGUGCUCAAGCUAGAAAGAGAAAUGCCAUUGGUACAUCAAAAAAGUCCUAGGAUUUAAAACUCUACAUAUUUAGUAUUUAUUUAUUUUAUUUUUUUUUGACAAUCUAAGCGAGGAUUCAAUAUAAGCCCCUAUAUCAAAAGAUAUAAAAUUUACACUUUUUUUUGGAUGUAUCGGUAAUAAUGCUCAACUAAAAAUUGCUAAAAUACAGAAAAUUUUUUAGUAAUAUCCACUUUCUCACUUUCUUCUAACUUUCAAAAAUUUAUAUUUUGACCACUUAAAAUUUCAAAAAAUUUUAUCGUAUUAACAAAGAGAGCAAAAUGACAAACUAUUCUUACUUAUUCUAGAAAAAAUAAAUUUUUUAAUAUAAUUUUGCUAUUUUGAAGAAUAUUUUCAGCAUAUCUAGUUGUCUGCGACCACGAAUGACGCACCUCGCACGGUUAAUCUAUUUUAAAUUUUCCGUGGUGCAGUAUUCAUGAUUCAGAUUAAUAUUUAAAUAUGUAUAUAUAGGUAUCAAGUAUUGUGGAUCCAUGACUUCCAGUAAACGCAAGCGUUACUGUUAAUUAACCCCAUAAAAUGUUAGGGCACCUUCGAUUAAGAGACCUCUGAAAUGCUGAAAGAGACUGAUAAAAGAUGGAUUUUAUAAAAUAGUUCGUUGUAUAAUUACAUAACUUACCAAGGGCAUACCCCCAAUGUACAUGAAUAUAACAUAAAAGAGAAAAUGAUUAGUUCAAAGGCAUGGCGGUCGAUUGAACUGGGUUGCUCAGUUUAAUGACAUGGCGGUCGAUUAGAUUUUGACUUGCUCAGUUUAACGACAUGGCGGUCGAAUAGAUUUGAUUUGCUCAGUUUAACGACAUGGCGGUCGAUUGGAUUUGAUUUGCUCAGUUUAACGACAUGUCGGUCGAUCGGGUUUGAUUUGCUCAGUUUAACGACAUGGCGGUCGAUCGGAUUUGAUUUGUUCAGUUUAACGAGAUGGCGGUCGAUCGGAUUUGAUUUGCUCAGUUUAACGAGAUGGCGGUCGAUCGUGUUUGAUUUGCUCAGUUUAAUGAGAUGGCGAUCGAUCGGAUUUAAUUUGCUCAGUUUAACGAGAUGGCGGUCGAUCGUGUUUGAUUUGCUCAGUUUAACAAGAUGGCGGUCGAUCGGAUUUAAUUUGCUCAGUUUAACGAGAUGGCGGUCGAUCGGGUUUGAUUUGCUCAGUUUAACAAGAUGGCGGUCGAUCGGAUUUGAUUUGCUCAGUUUAACGAGAUGGCGGUCGAUCGGGUUUGAUUUACUCAGUUUUACGAGAUGGCGGUCGAUCGGGUUUGAUAUGCUCAGUUUAACGACAUGGCGGUCGAUCGUGUUUGAUUUGCUCAGUUUAACGACAUGACGGUCGAUCGGGUUUGAUUUGCUCAGUUUAACGACGUGGCGGUCGAUCGGGAUUGAUUUGCUCAGUUUAACGACAUGGCGGUCGAUCGGAUUUGAUUUGCUCAGUUUAACGACAUGGCGGUCGAUCAGAUUUGAUUUGCUCAGUUUAACGACAUGGCGGUCGAUUGGGUUUGAUUUGCUCAACUUGGACUCACCUUCAGCUUAAAUUCUGAGUUUGGAGGGCAUCACAUAGGUGAAGGACAAGUACACGAAAUGGACUUGACUUGGCAUACAUGAAUUUGAAGGUUUAAAUUCAAAUGUUUAAAUUUCAAGUUAAAAUUUAGAAUUUUAGCAUAAAAUUUGAAUGGAGUAUAAAAUUUUAGAUUUAAAUUUUAAAAAUUGAAUUUGAGUUAGUUUUCAUUUUGAAAUUGAAUUAGAGUUUUGAGUUUGAGAAUGAAUUUAAUUUUCGUUUUAGGUUUAAAUUUCAAUUCAAAUUGGAAUUUUAAUUUUACUUCAACUUUACAUUGGAUUAAGUUUGAGUCUGCAUUCAUACUCUAUUUAAAUUUGCAUAUUAAAUUUGAGUUUAAACUUAAAUUUUGGUUUGAUUUUGGUUUUAGAAAUAAAUUUGAAUUUGAAUAUUUUUAAAUAAUUUUAAUCUAAAAUUUACAUUUAUGCUUUAGUCAGAUUUUAAAUUUGAUUAAAUUUUGAUUUGAAUUUUGAUAGUGGUUUGAAUUUGGAUUGCUUGAGUUUAGGAUAAGAUUUGAACAUUGAUUACAAAUUUGAAUUUUAAAUUUUCAUUUAACUUUGCAUUUAGAUUUAGAUUUCAAAUUUAAGUUAGAACGAAUUUAAUUUGAUUUUAUGAUUUUGGUUUAAUUUUGUCUAAAUUUAAUUUUAGAUUGGAAGUUAGUUUAAAUUGAAUUUGAAUCCCUAAUUCAAGUUUUAAAUUGGAGUUUGAGUUUUAAAUUUAAUUGUCGUUUGAAUUUUAAUUCAGUUUUAGUCGAGUUUAACUUUGGUUCAAGUUUUAAUUUGAUUUACUUUAAGUUUUAAUCAAAUUUUAAUCUCAUUUAAAAAAAAACUCAUUCAGAUUUUAGAUAAGAAAUCAAAUUCAAAAUGGUCCAUGCCAAGUCCAUCAUGUAUUUGUUUAUUGUAGUGUUCUUGACCUUUGGAUAGGAUUGGCUUCAGUAUUAGUGACUGGUCGACAUUUCUGGAGAGUGUCGGACUGAGUCGGAGUCAAUUCUGCACGAAUUGGAUGCAGAAUUGGACUCGGCGCACUCAAAUAAGCAAAAUUGGAGUUUUGUCAGAUUCGGGCGCCCAGAACAUUUUUAGGGUCGCCCAGAACUGAGUGUUGAAUUUAACUGAAACUGGAAACCAAUUCGGAUCCCAUGUUCCGGGCGCCCAGAUGUGGGUCCGGAAAUUCGACAUCGUGAAUAUCGCUUGCUUCGACGCGUGGCAGGCGGUAGGUGAGUUCCGCCGGAGCCAUUUACGGGCGCAGCACACCGCGGGCGGAGAGUCCGAGGAGCCCGUUUUGUGCAGGCCGGAUGUUCUGGUCGCCCAGAACAUAGUUCCGGGCGCCCAGAAAUGCCCGUUUCUGUAGGGACACUGGAUAGCAGCUUGAGUUCCUGAGGCUUUCUGGAUCAUUUUAACUCUCUAUAAAUAGAUGGAAUACGCCCCUUUGCUGCUCUUUUCCUCCCUUCUUCCACAAGAAAUCCCCUCUUAGGCAGCAUCUCUACCCUCGAUUUCCUCAAAUUGGCAUCAAACAUCCAUUGAUCCAUCUUGAGAGAUGCUGGAUUUCUGCAGUUUCUUUCAGCGGCGACCCGCCAGUGUUGGGCUCGUGCGCAACGUAGGAAAGUCGGAAUUUCGACAAAACAUUUGUUUGGGUUUGCUGAUUCUAGACUUUCCAGAGGAUCGCACGAAGUCCUAAAUUGCAGAUUUGGUUGGAAGGUAUAACUUGUCGAAUUGAGUUUUCUGGACUGCUGUCUUUUAGCUGAAAAUGGAUUUUUAGUUUUCUGAUGGUUUCUAUCUUUGUUGGCAAUAGGAUUUUGACCUGAGAUUGAUCACCGCAUCGUAUUUGCUGAUUUGGAAAUCUUCCUCAACCCGAAAUUGGAGCUCAUUAGGUGAGUUGACCAUCUGAAGUUGGAUAAAUCCAAGCUUAAGUGUCUAAAUUGAUUUUGUUAGUUGUUUUUGGUGAUUUGAAGUCUAGAUCCUGAUUUUGAUCUUGCUUGCGUAAGCAGGUGUGAAAUGUGUUCGCAGGUCAGGGGUGUUUCCGGCAGCGUGAGUGACCUUCUCGGCUGCCUAAGAUUUUUCUCUCGACGUGGAUAUCAUCGUUUCGCUUCCUAAGUGCAUGUUUAUCGACGUGAUUGAGGUUUCGACUUAUUGUAUAUCACUCUGCUUUAAUUCAUGCGAUUAGCAUUCUGACGUAAUAUGAAUAUUAAAAAGCAUGCUGAAGAGUGAGAAUAUUUAUAUUUAUACAUGUUGGACUUGAAAUUUGACAGGAGAAAACCGCCUCGUUUUUGACUCCCUCAUGAUGCUUAAACUACCAAAUUUAGCUACAGAAACCGAAAAUCGAUUGUAAUCGUUUGCAGUAUUAUCGUGAUACCUGUGGGUAGUUUAAAGAUGACAUUUACGCUCGUUGAGGGCCGAGCUUAUUUUUUAGUAAAAAAAGAAAAGAAAAAAAUAAAAAAGAUAUUAGGCUUUUUCGGGUCGUUGGUGUCGCUCCGUCGGUUAGCGGUGGACCCAAGAUUCUUUUUAGGUCACAAGAUUAUGCCGGAGGAGCGACUGGUUUGGUUUGUAACCUGUUUUGACCCUAGUUCACAUUGACUUUGGCUAGUUGAGCCUGGUUUGCAGCUCGACAAAGAAUAACCUGCUACUCGAAGGAAGCGGAAUUUGGGCCGAUGCUAGCCCUGGUCGGAGAGCGUGGGUGACUAACGCUGGGAGAUGUUCAUGCGGGGAGUUAAGGUGACACCACGCGGUGAAUUCGGAUCGAAUCACGGGUGGUUGACAAUUGAUUGGGGUGGGUACGCACGCAACGCGAGUGCCCACUCCGAUCAGGCUUAUGUCUUUCGAGCAUUGGUCGCGCUCAUCGGCUGCCAGUUCGGAACUUGCUCUCGCAACGACCAGUUAUAGUGUGGAUAGAGCCUGAUAGCGCAACGGGGAGCGUUAUUCACGUCCCAGGCGGACGGUACAAUCAUGGACAGAUCCCGAUUGGAUUGGGUCAGAUUAUGUACAUUUUCUAGCAGUUAGGUUAGGUAGAAGAAAUAUAGUGUAUGAGUUUGUAUAGGCGUGGUUGACUCUGCUUCCUACAUUGCUGCCCCUUCUGUAGAACUUAGUGGGUGACCCAUGUGUUUUGCGUUCCACACUGAUUGAUACUUCGUUUUCAGCUAGUAUCUCAACGCCCCAGGUUUGUUACACUCUGUUUGCAAGCCACAGUUCGCUCUAGCGGCCUUAACCCGCGGAUCAUGAUCGAGCAAGGGCGUGUGAGUUUAAGCAUAACCCACUGACAGAGUUUAAGCACGCGCUACUGCAGUAGAUUGUUUGUUUCGAGUUAUGUACAUAAGUGAACUUAACUCGCAGUGCAGCUACUUUGUAUUUUGAUUUGGUACAUUAUAUUGAACAACAGUUUGUAUAGCUUCUUUUUUCUAUCAGCUCAUAAAUAUUCAGCUUCCGUAAUCUGAGUUCGAGUUUUAACAGGUACAGGCUAUCGCUUCGUAUACAGAAAAAUUUCUUUUAUAACGCGGAUUUGUCGGCGCGCCGCCCCGGAAAGUGUAAUCCGGGGCGUGACAUUAUUGGCCCCACACCCAGUCCUAUAUCAACUCAUCAUAAUUGCAAGUCAUAAUUGCCACCAAAUUCUAAUUCUCCAAAAGUCUUAAUUUGAGACUCUUCAAUCGAAGCUAACAGCAUCUAGCAUGCAGCUUUUUGGAUCUUAUAGAUGCCUGAAUUGGUCCCCUAAUUUGAACCCAAAAUUGCACUCCUCCUUGGUGCAACGCCAAUAGAUUAUUAUAAAAUCUCUUCUCCGCGCGCUAAGACUCAAGAACAGAGUAAUUAUCAAAUCAUUCUAUUUCGCCGGCGCUAAAUCGCCAAGACGGGAUAAUGUAUCAAUUAAUCUCCUUUUCGCCGCAAGCUAAGCGCCAAACGCACGCAUCCCAUAGUUACGAAUCUUCUUUCCGCCGCGACUAAGCAACCAGCGGAUAUACCAGAGAUUCCUUCUCAAACAACGUGGUUGUCGAUGUGUGGUCAGAAGUGGUCCCGCCAUUUCCGUACUACUUGUCGACGACCAAGGACACGACAAUAUCACCAAAUCUUUUCUUCCGCCGACGGGCAAGAGCGCCAAGCAGAAAACGACGCGCGUCGGUGAUCUCCAUGUUUUUGUCGGAUGGGCACCCGCAAAUGGUCGCAGUCAUGGGAAUUCCGAUACCUACGCCCCGGUACCUGGAUCUCGUGAAUCCGCAACCCCUCCGAUACCGCUGCUGUGGCAUCCGGUUCGAUUGUUGGAUUCCGGCACGGAAGCGGUCGAUCGGGUUUUUACCAUAUAACGACGUCUCCUCAGCAAAAGCUGAUACAUCAUAAAAGAGAGAACACAAAAAAAACAGAAAUAUACGAGUAAAAGAAGAUUCGUUAAAUAAGAAAAUUACACUGACUCCUCUUCUGCACAGAGUAGCUACAACCCGAGCCCUCUUUCUGAAUCUUUUCUACCAUUCUCUCGUCUUCUAUAAACCCACAUAAAGAAAUCCUUCACAUGCCACAGUUCGACAUAGUGUCACUCAAGCAUAAUUAAAUAACUCUCUCUCUCUUUUUCUCUCUAUGGAUGGCAACCAAGAGACUCUCUCUCUCUCUCCGUAUUUCACCUCAAAAGUCAAACCCACAAAAGCUAUUUAUAAGACCCCACUAAAAACGUACCCCAAUCUAAUAUUUUAGGAUUUACUCCAUAAUAUCUAAAUCUAUCUUAAUUAAUCUCUAAUAGAUUUAAAAUAUUAAUCCUAAUCUAGUUAGGUUUAUCAUCUAAUUAAAUUUAAAUCUUAAUUUAUCUCAAACAGAUUUAAAUAUUAAUUCAUUAUCCAAAUAGGAUUCAAUUACAAAUCUAACCCAAAACCAACACUCCUCACCUUGGUUGGAUUUGUAAUCUUAAACCGUCAACGUCGAGCUCACCAUGCAAGCUCCGCACUUGAGCUUGUCUCCUCGGCUCGAUGUCGCCGCAUCCGUCGCUGUUGCGUUUCGAGCGACUGCCUCCUCCGCGAACUUUUGGAACCCAAACAGUCUUCGCUCUCUGUUCUGACUGUGCUUCCGUUCAGAACGUAUAAGUUCCCACGCUUGUUCGCCUCGCACAAACAAACCCGACUCGUUUUCGGACCCUCAUAGCUCCACCUGAAGCCGAAAUAUCGCAACCUUCGAUCCAAUGCGCCUAACGAGAUCAAAUCCGCUUCAAUCCAAGAACGUGCCGAACAGCCUGUCAGCGUCCUCACGACCCCAUCGUGCAUUCGAUCUUCACCAUGCCGACUCCCAAAACUUUGCACGCCGUCCCGUUCCCCAUGAAGAGCCUUUCCACCUUGAUCCGCCUAUAGGUGGCAAAAGACUCCUUCUCCGGGCAUACGUGAAAAGAAUACGCCGAAUCGAGCACCCACGCAUCGUCCGAAAUUUUCGCACCUCCGGUCGCCGCAUACAAUACAUCAGAAUCGAUCAUCUCCGACUCUGCUGUCUGCGCCGUCGCUGAUACCAUCUCGUCCUGGUUCACGACAGUUUGCUCCUUCUGUCGCUUUAACUUCUUCAAAUCAUCCUGAAGUUUUCGACAAUUGCGCUUGAUAUGCUCCUUCCUGUGACAGUAAAAGCAUUCUACCUCAGAUAGCGAUUUUUUCUGUCGAUAUCCGGUCGCCGAUAUUCUUGCCUCCUUCUUCGCAGUCACCACCAGUCCUACAUCCUGACUUUGCGUGCUAGACUCCUGAGUCAUCUUCCGCAUCUCGUUCGAGAGAAGCGCCGCCGUGACCACCUCCACGCUUAUGGACUCCUUGCCAUAAAGCAACGUGGUCACCAGAUGCUCAUAUGUCGUCGGUAGCGAAGAUAGUAGGAUCAACGCCUUGUCUUCGUCAUCCAGAUUGACUCCGAUGCUGGUCAACUGGGCCACCACCUUGUUGAACUCAUUUAGAUGAUCAUGUAGGCUCGCCGCUUCUUGCAUCCGCAACGUAAACAGUCGCUGCUUCAGAUACAAUCUGUUCGUCAGGGAUUUGGUCAUGUACAGAUCUUCCAAUUUCUUCCACAAUUUCGCCGGUGUCGUCUCGCCGGCUACAUUGUAAAGAACCUCAUCUGCUAAUGAUAGAUGAAGCGUACUCAGCGCCUUCCGCUCCAUCUUCGUCCAUGCCGCAUCCGUGACCUCCGCCGGCUUCGCCUCCUUCCCGUUCAACGUCUCGUCCAAUUCUUGCUGUACGAGGAUCGCUCGUACUUUAAUUUGCCAUAAUCCGAAAUUGUUCUUGCCGUCGAACUUCUCGAUUUCGAAUUUCGUGGCCAUCUCCGUCGAUCUCUCCUGCAGAUCGGUAACCUUCGGCUCUGAUACCACUUGUUGGGAAUCCGGUACUCGCCCCGGUACCGGAUCUCGUGAAUCCGCAACCCGCUCCGAUACCGACUGCUGUGGAUCCGGUAUCGAUUGUUGGGAUUCCGCAACGGAAGCGUCGAAUCGGGUUUUUACCAUAAACCCGUCUCCUCAGCAAAAGCUGAUACAAUCAUAAAAGAGAGAAAUACCAAAAAAACAGAAAAUAUACGAGUAAAAGAAGAUUCGUUAAAUAAGAGAAGAUUACACCUGACUCCUCUUCUGCACAGAGUAGCUACAACCCGAGCCCUCUUUCUGAAUCUUUUCUACCCUUCUCUCGUCUUCUAUAAAUCCAUAAAGAAGACAAUCCUUCACAUGCACCCGUGCACUAGGUGCACUCAAAGCAUAAUUAAAUAACUCUCUCUCUCUUUUUCUCUCUCUGGUACGGCAACCCAAGAGACUCUCUCUCUCUCUCCCGUAUUUCACCUCAAAAGCAAACCCACAAAGAGCUAUUUAUAAGCCUCGACUAAAACGUACCCCAAUCUUAAUAUAUUUAGGAUUUCUACUCCAAUUAAUAUCUAAAUCUAUCUUAAUUAAUCUCUAAUAGAUUUAAAUAUUAAUCCUAAUCUAGUUAGGUUUAUCAUCUAAUUAAUAUUUAAAUCUUAAUUUAUCUCAAACAGAUUUAAAUAUUAAUUAUUAUCCAAAUGUGAUUCAAUUACAAAUCUAACCAAAACCUAACAGAGCAAAGAUUUGCCUUGGGUAUUUCAGCUAACAGGUGAUAGAUCGAAUGCAUAGUGUUAG
rnacentral:lncRNA from 1 species